rnacentral:lncRNA from 1 species
CUCAAGGGAUUUUGCACAGCUCUGAGGCUCUUCCUUAAGAGCAGGAGUAUUGCAAUAAAUAAGGGUGUAUUGAAUGGCAUCUUUUGUUUGCGGGCUUUCAAAGGAUUGAGGAAAUAAUUUUCGUAGGUCAUUUUCCGUAACAGAGAUCUUUGAUGCCGUUUGAGAAGGAAGAAAUGACUGUUGGGGCAAUUGGUUUUCCAAGCUUGAGAGAUGCACCAUGUUUCCUUGUUUGAGAAGUGAGAGUCUGAAGAAAGAAAAAGGAUCAACAUGUAGGACAACAUUUGGGCUAAUUCUGCCAUAGCCGUAAUUAUUCUUGUCCAAGAAACUAUCAACACGUGCUUUGGAUAAACAAGCUAGGUUUGCAAGAGAGCAAAGAUUUGCAUCAAAUGGAAGAUUUUUCUCGGACGCUAAUGAAGUGAAAUGUUCAGCUUGUUCCUUGCUCAGUGGAGAUAGUUUGGACAGAAGAUUUCCAGGCAUGGUGCCUUGGACAUUUUCUGACCAAUAUUUGAGCUGAUUCAAUGCAGUGAAUGAAGAAGAUGAAAUGUGUGCAGCAAAAUGGGACGUAGGAAACGUGAGGGCAAUGACAAAGAGAACGAUAGCAAACGUUGAAGAGGCCAUUGGUUUCAUCGACACUAAUAUUGAGCUAAUUUUCUUCAGUGGAUGAAGUGCUGAUGACUUUGCUAGUGCAGCUUCUAAUUUAUACUAGUGCUCGAGCCUGGACACAGGGCCUCACCUGCCCAUUUCAGGAUAAAAUGGUUACUCUAAAUUUUUUUUACAUCUUGUUUUAGUUGGUAUAUAUCUUUACUUCAAUUUAUUUACAUCCCACUCCAACUUAUUUGUACCUUAGUCUAAACCGGUUGGAAAUGGAACUUGUGAGGCCUCAUCCCCCACUCUAGCCUUGUGUUUGCUCCAGCUAUAAUCUCUAAAGGGAAACCGUUCAAAAUGUUCCUUAUAUUUUGUCAUAUAAAUUUUUUCCUUCUUGUUGUCCCUAAAAAUUAUCAAUCCUCAAUCAUUAUUGUCCCUAAAUAAGUAGAAUCUAAUCCAUACCAUGUUCAUUUUUCUCCAUAAAAAAGUGGAAUAUGACCCAAUCCAUAUUUAUUUUUGCCACAAAAAAAUGGGAUCUACCCUUUUUGGACAUAAAAAAUAACUGUAUAUAGGUCACAUGGUGAUUUUAAACUAGUCAGAUAUUUAGGUUGGAACUAAAUUUUGCUAAUUUGAAUUUUUAAGUGAUUUAAUUUGAAGUUUAUAUUUUAAAAGUGAAGAACGAAAAAAUUUAUUUGAUAAAAUGUGUGGCAUGUUUUGAAUGAUUUUCUCAUCUUCACAUGUAUAUAUUGUACAAUUAAUCCAAAACAAAACUCCAAAUGUACCUGUGUUUACUAAUCCAGAAAAAAAGAGACAAAAUUGAAAAAUAAAUUUAUUUGAAUAGACAAUUUGCAACUUGUUCCACGUUCGCAUUUGAAUGGGUUAAAUACACUAAUCAUACAUCCACGUUAGACAAUUUGCGGUUGUCCCAUUUUAUGCUCUCAGCUUGCGGUCCAUAACCUGAGAUAUGUGGUAGUUAAAAAGACAAUAUUUGUAAUCUCGAAAGUGACGGACAAUACAGUCCCGCACAUUUAGUGCGUCUUGUAGGUAUAUAUGGACAACCGCAGCAAGGAAUUACAUCUCCAAAUACGAAAAUUUCAUGAAAUGAGAUGUAGGUGUGUGUAUAUGUAUAUAGGUAUAUAAAUAUGUAUGUAAGUUUGGUUUAUAAAAUAUUAGUCAAUACUAAUCGUUCAAAAUGACCAACAAAUUUCUUAAUAAAAAAACAUUGAUAUCCUUGGGGAUACUUUUUUAUCCAAUAAAGCAGCUGAAAAUUGUGUAAAAAAUGCAUGCUUCCUAUAAACAAGAUUGGAAAAGAAAACGAAAAUGAAUAAGUCACAUGCUAUGAAAGUCAGUUGAAAAGGAAAAGAUUGGCUCGUGUAGCCAAAAAUUCAUAAGCAUUGCAGUUACCAGCAACACGUAUUUCCGAUUUUCAGAUGUCCACGAUUUGUAUAAGGGUUCUAGUCUGUUGCAUUUGCAUCCCACAUACAUUGAUAACUCCAUUUGAUUUGAAGAGGAACACCUUGCGCAAAAGAAAGAUGUUGCAGAAAUUUGAGACAUGAAAAAAAAUUUAGAGACUAGCAUUGAAACUUUUCCAUUAAGGAAAUAGAAAGUUUAAGAGCUAUCAAUUGCUACAGCUAAAAUAAAAUAAGAAUGAGACAGAGAAAUAGGUUUUGAAACACACUGUGUGAAAAAUGGAUUUAAAAUGUGGUCAAUUGUUUGUACUAGUAGCAAAGGGUAAUUCCAACAGUCCCAAACGUAGGGGCAAGUGUAGGCAUUUAACAAAAGAAAAUUCUAUAUUAAGUGAUAUACAAUAAUACAAUAAUCACAAUUUAAAAGAUGGCGUACCUCAUGAUAUCUAAGAGUUCUCAUAUUUAAAUUUGAUAAAUGGGAACGUCAUGCAAGUUGUUCUUAUAGCAUGCAAGUGUUUUUGGAGUAAAUCGAUUUUAGAAAAGUUUAGAACAGUACUAAGAAAAGUUGCUUUCUAUAAUUGGUUAUCAGUUUUAACAGCAUUGAUUUGGUUUAGUUACUAUUACACUAUAAUGUCUUAGGGAAACAAUUAUCUGUUCACAAAAAGAUAUUAAAGUGCUACAAUUAACGAACUCUUUAAUAGGCUUUGUUGAUUAAUUCUAGAAUUAGAUGAUUGUAAAAAACAAUUAGACUAUUAACAUCGAACUUUUAUUUUUUUUCUUCUAAGAACAAUAGGAAGGAAUAGCCUUACAUUCUUUGACAAAAAGAAAGAAAGUAAAAAUCCCUAGCUACAUUAUUUGAGUUCUCAAGUACUACUGAUUAUGGAUGGAGAAAGAUUGCUCAAAAUUGCUGUCCUUUUGAAAUUCAUGAAAUUAUUAAUCAAUUGGCAACUUUGGUUGACUGGUCUUUUAUUGGGCAAUUUUUUGACAGAAGUUUGUCGGAGAAUAUCCUCUCCUUCAAUUUAAAAGAAGAAAAUUUUGAAGUAAUUCCUCCUACACUAGCCAAAAAUCUUUUCUAUGUUCUUCAGCUUGGGCUGGAUAGUGACCUGAUCGAGUUUAGGUAUUAAGAGCCAAUGAGUUCGAUCGAUUAGUUCGGGAUCUAGCUGAAUGAUGUCAUAAUGAUGCCAUAAAUAUAUUUUAAUUAUCUAUAAAGUAAAAAUUAUAUAUAAAUUACACAUUAGCUUGACAUAUUUGGUGAGUUUAUAACAAAUAUGAAGAACUCAUUCAAAUAGUUGUACAAAUUUAGGCUGGAAAUAUAAUUUGAUAAGUAUUUGUGGUUUAAUAUAUAAUUUUUUUGAAACAAUUCAGUGUCAAUUCUUGAACUUAAAGUCCAAAUACACAUUGAUGAGCCUAAAACUUUUUAAUAGGACAAUUCUUCAACAAAAUUGAGGUUUGUAUGUAAAAAUACAAAAGUUAGAGUUGCGUAGAGUAAUUAUAAAAGAAGUUUGGGAGUAUAUUUAUGAUUAUAAAAAAUGGAGGGUCAAAACAAAAUACUAGAAAAGUUUUAUAUUUAAUUGGCAAUUUCUUCUCCACCAUGCAUCUUCAUCAGCCAGGAAUCGGGAGGUUUCAACCUUCAUCUGCAUUCCCCUUUUUUUUGGUUUCUUUUUGUAAUGAUUUCAUUGUUUUUUUGUCCCUUUUCUUCAACUGGGUAAGAAUCUUCCCCUUAUUCUUUAUUUUCGUUCUCUCCUGUUUUCUUCUUUUUCUAUUUAGAUCUAUAAAUCUUUGAGAGAUGACAAUGAUAGAUUUAUAGAUCUAUUUUCUCUUUUCCUUUUUUCUUCUCUUGCAGUAAUUGAAACUUUUUAUUAUGAUUUGUCAAAUAUCUUACCACCUUUUUUUGGAGAGAUAAAAUUAGGCUUUAGAAAUGAAGAAAAUUUUUGGAAAAAAAUCACAAAUCAGCAAUGAAGAAAUUCAGGUAAAAUGAGGUUUUUCCCGAUUUUAUUGAUUCCCAGUUUAACACUCGAUUUUUUAAGGUGACUUGGACCGAAUGCUUGAUCGGUCUUGGUUUGCCCGGUCAGACUGAUUAGUCUAAUCCAAAUUUUAAAACAUAGGAUUUAAAAGGACAUAUUUGACUUGGGGAUCUAGCAGCAGAGCAUUUGAGACUGAAAAUAUAUAUGGAUGUUAAACAAGGGCGGCAAUGGAAAGAUAGUCUAAUGCUAUACCAAAGCAAGGAAACAAAAAGAAAAAGGAUUAAAAGUAAAAUUAGUUGUGACCAAAUAAAUGUAGCCAACUUGAACAUGGUAUAAAAGCAAUUGAGCAAAUGCCUUGUUCAAUUCAAGAUAAUUGAGGUACAAAAUCUAGAUUAACACAGCAAAUUAGGUUGCAGAAUGUUGGGUGUGGGCCAGCUCAUUUGUGAGCCAAACUAGAAAAUCAAAUAUUUUUAGGUUUAAGUCAAAAAUUUGACUUAAAUAAAAAAGGCGAGCAGCCGCAUGAAGUAUGAUUCUUCGGUCCUUGUGCGAGAAAAAAGAUUUCAGCCGCCGCUCUUGCUGGCUUGGUGAAGAAGGAAAAGAGAAAAAUAACUGGGAGAUCUUGAUUGGAAGGUGAUUCGAAUCCCGAUUGAAAUAAAAUUUUACAUACGCGAUCCUCUCAUCAAUCUCUACUCAUCUACUGGUCCAGAUUUUAGAUUUCCUCUUCGUUUGGUGACACCUUUCUAAACUCACUUCUUUGAUAGUUGUAGUUUUUGGGGGUGAUUUUGUAGUAAUUUCGUUUGAUUGGUAUUGGUGAUAUUAUUGUCAACCGAAUAUUUUGGGUAGACCUGUGUAUUCCUAUUGUUGUGAUAGUGAAGAUUUUUGACUGGACUAGAUCCCGUGGUUUUUCCCAAUUUGGAUUUUUCACGUAAAAAUCUUGGUGUCAUGUGCCUUUUAUUUUUCUUGCAUUUUAUUAUCACUACUGGUAUUAUUACUUGGUGAUUUGAUUUAUUCCUAUUUUUAACCGGUACAUAGAGAAAGAGAAAUUUGUCUUGGAUUAACUCUGAUAUUGUGUGUCUAUACCCAUACCUCUUUCCCAACAAAUGGUAUAUUAGACAAUCUUCACAUUUUGCACUUUCAUAAAGCAAUUACACCACAACUAUUCAGUUUUAGAUCGACAACUUUGUAUGCUACAGUUCCUUAGGCUGUCAACCACGUAAAAGAUGUCUUUCCGCAUCAUAUUGAAUGCGUUAGUUACUUUGUUUAGCAAAUUUAUAAUUAUUGAGAUGCAUGAAAUACUUUUUUUUCUGCAAGAAGAAUGGUUAAAUUCUCAAUUACAAUGAAAACAGAUAAUAUAGUAAUCCCACCAAUAUUGUUUCUUUAAACAUUUUGUUGUAAUACUCUCAACCUUUUGCUUUUCUGGUAAUAUACUUUCUUUUCAUUUCCUUUCCUUCAAUUCAAAAGGUCACUAAAUUUUUUUCCUCAAAUGGCGCCUAAAUUACUUUAAAAGCAAAGAUAACUAGUGAGAUGCCAAAAAUUUCCAAUCAAUUAUAUGCUUUACUUUGAAACUUACCGGUAGUUCCACUUGUUUUAAAUUUGUAUUAUUUAGGUAGGUUAAAAAUCGAACCAAACUAUUCGAUAUUUGAAAUAAGUUUGGUUCAGUAAAAACUUGUUCUAACUUGAUUUAUGAAUUAAUCAAACAAAGUUUGAACAUCAUUUUGUGUUCAAUUAACUUUUAAACUCUAUUUAAUCCUGGUACAAUUAGCAUAAAACUUGAUUUUAUAAGUAAAAAAUUCAAGCUAUUUGAGCUCAACUCAAAUCUGGCUUGAUUAAAGUCAACAUUAAAUAUAAUUUCAAAUUUGCUAAAAUAAUUAAACAAAAUUGAACGCUAACUUGUCCUCAAUCUUACUAUUGUCCUUAAAUGCAGCCAUGCUGCAAAAUACCUAUGCAUUAUUAGUUGGCCACUUACUUCGACAUCUUCUUAUCCUCAACUUCUUUUGCCUUUCUUUCCUUUUUUGUCUUCUUUUGUUUUUAUGUUACAGUACGGUACACCUACAAAAUUAUUUUGCUACCCACUUUACCCCGCUAUACAACACGGAUGAAGGUUACUAAAUACAAAUUAGGGACAUGAGACUUAUGAAAUAGAGGCCGUAGAAAACAAAUGGGAGAACAAGAAAUCUAUAUUCUUUCUGUCAACUUGCAAUACUCAAUCUCCUUCAACUUCAAUUUCCUUCAAAGUUUCUUUUAAUUUUUUCUUGGUGCUUUAAACAUGACACAUUUCCUACUACCUUUUCUUUAAAAAAAAAAAAAAAAAAAAAACAUUGGCACGUGAAGUUGGCAAUUGGCACUUAUCAUACAAGUGGCUCCGGAUGUGCGGUAUCGUUUGUUUCUUUUGUUUCCUGGGGAUGAGUUUUUGGACUUGGACCACUCAUAAAUAAAGUUGUUUCCUCCUGUGCGGUAUUUCUUGUCAUGGUUGCUCUUACAAUACAGCCAGCCAAUGAAAGUGAAUGUGACAGAGAGAUAUACGCACGGAGACAAAGACAAGGCUGCUCGUGUCUCAUCGUACGAUCCAAUAAUUUGGGAAUUCGAAAAAUCUAAAACCAAAGGAGAAAACAAAUGUAAAUGUGUAAAUUUACAAGUAACCAGUAUUGGUGUAAUCAAUGCAUAAAUGUGUACAUUACAACUGAUAACAUGCAUAAACAAGAUAAACUCACAUUUAACGAGACUUGACUCAACGGUUAUGAUUGUUGAAUCUCAACCUUGAUUUUCUAGACGAACAUCUCGCUGUACAAAUUAUUUAAAUUGCUAUUUUUAAAAUUUUUGUAAAAAAAUAUAUUAUAGUGAUUUGAUAUAUGUGAAAUAAAAGGGUGAUUGAAAAAUUUAUUUAUAAAAAAUCUAAAAAAUUAUCUAUAGAAAAUAGUAAUGGAAGCAAAGGUUUUUGAAUUAUUGGAGCACCCCUAAAUUAGGAAGGACGAAAAUUCAUUAUCACAUCAUAGGACCAGCUAGUCUAUUAUUCUACAAGGUGAGAUAAUUAUGAAAUUGACAUGAAGAAAUACUUCCCACACGAGUCAUGAAUCGAUCAGAUGUGGGACUGGUGGCGGCCGCCAUCUCAAAAAUUAUCAUACGACAAGACGUGUUUCAACACCAUAAGUUGCUUUCGAAGAAUAUUAAAAAUAAUGUUCUGCACAAUAUUUGGACAAGGUCACAAGAAUGGCUCAAAUCACUGAAUCAAAAAAUCCUUUAGCUGCUCAGCUUGAGUUUCACUAAAUAUUUUGAAUUGCAGAGACCUAGUCAAAAAUCGAGUUUGAUCAUGAAAAACAAGGAAAAAAUAGAAAAGUUUUUCAUUUUUUGGUGAACCAUUUUCUUUUUUCUAUUUUGUUAAAGUUUUCCAUAAAAUAUGUUUACCAUAGUUUGAUGGGUUAGAUGCAAAACUUAGCUCUUAAUUAUAACAAAUUUUGCACUUUACUCCUUAAAAUUAUCUUAUUUUGACUUUACUCCACUAUUAGUCAACUCAAACAUUAUAUACCCAUAACCUGAAAAAAACAUUCAUCCUGAGGGUUAAUGACAGUAAAUCCCCUCAAGGUAUUGCAUGUUUUAUACUUUACUCUAUAAAGUCAUCUUUUCUCAAUUUGUAGGUUUGUCCCAAGACCAUUAGUUAACUCCAAUAUUCUGUAACACCCAAGAAAAAACAAUAGCUAAGAGACAUUUAUAUCCUUGACAGGAUAGUGAACUGAAUAAUAUUUUAUGGAUAUGAGUCUAGUUAAAUUUCAUCUCGUAAUUACACUUUUUUAAGACAGGGGGAAAUUUCUCGAUCAUUUUAUGCCUUAAGGAGGAAAAAUAAACAAAAUAUUAUUUAAAAAUAAAAUAUGAAAACUGAAAAUAUUACUAAAUUUGUAAAACCCGCUUAAAAACUGUCAAUCUCUCUUUUCAAAUGUGCAUAUAGGUUUGCUUUUCAUUUAAUGGCUACAUUUUUGCUUUGCAUAAAAAAUAUACACUUUUCGUUGUUAGUAACACUACAAAGGGGCAAAAACAUGAUGGAUUUGGCAUUCCAAAGCUUUAUUGUCACUUGUGCUCAGAGCGCACCCGACGUGUGUACAAUCAAAAAAUAUAUAAUAUUAAUAGUCAUAUAUUUUAAAUAAAAUUUUUAUUACUAAAGCAAAUUUUAAUCUUUUAAAUAUUUUUCAUAAAAUAAUUUUAUAUUGGUAGUUAUGUUGAAUACAUAUACUUAAAAGUAAAAAUAGUCAUGGGUGGUUAUAGAUAGUUAAAGUAAAAGUAAUUUUUAUAAGGGCAAAAAAGAAAGUUCAUAAAGUGACGAUAAAAGUUAACCCUAAUUUUAACCCCAAAUCUCUUUGUCAAGCUUUACAUAUAACUAGUGCCAAAGGCACACCCACAUGUAUGCAAUUUAAGAAUAAAUUAAUUUUUAUGAAAUUUUCUUUAAUGAAUUGAUAGUUAGUAUUUUGGUAGUUAUGUCAAUUGGUAGUUAUCUUGGUAAUUAAACUUUUUUUCAUAAUAAAAAGUUUGGAUGUUUAAAUUUUAAACAUAUUGGUAGUUGCAACAAAAAUUAUGUUGGUUAUAUAUAAUUGGAUAGUUAGGAUAAAAUUUAAUUUUGUGAGGAUAAAAAUGGAAGUUUAAAAAGUGACAAAAGGUAUUUACCCCACCCUUUCAUUUCCUAGAGUAAGUAAGGGUAAAUUUGAAAACACACAAAACUAACACCAAGUUAACUACCUACACAUGUUUUAUUAUUUUAAAGAUAUAGAUUUUGUAAUGCUAAAAGGCACUUUUCUCAAACUUCAACGGUUUACUACAGAGGCAUUUUUUUUACAAGUGCUCAAUACACACCCAAUGUGUGUGCAAUCAAAAAAUACAUAAUUUUUAUGGUCAUAUAUUUUAAAUAAAGUUUUUAUUACUGAAGCAAACUUUAAUCUUCUAAAUGAUUUUCAUAAAAUAAUUUUAUAUUGGUAGUUAUAAUGUUUAGGGGUAGUUAUGUUGAAAACAUAUAUUUAAAUAGUUGAAAGUAAAAAUAAUCAUGAGUAGAUAUAGGUAGUUAAAGUUAAAGUAGUUUUUAUAAGGGUGAAAAAGGAAGUUCAUAAAGUGAUCAUAAAUGUUAAUCCCAAAGUUAACCACAAACCCUUUCCUUAGACUUUAUAUGUAGUAUAGAUAUUGGUGAAUUUAACUAAUGAGGGAACAAAGUGAUAAAAAGAUAAUAAAAUUUGGAAUUCUAUGGGGGAAUUCUUAUAAAUAACCCGAGUUUGAUACUAAAAAAAUUAAUGCCUUGUUUAGAAAGAGAUUUUUUAUCAAAAAAUCUAUACGUUUUUCAUAAACACAUUUUUUAAUCACCUUUUUACCUCACAUAUAUGAAAUCGCUACAGUUUAUUUUUUACAAAAAUUUCAAAAAAUUGCAAUCCAAACAUAACCUAAACUUUUAUAGUGCGCCCAUGGAUAAUUAGGAAACUGUGAUGAUCUAAUAAAAGUUUUCCAGGGUUAAAAGUAAUAAGCCCCCAAAACUUUUGGGAUGCUUUGCACUACAGUCUCUAACGUUGAUUUUGUGCCAUUUAGUACUUUUGUUUUUUUAAAUGAGAUGUCUUAAAUUCAAAACUUCAUACUUACAAUUCCUUCCACCUCACCACUUAACCAUACCCUCCACCCCAAACUCCAAUUUUAGUACUUGUGUUAGUCAACCUCAACAUUUGCCGUUAAAUGGUACUAAUUUCUAAAAUUACCCUGAUUUCUAUGACAAAAAUACCUGUUGUCCUAAAUACAAUAAAAAGAUCUCCACAAAACCCUGCAAUCCUUUUGUUUAAUAUAAAAAAGUUUAAAAAAAAAACCGCAAGCAUUUUGACAGUGCCAAUACAACAAAACCACAAUCUUCCUUUAAUUAACUUAAAUGCAGCGAAGUAUUUCUUCCAAUCUUCUACUCCAUAGUCUUUUUUUUUUUUUUUUUGGAUUAACCGUAGGAGAGCGAAGUACUUUUGUCCUUUUUCUCCUUUUUAUCAAUCUCACAGCUGACAAAACAAAAAUUUUCAAAUAUAUCUAAACUAGCAGUUCCGUCUCUCACUUAUCUUUUUGCUUUCAACAGGUUUUGUACCUAAACAUUAUGUUUUUUUUUUCCCGCAAAAUUAUGUGCUAAGUACAUUCAUUUCCAGAAUAGACAAUUAGAAACAGCAAUGCUAUUAUUCAUGUUCAACUCGUUUGAAUUUGGAAAAGGUUUAAUCACAGAAUAAACAAAUAAAACUCGAAAACAAGAUUGAUUUGGAACCAACACACAAAUUUGGGUGCAAGCGGAUUGAAUAUGUUAUUGAACCCCACAAAAAAUUAUAUUGUUGCCCCACUUUGCCCCCUUAUUCUCCUUACCAGUAUUGCAACUAGAGGUGUUAAAAUGGAUGAUUUGGACGGGUUUGGAUUGGCAAAAAUGGAUAAUAGGUAUAAGUAAGUCAACCCAUUUAUACCUAUUUAAUUAAAUGGGUAUAAAUAGGCAAGCCAAAAAUGAAUUGGAUAACCCAAUUACUCAUUUAUAACCCAUUUAUUUUAAUUUUUUAUAAACUCAUUUAAAUUCAUUUUGCAAACUAGGUUAUCAAUUUAUACCACCCUUUACACCCAUCAUUAGUUUUAAAUAUUUACUUAUAAUGCUCAAUAAGCCUAUUUACCAAAUUUUUUUCCAUCCGUACUCUAUGUCGUAAAAUUACAUGCUAUUUAAUAAUUGAACAAUCAGAAUAUAAAAAUUUGAACUAAGUACUAUAAAAGUUAAACAUAAAAAUUUAAUCCAAAAAUUUUAAACUCCUAGCAUUUUUUUCAUGUGUAAAUUUAAAAUUUCAUUUUGAAAAAGUAGGAAAAGAGGCUAAAACUUGUCAUAAAUUGGUAACACUAAAGAGUAAGUUAACAAACUAAGAGAAAAAAAAAUGAUAAGAUAAAACCAACCAAUGAUAAUAAUAAUGAAACAAAAAUAGUUAACAUCAUAACAAAAUGAAGAAUCUGAAAAAAAAAAUGGGUGGGAGAAGAGAGAAUGCUUGGGGGAAGAUAAUUCUAAAUGGAUUAAUUGGAUUUGAUGGGUUAUCAAUAAUACCCAUUUAUUUAAAUGGGUAUUAUUGGAUAAUCCAUUUAUACCCAUAUGCAAAAACUUAAGAUACCCAUAUCCAUAUAUUCAUGGGCGGGUAUGGGUAAAUUUAGUUAAAUGGAUUCAUUUGCCACCUAUAAUUGCAACCAAUGCAAGUAAAAAUUGCGAUACUUGUUUACUACAAAAUAAGGACGUGAAUUUAUCAAAUAGAAAGUGGAGAGAAAAAAAAGGGCAAAAUACACUUAACUCUCUUGUGAUUUAUUGAUUUUUUACAUAACCUCCCUAUAGUUUCAAAUACUAUAUAUAACCCCCUCAUAAUUUGCAUUAAAGUUUCAAAGUGACAAAAGUGAUUAUUUGCAAUGAAACCCAUGAAAAUAUCGAAAUUGCCUUUGUUUAAAACCUAAAAUGACUGAACUGAUCAAAAAAUAUAAAUAUAAUAUGCAUGACACUCUAACAUCGUAUAGUUUUAUAUUUUACUAUAUAGUCCCCUUAUAGUUUAGUGUUUUACCAUAUAAUCCCCUUAUAAUUUUUAAAAUAUAUACAUAAUCUUUUAUGGUUAUAAAUAAUUUUUAACUUUACAUAAGAGUAUUUUUAACAUUCUAGUUGACUCCAUUAUGGAAUACAAAUUCAGUUAUUUUAAGACUUUAAUUCAAAUCAUGAGAGGGGUAUGUGUAUCUUUUGAAACUAUAGGAGAAUUAUGUGAAAAAAUAUUAAACCAUAGGGGGUAAAGUGUAUUUUUCCAAAAAAAAAAAAGGAAAAACAAGGAGUGAGACCAUUUUCUCAUUUUAUAUGUGCACUUUAGUAAAAUAGUUAAUCAUUUUUCUUCUUUUAAAUUGUAAAACUCAACCUCUUUUAAUUUAAAAUUUCAUUCGAAUGUUAUUUUAAUUUUGAUCUUAGUUCUUCAAAAUUGGCAUAUUAAUUUCCUACAAUUUUUGUAAGGAAAAAAAAAGCAUAAAACAUGGCACUUGAAGUUGGUUGUCGGCACUUAUAGCUUGUAUCAUUUGUUUGCUGGGUACAAGUUAUUGGACUUAGACAACUCAUGGAUAAUUAAGUUGAUUUCACCAGUGGGGUUUAUGGUGGCUUAUCUCCUUCUUAUCAUGUUUGUUCCGACGAUGCAGCCGGCCAAAGAAAUAGGAUGAGAAAGAGAAAUGGGCGCAUGGAGACGAAGGGCCGGCGGCUCCUUUUGAUAUAUCAUCGGUCCCAAUUGUUUGGGAAAUCUAAAAGCGAAGGAGAAAACAAAUGCAUGCAAUUAUGCGAAUCGGAAGAGAUCUGAAUUUUUUUGGAUCAAUUCAAGAACUCUCUAUAUUAGAAAGGGCAAUAAUGCAAUGUCACAUCCACAGGACCAGCUGGUCGUUUGUCAAUUAUUUUACAGUGGGAAAUUAUGAAAUUCGCAUAGGGAAAUACUUUCCUGCUCAUGAGCCGAUGAAACAGUGGAGUGGCGGCAGCCGCCGCCCUUCGAAAAUUUAAGUUUGUUUUUGGAUUGUAAUUUUUUUUAAAAAAAAUUCCUACGUUUUUUGUGGAUAUAUUUUUCAAUCACUUUUUUAUUUUACAUAUAUUAAAUCGCUACAGUAUUUCUUUUACAAAAAAUCCAGAAAAAUGCAAUUCAAACAAAGCUUAAAAUUUUAUUUAUAUCAGAUUUUUUUUUGUAAAACAUUAUAAUUUUAUUAAAUUUUGUAUUAAUGGCAAAAGUUACAUCAUCUGAAAAGUGGAUACUAUAGAUAUGAAAAACAGAUAAAAAUUACACUGUAAAAUUCUAAAAAAUAGUUUAAAAAAUGAGAUAAAAUAAUUGUAACCUCACGAAUAUCUAUGCAUGCUUGUGAUCGUCAAAUCUAUUGAUUAAUUUUUUCAAUUCUGAAUAUUAUGGUGAGAUUUACCAAAUAAACUCAAGAAAUUCCAAAUUUGAUAAAUAAAAUCUAAAAAAAAAGAGUUAGAUCGAAUAAAAGAAAAUAAAAAAAACUACCUAAAGCAUUCAUUAGAAAUCUCUAGGAAAGAAGAAAACUCUCACUAGGUAACACUAAGAGAGGAAAAAAUUCUCACUAGAAAAUUGUAAGAAAUUUUAUUUGUACAAAUGAAAAAAAACUAUAGAUAAAGCUCCUCCUAUGGAGAAAGAUUGAAAAAAUGUGAUUUCUCACCCGAAAGAAUUGAAUGAAGUUUUGGUUAGAGAAUUUUCCUAAAGAGAAACUAAUUCUCUCUUUCUUCUCUCAAGAAUUGGUGGGAGGUUUUUUUUAUGUCUUAUACAGUUCUUUCUUAUUUAUAUCAGAAUUAAGAGAAUGGAAAGUGAUAAUUUGGAGAAAAAAAUUUGAUCAAAGCCUUGAUAAUUGUAAGGUCCAAUUAAUAUUCUAGAUCUUGGCCAUAUUAGCUCGAGCUAAUCUAGGUCAUCCAUCUCUUUUCUAAAGAAAAUUUAUAUUUUUUUUUUGUUGUAAAAGUUAAUGGCCAGAUUUGGACCACAUCAGCAAAACUUGAUUUGAACCAUUAAUUGUACGUAUGCCAGGCAAUCGUGCAUUCUCCUAAAAGUAGCCAAUUGCCAUGGAAGGUUGUAAAUGACCAUCUUAAUCCCUGAAUUAAGAAACAGUCAUCCCAUAAAUCCUCUUCCUCCUUCCACAUUCGAAGACCGCCACCGCAGCUUACUCCACCCUUCAUUCACAAACCCAGUCAACAAUUUUUGCCUACAUAUCAAUCUUGAUUACCUUGCUAUAUCCCCUUACUCUUCCCUUCACGCUAUCUUCUUCCCAUAUUGAAGAAGCAAAACCAUGAUGAAAUAUUGUUUUGGGACAGGAAUAUGUCCAAAAGGGUGAUUUUAGGGCUAUCAAUGGGUCCGGACCCAAAUCUGAUCCAAUAUGCUCGUUUGUUCGAACCUGACCAAAUCCAAAUUAUAUGCAUUCUAAAUGGAUCGGGUAUGGAAUGACAUGUUCCGAUUCAUUCGGAUCCGAUCCAAUUAAUUGGACAUAUAUAAGUAAUAAUUAUAAUAUUCAUUAUAAAUUGUUACUAACCCACAUGUUUUCUCUUUGAAAAAAAAAGGAGGUACUCUAAGAACCAAAUAAUCUUUGGAAUUUUUCUCAUUGUGUAGUUACUAUUUUAUUAACAAAAUUUGUGUAAAAAUAGAAUUCAAAAAUUAUCAAAAAUUUUGUUAUACUAAAUUGAUUUUAUGGAUUGGAUAUAUCCGAAAUAGAUUUGAAUCCAACAGAAACUGGAUCCAGAAAUACAUAUUAAGACUUCAUUAGGUAAAUGGAUUGGGAUCCAAAAUAAUUAUUACCUGUCGGAUUUGUGUUAGCAGUUAUCAAUUUUACCCAGAAUCAACCCGAUGAGUUCUUAUUUUGUUUCUUUUUGGGCAAAGCUCAUACUAAUGGAGAGGGAUGCCAGUCCCAAAUUUAUUACUAAUAGAGAAAGGAAGGGCCAGGCAUUAAUCUAAACUCUAAUACAAGAAAAAGAAGCUAAUGAAAUGGAAAAAGGAGUACUACUCCCGUGCCGAUCUUAAUCUAAUGUUUGGCAAACUAAUACUAUCAACAGAAAUAAUAGCUUUUACUGUGAAGCAUGGUUCAAAGUCUCGGCCGACUCGUCACCGUCUCAGACCCUUCGAUACGUCACUGUGAACGGUUGAAACGGUCGAGUUACACUGAAUCACUCCGAGUCAUCCUAAGUCAACUCGAUUUUUUAUUAUUUUUACUAAUUUUUUAAUUAAUUUUGUUUACCAUAUUUUUUAUAAAUUUUAGAAUAUUAAAUAUUUCAAAAAUUCGCGUCUCACCGAGACUGCAUGCCAAGAUCGAUGUAGAACGGUCUAGGCCGCGACCGCGACUUUGAACCAUGCAGUGAAGGCAAUUCCGACGUAGAAGUGUAAAUCUGCUGCCGAGAGAGAGUUAAAGAAACAAGAAAGUAAACUGAAAAACUUGCUCCACCAUAAAUGUGAUGAACAAAAACCCGAUAACACCUUGAAGCAAAUGACGAAUUUGAACUAGGGCACUACACAUUGGCCAAUUAGCUAAAGCAUUGGUUGAUAAAGGUGCACAGGUAGCUUAGCAUCCACCUGUACCAGUACAUCAUCAGUAGUGCAUUAUUUUCUACCAGCAAAAAAUUUGCCUUGUCAAAUUCUUCAUAAAAUACAAAGACAAUCCUAUCAAUAUUAUGAUGCUAAAUGAGAAAUUUUGGGUUCGAGUCCUUCCAUCUAAAUUAUUUUAAAAAAAGCAAAAAAAAAAAUCCAUGAUGGUCUUGUAGAAGACUCUCUCGAGAUGAAGUUAACCUUUUAGUACUGGUAAUGGUAUUGAGUUUAUAAUGCUUUUCCAUGGUGGAAACCAUCAGACAGCCAUUACCGAUGUCCUCAUGGAAGUUUCUAGCCUAAAAAACUUUGCAGUAUAAGUAUUCUAAUCACUUAUUACAUAAAAUCCUAUCACCAAGGAACGUGCUCCUAACACAGCAAGACAAUUAUCAACCUUCAAAAUAAUCUUAAAAGCGAGCGAAGAGAUUCUUUGAAAAUGUGUUUCGUUCUUUCCACACCAUGAAAACCACAAAGCUAAUAUAGGUAAAAUACAUCUAAUGUGAUCAAGAGGUGCUUUAUCUAGAGACAAAUUAACAAGAAGACAUCAGCAAAGAAGAGAUACAUGUAUGAGGCUAGAAGGGAAUUCUGAAAACUGGGAAGUAAUGCCCGGCAAACUUGAACUGGAAUCGAGCCUUCUGUUAAAGUAUGCGGCAAAGAUGUUGUAAAAACUUGAUAUUUCAAAAGAUUUUUCGUUUGUUUCGGACUAGAGCUUUAUCUGAUAAUAUUUCAUCAGAUAUGGUUGUUUCUAUUUUGAUGGAGAAGUUUUCAAAGAUAAGGUUUUGACUAAAAGGCAAGUUCAAGUGCUAGAUAGGAAGUUAAGCUUCGGAUGGCCUUUUUUCAAAUGACUUGACCUUUUCCAAACUUAUCACCACAGAGGAUAGACCUCUGACUACUUCAAAAGAUAAAGUCUGGCACGAAGCAAGCCUAUUCUCACGGAAAAUUAGCUUUCAAAAUUCUAUCUUCUUCCGUCCCGUGAAGCUUAUAAAUAGAACCAGUUGCCAGGCUCAUUUCGCACUGCAAAAACGAAGUCUACACUUUAAAACACUCUCUACCUCCUCCUUUGUCUAUCCUUCACAACAUUCUUGCUUUUCUGCUGGGUUAGAAACAAGAUUUUUUUUGCUGGUUCUAUGUCCCUCUCACAAAGUAGAGGAAAACUUGUUUAAUUCUGGGGAAACGUUUCAAUACCCUGAAAUAGUUUCUUAGGACAGUGCUUUCUAGCACGACUCAAGUAUCCACGUGUUGACAUUGUUCGGGCCGCUUUAUCCAACAAUCUAAGAAACUAUGGCAUCUAACAAUGUUAGCACCCCACAGCCUUCAUCAGCAACUGUUGCAGUGGCACUACCAUUCGCCAAGCUCUUUCCGGAUGUAUCCAAAAUUGAAAUUUUCGCCAAUGAAAAUUUUAAAAGAUGGCAAGAACGUGUGCACUCUCUACUUGACAUCCAUGGAGUAGCUUAUGCGCUCACUGAAUCUCAACCUUCUGCAACUGCGGAUGCCAAGAGUCAAGAAGCAUGGCAAUAUGCCAAUAAGGUAUGUCGACACACUAUCCUUCAAACACUCUCUAAUGAAUUAUUUGACGUCUACUAUAGCAGCAAAGAAGCCAAGGCAAUUUGGGAAGCCUUGGUAACAAAGUUUACUGCCGAAGAUGCAACCAAGCAAAAAUUCGUCGUAGGAAAAUACAACCAAUGGCAAAUGACUGAUGACAAGGAAAUGAAAAUUCAAAUCACCGAAUAUCAAAUGCUGCUAGAGGACUUGAAAAAUGAAGACAUCAAUCUUCCUGAGAAAUUCGCUGCAAGCAUGCUGAUUGAAAAACUACCAGAGUCAUGGGCCGACUAUAAAAACAACUUGAAACACAAGGAGAAAAAUUAUACCAUGGAUGAGCUCGUGAAGCACAUCCUCAUUGAAGAUUCAAACAAAAGGGAGUUAAGAGCUACCAAGGCAAAGGAGACGGCUUUCAAAGCCAAUCUGGUACAAGGUAAUAAUAAAAGGUACGCCAAUAAAUCCCAGAAUUACAAGCCCAAAAAUUUUAAUUUCAAGCCUAACAAUCCCAACUUUAAGAAAAGGAAAGGCAAUUGAUUUUAUUGUGGAAAACCAGGACAUCAUGCAUUACAAUGCAGACAUAAUAAAGGUGACAGAGCAAAUGGUAAUCUUCCUAAGGUGCACUUAACCGAAGGAGAUGAUAUAAUUGCUGCUGUCAUCUCUCAAGUGAACAUUGCAGCCAAUGUCAAAGAGUGGGUGGUAGACUCUGGGGCUACUCGGCACAUAUGUGCAAAUUGAGAAGCAUUUUCCUCCUAUACUCCUAUAGGGGAUGAUGAGGAAGUUGUCUACCUUGGUGACUCACGAACUGCUAAUGUUCUGGGUAAGGGCAAAAUAUUCUUGAAACUCACUUCAGGAAAAACUUUGGCUCUCAAUGAUGUACUGCAUGUGCCCAACAUUCGGGCAAAUCUGGUUUCCGUAGGAUUGCUAGGAAAAGUUGGAGUGAAAGUGUCAUUUGAAUUUGGAAAGAUCAUAAUGACCAAAAAUAAUGUAUUUGUGGGCAAGGGCUAUUGUAAUCAGGGACUCUUUGUACUUAACAUUGCCAAUGUGAUCAAUGAGAAUGCUUCUUCUUCUGCUUAUAUUAUUGAUUCAAUUUCUUUAUGGCAUGCAAGAUUAGGACAUGUUAAUAUGAGUUAUAUAAAGAAAAUGCAAUCUUGUGGCCUGAUUUCUGGUGUUAAUGAUAAAAUGGAUAAAUGUGAGAUAUGUGCAGAAACUAAAAUGACAAAGAAGACUUGUAUAACUGUUCAAAGAGAAACUGAACUAUUAAAUUUAAUCCACACAGAUUUAGGUGAUUUAAAACAAACUAUGACUAGAGGAGGAAAAAGAUAUUAUGUCACUUUUAUCGAUGACUACUCUAGAUAUACUAAACUUUACUUACUUAGAAAUAAAGAUGAUACUCAUAAUGCCUUUUUAUCUUAUAAGUCUGAGGUAGAAAAUCAACUUAAUAAGAAGAUAAAAAGAAUUAGGUCUGAUAGAGGAGGCAAAUAUUUAGCCCUAGAUAAAUUUUGUGAACAUGAAGGCAUAAUACACGAAACAACACCUCCUUAUUCGCCAGAAUCUAAUGGAGUAGCUGAAAGGAAAAAUAGAACAUUAAAAGAAAUGAUGAAUUCUAUGUUAGUUAGUUCUCAUGCUCCUGAUAAUUUAUGAGGAGAAUCUAUUUUAUCUGCAUGUCAUUUACAAAAUAGGAUACCUCAUAAGAAAACUGGCAAAACUCCUUAUGAGUUAUGGAAAAGUUAUAAACCAAAUUUGAAAUAUUUAAAAGUAUGGGGAUGUCUUGCUAAAGUAUUGUUGCCUGAACCUAAGAAAAGAAAAUUAGGUUCUAAAACUUCUGACUGUAUGUUUAUUGGAUAUGCUGAACAUAGUGCUGCAUACAGAUUUCUUGUUUUAAAAAGUGAUACGCUUGAUUGUAAUACAAUUAUUGAGACAAAGAAUGCUGAAUUCUUUGAACAUAUUUUUCCAUUGUCGAGUAAAAUUUCUCAUGCACCUGUUGAAAUAAAUAGAGAAAUAAUUCCGAAUGAGGAAUUAAGAAGGAGUAAAAGGCCAAGAAAAGAAUUUUCUUAUGGAAAUGAUGUUCAAACUUUUCUUGUUGAUAAUGAUUCUUUAACAUACUCCGAUGCUAUUUCUUCCCCUGAUUGUAAAGUUUGGAAAUAAGCAAUUAAAUCUGAAAUUGAUUCUAUCUUGUCAAAUAAAACUUGGAUUUUGGUGGACUUACCUCCUGGUGCAAAACCUAUUGGUUGCAAAUGAAUUUUUAAAAGAAAAUAUAACUCUGAUGGCUCUAUAGAAAAGUACAAAGCUCGUUUAGUAGCAAAAGGAUUUUCUCAAAAACAAAAUAUUGACUAUUUUGAUACAUUUGCACCAGUAACAAGAAUUGCGUCUAUUCGAGUUUUAUUUGCUUUAGCUUCUAUCCAUAAACUUGUUAUUCAUCAAAUGGAUGUCAAAACAGCAUUUCUAAAUGGUGAUUUAGAGGAAGAAAUUUAUAUGUUUCAACCUGAGGGGUGUAUUGUAUCUGGACAAGAAAAUAAGGUUUGUAAACUAAUUAAAUCUCUUUAUGGCCUAAAACAAGCUCCUAAACAAUGGCAUGAGAAAUUUGAUCAAGUAUUGAUAAAAGAUGAAUUCUUGUCUGUAGAAGUGGAUAAAUGUGUGUAUGUCAAAAUUAUAAAUGAUCAAUAUGUGAUAAUCAGCUUAUAUGUGGAUGACAUGCUUAUAUUUGGUACUAGUCUAGAUAUUGUAAAUAAUACUAAAUAUUUUUUGUCCUCUAAUUUUGAUAUGAAAGACUUGGGUGAAGCCAAAAUGAUAUUGGGUGUUAAAAUCAUAAGGAGAGGUGAUGGUAUAAUGUUGUCACAAGAACAUUAUACAGAGAGACUUCUUAGGAAGUUUGAAAAUUAUGAUGUGACACCUGUGAGUACUCCUUAUGACGCUAACAUUCAAUUGAGGAAAAAUAAUGGCGACCCAAUUGCUCAGUCUAAAUAUGCUCAGAUCAUUGGGAGUCUGAUGCAUCUGAUGAAUUUCACUAGACCGGAUAUAGCUUAUGCUGUAUGUAGACUGAGUAGAUAUACUCAUAAUCCCAAUCGUGAGCAUUGGUUUGCAUUAGUCAGACUAAUGAAAUAUUUGAGAGGUACCAUGAAUUUUGGUAUACUAUAUAGUGGAUUUCCCACUGUAUUAGAGGGUUACAGUGAUGCUAACUGGAUCUCUGAUCCAAAUGAUACAAAAUCCACUAGUGGUUAUGUGUUCACCCUUGGUGGUGGUGCGGUAGCAUGGAAAUCAGCCAGACAGACAAUUAUUGCUCGGUCAACUAGGGAAUCGGAGUUCAUAGCUCUGGAGUUAACUGGCUCUGAGGCAGAUUGGUUAAGAAAUUUCUUAGUCAAUAUUCCUCCUAUUAAGGAUCUGUUGUCUCCUGUGUCUAUACACUGUGACUGUCAAGCGGCUAUUGCUAUUGCAAAAAUAAAUCUUAUAAUUGUAAAAGUCGACACAUGAGAUUAAGACAUGAUGUCGUAAAGCAGCUGCUUAGAGAUGGAAUUAUUUCCAUUGAUUUUGUGAAGUCAGAGUUGAAUUUGGCCGAUCUUCUGACUAAACCUGUAGGAAGAAAAUUAAUUCUUCAAACUACAAGGGAGAUGGGACUUAGGCUAACGGUUGUCAAUAGAGAUGGUAACCCAACCUAUGUGAUUAGUGAUCCCAUGAAAUAGGUUCAUAUGGGUAAUAACAAGUCGAUAUUGACUGUAAAAGCACUUGAAAUUUAAGUCCCUUCAAAAUUAAGUGCUUUGACUGCCAAUAAUUGUGAGGCUGAGUUUAAUACUCUUAAUGAAUUUAUAUUCCUUCAGGAAGGUGUAUUUAGGGCAGUAUACACUUGAUAAAUUCACCUAUAUGUGAGUGGAGUGGGGCCGCUCCUAUAAGAUUUUUUGGCCGAAUCUUUAGAGCUCUCAUGAACAACCAGGCGGGCGCACGACCUAAAUGCGCGAAACUGCAUUGAACAGCAAAAUUAUGGGUUAUAAUGUGAUUGAUAAGAUCUCUGUCAUACAAUAAGAAUUAUUGGUUCAUAGAAAGAUAUGUUUUCACCAAUAAUUCUGUAAGACAUAUUUUAUCAAUUUAAGUUUGGUUCAUAGUCCAAAAGACACCAAACUCAUUACAUUGAGCUCAGACAAAUCCAGCAGAUGUUUAUACUCUUUUGUCCAAAAUCUUUUGAAAUAGGUGGGAGAUUGUUGUAAAAACUUGAUAUUUCAAAAGAUUUUUCGUUUGUUUCGGACUAGAGCUUUAUCUGAUAAUAUUUCAUCAGAUAUGGUUGUUUCUAUUUUGAUGGAGAAGUUUUCAAAGAUAAGGUUUUGACUAAAAGGCAAGUUCAAGUGCUAGAUAGGAAGUUAAGCUUCGGAUGGCCUUUUUUCAAAUGACUUGACCUUUUCCAAACUUAUCACCACAGAGGAUAGACCUCUGACUACUUCAAAAGAUAAAGUCUAGACGAAACAAUCCUAUUCUCACGGAAAAUUAGCUUUCAAAAUUCUAUCUUCUUCCGUCCCGUGAAGCUUAUAAAUAGAACCAGUUGCCAGGCUCAUUUCGCACUGCAAAAACGAAGUCUACACUUUAAAACACUCUUUACCUCCUCCUUUGUCUAUCCUUCACAACAUUCUUGCUUUUCUGCUAGGUUAGAAACAAGAUUUUUUUUGCUGGUUCUACGUCCCUCUCACAAAGUAGAGGAAGACUUGUUUAAUCCUGGGGAAACGUUUCAAUACCCUGAAAUAGUUUCUUAGGACAGUGCUUUCUAGCACGACUCAAGUAUCCACGUGUUGACAUUGUUCGGACCGCUUUAUCCAACAAAAGAUUCAAUCGAAUAGCUACUAGCCAAAUUAUCUGAACAAGAAGAGCAUUAUUUGGAAACCAAAAUAAUACCAUGGACAUGAAUAUCCUCAUCUCAACGGCUAGAGGGAAUUCCAUGUGAUCUUCAAAACAAUGGAAGAAUUCUUCUUCUUUCUCACCUCCCCCCUCCCAAGCCGAAGCUAGAGUAAAACAACCAAAGGUAAAUAGCUGCCACACCAACAUAUCUUCUUGAUUUGAUCAAACCCUUAACUUCAAAAUUGCAGCCACUAUACGAAGAGGAAGCCGGUCAUUCAGCCGAGCAACAUUCCAAUCGAAAUUCAUAAGAAAAACUCAGCUACUAGACAAUAUGGUGGAUAAUCCAUAUCACAAACAACAGCAGAGGGUUCAUCCAAGACCCAUCUAUCAAACCAAAAAUCUAUCAUUCUCUACUCUACGCACCAAUCGAUAUUCACUUCAGCAACUCCUUUAAUGUAAAACAAAUGUUUUCAAACAACUUAACCCACGCAAGAUUGAACUUGCGUUGGAUGAAGAGCAUGAAGAUAUUUCCGCUACGUAAACUUUGCUUAAACUGUUUUUUUUUUCUAAAAUUCUAUCGUAGCUUAAUACUGAAAGCAUGGAUCUAAUCCCUUGACUUUCUCUACUAGAAAACGUAAGUUUUCCCAAGAAGACCAGUGAAUAUGCCUCGAAUUAUCUUUAACAUCUGACAGAAAGCUAUUAUACGUACAUUCAAUAGUUCUAACCACCACUUUUGGAGGAGAUAGCACUUGCAACAAGUACAUAAGAAUUUAAGAAGGGACAUGUUUCAGUAUAAUUAUUUUCCCACUAGCUGAUAAGAAUUUAGAAUGCCAACCAGAAUUCUCCCUCUGAUUUUCGAUACAAUGCUUCAAACAUUACUCUCUUUGAUCUACUCUCAUAUAAAGAAACUACCAAAUAGGAAAAGGGGAGACAUUGAAGUUGAAAUCCCAAAUAGAACAUACCAUACACAUCUAGCAGUCAAGAUCUUAUCGGAACAAAUAAAUAAGCUAUUUGCAACCUUGAUCCACUGAUCAGAUUAGUAGUGAGAAAGAAAGUACUUUAUCGCCUUCAAACACCUCUUCAAGCAAUGUGUAAAAAUGAUUGUAUCAUUAGCAAAAGCAAGAUGCAAAACUUGACCUCCUGAUAAUGUAAAAAACAUCCUCCUCCCAUUUUCAAAUAAAUCAAUCAAUCCAUGACCAAGAUAUUCAGCAGCUAUCACAAAUAAAGUUGGUGAUAAUGGAUCUCCUUGACGACGAACACCACGAAAGGACUUUAAGAAUCCCACAACUCCACUAUUUAAACUAAAUGAAAACCAAUUGUUGGAGACAAUGCGAAACACAAGAUCAUUCUUGUAUUCGCUAAACCAGAAAUCUCAAUAUUUGCAUAAUGAGAGACCAAUUCGCCUAAUCAUAUGCUUUCUCUUAACACAUUCAGUUCCUGGAGUUUCUUAUCAAUCUCAGCCACAAGCUCUUGAGCUAACAACAUGAAAUCAUUAAUUCGUCUUCCCAGAAGAAAUCCCGUCUGCAAUGGGGACAGAAAGAUAAUUUAUGGGAGAAUUGUUGGGUUUGUGAGUCCAACCCAUUUGUUGGGCCAAGUCACAAUUAGAGCCCAAAGCCCAUGGUCAUUUGGUUUCCGAGUCAAUAUUUGACUUGAGAUUAUAGGAAGUGACUAGUCAAUUAACUAAAACUUGAAGUCGCACAAAAGGGAAUAAAUAUCAACCUAUGAGAUUAAUUGCAACGUUAUUAAACUCGAACGGGAUAGCGACUUGGCUAAACUAUUGAAUCAAGGGUCAACUAGUCGGAUCGGUUGGACCGCUUUUAAAAACCCGCUCAUGUCAACAUGUCGUCAUAGUUAUUUUAUUUUUUUUUAUAAAUUAUAGAAAUAUAGAAAUUAACUUCUUAGUUAUAUUCGAUCAAUCAUAGAAAAUGUUCCAAAAAUAUUAGACUUGCAAUCAAAUAUACACCUAAUAAUUAUAUAUAAAAAUGUAAAUUCAUGGCUAAAAUAUGUCCAUUCUCCAAAACUACUUGAAAAACUAAAUUAAAACAAAUUAAUGCAAGUUGGAAUCACUGAUGCUAAAAUGAUAAGAUCAUAUGGAUGAAAACAUUUUGAUUUAGAGAUCAUUCAGGAAAGGGAAUGAUUUUUGUAUUUACACUAAGUGGAUGGCGUUUUCUUAUUCCUAUUAAUAAAUAAGACUCAAAUUAUGUUUGGGAAAAAGAAGCAAGAAAAGUUUGAAAAUUAGGUCAAUCAGUUGAACCGGGUCACUGGUUUAGUCAAUUUUUGACGGUUUUGACCAAAGCGAUUUUGUACUACAAACUAGCUCGGAAAGAUGGUCGAUUCAUAGUCGGACAGGUUGUCAGGACAGAAGAAAUAAGCUAAAUUUAAGAAUACUUUGUAACGGUGACGUUUGGGGAAUAAUUGUAGUGCAGCGAUGACGUUUUGUGAAAUGUUAGUAAUAAAAAGGGAUAAGUGGAACGGUGUCGUAUGAAAGGCUGAGUUAGUUAGAACAGUCACGUGGGUUGUGACAGAAAUUGGGUAGCGGUAGUUAAUUCAUCCUAUUUGUACACGUUUGAUUGGCUAAAGAGGCAUCAGAGAAUAACAAUUGCAUUUUCCCUCUUUUCCUACUUUCUCUUUCUACUCCCCUUACUCUCUGCAACUUCUUUUCAAUCUUCUCUCUCACGAAGCUCUUCUGAGCUUCUCUCCUUUCUCCAAUUCAGGGAUAUGGUCGUAGGAGCCUGACAAGUGAUAUCAGAGCUUGUCGAAUCCUUGGAAUUGAACAGCAAUGGCGGAGAGUACCAGAUUCAAGACUCUGGAAGAACAGAUCAAGAAAUAAGAUUCCAAGCUCCAGGAGGUAAUAGAAAGUCUGUAGGCUUCGCACCACCAACAACAGCAGCUUCGCGAGGAGCUGCGAACAGAACUCGAGGAGAACAACCAGAAAAUGGAAGGUCUGGUAAUAAGAUUGAAACAAGAGUUCAGCGCCUUCAUGAAGAUGAUGCUGGAAAGAGAGAAACUGAAUUAUGAACCAGGAAGAACCCUGAGUGAUCAACCACCUCUGCUGCCAACACCACCGCCUAGUCAGAGGCUGCAAGUUGGACUCGAAGGUAUCAAGAUUGGGAGGAGAGAAACAAACAAGGCACUGAUUCCAAAUCCCCCAAAAAUUGACUUGCCUCUAUUCGCUGGGGAAAGUCCAAGGGAAUGGAUCAGGAAGUGCAACAAGUAUUGCAUAAACUACCAAAUUCCUAAGGAACAGAAGGUAAAGGUGAUCGAGAUGUACUUGGAAGGGAAGGCGGGCAGGUGGUUCCAGGGAGUUAAGGCGGAGAAACCUGAAAUCACGUGGCCAAUGUUUGAAGAAUUAUUGGGCAAAAGGUUCGAUAACAAGGCAGGUAAGGAUAUUGUGGAGGAAUUUAACAAAUUGCACCAGACAGGGAAGGUGGAGGAGUAUCAGGAAAGGUUUGAGGAGCUCAAGGUCCUCAUGACAAUGAAGAAUCCGCAUCUGAGUGAAGAAUAUUUUGUAUCCAGCUUUAUCAGUGGAUUGAAAGAUGAAAUCAAGACUAUGAUCAAAAUGUUGAGGCCUACCUCUCUGUCCGAGACUUUUGAAUUAGCAGUAUUGCAGGAGAAUGCACUGAACCUUGUGAGGGCCUCAAAAUUUAUUAUUUUAAUAAGAAUAUUAUUAUUACUAUUUCAUUUAUUUAUUUUAUUGUUUUAUUUAUUUUAUAUAUAUAUUUUUUGAAAAGUUAAAUAAUAAAUGUGAAUACAAUUAUAUUAUGUAUUUAUAUAAAAUUACAUGAUCUUUAUGUGCAUAGUUCGCAUUUUCAUAAUUAAAUUAUUUUCAUUCGAACAAAAUUCCAAUGUUUGACUGACUAGUGCUAAGUUCAGUUUUUAAGCCGUGUCGAGGAAUUUAACUUUGGUGAAAGAUUAGUCUAUGAGUAGCUUUAAAAGAAUUAUAAAUGAGAUAGAACUAAGAUAGAUAAGAAAAGUGUAGUGGACAAAUUUAAGUGGAACAUAAGCAUUGGUCAAAGUUGGACAAUUUCCGCUAAAACUAAGUUUUAAUCUUGCCAUUGUUUCUUCCAUUUAAUUUCCUCCAAUUCACUUCAAUUUCUUUUCCUUUCUUCCUUAUUAUAGUCGAGAAUCCCCCUCCCUCAUUAGCCAAGAUAAUCACUUUCAUUCCCACUAAAUUUACUCUUAAGACAUUAAUAUGUAAGAGGGGACAUGAUCCUUAAAAUAGGGCUUUAAGUCCUAUCCUUCUCUUCCCAAUAUAAUGCUCCCAAUUUUUCAAACAUUUCAUUCCUUUUCUUCUUCCCUUAUCAGCCGACCACCCUCACACACUCUCUCCCUCUUUCUAGCCAAAGCUCUAUCUUCUUCUUCCUCAACUCAAACUCCAUGACCAACCAACUUCUAGCUUCACUCCAUCUCCUAUUUUUUUUUCUUGUUGUUCUAGCCGAGAGAAUGAGAGGGAGAAACCGAGAGGAGCUCUUUGUGGUGGCUGGCCAGAUUCUUGGAGAAGGAAAGAGAUCUCUUCGUGGUGAAGAUUGGACAUCCUAGCCUUGGGAAAAUCAGCUAGAACCUGAGGUAGUUCUCUAACCCAAAAGCUAGAGCUUUCAUGUUAUCUCUUGAAGAGUGAAUCUUGAAACUUCAUUGGGUUGAAUUCUUGUUGGAUUUGGUUAAUGUACGGGUUCUUGGGAUUCCCACAAAUGUAUGAUCUUGGUUGCUAGCAUGAUUUUUGAUUGGUAUAUGUGUGAAUAUUUGGAGUUGUGGCUUGAACUUUGGAAGGGAAGAACCUUAACAGAAAUCGGGAGAAAGAGGGGGAGAGAGAGAGAGGGGGGACCAAAAUGGUUUCUGUUUUCUCUAUUUUUCUUGGCUGUGUUUUCACAAAUUUAAAGAUUGAUUUGGGAGCUAAAAAUUUAAGCUUUAAGCUGUCAUUUUCUCUUACAAAAAAAAAAAAAAAACCCCUUCAAAUGGCGUUGCAAAAUGGUUCCAAAAGAAGGUUUCAAACCUGGAAAUUUCAAAUGAGAGUACGGUCCGAAAUUUCUGUGAUUAUUCGAAAAUGUUUGGGGCUCAAUUAGCCUUAGCACAUAACAUGAAAGUUGUAGAGAAUUGAGUUUAAAUUAUGCCUGUAAAGUUUCAGCUCAAUCGGAGCUGGGUAUCCUGUGAAAUGACAAAAUUGCCCCUGCUACCCUGUUUCUAUCAGAAAUGAUAAUCAGCCUCUGUAAUUGGUUAGUUUGACCGGGAAUAUUACUGAAUUGGUUGUCAAUGUCUUCUUAAGAAUUGUAGCCUUGUAUCUUAGCUUUGAAAUGGCUUUGGAAUCACCUGAAUCGGAGUUGUGUGUGCUGAGUUAAGAUUAACUGAAUCAGGACUAUCAGUAAUUGUGUCAGUGAGAAUUGAACCAAGAAACUUGGGCUAUUUCGGUAAAUUUGAUCUAGUUAGGGUGAGAACUGGGUUGAGAUGUCUUCACAAGAAUGGUAGAUCUAUGUCUUAGCUUCGAAACGGUAUAUUUUUUGUUUCAAUCCGAUAAGUGUAGCUCGAGUUGUGCUUAAAUUCCUAAAAGGAUUUGGUAAAUGGAUUUACGAACUGUACUUUCUUAUUAGGUGAGUGUGUACGUUAUCACACUCGCCAAAGGACAUGUGACUUUUCACUAUUUGAGUGACCUAUUUACCAAUGUGUUUAUGUGGUCAAUGUGGUUACUGGACGCUUGGUUUGAGGUGAUUAUUGUGAUUAUUGUGGCUGAACCCCUUGAGCAUUUGUUCGGGGUGACUAGCUUGAGGAUUUUAAUUGCUUUCUUGUUUUUGGCUUGAUGAUAGGUAGAGGUCUGGAGGUAUAUUGAGCUUUAGAUGCAUAUAUGUGAUAAAUCUUGCUUUAUUACAUGUUUGGCUUGUUAAUUAUUGCCAGAUAUUCCUUUAUUUGGAUAGAUGAACUUGUGUGUGUUUAAGUAUAGCAAGAGGAAAAAUUUUUGUUUUGAAUCUUUCAUGUUGGCCGAAAUUUUUGGGACAAAAUUUCAGAUUUUUGGAGCUUUUAUUUGAGUUAAAGUUGUGCCAAAAUAAUGGAUUCUAAGUGUAUUUGGGUUGAUUAAACCGAUUGGCUCUUCAAAGGAAAAAAAAGGAGUGAACUUGCUAAAGUGAAAACUGGAAAUCUGCUUUCUGGAACAACAGACCAGUUUCGGAAAAAAAAGUUAUAUUUUCAUGUAUACCACUCCAAAUCGAGUCCCAUUUGUUUUUUUUUUUUGAAACUAGACACAUAAGGUUACAAAUCAUGUAAAUUUCAGGGGCUAACUCAUUUUCUGUGAUUUUUGGUGUUUUUUUAAAGUCCGUUGGAAAAACGGAAUUUUACCUGCCCUGCAUUUUACUGUAGCAGUCUAUUGACGGAAACACUGGGCAAAAUUCGUAUGGAAUGUCAUCAAGGUGUCUUCUACAAAGUUUUAGCCCUUUCAAUUAGGUUUCCAACGGUAUCAACUAUGCAAAUUUUGGACUCGUAAAUAUUAAGUUACGAUUUUCUAAAGAUUUCUACCAUAAACCUCCAGUUUCCUGAUUUUUACAAUAAACAUGAAAACGACUUGAUAUUUUUGCUUGGCCUUGAAUAUGCACGUGAAUGAUCGUGAUUAUACAUGUCUCAGGUGAAUACGAGAACUCCGAAGAACCCGUUUAGCCGCUUAACUUUUUCUCUCUCAUGACUUUUGGUGAGUGUCAAAUGCAUGUUAAGUGUUUAAAUGAAAUGUUUCUCGUACUUGCUAGUUCAUGAGGGUAGAGUGUACUUUACCGCCCUUGUCCUCUAUUUCAUGAAAUUGCUUGCUUGAUAAGUGAUAAGUGUUACAUGUGAAUGUAAAUGAAAGUGUUUUCCGUGAGCAUUGAGCAGCAGAAUGUAUCACACCCUUUUAGGGUUGGAGGUACCGCUCAUCCCGUCUCAAUGCUAUGACCAAAUCUUGUCGAUUGGAGAUUCGUCUCAUCGACCCAAAAGUGAAUGGGGGGGGGAUGCCCCAACCCAUUGGCUAGCCUUGUAACUCGAGCCGGCAAGGGCUUGGUCGAGAAACUUGGUGAACCUUAGGCAGUGUUAUAACUUGAUCCAAAUAAGAUGUCUUGCUAGGUAUCCUUGUUAAGUGAUACCACCUACAAGCUUGUUUGGUUACGGAUCCAAGAGGGUGUCAUGGUGGCUGGAGGUAGUAAGUGGAGUUCUACAUGGAUAACUGUAAAAGUUGACGGAGGGUCAACUACCUGAGCUUGGAUAGCGCGUGGAUUAGCUCCUGAGAGCUCUCGUAUCCUUUUAAUUGUGAUUAAAUUCCUUACUUGCUAAAUGUUUCGAAGUUACUUGUUACUCAAGUUAUUGCUUUAUAUUGUGUCUUUGCUCGCAUGCUUGCAUGUUUUUCCCUUGGCCUCAUUGAGCGUCAGCUCACCCCAAUUUGUUUUCCUUAACAGGUUUGGAAGUGGAAGUUCUGAGGCUUAAUUAGUGACAAUCCCUUUGGGUAGAACUAGUCGUUAUCUUUAAUUCUGGGACUCCAUAGUGUAAAACUUAUGAUUAUUUUGGGCUUUCGGUAUUGUAAAAGUACAUUGAAAAUCUUGGAUGUAAUAUAGAAGCAUGAAUUGUUCUUUUAUAUUUUAGAGUACAUGAAUGUUUUAGUGGAGUAUUUCAUGUGAUAUUGGAGUUUAAUUUGUAAUUUACUUGAAGAUUGUAGUGAGUCCCGGCGAGAGUUGGGCAGGCGGUCUGCCGAACCCUUUGGUUCGCCUUAGGGGGAGGUGGGGUCGUCAUAGUUGGUAUCAGAGCUCUAGGUUUCAGAUCUCUGUAGUGUAUCCUAAGUUCUAAAAGUUGAGGAUGCCACACAGUGGGAUUCGGGUUCGUUUGAAUGUUAAGUGAAAAAGUGAAGUAGUGAGCAAUUGUGGUUUCGAUGGUUAUUAAGAUUCAAUAAUUGAGGAUUAUUGUGCUAGACUAGCAAGAGAGAAGAAGAUUGUAAGAGAUUAAACACUAUUUAAAAGAUAGUAAGUAAAUUUCUUGAAUAAUGGCAUUUGCUAGGAGGCGUUCUUGAUUUAAGGACUUAUGGGGAAAUAAAUGAUUAAUUUGUUUGGGAUAACCUUUAGUGCUUGAUCGUUGCCACUAGAUAUAUUUUAGAGUUGAUAUACCUUGUUCUUGCCUUGGGAACAUGACUGCAAUUAUGUCUUGGAAUUUGGAAGGCCUACCUUUUGUAGUACCUAGUUAAGUAUGUGGUGACUCGUGCUUGUUAAAGGAUAGAUAUUAUGAUGGAAUGCGGAACUUUAAUUGAAAAGAUAGUUGAUGUAGCUCUAAUGUUCAAAAUGAGGUUGGCCUUACCUAAGGGAAUUAAGCCCCCUCGCUCAGUUGCAAGCUAGACUAUGGAGCACGACCUUUUAUACCUUUUGUUUAUGAUAGUUGGGGUGAUGCUUGUGCUUUGGCCUGUAUAUUUUGUUAAGCAUGAUAUUUGUUCCCUUUUGAAGUAUUUGAAUGCUAUAAAUUCUAUACCUGAUCAUGUUGACUUGUUAAUUUGUUUGGUAGUACACAUGCAAAGUUUUAUUUUCAUUAUCGACUCAUGCAAUGACAUGCUCUCAUUUUGGUUGAUUGUUCUCCCUCUUGUAUGACCUUGUUCAUAAAAAAAAAAUUUGAUUUGUAUGUCAUCUGAUCUAUUGACUGUUCCUGUGAAAAUAUGAAGUGUGCUUUGAUUGCUUUUCAAGUUUUAAAUUCCAUUUUUCCUUCAUUGGACAUAUUUAGAUUUAUAUAUUUAUAUAUUUAUUCAUUUACUAGAGUUAUCCAUCUAUUAGUUAUUUAUUUAUUUAUUAUUUUUGGUCCUCCGUAAGAAUUAGAAAUAAAGGGUAGAAAGGAUCGAGACUGUGGGCCAGAGGGGCCAGGCAAACCCCAAAGCGUGGAAGAUAAUUGGGAAAUAAAGUUGAGGGUUAGUGAAUGAUGACAAAGAGAUAACUAGUGGAGUAUAUAUUGAAUUAUUAUAAUUAAAGAAAAAAAAAAGAGUAACUGCAAGGAGGUAAACUAGUGGAUAAGAUAAGCUGUUAUUAAGAAGUUUCAUUUAGUGCGAGUGUGACAAAAUUUAUGGUAAACUUUGGAGAUCUAAGACUUGUUAUAAUUAGGGUUGGAGUUUUGGAUGAGAUAGGUGUUUGAACUCAUUAGAUUUACAAGUUUAUGGUUAAAUUCAAUGAUUCCCGGUUAAUUGAGCUUGGGUUAUGGAAGAUAUUCCUUGGACUUUGAUUACUAGGCUAGAUGCCUCGGGAAUUCUCUAUGCUUCAUAGUGUAAAAUUGUGGUGAAUCUUGGCGGAUAAGAUAAGAGAGCUUGAUAUAUGUUGAUUAUUGGAUAUUGUGGUUAAUUCAUGAGAUUGAUGAAUUAUAAUAGGAAAGUGAUGAUAGGAUCGGUGAAAAUUUUUGGUAGUAUCUCUGCUGGCCGAACAUGUUUAGUUACCUUUAGCCCUGUUUUCUUACAAAUCAUUGGCAAAAUUUUGCUUAAUAUUUUAAACGUUGAUUCUUGAAAAUGAAAUUUGAAGUUGAAAGGAAAUAAUUUUUAAACCUGGUUUUGCUAAAAAUUUUUCCAAAAAGGAACACCGUACAGUUUUAAAAUUUGUGAUGCAUUGGUGUAAUAUAUAUAUAUAUAUAUACACAUAUAUACAUAUACAUAUAUCAUAAAAAAAAUCCAAAAUUUAGUUUCGUUUAUUAGAUUUAAAAGUUGACAAUGGCUCUUUUCACCGUGUAAAAUUUUCAAAUUUUCUUAAAUUCUAUGAGCAUCGGAAAUUUUCCUACGAUAAAUGAAAUGUCAAAUCCAUUCUUGCUUUUCCUAUUUGUUAAAGCUGUAGUUUAAGGUCAAGAUCCAUUUAUUUACAAAUUUAAUCUUGAAAGGAUGCCUUUUGGGACAAAUGUAGAACUUUUGAAUGGUAUAGGACUGGUGAUUUUUGGAUUUAUGGAACUUAAAAAUACAGACAAUUUUAGUUUGAAAUAAAAGUGUCCUUUUAAACCUUACGACCUUAAAUAUGAAAAUAUUGAUCCGAUUUGAACUUGAAAAGAGACACGAGAAAAAGUUAAGAUUAACUCGUCAAAGGAUAUUAAUGGUUCGAAACCGUUAAAAGAGUUAUACAGAUAAUAGAAGGAGAGAUUGAUAGAUAGUUUUGUAUAAUCCAAUGGGAUCCUAGUACUUGAUCUAAGUCGAAACCGAACGAGGAGAUGAGAUCUAUUGGUAUUUUGAUGGAUUGACCUAGUUGAGUAACUAGUAAGGUUCUCCCUUGUGAACUUAAUGAUUACUUUACAUAUAUCUUGUGAUUGGCCCUAUAGGCAUGUUUUAAACUUGUACGAAUAUUUGAACUUCCAAGUUUUGUAUUCAUUAUUUGUGGUGUGACCUGGAUGGAAUGAAAGUCCUUUCAAUUUUUGCUUAACCAUUACUGUGUAUAUAUCCAAUUACUUGUUGUUCCUUUUUACAAAAAAAAAAAUAUUUAUACAAAUGUAUAUACUCUGAACUCGCAUAAAAAUUGAAAAUCAGGCAGAGUUUGGGUUUGGACCUUUUCUUAGAAAUAAGAAUGAAUAUUGGUCGUGAAUUGGAGAGUAAAUAGUUAAGUUUUAUGUGGCAUAAAAGCUAAUUCUCAGAUUAGGUGUGAAGAGUAGAGGCGUUGGACCGAAGUUUAAGUAAAUAUGAACCUGCAUGUCUGCUUAUUUUCUUAAAAGCAUUUUAUUCUCAAAAGUGAUUUGUGGGGUUAAAUGAUUUUUCUUGAUCAAACGUCCAAAUAACAAAUGUUAAACUUCUUACCAAAAGUCGAAUGCAUUUAGAAAUUUUGACUAUCAAGAUCAGAACCAAUUUCUUUUCUUCUUGUCUUCCAUUCGAAUAGCCAUUUUAUUUAUAUAUAUAUAGACCACAAUUUUUCCAAAUGUGUAUUUGAUAUCCUGUUAUUAGUUUGGUUACGAAAGGUACGUGAAAAAGCUUUCCUCGAACAAAUAAGAUUUUCAGUUGGCCGUUUUGGGACAAAAGAAACUGGAUCAUUUCUAAAAUUGUUAAUUUUGAAAAUCGAAUACUAGUAAAUAAUUUUGGACAAUUUGAGUACAACCAUUUGGUGAGUGAAACCUUUUAUAGAAAAUAUAUCUUUGUACUCGAGUUUUGAACUACAUGAUUGAGUCAUUUGAUUUAGUCGAGAAAAAACAAAGUAAAUUUCGAGGACGAAAUUAUUUUAAGGAGGGAAGGAUAUGAGGGCCUCAAAAUUUAUUAUUUUAAUAUUAUUAUUAUUAUUACUAUUUCAUUUAUUUAUUUUAUUGUUUUAUUUAUUUUAUAUAUAUAUUUUUUGAAAAGUUAAAUAAUAAAUGUGAAAAUAACUAUAUUAUGUAUUUAUAUAAAAUUACAUGAUCUUUAUGUGCAUAGUUCACAUUUUCAUAAUUAAAUGAUUUUCAUUCGAACAAAAUUCAAAUGUUUGACCGACUAGUGCUAAGUUUAGUUUUUGAGCCGUGUCGAGGAAUUUAACUUUGGUGAAAGAUUAGUCUAUGAGUAGCUUUUAAAGAAUUAUAAAUGAGAUAGAACUAAGAUAGAUAAGAAAAGUGUAGUGGACAAAUUUAAGUGGAACAUAAGCAUUGGUCAAAGUUGGACAAUUUCCGCUAAAACUAAGUUUUAAUCUUGCCAUUGUUUCUUCCAUUUAAUUUCCUCCAAUUCACUUCAAUUUCUUUUCCUUUCUUCCUUAUUAUAGUCGAGAAUCCCCCUCCCUCAUUAGCCAAGAUAAUCACUUUCAUCCCCACUAAAUUUACUCUUAAGACAUUAAUAUGUAAGAUGGGACAUGAUCCUUAAAAUAGGGCUUUAAGUCCUAUCCUUCUCUUCCCAAUAUAAUGCUAUCAAUUUUUCAAACCUUUAAUUCCUUUUCUUCUUCCCUUAUCAGCCGACCACCCUCACACACUCUCUCCCUCUUUCCAGCCAAAGCUCUAUCUUCUUCUUCCUCAACUCAAACUCCAUGACCAACCAACUUCUAGCUUCACUCCAUCUCCUUUUUUUUUUUUUGUUGUUCUAGCCGAGAGAAUGAGAGGGAGAAACCGAGAGGAGCUCUUUGUGGUGGCUGGCCAGAUUCUUGGAGAAGGAAAGAGAUCUCUUCGUGGUGAAGAUUGGACAUCCUAGCCUUGGGAAAAUCAGUUAGAACCUGAGGUAGUUCUCUAACCCAAAAGCUAGAGCUUUCAUGUUAUCUCUUGAAGAGUGAAUCUUGAAACUUCAUUGGGUUGAAUUCUUGUUGGAUUUGGUUAAUGUACGGGCUCUUGGGAUUCCCACAAAUGGAUGAUCUUUGUUGCUAGCAUGAUUUUUGAUUGGUAUAUGUGUGAAUAUUUGGAGUUGUGGCUUGAACUUUGGAAGGGAAGAACCUUAACAGAAAUCGGGAGAAAGAGGGGGAGAGAGAGAGAGGGGGGACCAAAAUGGUUUCUGUUUUCUCUAUUUUUCUUGGCUGUGUUUUCACAAAUUUAAAGAUUGAUUUGGGAGCUAAAAAUUUAAGCUUUAAGCUGUCAUUUUCUCUUACAAAAAAAAAAAAAAAACCCCUUCAAAUGGCGUUGCAAAAUGGUUCCAAAAGAAGGUUUCAAACCUGGAAAUUUCAAAUGAGAGUACGGUCCGAAAUUUCUGUGAUUAUUCGAAAAUGUUUGGGGCUCAAUUAGCCUUAGCACAUAACAUGAAAGUUGUAGAGAAUUGAGUUUAAAUUAUGCCUGUAAAGUUUCAGCUCAAUCGGAGCUGGGUAUCCUGUGAAAUGACAAAAUUGCCCCUGCUACCCUGUUUCUAUCAGAAAUGAUAAUCAGCCUCUGUAAUUGGUUAGUUUGACCGGGAAUAUUACUGAAUUGGUUGUCAAUGUCUUCUUAAGAAUUGUAGCCUUGUAUCUUAGCUUUGAAAUGGCUUUGGAAUCACCUGAAUCGGAGUUGUGUGUGCUGAGUUAAGAUUAACUGAAUCAGGACUAUCAGUAAUUGUGUCAGUGAGAAUUGAACCAAGAAACUUGGGCUAUUUCGGUAAAUUUGAUCUAGUUAGGGUGAGAACUGGGUUGAGAUGUCUUCACAAGAAUGGUAGAUCUAUGUCUUAGCUUCGAAACGGUAUAUUUUUUGUUUCAAUCCGAUAAGUGUAGCUCGAGUUGUGCUUAAAUUCCUAAAAGGAUUUGGUAAAUGGAUUUACGAACUGUACUUUCUUAUUAGGUGAGUGUGUACGUUAUCACACUCGCCAAAGGACAUGUGACUUUUCACUAUUUGAGUGACCUAUUUACGAAUGUGUUUAUGUGGUCAAUGUGGUUACUGGACGCUUGGUUUGAGGUGAUUAUUGUGAUUAUUGUGGCUGAACCCCUUGAGCAUUUGUUCGGGGUGACUAGCUUGAGGAUUUUAAUUGCUUUCUUGUUUUUGGCUUGAUGAUAGGUAGAGGUCUGGAGGUAUAUUGAGCUUUAGAUGCAUAUAUGUGAUAAAUCUUGCUUUAUUACAUGUUUGGCUUGUUAAUUAUUGCCAGAUAUUCCUUAAUUUGGAUAGAUGAACUUGUGUGUGUUUAAGUAUAGCAAGAGGAAAAAUUUUUGUUUUGAAUCUUUCAUGUUGGCCGAAAUUUUUGGGACAAAAUUUCAGAUUUUUGGAGCUUUUAUUUGAGUUAAAGUUGUGCCAAAAUAAUGGAUUUUAAGUGUAUUUGGGUUGAUUAAACCGAUUGGCUCUUCAAAGGAAAAAAAAGGAGUGAACUUGCUAAAGUGAAAACUGGAAAUCUGCUUUCUGGAAUAUCAGACCAGUUUCGGAAAAAAAAAAGUUAUAUUUUCAUGUAUACCACUCCAAAUCGAGUCCCAUCUGUUUUUUUUUUUAAACUAGACACAUAAGGUUACAAACCAUGUAAAUUUCAGGAGCUAACUCAUUUUCUGUGAUUUUUGGUGUUUUUUUAAAGUUCGUUGGAAAAAUGGAAUUUUACCUGCCCUGCAUUUUACUGUAGCAGUCUAUUGACGGAAACACUGGGCAAAAUCCGUAUGGAAUCUCAUCAAGGUGUCUUCUACAAAGUUUUAGUCCUUUCAAUUAGGUUUCCAACGGUAUCAACUAUGCAAAUUUUGGACUCGUAAAUAUUAAGUUACGAUUUUCUAAAGAUUUCUACCAUAAACCUCCAGUUUCCUGAUUUUUACAAUAAACAUGAAAACGACUUGAUAUUUUUGCUUGGCCUUGAAUAUGCACGUGAAUGAUCGUGAUUAUACAUGUCUCAGGUGAAUACGAGGACUCCGAAGAACCCGUUUAGCCGCUUAACUUUUUCUCUCUCAUGACUUUUGGUGAGUGUCAAGUGCAUGUUAAGUGUUUAAAUGAAAUGUUUCUCGUACUUGCUAGUUAAUGAGGGUAGGGUGUACUUUACCGCCCUUGUCCUCUCUUUCAUGAAAUUACUUGCUUGAUAAGUGAUAAGUUUUAUAUGUGAAUGUAAAUGAAAGUGUUUUCCGUGAGCAUUGAGCGGCAGAAUGUAUCACGCCCUUUUAGGGUGGGAGGUACCGCUCAUCCCAUCUCAAUGCUAUGACCAAAUCUUGUCGAUUGGAGCUUCGUCUCAUCGACCCAAAAGUGAAUGGGGGGGGGGACGCCCCAACCCAUUGGCUAGCCUUGUAACUCGAGCCGGCAAGGGUUUGGUCGAGAAACUUGGUGAACCUUGGGCAGUGUUAUAGCUUGAUCCAAAUAAGGGGUCUUGCUAGGUAUACUUGUUAAGUGAUACCACCUACAUGCUUGUUUGGUUACGGAUCCAAGAGGGUGUCAUGGUGGCUGGAGGUAGUAAGUGGAGUUCUACAUGGAUAACUGUGAAAGUUGACGGAGGGUCAACUACCUGAGCUUGGAUCGCGCGUGGAUUAGCUCCUGAGAGCUCCCGUAUCUUUUUAAUUGUGAUUAAAUUCCUUACUUGCUAAAUGUUUCGAAUUUACUUGUUACUCAAGUUAUUGCUUUAUAUUGUGUCUUUGCUCGCAUGCUUGCAUGUUUUUCCCUUGGCCUCCCUGAGCGUUUACUCACCCCAAUUUGUUUUCCUUAACAGGUUUGGAAGUGGAAGUUCUGAGGCUUAAUUAGUGACAAUCCCUUUGGGUAGAACUAGUCGUUAUCUUUAAUUCUGGGACUCCAUAGUAUAAAACUUAUGAUUAUUUUGGGCUUUCGGUAUUGUAAAAGUACAUUGAAAAUCUUGGAUGUAAUAUUUAAGCAUGAAUCGUUCUUUUAUAUUUUAGAGUACAUGAAUGUUUUAGUGGAGUAUUUCAUGUGAUAUUGGAGUUUAAUUUGUUAUUUACUUGAAGAUUGUAGUGAGUCCCGGCGAGAGUUGGGCAGGCGGUCUGUCGAACCCUUUGGUUCGCCUUAGGGGGAGGUGGGGUCGUCACAAACUUACAGUCCAGAAAUUCUAAGGAAAAUGUAAGGACUACCUCAGAGAACAGGUUUGGAAUCUCUAAAAGUUCAUCUCAGCAGUUGAACCACAUUUCACACUACAAAGUAUCCCCUAUUAGUUCAUUCAGAAAUACUCAUUUCAAAGGUAGACCUGUUUCAACUACUGAAGCAGAACCUAGAAGAAUUUCAGCACAAGAAAUACAAUAUAGAAGGAACCAUGGCCUAUGCUUCAAGUGUGGAGAGAAGUUUGGGCAGGGACAUCAAUGCAAACUGGGCCAUCUGAACUUCCUGAUCAAUGAUGAGGGAGAAGAAUCUGAAUUCGAAGAUGCACUGGGAGAGCAGGAUGAAACCACAGGGAAUCCAGGGCAGAUCAUGGAGAUGUCCUUACACACACUGUCCGAGGCACUUAAACGAAAAACAAUCACACUGGUAGGAAGACUAGAUGGGGAAGAGAUGCUGAUACUGGUAGACACAGGCAGUUCUGAUAGUUACAUAAGCAGUGAGAAGGUAAUUGCCUUUGAUAUUCCUUAUAAAUUAGUCAAUCCUUUUUCUGUGGUUUUUGGGAAUGGGGCUUGUGUAACCAGCAAGGCCAUAUGUCCUAAGGUGGUAUGGGGAAUUAAUCAGCAUAGGUUCUGUUAUGACCUCAAAGUGAUGGAUCUAAGUGGAUGGGACAUAGUGCUUGGGGUGGACUGGAUGACUCAGUUCAGCCCUAUCACUUUUGAUUUCCACAAGCUGACUAUCUUCUUGCAAGAUCAAGGGGAAGCAGUGCACUUGCAUGGCCAAGCUGAAGACUGUGACUUAGAUCUAAUCAGAGGAGGCGACCUGAGGACAUUCAUUGAAUACAAGAGACAGUUGUGCAUGUCCAUGAGAUUGGGACAGGGUGAUCUGAUGCAGGGAAAUGACAUUCCUGCAGGAGUCCAGGGCAUCAUUGAAGAAUUUACAGAUGUGUUUGUAGCACCCUCUGAGUUACCACCAGCAAGAAGUAUAGAUCAUGAGAUACCACUAAAACCUGAGGUUCAACCCUUCAAGAUGAAGCCGUACAGAUACCCUCACUCCCAAAAGAGGGAAAUUGAACAACAGGUUAAGGAUAUGUUGCAGCAUGGAAUCAUAGUGCACAGUAACAAUCCUUUUGCCUCCCCAGUUCUGCUUGUCAAGAAGAAGGAAGGGACCUGGCAUUUUUGUGUAGACUACAGGAGACUGAACGAGAUGACCAUCAAGGACAGGUACCCCAUACCUAAUGUAGACGAACUGAUCAAUGAGCUAGCAGGAUCCAAAUACAAAUCAAAGUUGGACCUCACUUCAGGCUACCACCAAAUCAGGGUCAAGCCUAAGGAUACAUACAAAACUGCAUUUCAAACACACUGUGGCCACUAUGAGUUCUUGGUAAUGCCUUUUGUGUUAAGAAACGCUCCAGCCACAUUUCAGUCCCUCAUGAAUCAGAUAUUCCAGCCUUACCUGAGAAAAUUUGUUCUAGUUUUUUUUGAUGAUAUCCUAAUCUAUAGUCCUACAUUAGAGCUACACCAGCAACAUCUGAGGAUAGUCUUGACAGUAUUGAGGGAACAUAAGUUGUUUGUAAAACGUUCCAAGUGCUCGUUUGCACAGUCAACAGUGGACUACCUUCGUCACACUAUCAGAGAGAGUGAUUCAAGAAUAACCACACAAUGAAACGUAAUUUACCACAAACUUCAGAUACCAAAAGUAAUCAUGAAAUGCUUCAUGAUCCAAUCAACGCGAGAAUAAGUAAUUUUGACAGAAUAAUUAUUGACUUUCUUCAUCUCUUUAGUAUUAUUUAUUUUUCCAAUUUAUUGUUUAGAACAAAAAAAAAUAAGUCAAUUCAAGAUAUGAACAUAUGAAAGGCUCAACAGCUGGAUAAUACUCAUUAACGACAGAGGCUAUUAAUCCAAAAGGACUAAAAUGGAGUAAACUUUAUAUUCCAAAAGGCAUUUAUGGUGGGGGAAAAAGAUAGAAUCUAAUAUGGCAUUAUACGUCCUUUCAAACCUUAAUAACGAUUACAAAUAAUUCAUAAAGACGCCAAGACUUUUGAAAGGAUUUAGAUUUCGUUGCAAUUUAGCCUUUACUCAUGAAAGGGAUGGUUGGAUAGGAAUUCUGUAGCAUGCCGGUAGCAGCCAUCCAAAAAGAACUAGUCCAUUUGUGCACAAAAUAAAGUGAAUAUAAUGUGUGUGUGUGUGUGUAUUAAAAAGUAAUCAAUUGGGUUAGAUUUGAUGAUUUGUGAUUACAGUGUAAUCUUUUAUAUAUAUUUUGUAACUCUAUUAAAUCUAAUAUUUUUCAAAUCAAAUAUAUCUGUGACAUAUUCAAUGUAUUUUUUGACAUUGGUGCAGAUUACUUUGUUAAACAAAUCGUGCUGGAUGAUGUAAUGGCUGCUUCAGCAAGAAAUGAAGAGGGAGUUAGCAGAAAGGGAAAGAUGGGAGAGAGACUUGAGAGGGAAGAUAGAAAAUGCGGAAAAUGAGAGAACUGAAUUUGUUGUAUCUGAUAGCAUGCCCCUCACGUCUUACCUUUAGGCUUAUUCAUACAGGAUUCAUCCUCUAGAUCCUUCCAUGCCUUAGCUAUAACAGAAUGCUUAACAGAACGAUCACGCAUGCAUGCAUGCAGUGCAGUAACUAACUAGCCAACUAACUCUCUGAUAUGCUAACUGACUUCCAGAAAUGGAAACCAUGGCCACUACAUUAUUAGCUAUAAAUAACUAGGGAAUAUCUAAAAUAUCUAGAGGAAAUAUCCAGAAUAUCUAGGAUCAUUACAAUACCUCCCCCUCAAGAAUCCUAGUCACUAGGAUUGAGUUGGAAAUCUGGAAAUUGUGAUUGUAUCACUGUGAUAUCCUCCCAAGUUGAGUCUUCAGUGCCUAGGUUCAACCAUUUGAUCAACACUUGAGUUACCUUGUGUCUUUUCCUCAUGAUUUCACGAGUAGCAAUAACACUUUCAAGGGCAAUUUUAACCUGUCCAUCCGUAGUAGUCAAAGGUAGUUCUUGAGUAACUACAUGAUUCUUGGCUGAGGGCUUGAGUAAGGAGACAUGGAAGGUAGGGUGAAUCAAGGAGCCAGCAGGUAAUUCCAACCUAUAGGCUGCAUUUCCCACCUUCUAAAGAACUUUGUAGGGUCCAUAAUAUUUUGAAGACAAUUUCAGAUUCUUUUUGACUGCCACAGACGAUUGUCUAUAAGGUUGCAGUUUCAAAUAGACCCAAUCUCCCACUUGGAAACUCCUUUCACUCCUGUCCUUGUCCGCAAACUGUUUCAUUCGAUUUUGUGCUUUGAUUAAAUUCCCCUUCAGCAGCUCGUUCCAUUUUCUUCUGUCCCCUAGCCAUUGCUCCACAGCCGCUACUGGAGUCCCCAAGGCAUUGAUGCCUAGUUGAGAUGGUGGAUAUCCAUACAGAGCCUCGAAGGGAGUCAUUUUUAAGGCUGUGUGAUGGUUGGUGUUGUACCACCAUUCAGCAGCAGCUAGCAAGGACUUCCAUUUAUGGGGUUGCUGGAAACACAGGCACCUCAAAUUUGUCUCCACACAUCUGUUCAACCUUUUUGUCUGUCCAUCUGUUUGGGGAUGGUAAGCAAUAGAGUAGUGCAGCUCCGUGCCUAACUUCCCAAACAACUCCUGCCAGAACAAGCUGGUAAAUAGCCUAUCCCUAUCAGAUACAAUGCUCAGGGGUAAUCCAUGUAGCUUAUAGAUGUUUUCAAAAUACAUGUUAGCCACCGACUGUGCAGUAUACUUCGAUGGUAAUGCUAGGAGGUGAAAGUACUUGGUGAACCUAUCAAUGACAACUAGCAUUCCCUCAUACCCCUGAGAUUUAGGUAACCCCUCAAUGAAAUCCAUUGAAAUAUGCUGCCAUGCUUGUUCAGGAAUAGGUAGAGAUUGUAGCAGUCCUGGUGUCUUGCAAUUUUCUACCUUGCUCCUCUUGCAAACAUCACACUGUUGUACCCAUUGUUCUACUUCUCUUUUCAUUCCUGGCCAGAAGAAUGGUCCCUUUAAUCUUUGGUAGGUCCCCAGGUUGCCUGAAUGACCCCCAAUGAGAGAGUCAUGAAAGCAGGCUAUCAGUUUCUGUCUCAAGUUCCCUGAGGAACCAACGUACAUCCUGCCUUUAUACCUGAGUAAAUUCCCAGCAAAAGAAUAAUUUGGGAGAGAAUCAGGUGAAGUAGUCAGGCCUUCAGUCAACUUAGUCAUAGAACCAUCCCCUUGGUAACUCUCUAGGACUUCAGACAGCCAUGCCGGUUUCAUGACUGAGAUGCUAUGUGUAAAGCUGUCCUCUUCAUAGCAUCUUCUAGACAGUGCAUCAGCCACCAGGUUUUCAUUUCCUUUCUUGUACUAUAUUUCAUAAUCUAGGCCCAAUAACUUAGUGAGCCAUUUCUAUUGUAGGGGAGUAGUUAUCUUCUGUUCCAAUAGGUACUUUAAGCUCUGGUGAUCUGUCUUGAUGAUGAAGUGGCUUCCCAACAGGUAAUGCCUCCACUUGGACACAGCUGUAAUAAGGGACAACAACUCUUUUUCGUAUAUGGACAGUCCCAAAUUCUUAGGUCCCAGAGCUUGACUGAGAUAGGCAAUAGGCCUCUCUUGUUGCAUUAGGACUGCACCAAUAGCCUUCUGACUAGCAUAUGUUUCUAGAGAAAAAGGUAAAGAAAAGUUAGGAAGUGUUAGGACUGGUGUGCUACUCAUCAGCUACUUCAGUUUUUGAAAGGCUAGCUCAGCUUGUUCAUUCCAGUGGAAGUUUUCUUUCUUCAAUAACUCAGUGAGUGGUUUGGCAAUGAGUCCAUAUCCCCUCACAAACCUCCUGUAGUACCCUGUGAGUCCCAAAAAUCCUCUCAAUGCCUUUAGUGAUGUAGGGGUAGGCCAUUCUACCAUGCUCUUGAUUUUUGAGGGAUCUGCCUGCAUUCCAUCUCCACUGAUAAUAUGCCCCAAAUAUUCUAGUUGAGACUGUCCAAAGAUGCAUUUGGAAAGCUUGGCAAAUAGGGAGUGAGCUUUGAGUGUUUCUAGGAAAGUUUUGAGGUGCAAAAGGUGAGUGUCUGGAUCUGAACUGUAUAUGAGGAUGUCAUCAAAGAAAACUAACACAAACUUCCUCAGGUAAGGUUCAAAAACAUGGUUCAUCAGGCUUUGAAAUGUUACAGGUGCAUUGGUAAGACCAAAUGGCAUAACAGUGAACUCAUACAAUCCUAGGUAAGUUUUGAAGGCAGAUUUUGGGAUGUUAGUCUGGAGCAUUCUGAUCUGAUGGUAUCCAGCCCUUAAAUCAAUCUUGGAGAAGAUCUUAGCUCCAAACAGUUCAUCGAGUAAAUCAUCAAUGAUAGGUAUUGAAAAUUUAUCUUUGAUAGUCAGGUCAUUUAGUUGUCUGUAAUCAACACAAAAUCUCCAAGUUCCAUCUUUUUUUAACUAAUAGAACUGGAGAGGCAAACGGGCUAUGGCUAAACUGAAUAAUGCCACUACUGAGCAUGUCCUUCACUUGCCUUUCUAUUUCAUUUUUUUGGUUGUGAGGGUACCUAUAAGAUGCUAGCUUGAAUGGUUUGGCAUUUGGCACUAAGGGAAUUUGAUGGUCAUAGUUUUUGGAAGGGGGAAGGGAUUGUGGUUCUCCAAAUACAUCUUUGUAGUCUUCAAGUAAAGCACUUAGGGACUGUUGAAAACCAAUGUCUAGAUGAGUUACAGUGUUUACCUGAGUUCCCUUCAUUUUCAGUCUGCACGCGUGUUUCCAGAUUCUGGUGCUCAACCCCUCCUUCUCAGUACUAUUACUAGGAAGUUUGAGAACAGUCUCCUUAGACUCUCCAUGUAACAAGAUCCUCUCCCCUUUCUCAUCAAAGGACAUGUUCGGCUGCCUAAAGUCAAAGGUGAUGGGGCUGUGUGCAGCCAUCCAGUCUACUCCUAUAAUCACAUCAUAUGGCUCCAAGUUAAUGACAAACAUAUCAUGAGUGAACUGUUUACCUUGCAUUUCCCUGCUCAUAUUCGGAAUCAUCUUGUGACAAGUCAAGUGCUCCCCAUUAGCCAUCCUGACCCUGAAAGGCUUGAUAGAUUGGACCAGUUCUGGAUAGAGUUGUGCCACUGCCCCUUUGAUAAAAUUGAGUGCUUCCCCCAUCCACCAGGAUUGAUAGUGGAGUUUCUUUGAUCCUCCCCUGUAGCUUGAUGGUGUUGUAAGUCAUCUUCCCAGUCAGCGCAUGUAUCUCCAUUUCUACCCCCUUGGCCGACUGUGCUCCUUGGUACUCGAUCAUCUCCCCUUCUACCAGAUCCUCAGGACUAUCUUCUACUGCUACAAUCAGGUGGAUUUCCUUUUGCUUGCAUUGGUGGCCUGGUCCGAACUUUUCCCCACACCUAUAGCAAAGAUGGUGCUCCCUCCUGUACUGCAGCUCUACUGGUGUGAUUUUCUUGAAGUUCUGAGGAGUCUGUUUCUUUACAACAUUGGCAAUAAUAGGUUUGGUAUGUGGAAUGGUGUACUGCGCAACAGACUGUGGAGUAUUCCCCAAAGAGAGGGAUUUCGGAUGAUGUUUGUGCUUCUUGUGGUAGGCUUCAAAGGCAUUCUCUUGCAACCUGGCCAACUCAAAUGCUUUGGAUAAUGUCUUGGGGUCAUGAGUCUUCACCAUUGAUCUCAAUUCAUCUAGUAGUCUACUCAAAAAACAUGAAAUGUAAUAGUUUUCUGGAAGGUGUGGGGCUCGAAUCAUUACCUCUGAUAGUAGUUCCUCAAAUUUUUCUUGGUAGGCUAGGACUGUGGAGGAGAGUUGUAACUUAUUGAAUUCCUCCAUUGGAUCCAUUUGUCCCAAUGUUCCAAACCGCUUGCACAACUCUCCAGAGAACUCCAUCCAAUCCAUCUUGUUACCCCUAGUAGACUUGAAUCCCUGAUACCACACUUCAGCUUUACCUUCUAAAUGGAAUUCUGUCAGCUCCAUCCAUUGCUCCAUAGGAAUAUGCAGAAGCUGGAAAUACUUCUGAAGUUUUCUGAUCUACUUCCUAGGAUUGUUUCCUCUGAACACUGGUAUUUCCAGCUUAGGUGCACUAGCGUAGAAUGAACUUCUGACAUUCCUCUCUCCUUGCUCUCGAGUCACCAUAUCUGAGCUCCUGGAGUGACUUCCCUCUGGCGAUCCCAAUAUUCCUUUCUCAGGAUUUCCUCGGUUCAAACUGGAGAGCUGUUGAGAAAUGGCUACCAUGAAUGCAUCUAACUUAUUGUUCAGCUCCAUGCUUACUGCAUCCAACCUUUCCUCCAUGAUCUGUUUGUUUGCGGCCAUGGAUUCCAAAAUUCCUUGGAGUCUGCUGUCUUGCUUGCGUAGCUGUUCCUCCAUGGUCUUCAUUCGAGUUUCAUCUGCCAUUGUUAUAUUGAUUUCAGCUUCUUAGUCCAAGGACCGGAAGCUCUGAUACCACUUGUAAUGGCUGCUUCAGCAAGAAAUGAAGAGGGAGUUAGCAGAAAGGGAAAGAGGGGAGAGAGACUUGAGAGGGAAGAUAGAAAAUGCAGAAAAUGAGAGAACUGAAUUUGUUGUAUCUGAUAGCAUGCCCCUCACGUCUUACCUUUAGGCUUAUUUAUACAGGAUUCAUCCUCUAGAUCCUUCCAUUCCUUAGAUAUAACAGAAUGCUUAACAGAACGAUCACGCAUUCAUGCAUGCAGUGCAGUAACUAACUAGCCAACUAACUCUCUGAUAUGCUAACUAAUUAACUUCCAGAAAUGGAAACCAUGCCCACUACAUUAUUAGCUGUAAAUAACUAGGGAAUAUCUAAAAUAUCUAGAGGAAAUAUCUAGAAUAUCUAGGAUCAUUACAGAUGAUUUCUAACUAGUUUAUUAAUAAUAUUGACUUCUUUUUUAUAAAAAAAAAAGUAAUCAAGGAAAAAUGGGGAAUCUAACAGUCUAAUGCUUGCUUGCUUCUUUUUAUUGUUUGAAGUGAUUUUGGUGUCUUGCUAGUUUGUAAUUGAUUCAAGGUGGAUAGAAAGAAAUUGUUCAGAAAUGUGAAAUAGGGUAAGUAUCCCAGUUUGGUUUUGGAUUUUGAAAGUUAUAAAAACGAAAAUGAUGUCAGUGAUCCUCUUCAAUUUUUUAUCACCAACCAAAGCAAUGAUUUUUAAGAAUAAAAAUAACAUUUGAAAUCAAAUCACAAUCUUUAAAGAGAGGAAAUAGAUGGUUGAGGGCGAAAUGGCCAUGGUGAUGAAUUGACAUCAUGGAAAUCAAACUGUGCUUAGUAACGCCAAAACGUCACCAUAACUCACAAAUGAGUGACUAAUGUGAUGCCACAUUAAGGCUUCAAUCUACUAUUACAAGUUUUACUAUGGACUAAAUUGUGUGGUAAAUUUAGUACUACUAAUAUUAAGUUUAUGUUUAAAACAAGUAAAUUUCAAUAAUUUAGGUAACUUACUCUUUAAAUAACAAAUUUUACUAAAAUUUUAACAAAAAUUGCCACUUUUUCUUCGAAACUUACCAUUUUCUAUAUAAAACUUGCUAAUUUUUCAAGUAAAACAUAUGAUUUUAUUAGCAAAUCAUACCACUUUUUUUAGUAAAAUUCACUAAAUGGUAAGUUUUCAAAAAAAAACUUACCAUUUUUAAUGCAAAUCUUACUACUUUUUUCAAGCAAAAUGUAUGAUUUUAUUAACAAAUGUUACCAUAAUUUUCGUAAAGUUUACUAAAUCAUUAACAAAUCUUACCAUCUUUCAAGCAAAACUUAUCAUUUUCUAUACAAAACUUACUACUUUUUGGAGGCAGAACUUAUGACUUGAUUAUUAAAUCUUACCUUUAUUUAGGAAUAAUUUUGGAAACCUCCCCUGAGCUUUAUGCUAAUAUCACAUAACACUUCUAAAUUUUAAAAAUAUCACUAGCCUUCCCUUGAGUCAUAUUUUUUUGUAAGAAUUUGACCCCUAUAUCAAAAAUAAAUACUCCUAACAUAAUUUUUUAAAGGAAAAUAGAUAUAUUUUUCUUCUAGUUUUACACUUUUGUGUUGUCUUAUUUUUUAAUUUUCUGCCAAAUUGAUUUUAAGAUAAGAUUUGAAUGAGAAAGACUUAAAAUGAUUUUUUUUAAGGGGAGAAGGUGUUAAGUGCUAAAGCAAUUGCCAGAAUAGCGAUUUUUUUAUUUUUGGUUUAUCCUAGAUUUUUUCCUAAAUAGUUAUUAGAAUAACAAAGAAAUUAAAUUUAAUAUAAGAUUGGUAUAGGAAGAUCAAAGAAGGCAGAGAAGACAGAUAUUUGAAUACAAAACUAAUGGUUUUAGUAGGCAUUUCUAUGAAUUCAGAUUUAUUAUCUUCUAAUUUUUGUGGCAUAAAUAAUUAUUUGAAUAACAAUUAAAAUUUGAGAUAAGGUUGCCAUAGGAAGCUUGGGAGGGGGAGAAGGGUAUUAAAGGCAAAAAAUGAUUAUUUUAGUAGACUUUUCUUAAUAAUUUCCUUUUGUUCAAAUUUUUUUGCACAAGUAAUUGUUAAAAUAGUAAAGUUAAAUUAAUAAAUGCUUGGCAUAAUACUACAAAAUAAAGGGGUGUUUAAGUGAAAAUAGUAAUUGAUAGAGCAAUGUUUGGGCAUCUUAUGCGCUGUUAUGUGGUCAUAAUUUUGGCUACUUAUUAUGCUAAGUAUUGAGGUUUUGUUCAUGUUUGAUAUUUGUGUAAAUUGUAGGCAGUUGGUGUCAAAAAGUGAUCUCUGAAGGUGAAUUUCCAGAAGACUUUUAUUUCAGGGCGUGCCCACGCCAAAAACUGUUCAAGAGACGCCUCAAAGUCGGACCAUGGGACUAACUAACUAACUAAACUCAUCCUUAUUCCUGCGGGAUGCGGUUGGAAGUGCGUCAAAACAAAAAGGCAGCAAUUUCCAGUGGAUUUGGUAACAACCAAUAAGGAGGAUGCGGGGAAUUGGGGAAAUAUUUGGAAAAGCUACUAUUUUCUCGUGGGCCAAGAAGGGUGUAACAGACAAGUAGUUUUAGUCUUGCAGAUAGCUUUUUAGUUUCUUACGUUUUCUUUGGAGGGCUAUCUUCUGGGAACUGGCAAAAAGCCAGAUUCAUGUGGGAUUAGGAAAUUAUCUUUAGUUUUGUUAUCCCUUGGUAGAGGAUUUGCUCUCUGUUUUGUUAUUACAAUUUUCUUUAGACCUUUGCUUUACUUUUUCCGAAUGGACACAAAACAAAAAAAGAAGCAAGACAUUUUCUUUUGUUUCUUCAUCACUUCAUCUUUCCCAACUCUCUUGUGAUUGUGUGGAUGGAAUCAAUCAAAUCCCGCGAGAUUGAUAUGAUGAGGAGCGGUUAGGUUUCUCUUCUACCCAAAGGUCGACGCGAAGGCACGGUCCAUAACAUCUGUGAGAUUUAAUCGAACUUUCACUAGUUCUUCCAGUCCGUUACUAUUCGUGUGUUUCCUGGAUUAACUGUUUAUGAUUAUUUUAUUAAUUGAGUAUCAACGGCAGGACAUUUAAUUUAAUCUAAUAGCCUACUGUCACGUUAACUAAAUUGAAUCCGUAAUUAUUCGUUUAGUUGAUAACUAGUGACAACCAUCAUAAUUGGCUUUAUGUUAGGGAAACGUAAGAUCUAGUUUAAAUAAACCCUCUUAGCGUGUUUAUUGGUUAGGGUUGGGUUUUUCUAGUUUUAAUGCAACCGGAUAAUUAAAUUUAUUGGUUAGGGUUGGGUUUUUCUAGUUUUAAUGCAACCGGAUAAUUAAAUUCCUACGAUCGUACCUAAAGCUGUUUUCUAGUUAGAGAAACAGUCAACGGUCGUACCUUGGCUGUCGAAAAAGUAAGGAAGAACUGGCUGUCAGAGCUUGUUGAUAGCUAUAACUAACCUAGUGACGAAUGAAUGAAAUAUCUUUGUAUCGAUGAUCAUUUAAUUGGACCGCGCCUAAAAAGUUGAUCCUUUGGGUAGAAUUUUACUAAUUGCUAUUUUUAGUGAAUUGUACUUGGUGAGUUAGCUUUUGAAUUUUGUUUAUUCUAUUUUCUUUUUCAGUCCAUUAAAUAUUCCCCAAUUUUGUUCUAUUGACUUGGAAAGAAACAAGUUCCUACCCGUUCCCUGUGAAAUCGACCGUACUUGCCAUUGUAUGCAAAUUUAAUAUUUUUGUAGACAAAUCUUGUAUAUCGAAUCAAGCAUACUCUUUGGGGAGACAGGGUGAAUAUAGUAACCCAUUGCACAUCUAGAGUCACUGCUCCAGUACUUAGAUUUGUUCUAUAAUUAAUUAUGGUAGUAAUUAGGACUUUUUAGUAAUUAUUAUUGCACAGGUUCGACACCUGUCAAUUUUUGGCGGCAUUGCUGGGAAGAAAGUGUCGACAAACUGGUGAACAUGGGAUUCUGGCUUACAAGGCAUGCCCACGCCUUGCAAGACGCCCUUUCAAAAAAAAAAAGAAAGACAAAAAGAGAGAGAAAAGAGUUUCGACACUUGCGCAGUAGGUAUAGCAAAUGGAAAUGCCUUGCUUGUGGAAUUUCUCCAGUAAAGCGUUGAGGUUAUGUAGUAGAUAUCGGACAUUCUCUUGACAUAGUGCACCCUCUCUUUACCUCCUUAUCCCGCCUUUCACCCAAGCCCUAUUACAACCCUAUUAAAGUCCCUUUGAUUUAUGUAUUGAGUUCACUUUUGAGUGGUGGAGAUGUGAUAAAUGUGCAAGCCUAUGGUAAUGUCAUUCCGUGGUGUUGAUUUGAGCGUUCCUGGUAUCUAUACAUUUUCUUGAAAGUGAUGAGUAUUACUACUCAUACUCUUUGGAUAACUACCUAUCCAGUGUGCUCUAACUUUGGCGACAUUGUCAGGAAUGCAGGAUGCUUGUGUUAGUGUAGAUCACCGCAUAGUAGUUCCUUUCGUGAUUGAACUUCUGAGCUUCAAAAUGCUUGAGGACAAGCAUUGCCUAGGUGUGGGGGGAUUUGAUAGAGCAAUGUUUGGGCAUCUUAUGUGCUGUUAUGUGGUCAUAAUUUUGGCUAUUUAUUAUGCUAAGUACUGAGGUUUUGCUCAUAUUUGAUAUUUGUGUAAAUUGUAGGUGGUUGGUGUCAAAAAGUGAUCUCUGAAGGCGAAUUUCCAGAAGACUUUUUAUUUCAGGGCGUGCCCACGCCAGAAACUAUUGAAGAGACGCCUCAAAGUCGGACCGCGGGACUAACUAACUAACUAAACUCAUCCUUAUUCCUGCGGGAUGCGGUUGGAAGUGCGUCAAAACAAAAAGACAGUAAUUUCCAGUGGAUUUGGUAACAACCAAUAAGGAGGAUGUGGGGAAUUGGGGAAAUCUUUGGAAAAGCAGCUAUUUUCUCGUGGGCCAACGAGGGUGUAAAAGACAAGUAGUUUUAGUCUUGCAGAUAGCCUUUUAGUUUCUUACGUUUUCUUUGGAGGGCUAUCUUCGAGGAACUGGCAAAAAAGCCAGAUUCACGUGGAAUUGGGAGAUUAGCUUUAGUUUUGUUAUCCCUUGGUAGAGGAUUUGCUCUCUGUUUUGUUUUUACGAUUUUCUUUAGACCUUUGCUUUAUUUUUUUUGAACGGACAUGAAACAAAAAAAGAAGCAAGACUUUUUUUUUGUUUCUUCGUCACUUCAUCUUUCCCAACUUUCUUGUGAUUGUGUGGAUGGAAUCAAUCAAAUCCCGCGAGAUUGAUAUGAUGAGGAGCGGCUACAUUUCUCCUCUACCCAAAGUCGACGCGAAGGCGCGGUUUAUAACAUCUGUGAGAUCUAAUCGAACUUUCACUAGUUCUUCCAAUCCGUUACUAUUCGUGCAUUUUCUGGAUUAACUGUUUAUGGUUAUUUUAUUAAUUGAGUAUCAACGGUUGGAUAUUUAGUUUAAUCUAAUAGCCUACUGUCACGUUAACUAAAUUGAAUCCGUAAUUGUUCGUUUAGUUGAUAACUAGUGACAACUAUCAUAAUUGGCUUUAUGUUGGGGAAACGUAAGAUCUAGUUUAAAUAAACACUCUUAGCCUGUUUAUUGGUUAGGGUUGAAUUUUUCUAGUUUUAAUGCAACCGGAUAAUUAAAUUCCUACGGUCAUCCCUGAGGUUGUUUUCUAGUUAGAGAAGUGGUCAACGGUCGUACCUUGGUUGUCGAAAAAGUAAAGAAAAACUGGCUGUCAGAGCUUGUUGAUAGCUAUAACUAACCUAGUGACGAAUGAAUGAAAUAUCUUUGCAUCGAUGAUUAUUUAAUUGGACCGUGUCUGAAAAGUUGAUCCUUUGGAUAGAAUUUUACUAAUUGCUAUUUUUAGUUAAUUGUACUUGGUGAGUUAGCUUUUGAAUUUUUGUUUAUUCUAUUUUCAUUUUCAUUCCAUAAAUAUCCCCCAAUUUUGUUCUAUUGACUUGGAAAGAAACAACUUCCUACCCAUUCCCUGUGGAAUCGACCUUACUUGCCGUUGUAUGCAAAUUUAACACUUUUGUAGACAAAUCUAGUAUAUCGGAUCAAGCACACUCUUUGGAGACAGGGUGAAUAUAGUAACCCAUUGCACAUCUAGAGUCACUACUCCAGUACUUAGAUUUGUUCUAUAAUCAAUUAUAGUGGCAAUUAGGACUUUUUAGUAAUUAUUAUUGUACAGGCUCGACACCUGUCAAUUUUUUGCGUCGUUGCCGGGGAACGGUGUUUUGGUUAAUUUUGUUUCUUUUCAAGUUAUUUUCUUUGGAUUUGUCUGGCACUUUUCUAGUUUAUGCCUCGUUUUUCUCGUACAUGUGAAUUGAUUUUCGACCUGGAAGUAAAGAAGAUUGCGCGCCGAACUAGGAAAGAAACUAAACAGCUCAGAGAGGAGCAAUCUAGCAUUGCAUCUCAGAUGCUGGAUCCAGAGGUUGAGUCAACAGAUUCGAGUGGUGAUAAUUCAAGUGACUCAGGCCAAGAGGACAUCCCUAUGGCGAAUCCAAGAACACUAAAGGAGUUGGCUGCUCCGGAAUUGACCCAGCAGCUUUUGUGCAUUACAUUUCCAACUCUAGCUGAGAAUACCUCCUUCGAACUGAAGUCAGAGUUAAUUCAUCUCUUACCCUCAUUCCAUGGCCUCUUGAGUGAGGAACCCCAUAAACACAUCCAGGAGUUCGAUGUGGUAUGUUCUAGUAUGAAACCUCCAGGGAUUACUGAAGAGCAGAUCAAACUUAGAGCAUUCCCUUUCUCCCUCAAGGAUGUAGCGAAGGAUUGGUUAUACUACCUACCUGCAGGUAGUAUCAUAACAUGGGCCCAACUGAAAAAGAAGUUUUUGAAAAAAUUCUUCCCGGCAUCCCGGGCUGCAAGUUUGAGAAAAGAGAUAUGCAGCAUUAAGCAGUAUCCCAGGGAAUCCCUAUAUGACUAUUGGAAAAGGUUCAAUAAGUUGUGUACUAGAUGCCCACAGCAACAAAUUAGUGAACAACUAUUGAUCCAAUACUUCUAUGAGAGACUUCAGUCAUCUGAUAGAAAUAUUAUUGAUGCUGCAAGUAGGGGAGCACUGGCAAAUAAGACACCGAGAGAAGCAUUGCUGCUUAUUGAAGCAAUGGCAGAAAAUUCUCAACAGUUUGUGUUAUUCUUGGUUUUGAUGAUCACAAAAGUUCGUUGAAAUGUUUAUACAGACCAAGAAAGUGAACACUUUGAUCAGGCCUGAUGGAACAAAGUAAGCAUAUGUUCGAUUAACUCCAGACUACGAUGCUUUGGAUGUGGCAAACAAGAUUGGAAUAAUAUAAACAAAUUUAGUCAUUGUUUUGUUCCGAUCAAAGAUACUGUCUUUUAAGUAUGACAAUUUUGUUAGUCUUGGUUCCUUGAAAUGUUUUAUCUAACUUUCUUCAAAUAUAAGUGUUGUUGCCUAUCAAAGAAUCAGGUACGAAUAUGUCGUGAGCAAAAACAGGACACUCAUGUCGGACGGCCGAAAGGAAUCUGUCGGACGUCCGAAGGGAUGAAGAACAUCAGGAAGGAGUUUCUGUCGGACGCACAUCGAUCGUGUCGGACGUCCUAAAAAUUCCACAAAGCUUUGAUGACUCUCUGCCAAGACACUGUCGGACGCUCGCAAGGAAGCAUCGGACGUCCUGAAGGAUCGGACGCAUGCUUCGGACGAACAUCAAUAUCAUUGGACGUCCUAAAAAUUCCUCGAAGAUUUGAUAACUCUCUGGACGACGUUCGAACACUGAAGCUCGGACGAUAAAAUUCCAUCGAACGUCCGAACUUCAAUUUGGCUGUUUUUCGGACGAUUGGUUCGGACGAUAAUUUGAUCGUCGGACGUCCGAAAGCCCCAACGGCUAGCUGACUCUUCAUCUGCCUUCUAUCCGUUGGAAGCUUUAAUGAAGCCCAUUUCUGUUCCCCUUUAAAAACAAACUGUUCUGAACGAAGUAAGAACUUUUGCACACUUGGUCUACAAGAUCUCAAGAGAUAUUUUAGCUAGAAAAUAGUCUCCAAAGUUAGAUUUGUUCUCUAAGUGGUGUGAACUUCUGGUGAGCUUUUCUCUUGUGGUUGAAAGUUUCAUUAGUGUAGCUUUGUUGAGGGUUAUCUGAGUGUUUGUAAAACUUCUUAGCUUGACUAAGUGAGGUUUAGGGCAAGGAGGAAGUGCUCCCUCCAUUGUACAUCUAGUUGAUCAUAUUUCAUCAAAGAGAAGUUGCUCAACCUUGUGAUUGGUCUUCAAGUUUAAGGAAAGCUUGGUAGACAAUCGGUUUGAUUUCCUAUUUUACUUUUUGUUUAAUAAAAUUCUCAUUGCUUAUAUAUACUUAUUUUUCUGAUCAAUAUUGCUAUUGUCUUCUAAUCUACUUGGUUGAUCUUUACUAGAAAAGAAGGUAAAUUUUUAUUAAAGAAAAAGUGCAUAAAUUUGGUUAAGGUUUUAAUCAACCCAAUUCACCCCCCCUCUUGGUUGUCUUUGGGACUUACAAUUGGUAUCAGAGCUUGGUCUCCUUGAGAUUAAGCUCUAACGGCUUGGAGUAAAGAUGACAACCAGUCAUGCUAUGUUUGUUGAGGGGCAAUCUGUUACUAGGCCUCCCAUGUUCAGUGGCUCCAACUAUGUUAGCUGGAAAGAACGGAUGAUUAUCUUUUUGUAAUCUAUUGAUAUUGAACUAUGGUUUAUUGUGAGUGAAGGACCGCAUGAAGCUAACUUUCUUGAUGCAGAUACAGGGUUGCUUCGGCCAAAAAUGAGAGCUGAAAUGAAUGCUCAAGAUAGGACUAACCUCACAUUGAAUGCCAAGGCCAUGAAUGUUCUUUAUAGUGCCCUAGAUUCAAAUGAAUCAAUUAGAGUAAAAGGCUGCAAAUCGGCCAAAGAAAUGUGGGAUAAACUAAGAGAAAUCCAUGAGGGUGGUGACAACGUGAAAGAACAGAAAAAGGCUAUCUUGGUCACAAAAUAUGAAUCAUUUAGAAUUGAACCUCUUGAGGAUAUUGACAAAAUGUAUUGCAGGUUCACUGACUUGAUCAAAGAUCUCGAGGUGUUGGGCAAAGAGUACACCUUGGGAGAGAAGAACAGGAAAAUUCUCAAUGCGUUGGGCAAAGAAUGGGAAAAUAAAGUGACUGCAAUAGAGGAGGCUAAGGAUUUAAGUUCUGUGGCUAUUGAAUCUAUCAUUAACUCACUAACCUCUUAUGAGUUGAAACUGAAAUCUAAAGUGCAGGAGGAAGAGGAAGCUAGAGCAAAGAGAAACAUUGCUCUAAAGACUACUCAAGGUGAAGAUGAUACAGCUCACUUGGAUGAUGAAGACUCGGAUGGUGAUGAUAAUGAUCUUGCUCUCAUCACCAGAGGUUUCAAGAGAAUCUUGAAUAAAAGAAAGUUUAGAAGGGGAGGACCUAGCAAUCAAUUCCAGAAUCAGCCAUCUAUCGCAAAGUACAAAGGAAAACAGGAUUUCAACAAGAAACAGUUGGACAAAUGCUUCGAAUGUGGACAGCUUGGACACUAUGCAAAUGAAUGCCCCAUGAAGAAGAUGAAAGAUGGAAAAGCUGAUCGGAAGCCAAGAUUCAACAACUUUCAGAUUACUUGGAAUGAAUGCAACUCCGAAGGGGAAGUAGAAGAAGAAGAAGAAUCAGCUCAAAUGGCCUUCAUGGCUAUUGGAAAUAAUGAGGUAACUUCCACACAUUCUCAAUCUGAAAGUGAUGAUGAUGAAGAUGAUGAUCUUGAAUCCUUUGUUGAAAAACUGCAUAAUGCCUUGAAGGAAUCUUAUGAUAAAAACAAGCAGUUAAAACAGAAAAUGGCUUUUCUCAUUCAAGAAAAUGCAAGUCUUUUUCAACAAAAUAAACAACUAAAGACUGACAAUGAAAGUCUUGUAAGAGCCGGAUGUAAUGUUCAAAAUGAGCUUGAUAGAAAGACAAAUAUUUGUGAAAUGCUGAAGGAAAGACAUGGUGAUUUGAAAAAAAGAAUGGACAACUUGGAUGAGACUUUGAAAGCAAGAAAGCAGGAGUUUAUCAAAAGGAACAUGUCAUCUACACAUCCUACUACUUUUCAAAGAACAUUUGCACACAACAAAAAUGCACAUGGUUUCACAACAUAUAGAAGAGGUGGAUUGAGAUAUGUCAAACCAGUACAUGUUAAGGACUCUUCCAUUAUGUGUGGUUUUUGUUGUCAAAGAGGGCAUUUGAAAGGUGAUUGCUAUGUGAAAAGAAAUCUGAACAAAGGGAUGAAAUGCAUGUGGUUAGUUAGAUACAAUGCUAACUAUUGCGGACCCAAAAAUUAAAAUGGGUACCAAACACUUUCUCUUUUCAGGAAAAAUGCUCAAACAAGUCCAAAUGGUUUAUUGAUAGCGGUUGCUCAAGGCAUAUGACCGGUGAUCCCUCUUUGUUCAUAAAGCUGAAAUCAAAGUCAAGUGGAAAAGUGACAUUUGGUGAUGAUGUGAAAGCUAAGACAAUUGGAAUAGGUGAUGUUGGUAAGGAUGGUGAUACUUUUGUCCAUAAUGUGCUCUUAGUUGAUAACUUAAGUUAUAACUUGCUUAGUGUUAGUCAAUUGUGUGAUAAAGACUUGAAUGUGUUGUUUAAAAAACAUGAAUGCAUUGUGCUUGAUUCCAAAUAUAAUAUUGUGUUCAAAGGUAAGAGAUUCAACGACAUAUAUAUUGUGGUUCUUGAUAAAAUUGAUUCUUCUAGCUUAAAAUGUCUUAAAGCUUCAAAUGAAGAUCCUUGGUUGUGGCAUAGAAGACUUUGUCAUUUUAACAUGAAUUUACUAAAGGAAAUUUCGAAAAAGGAGUUGGUUAGAGGCUUGCCAAAAAUCAGUUUUGAUAAGGACAAAAUAUGUGAUGCAUGUCAAUUUGGGAAGCAAACAAAAAAUUCCUUUAAACCUAAGAUGUGUGUAUCUACUUCUAAACCUUUGGAACUCUUGCAUCUUGAUUUAUUUGGUCCCACUCAAAUUACUAGCUUGGGAGGUAAAAGAUAUUGUUUUGUAAUUGUUGAUGAUUAUUCUAGAUACACUUGGGUGAUAUUUCUUGCUCAUAAAGAUGAUGCCUUCAAGAAUUUUACUUCAUUGUUUGCUAAAAUGCAAAAUCUGCUUGGGUUAAAAAUUGUUAGGAUUAGAAGUGAUAAUGGGACGGAAUUCAAGUAUUGUGGUUUUCCAGAAUUUUGUGAUCAUAAUGGUAUAACACAUGAGUUCUCUAUUGCAAGGACUCCACAGCAAAAUGGUGUUGUAGAAAGGAAAAACAGGACUCUUCAAGAGGCUGCUAGAACUAUGUUGAAUGAAUGUAGGUUGCCUAAAUAUCUUUGGGCUGAAGCGGUAAACACUGCAUGUUAUGUGAUGAAUAGAAUACUCUUGAGACCUAUUUUAAAGAAAACUCCUUAUGAGCUGAUUUUUGAUAAGAAACCUACGGUUGGUUAUUUCAAAGUAUUUGGUUGUAAAUGCUUUAUUUUGAAUCUAAAGGAACAUCUUGGUAAGUUUGAUAAAAAAUCUGAUGUAGGAAUAUUUUUGGGGUAUUGUGAGAAUAAAAGACGAUAUAGAGUUUUUAAUAGAAGGACUCUUGUGAUUGAAGAAGCUAUACAUAUAACAUUUGAUGAAACCAAUGAUGAUAAUUCCAAAAGUUCGUGUGAGGAUGAUGAUGUAGGUGUUCGAGAAGCAAUGAAAAACCUAUCAAUUGGAAAUGAAGGAAGCUCUAAACCAGCAGCAACUGAAAUGGAAAAUGAAGUUCAUAAUGAUCAAGAAGAGGAAGAUGAAGACAAAAAUGAUGAUCCACUCAAAGAUCUUCCCAAGGCUUGGAAAUUCAGCCAAAAUCAUCCAAAAGAGCUUAUAAUUGGUGAUCCAUCCGAGAAGGUAAACACUAGUUCCUCAUCUAGAAAAUUGAUUGACAAUUUUGCUUUAGUUUCUCUUUUUGAACCCAAAAAUAUCAAUGAUGCUUUAAAGGAUGAAAACUGGAUUUUGGCAAUGCAAGAGGAACUUAAUCAAUUUGAGAGAAAUGAAGUUUGGACACUUGUUAAUAGACCUCAAAAUCAACCUAUCAUUGGCACAAAGUGGAUUUUUAGAAAUAAGUUGGAUGAUAAAGGUGUUGUUGUAAGAAAUAAAGCCAGAUUAGUUGCUAAAGGAUAUGCACAAGAAGAAGGAAUUGAUUUUGAUGAAACAUUUGCUCCCGUAGCAAGAUUAGAAUCUAUUAGAAUGCUUCUUGCUUUUGCAUGCUUUAAAGGCUUCAAAUUGUUUCAAAUGGAUGUUAAAAGUGCUUUUUUAAAUGGUUUUAUUGAUCAAGAAGUAUAUGUGGAUCAACCCCCCGGUUUUGAAAAUACAAAAUUUCCAAGUCAUGUGUUUAAACUAUCUAAAGCUUUAUAUGGUCUAAAACAGGCUCCAAGAGCUUGGUAUGAAAGACUAAGUGGUUUUUUGAUUGAAAAUGGUUUCAAAAGGGGUGUUGUGGACACCACACUUUUUACUAAGCAAGUGUUGAAUGACCUUCUUAUUGUGCAAAUAUAUGUUGAUGAUAUUAUUUUUGGUGCUACUAAUGAGUAUCUAUGUAAGGAGUUUUCCACCACUAUGCAAAGUGAAUUUGAAAUGAGUAUGAUGGGAGAAUUAAAUUUCUUCCUUGGACUUCAAAUACAUCAAGCUCUUGAGGGAAUUUUUAUAAAUCAAGCAAAAUAUACCAAGGAAUUGUUGAAAAGGUUUGGCAUGGAGGACUCAAAGCAAGUUGGAACUCCAAUGUGCACUUCUACAAAGCUUGACAAAGAUGAAGAAGGUAAUCAUGUGGAUGAAAAGCAUUAUAGAGGUAUGAUCGGAAGCCUACUCUAUUUAACCGCAAGUAGACCUGAUAUUAUGUUUGCUGUUUGCUUGUGUGCUAGAUUUCAAUCUUGUCCAAAAGAAUCACAUUUGAAUGCUGUAAAAAGGAUUUUUAGGUAUUUGAAAGGUACAUUAGACUAUGGUCUUUGGUAUGCUAGAUCUAAUGAGUUUGCACUAUAUGCUUAUUCGGAUGCUGAUUUUGGAGGUUGUCGUGUGGAUAGAAAGAGUACUAGUGGAACUUGUCAUUUUCUUGGAAAUUGUUUAGUCUCUUGGUUUAGCAAGAAACAAUGUGCAAUCUCUUUGUCUACAACCGAAGCGGAAUAUAUUGCCGCUAGUGCAUGUUGUGCUCAACAUUUAUGGAUGAAGCACACCUUGAAUGAUUUUUGAUUGUUGUAUGACUGCAUGCCUGUAUUCUGUGAUAAUACUAGUACUAUAAAUUUGACCAAAAAUCCUAUUCAUCAUUCUACGACAAAGCACAUAGAUAUAAAGCAUCACUUUAUUCGUGAUCUUGUUCAAAAAGGUGAAAUAUGUGUAAAUUAUGUUUGUUCUAAAGAUCAAUUUACGGAUAUUUUUACAAAAGCUUUGCCAUUAGAUCAGUUCAUUCAUCUAAGAUCAAAAUUAGGAAUAAUCGAAAAAUCAUCUUAAUUUUUGGGUCUUCGGACGUCCGAAAGAAGAUGAACGGACGUCCGAUGAUGUUCUUCAGCCAUUUUCCAGAUUGCGCCUGUUCGGACGCAGCUGUCGGACGCACAACGUCGUUCGGCCGUCCGACAGUGCAACGGAUCAAUUUUUUAAAUAACUUUCUUUCUCAUUUGCUUCAGACUCUUCCUAUUCUAUUUCCUCUCGGACGAAAACUCUCUCUUCCCUCACUCUCAAAUUCGUACCAUUUUGAAGCUCUCAUUCUCAAAUUGACUCAAACAAAACUUUUUCUGACUGAUUGCGAUUCAUUUCUCCUGAUCAUUUUCCCGAAUCGCAUAACAUUUCACAAAUUCCCAAAUUUCCUUCAAAACCCUACUUUCUCAUAACCGCUCUGCCAAAUCUUGUUUAAGGCCUUUUUGUCCCAAAAUUUCUGUGCAAAUCACUUCCCUACCACUGUGUGCAUCAUUUGCAUUCUUCAUUCCACACAUUUCACACAAUGGUGAAUCUGAGAGGAGGAAAGGUUACUGCCGGACGCAAGCAUCCACUCAGGGAUGAGGAUGAGGAUCUUCCUACGGUCAAACGUUCAUCCAAACGCUUCAAGAGAGGAGCCAUAAAGGGUCAAAUGUCACGGCCUACUCCUCAACCCACCUCUCAGCCUGAAUCUGGACAGGGAACCUCUGCUCAACCGCCUCCAAAAUCAGCCCCUCCCCCUACAUUCUUUGAUGAUACAGCAAGAGACAAACACUCCUUGAUAUCCCAGAAAGGUGUCAUCCCUCAACGUACUGUAAACCCUUCUGAAUUUCGUCUCAUAGGUUUAGAAACCAUUCUGAAGUUAUUUGCUUUUCAGAAAUGGUCGCAUAUCAUUUCUAUGCCAAAUGUUUACUAUCCUGAAAUGCUGCAUCAAUUUUUUGCUAAUCUUAGAAAAGGGUCUGACCAAACUGAAAUCUUUUCCAGGGUUAAUGGGGUAGACUUAAUCUUUGACUCUGAAAUUGUGAAUUCCAUUUUAAAUACUACCAUUGAACGUGGGUGCAAGGAUAAAAUUACAAAUUUCUUUUCCUAUGAAGAGCACCCUAAUGCUGAUAAUCAUUUUGAUGGGGCUAAAAUGAUGACCUAUUUUAAAAGAAGUUUUUCCUCCCCUGCUGAUGCUAAACUGAAUGAUCUUGCCCCUGUGAAUUUAAUUGCUUUUUCUAUCAUUUCAAACCUGCUUGUGCCUACUGAUGGCCAUAGAACUGAUGCAAACAAAAUGGAGUUGUACCUCUUUUAUUAUUUUCGAGAAAAAAUUUGGAUUGAUUUUGGUUUUGUCAUGUGCAAGUUUUUACUUCGCUAUACCACUGACUCUCGCAGAAAACUAUCCUAUGGAAAGUUUCUUCAAAAGAUUUUUGAGUUUUUCAAAGUUCCAAUUUUAGGUGUUUGUCCCAAAGAAGCAUCUUCUUAUGCCUUUACCAAAGGAUACUUUGAAAGGAAAAAUCUUGUUUUUAAAGAUAAUAUGUGGUCUUAUAAAGAGGCAUCGUCCAGUGAACGUAGGUCUAAGGCUGCACAUGAUCCUUCAUCUAUUCCACUCACUCCCAUUCAUCCUAGGAAAUCUGCCACUAAGGCAUCUUCCUCCUCCAAUGAUGGAGUGAUUGAGCUUCUUCAUGAACUCAAACAGCAUGUUCUUCUUCUAGAACAUGGCCUAAUGCUCACCAUGUCCUCUGAGCAACAAACUGCCUUUCUAGACAAAAAGAACCAUCUCUUUCCCCCACCUGUGGUUGAGGAAGUGUCCCAUGACAAAGAGCCACACCCCACUGAUCCAAGCUCAUCAAUUCCAGACCCUGGUUCAUCAACUCCUGUGACUCCUCAUGGUCCUUCCACAGCAGAUAAAGGCAAGGAACCAGUUGAAGUGGAUGCUGAAGCUGAUGAAGAAACUGAAGAGGAGGACCUCUCCCAAUAUCAGCUCUCUCGAAGAACUCCUGGAUCCACACAGUUCACUACUUAGGACAUUUGCAUUCUGUUUGUCUAUUUUAUGUGUUUGUAAUGGUCAACAUUUGUAACCUUCUUUUAAUGUUUCUCUUGUUGGUACUGUAUGUUUAUGUUAAGUAUUUUGAAUGAUGACUGUGUUUAUGGAUGUUUAAGUAUUUUGGUGCAAUGAAUUUGGUUUUCAUUGAUGAAUGUGUUUGUGGAUGUGUUGAUGUGAUUGGUUGCCCUUUUGUGAUGACAAAAAGGGGGAGAGGACUGGAUUGAUGAUUGAUGAUUGGUGUUGAGGACUGGAUUGAUUGAUGAUUGAUGAUUGGUAUUGAUUGAUGAUUGAUGAUUGGUGAUGUUGGAUAUGUUGGAUUGAUUGUUUAAAUUUGGAUUGGCUGAUAUGCUUAAUUGUCAUAUUUUUAGAAAAUUGUUUAACUCGGAUGGGCAGCCAAGUGAGGGGGAGCUUUUUCAAAAUUUUCAAAAUUUUAUGAUUCACUAAAUAAGGGGGAGUUCGUGAGAAAGGGGGAGCUUAUAAUGCAAUCAUCAAAUUUCAUUUCAAACUUUUGUUUUGUCAUCAUCAAAAAGGGGGAGAAUGUUAUUCUUGAUUUUGAUGAUCACAAAAGUUCGUUGAAAUGUUUAUACAGACCAAGAAAGUGAACACUUUGAUCAGGCCUGAUGGAACAAAGUAAGCAUAUGUUCGAUUAACUCCAGACUACGAUGCUUUGGAUGUGGCAAACAAGAUUGGAAUAAUAUAAACAAAUUUAGUCAUUGUUUUGUUCCGAUCAAAGAUACUGUCUUUUAAGUAUGACAAUUUUGUUAGUCUUGGUUCCUUGAAAUGUUUUAUCUAACUUUCUUCAAAUAUAAGUGUUGUUGCCUAUCAAAGAAUCAGGUACGAAUAUGUCGUGAGAAAAAACAGGACACUCAUGUCGGACGGCCGAAAGGAAUCUGUCGGACGUCCGAAGGGAUGAAGAACAUCAGGAAGGAGUUUCUGUCGGACGCACAUCGAUCGUGUCGGACGUCCUAAAAAUUCCACAAAGCUUUGAUGACUCUCUGCCAAGACACUGUCGGACGCUCGCAAGGAAGCAUCGGACGUCCUGAAGGAUCGGACGCAUGCUUCGGACGAACAUCAAUAUCAUCGGACGUCCUAAAAAUUCCUCGAAGAUUUCAUAACUCUCUGGACGACGUUCGGACACUGAAGCUCGGACGAUAAAAUUCCAUCGGACGUCCGAACUUCAAUUUGGCUGUUUUUCGGACGAUUGGUUCGGACGAUAAUUUGAUCGUCGGACGUCCGAAAGCCCCAACGGCUAGCUGACUCUUCAUCUGCCUUCUAUCCGUUGGAAGCUUUAAUGAAGCCCAUUUCUGUUCCCCUUUAAAAACAAACUGUUCUGAACGAAGUAAGAACUUUUGCACACUUGGUCUACAAGAUCUCAAGAGAUAUUUUAGCUAGAAAAUAGUCUCCAAAGUUAGAUUUGUUCUCUAAGUGGUGUGAACUUCUGGUGAGCUUUUCUCUUGUGGUUGAAAGUUUCAUUAGUGUAGCUUUGUUGAGGGUUAUCUGAGUGUUUGUAAAACUUCUUAGCUUGACUAAGUGAGGCUUAGGGCAAGGAGGAAGUGCUCCCUCCAUUGUACAUCUAGUUGAUCAUAUUUCAUCAAAGAGAAGUUGCUCAACCUUGUGAUUGGUCUUCAAGUUUGAGGAAAGCUUGGUAGACAAUCGGUUUGAUUUCCUAUUUUACUUUUUGUUUAAUAAAAUUCUCAUUUCUUAUAUAUACUUGUUUUUCUGAUCAAUAUUGCUAUUGUCUUCUAAUCUACUUGGUUGAUCUUUACUAGAAAAGAAGGUAAAUUUUUAUUAAAGAAAAAGUGCAUAAAUUUGGUUAAGGUUUUAAUCAACCCAAUUCACCCCCCCUCUUGGUUGUCUUUGGGACUUACAGUUUGGCUCCCGCGAGAGUAACCCUACCCAUAGGGUUAACGAGGUAAAGACGUCGUCCAUUCAGCAGCAGCUAUCGGAGUUAACAUCUUUUGCUCAGCAGUUAGCUGUGGGGAAUAUGCAUCAAGCAAAGGUCUGUGGAAUUUGCACAAACAUGGGCCACCCCACUGACUUAUGCCCUAUUUUGCUAGAGGAUGGGGCUGAACUAGUAAACAUGGUUGGGGGCGUGCCCACGCCCCGUAGGUAGUACGAUCUAUACUCGAACACGUACAAUUCGAGUUGGAGAGACCACCCCAACUUCAACUAUGGGAACAGGCCACAGAAGUCAUUCUCAAAUCGUCCAGCAACCAUGGCAACCAAAGCUUCAACCUUCGUCCUCCAAUUCAGGAGGCUCUUUGGAGGAUAUUGUCAAGAGCCUGGCCACGAGUACUACUCAGCUCCAGCAAGAAACUAGAUCCUUGGUCACGAGUACUGCUCAAUUCCAUCAGGAAACUAGAUUAGGCAUGAAAAAUCUGGAGACUCAAAUAAGUCGUAUGGCAACUGCAAUUAAUCGGUUAGAGUCUCAAGUUUUUGAAAAAUUGCCAUCGCAACCCGAGGUAAAUUCCAAGAAUGUAAGUGCCUUGACAUUGAGGAAUGGCAAGGAAGUGGAGGGGCUUAAGGCCACGAACCUAAAGAGUAAAAGUGAAGAAGAGAUCGAAAAGGAGAUUGAAGAAGAAGGACGCAUUCGUGGAGACCCUAAGGUAACUCUUACUCCAUCAAUUCCCAUUGAAUCUAAUUUACCUCCUUUUCCAUACAGGUUGGAAAAGACAAAGAAGGCGGAGAUGGAAAAAGAAAUCCUAGACGUAUUCUGAAAAGUAGAGAUCAACAUUCCCUUGUUGGAUGCAGUUAAGCAGGUACCAAAGUACGCAAAUUUUUUUAAGAAUUUGUGCACCUAUAAGAGGAAGUUGAGACGGGACAAAAGAGCAGCAGUGGGAGAAAAUGUAUCAGCUAUACUCCAAAGAAAACUCCCACCCAAGUGUGGAGAUCCAGGUAUGUUCAUGAUCCCAUGCAAAAUAGGAAAUACACCGAUUAGAAAAAUAAUGUUGGAUUUAGGGGCAUCAAUCAACGUAAUGCCAAGCACCAUUUAUGUUUCUUUAAAUCUUGGGCCACUAAAAGAAACAGCCAUCAUAAUCCAACUAACUGACCGCACCAAUGCUUAUCCAGAGAGGCUAGUUGAGGAUGUCUUGGUUCAGGUAAAUGAGUUAGUUUUUCCAACAGAUUUUUAUAUCUUAGGUAUGGGAGAUGAAAAAUUGUUAAAUCCGUCACCUAUUUUGUUAGGUAGGCCAUUUCUUAGCACUGCUAGGACUACAAUAAAUGUGAAUGAGAGUACUUUAUCAAUGGAGUUUGAUGGCGAAAUUAUAAAUUUCAAUAUUUUUGAGGUGAUGAAGUAUCCGGAGGAAUCUAACUCAGUCUUUGCAUUGAGUGUUAUUGAACCUAUUGUAUAGGAAACUUUCGAAUUAGACUGUGAAGACGCAUUGGAAGUGGCCUUUAUCAAGCAUCUUGAAAUGGAUGUAACUCUUAAUGUGGACAUGAGGGAUGAGUUGCACCAUACAGUUGAAGCAUUACAUUCACUUCCAACCAUUCCUUCGAGGUAUGAGCUUACCUCUCUUUUUGUGCCAAAAACUCAGACAAAGUUGUUGCCUUCAGUUGCACAGGCACCGGAGUUAGAGCUUAAGACUCUCCCGAAACAUUUAAAGUACGCAUUCCUGAGAGACUAAGAGACGCUUCCGGUGAACAUUUCUGCACACUUAUCUCCAAGUCAAGAGAGCAAACUGGUGCGAACCCUUAGGGAUCAUAAGGAAGCGAUUGGGUGGAGUAUAGCAGAUAUCAAAGGAAUAACUCCGUUCUUAUGCAUGCACCAGAUACGGCUCGAAGAUGAUGCGAAACCGGUAAAACAGGCGCAGCGGAAAUUGAAUUCGCUAAUGAUGGAAGUAGUGAAAAAGGAGAUACUUAAAGUCCUGGAAAUAGGAAUUAUCUUUGCUAUCUUGGACAGUCCUUGGGUGAGUCCCGUUCAAAUAGUCCCAAAAAAAAUAGGAGUGACUGUAGAGGAAAACCAGGAGGGUGAGAUGGUUCCAGUCAGGAAAGCUACAGGUUGGCGCCAGUGCAUUGACUACCGGAGACUAAACGCUGUGAUGAAAAAGAACCAUUUUUGAUGUGAAACCCCGGUCUAGACAACCAAAACACCAUGGCUUAGGCAGCGGAAAUUUGACCCAACUAAUCCCUAGAAGUCACGAACAAUUUUGAUAUUAUCUCAACCCGUAACUACUCGAAUUAACGAACCAAAUUGGAGGUAGUAGAACGCCACAAUCAAGGAGAUACUCGAUUGAUAAGUUCGGGUGAAUAACUUGAGAAGAUUCUCAAGUAUUCAAAGGCAACUCUCUUGCCAAAGAGAAAGUGAAAACUCACUAAUUGUAUUUAAUAGCCAAAAACUCGUCCCAAAACAAAGAGGAAGUGAGGCAAUUUAUAGCCCUUACAAGCAUUAACCCUAAUCCAAAAGUUGACCAAACUACCCUACAUACUUAAGAAAGAUUUUGGGCCUUACUUACUAACAAAUGGGCCGCAAUUAAACUAUCUUAAUUACCUAGAUUUUUAAAACAAGAAAUAACCAAAAUCAACGAGAAAAAUCAAAUAAUCCUACUAAACUCAAGCAUUCGUGCAAUCAACUAGUCUUCACUUGAAUCUUCCAAUUCCCCGUGUGCUUGAAUGGGCCUUGGUCUUUAUAUUCUCAUCAUUCCCCUCCUCUUAAAAGCAAUUUGCCCACAAAUUGAAGCACGAAUGGUGACAAGACGAGUUACAUGCCUUCGACUCAAUCUUGUUAUGAUGGCUACAGAUGGCAUCCAAUGCAAAACCCAUGUGCUAAGUUGGAAAAUAACCCUCGUCGAACCUUGAAUCUCACAGACCAUCUUCAAUGUAUGCUCAACUUUAUUGUUUGUGGUCAUGAGAUAAGGGUCCUCAAAGUGGUAUGAAGUGUAUCCCGUGAAAUCGAACUCCGGCUCGAACACACUUGCAAGGUACCAAGGCGGAUUUGGUGAUGUUGGAGCUUCAUGUGGACUAAGAGCAAGACGAAAAGCAUAAUGGUCAUUGAGGUACUUGUUCUUUAAACGAACCCUUGGUACACAACCAUUCCUAAAAUAUGGAGUGUUCCCUUCAAGAUGAGCUCGAAUCAACUCCCCUUUGGUGUGGACUGAUUUAAGUUGACAUUGUUCCAUGAAUGGAUACCAAGGGGGUUUAACUCUUGGAGUACCAACUCCAUGGAGGCUUGCAACGUCUACAAUUGAUUUUGGAAUGGAACACACCAAGAUCAGCUCAACUUGCCUUUGCUUGAUCUGUAUAAAAGAAGAAACACUAAACAAAGCAAAGGUAAGUUUGUUAAGAAAAUAAUAGGCCUUCACCGGGUUGCUCAAGAUCAGCCCACUUUCUCUUCUUUCUUCCUUUUUACCACCAAUCUCAUUAGAUUUUUCCAUCUCUUUUCCUAGUUCAACAGCUGACCCUUUUAUCUCAUUACUUUCAACUUCCUCGGGUUUUACCUCUGCAGGCACAAUUCCCUCAUCUAGCUUUUUCUCCAUUCUAUAACGCUCAAACUCACUUUUCAUGCAUGCUAGAUCAAUACAAAGUUGGUCAUAAGUAAGUGAUACAAGUGCAAGACGACGACUAUUAAAUAAGAAGGAAUACUUAUUAGUAUGUCCAUCAAUUUUAACUUCUCGCCUCGACAUCCAUGCUUUGCCCAACAACACAUGUGUCACUUGAAUUGGGACUACAUCACACAACACCUCAUCCACAUAUUUGCUGAUUUGAAUAGGUACAAGUGUGUGCUUAGUAACCCAAACAUCCCUAUGAGUGCUCGUCAACUUGUAAGGUUGAAGAUGAUCAAUGGUUGGAAGAUUUAAUUUCUCAACCAUGAUAGCACUUGCAAGAUUGACUUCACAACUACCAUCAAUGGCCAAGCUACAAAUUUUAUCUUUGACACCGCAACGAGUAUAAAACCAACCAAGCAACUGAGAUUUGACGAGGUCCAAUUGCUCAUCUACACCACGUAAUGCCACUUCUUUGACUCCCUUAGGAUCAGGAAGACAAUGUUGUGGGCUAGCUUUUAUGUGUCUUAUACUCGCCAUGACGUAUGAGGGAACCUGCAAAAAGUUAGCAACGAAACCGAAGAUAUUGCCUUUCACGCUCCCUUACGUGUAUCCACUCGCACUCGUGUAUAUGGAUGUCACUCUAAUGGACUUACCAAAUACCUUUACCUGUUGGGUUAGGUAGUUGAGAAAUGCUGCUCAAGUCCAACAACCGUUACCAACCUUUCCACAAGUGUAAUCACAAGAAUGUAGGAGAAAAUGUAUGAAAGUGUUCCUAGAAUCUAGGAAGAGAAUAUAGGAGAGUUUCAUAAAGUGGAUGAGAGAAUAUAGGAAAGGUCCUAAAAAUGGAUGAGAGAAUUUUAGGAGAGUUUCCUAAAAAAUGGAUGAGAGAAUUUAGGAAAGUUUCCAAAAAAAUGGAUGAGAGAGUUUAGGAAAAUUUCCUAAAAAGGUAGGAGAGAGAGUGUCCAAGUGAGUACAAAGAGUUAUCCAAGUGCUUUACUUAGUUUCCUAAUUGAUUUUGGAAACAAGUUAGUUUUUGGAAACCUUUUGAAAAUCCUCUUCCUCUUGAACAACUUUUGGUAACCUUCUUGAAACAACUUUUGGUAACCUUCUUGAAACAACUUUUGGUAACUUCCAAAUUCUACUCCAAGAAAGAUUGCACAAAUCAGAUUUGGUUCUCUAUUCAAAACAAUUCGGUUGCCCCUUUCUUUCCUUGCCUUUUUUUUUUUCUCUUGCCAACCAAUUCCUCUUUUCUUUCUUCUUUUUUUUUGUCUUUUUUUGACUACAACUAUCAACCACGACACAAAACAAGGAAGUCCACAAAUAAUAACAACCAAGAACUCCAAGAUCUUUCAAGAACGUUCAAGGAAGUUGUCAGGAACUUCAGAAAUUUCAAGAUUGUGGUCAAGAAUUCAAGAAGCUCAAGAUUAUUGUAAGUUCUCUUCACGAUUCACAAAAUUCCAACAAUUUUUGCCAAAAUUCAGAUUUGAAAACCAAGUAAACAAGUUGGAUAACACAAACAACAAGGCUGGACAGAUUUGUAUUCGGAUGAACAGAACCCUAUGAACAGUAUCAGUGAACAGUGUCGGUGAACAGUAACGAUGAACAGUAAUAUUUUUUUUUUUUUUUUGGUUCUGAACAAACGAACAGAUUGGGAUAAACACAUAUGACUCGAAAUAAACGAAAACAAAAAAAAAGAUAUAACCUGGUGGUUGUCAACUAGCUCUGGUACCAACUGAUGUGAAACCCCGAUCUAGACAACCAAAACACCAUGGCUUAGGCAGCGAAAAUUUGACCCAACUAAUCCCUAGAAGUCACGAACAAUUUUGAUAUUAUCUCAACCCGUAACUACUCGAAUUAACGAACCAAAUUGGAGGUAGUAGAACGCCACAAUCAAGGAGAUACUCGAUUGAUAAGUUCGGGUGAAUAACUUGAGAAGAUUCUCAAGUAUUCAAAGGCAACUCUCUUGCCAAAGAGAAAGUGAAAACUCACUAAUUGUAUUUAAUAGCCAAAAACUCGUCCCAAAACAAAGAGGAAGUGAGGCUAUUUAUAGCCCUUACAAGCAUUAACCCUAAUCCAAAAGUUGACCAAACUACCCUACAUACUCAAGAAAGAUUUUGGGCCUUACUUACUAACAAAUGGGCCGCAAUUAAACUAUCUUAAUUACCUAGAUUUUUAAAACGAGAAAUAACCAAAAUCAACGAGGAAAAUCAAAUAAUCCUACUAAACUCAAGCAUUCGUGCAAUCAACUAGUCUUCACUUGAAUCUUUCAAUUCCCCGUGUGCUUGAAUGGGCAUUGGUCUUUAUAUUCUCAUCAAUUUUCCUCUCCCUUUUAUUGACCAGAUGAUAGAAAGAUUGGCUGGUCGUGUUUACUAUUAUUUUUUGGAUAAUUUUUCAGGGUACUUCAGAUCUCGAUAGCACCGGAGGACCAGGAAAAGACCACAUUCACCUGCCCAUUUGGUACUUUUGCGUACCGUAGGAUGCCUUUCGAUCUUUGCAAUGCUCCAACAACUUUUCAAAGGUACAUGGUAAGUAUUUUCUCCGAAUAUGUAAAAAGAUUAUUGAUGUGUUCAUGAAUGAUUUUAGUGUAUACGGGGAUAGCUUUGAUGAAUGUUUCGAUAAUUUAGCUGUAAUUUUGAAAAUGUGCAUAGAGACGAACUUAGUUCUUAAUUGGAAAAAAUGCGCUUUAUGGUAGAGUAUGGUAUUGUCUUAGGGCACGUUGUGUCGGCUAAGGGAAUAGAGGUAGAUAAAGCAAAAAUAGAUCUAAUUUCUACUUUGCCUUACCCUGUAUGUGUACGGGAAGUACGUUUCUUUUUGGGCCAUACAGGAUUUUAUAGGAGGUUCAUCAAGGAUUUCUCAAAGAUUGGAGCACCCCUAUUCGAGUUGCUGCAAAAGGACGUGACAUUCGAUUUCACCAAUGAAUAUAAGGUGGCUUUUGAUAAAUUAAAGGAGUCGUUGACAUCGCCGCCCGUCAUUCAACCCCCAGAUUGGAGCCUACCGUUUGAAAUAAUGUGCGAUGCGAGUGAUUAUGAGGUAGAAGCAGUGUUGGGCCAAAGGAUUGGCAAGGUGGCGCAUGCAAUUUACUAUGCGUCGAAAGCAUUGAGUGGAGCUCAACUUAACUACUCCACGACGGAGAAAGAAUUACUAGCCGUUGUUUUUGCACUAGAAAAAUUUAGGUCAUAUUUAUUAGGUGCAUGUAGACACCAAAAAUUUCAUCGAUUCAGUUUUAGCUUUAUUCAUUCAAUUUUGACUUCCUUUGAUUCAAUUUUUAGUUUUAUUAUUAUUAUUUAUUCUUGUCUCAUAUUUAUUAUUUUUAAUUGAUUGGAGGUUGCAAAUGGUAAUUGAUGUUCAUUCUUAUUUUAAAUGCAUUAAAAUUCAUCAUUUUCUUUUUAAAGCAAUUUUACACUAAAUUUUAGGAAAAUCCCGAAUAAAGAUCCAUUUUAUCUUUUUAAAAUUUGAUUUUUUCUUGCUAAGGCAUUUUGCAAGGUAAUUUUUAAAAAUUAAGCAUGUUAAACAAGUGUGUCAAUUGCAUGUUGAACAAGUGUGCAAAUAAGCAUUAGACAAGUGGUUGAGGAAUGGUAGGACAAGUGUAUAGGGGGUAGCUGUCAAGGACACUUGGGGGGUUUUUUGGGGGGCAUCGGAAAAAAAAGGAAGAAAAAACCCUCGAAGAGGCUUGAAAACAGGGGGAAGAGAAAAGAGCUAAAAACAGGGAGGGGGCUUCGGAGGAAAGGGGAGAGGAAAAACGAAAUCGAAAAAGGAGGGGAGAGUAGGGAAAAAUCUGGGGAGAGUCUGUGGGCUAAGAAAAACAGCGGAGAGAUAGCGGAAAAAAAGGAGAAAAAGAACGGCUGAGGGGAAGGCUAAAAAUCUGAAAAGAGAAGAAGGCUUCGGCUGGGAGAAGCUGGAGUGGAAAAAAUAGAAAAAGGGAGAACGGCUGCGGUUGAGGGCCGAGAGAGUGGAGAGCCGAGGAGGAAAAAUCAGAAAAGGAGGAGAAAAAUCAAGGGCGGCGGAUGAAGGGAAAAGCUGGGAAAAUUAGAAACAGAGAAAGAGAGGAUAGCAGCGGACAAAGAGCUUGCGACUGAGGAAGCAGAGCAGCUGGAACUGCCGUUCGCGGGAAGCUGUUGCCGCCCUCUUCCGUCACGCGCGACGCCAGCUUCAUCGCUUCUUCCAUCAUAGUUCAAGCUCCGCCCUCUGCCGGCACAAACAAGUGGCCAACCGCCCGCCCAAGCAACCAAAUCCGAGAUCAGCACCCGCAAAAUUUUACCAAGAAACAAACGGUAAGCCACCAUCAUCCUUCAAAUUUCAGUUUUCAUGUAAGUUUUCGAAGCGUGUUUUAUUUUUCACGUUGUGGCUUGUAGCCAUUUCUCUGUUGAAUUAUUCACUAAUUGGAAGUAUGUAUGCUUUGAAUGUCGAUUGGACUGGAGUUUUCUUGCAUUUGAUGAAAUUUUGGGUGCUGAUUCAUGUCAAUUGAGCGAGAAAUUGGUGAAGUUUUUUAAUGGCUGUUUGUUGUUCGACAGAAUGCUUCAAUGAAAGUUCGGCCUGAAGAAUGGAUUAAUUUCUGAUUUAUAUACGUUCGACUGUUUCAUGCUUGUCAAAAUAAUUGAUUCGAAUGGGUUUGUUUGGGCGUCCGUUUGUUUUGGCAAUCUGCUCCGCUUCUCGUUUGUUUGGUGUUCCUCUUGUAUGGAUUUAAAUUCAUGACAUAAAAUGGCGUGCGAGGGGAUUCAUGUGAGAGUCAUUUGUUUUGCUUUUGUUUUGUUUUGUUGAUUGGAGUCCGAAGUUGAAUUUUCUGGUUGCAAAGAGGAAUGAAAUAGCAGCGAACGUUGAGCCAAUUUGGGAAGAAGAGGAUUGCUUGAUUAAAUUCAUGAUUCCAGUCCCUCAAUUUCCCUUUCCAUUAUGAUUUAACCCCAGAAUUUUAGGACUUCAUAAUUUUUCCUCCAACACCUUCAUAAGUCCUUCAAUUAGGUCCCUGCUCUUGUUGCAUUUUAACCCCUCAGCUUCCCCUUGUUCUGAUAUGACCCGAAAAGUGGAAAAAGUGCGUUUGUUUCUCCCUUCUAGAUUUAAAUCAUCUUCUAAUAAGCAUGAAUAGUCCUUUUACUAGAUUAAUUCUUGUUUGUAGGUUCUAAUUGUGGUUCAAUAAUUUAUUUUGAUUUUAUCAUGUUGGGUUUAAUGAAACAAGUGCCUUGGGCUAAGAGGUUAUUUUUGUUUGGGUUUAAGAAAGUCGUUUUAGUUUAUUUUGUUUGGUUUUUUGGUUCGGGCUAGAGGGUCAAGGCCCAUCUAUUUGGUUGGCUAAUUUUUGGGCCAGGAUAUUAUACUAGCCCACUUGUUUUCCUUGGACUUUCGAUUGGGCCAAGUUAUCUUGGCCCAAGAAAGGUGAAGAUGGCCCAUUCCCUUUUUGUUUUGGAUUUUCGGUUGGGCUUGUAAGGCUUUGGCCCAAACAAAUAAAGGAAAUGGCCCAAUGGCUUGGUCCAUUAAGAAACCAGAAAACGAUUUUGCAAAUCAGUCCCUGAAUUUCUCCCUAAUUGUAUUGUGGCCCUGGACAUUUUCAACUUCUUUCAAUUCGGUCCUUGCUUUAAUUGCAAAUAGGUCCCUGAACUUUAUUUUUCUUUAAUUUUGACCUCCAAACUUUGUCAAUCUUUGCAAUCAGGUCCUUUCUUCUCUUGACUUCUUAAAUGUGAAUUGUCGACAUGAUUUAAUUGAUUCAAAUUCAUGCUUAUUUUUUAUCCUUUGUGAUUAUUUGCCAAAUAAAUUGGUACCUUGACCUUUUUAUUGUUUUGAAGCUAAUAUCUCAUUUACUCGAUUUCCGUUGCGAGGGAGGUAACUUCUAUAUUUUUGAGUUUAUUUUUUCCUACGUGCUCCUACGUGUUAUGUGAAUAUGCCUGUCUACUUUGCUUUCUUUGCCUUUCUUUAAUUCUUUUCAUUUUUUUUUACUUACUUUUGCUUUUUAUUUAAGUUAUUCAUUAUGGGGUAUGUGUACACCUCUUGGCUUGUAAUAGUUAGGGAUUUAAUUAUUUUAUUCUUUUCCCCCUUUUAGAUUGUAGUGGGGUCUCCCUAAUGUAAUAGAUAGGGUUUGGAGGAGCAUUCAAUGAAGACCUAUCGAAGACUUGUGCCUAGCUAGCAAAUGUAAUAGUUAGGGCUUUAAUUGUCUCAUGUGCCUUGCAUGCUUAGUUGCUACGUGUUAAUUUGCUUUGCUAGGGCCUUGCAUCUAGUCGAGCAUGCAAAAUGUUAUGUGCUAUGUGUUUAUAAGUGUUUGGCAUGUCUACUCGCUUUCCAUAGCCUGAAUAAAUGUGAUGGAUGAAUGUACGUCACCACACUAGUCCAAUGCUAGUUGUGGCUCAUUAUUUCAUUAGGAAUUCAUAGAAAGGGCUAGUCCAACGCUAGACCCAAUAGGAUUUUUCCUUUGUUUUUCAUUAAUGCAUUAUUUGCCUGUUCACUACAUAUCAUGCAUUUUUCCUUAGUUUUAUCAUCUGGCAUGCUCCUCGAUUCCCCUUUCCCCUCACUUUAGGAUUUUUGCAUUUCAUGCUAGUUAUAGGGUUCAUUUGCCUGAAGAGUCCCCUUCUGAUAAGGGAAACGAGCGAGUGUGGCUACUCGAUAGCCUUAGCACGCUAGUUUCGCCUUCUAAUCAAAGGGAAGAUUAAGUCACAAAGUUAGGACUCCCCGUUCCCGUCUUGAUGCAUUCCUAUAGGAUUCAUGCAUUCUAUUCAUUCACUAUCACAUACACUUACUUUAUAUUCUAACCCUUUUUCCACAUUCUCACUUCACACUACUUUUACACGUUUUCAUUUAACUACUCACACUCUAUGCCAUAUCACUCGCACACAUGCACUUUAUAUUAUUUUCACAUUAUCAUUCUUUACUCACCUUACCUUGUAAAUACAUUUGCACACCUCCACUUUUCUCACUUCACAUAAACUUACAUUUUCACAUGACAUGCACCCCAUUCAUUUUUACGUCAUUUAGGAUUACGUGUGACCUCUCCAAAGGAUCAUUAUUGGGCUUCACAAUUAAUGUGAUUGGCACCACUCAACCUUUGAAGAGAAAUUUCCCCCAAUACCCCUAGGUCUAGGGUUUUGCAUUCAUAUAGACAUAUCCAACACGCGAUACAUACCUUGGGUAGAAAAAUUAGGAAAAAUUGGUUUAAGUCACGCAACUAGCCUUGGCUAGGUCGAAGGGGUGCCUUGGAUUUUUUAUCCUUGCCUUCCCCUUCGUCAAAUGUGACCCCCGAUCCCUCUUUUUGGUUACGUAGACCCAAAAGUUCUUUAAAAGGGUUUAUUUACUUUUUUUAUUCAAAAACAAAAAACCAUUUUUUGGGUGACUUGGUACACCCUAACCCUAUACCAAGUGGCGACUCCAUUUUUGAUACAAAAAACCCUUUUUGAACUUUAUAUGGCCAAACCGUCGCAUUAUCAAGUCCCAUGGCCUUUUACUUUUCAUUUACACACGUUCACAUUCCAUUACACCACUCACAUCUCACACCACACACACACCACAACUCAUCAUCUUCGAAAAGUGGGGCGCGACAGUUGGCGACUCCACUGGGGAAGCUCCUAAGUGGGUCCGAGCAUUUGACUUAGCCAUUCGUUUCCUUUUUCUACCCUUUUUAUGCAUUGCACUUGGAUAUUAGGGUUGCAUUUUUUUUAUUUUAGGCCUUUUUGCCUCGUGCGCGUAUCCAACUAUUCCCUCACUCACGUACGUGUGAUUGGUUGAUUGGAUGUAUGUUUACUUGUUUAUCUCGCGCUUGCAUUGCAUUUGGGAGGGGGCGUGUCACCUUUAGAGCCUCACGUUGGUUCUCAACCCCUUCCCUCAAAAUAGGGGAGCACUUCAUACGUGCACGUUUACUUGCUUUUAUCCCAUUUUAUUUUGUUUUUCGUGGGCGUUUCCCACACCGCCUUGUAGGAUUAGGAUCGAUUGCCUUGGGUAGGCGGCUGGUGUGCUCUGCGCCCAUAACGCUACCUAAGGGAUCACUCGAGCCACCGAUCAAAGGCCUUGGGAGUGAUGACCCUUUGCCUUUAGGUCUGAAGGCUUGGGAGCCGAAGCUUUAUCGAGUCUAGGCAUUAAUGAACCAAACCUCAUGCAUCCAUGUUAGCAUUUGCCUAGGGUAGAGUCAGCCUCACCCUUUUUAAGCACAAUUAGGCACGAGGGAAGGGGUUCCACCCCUUUUUAUUGGCUUUUAUUGUAUUUCUUUUUCUUAAUUGCUCCCAAUAUGUUAUGUGUAUUACCAAUUGCACUAACCAUUCUUUUGUUUUCUUGGCUUGCAUUCAUAUGCCCUAGCAAUAAGAGGCCCUUUUGGCACUCUUUUAGUGACCUAUCCACUAGAUAACUCACAUGUUUAAAUUUCAGUCAUUAUACUUAAUAAAUACAUUUCAUUUUAGACCUUUUUUCCCCCGAUGCAUUAUUUAUGUCCCUUAGGUCAUAUUUGUCACAUAUUUACAUCGCUUUAAUAAAUGACAUCAUGCAUAAACCCUAGAAAGGGAAUGCCAUUUAGGGGAUCCCGUGUCAGGAAUAAGCCACCUUGUGUCUCGGAUACUUAAUCCAGUGAGACUUGCACGUUUACAUUUUGUACCAUCCAAAGGGGGUAGUGCACAAGGUAAGGUAGGAUCCGAUCAUUUUCAUAGAGUGAUCUUUGGGAUAUGAGCAUCUAAUAAUCACUUUUUGGCCAUUUUAUCAAAAAUUGGUAAAAAUUCCUUGCGUGAAGGACAGUAAUUUGAAGAAAUUCACAAAUGAUUCCUUCUAUUGAGACGAUAAAUAAAUUGAGGCCAAAAUUUGAUUUUUAGAAGCUCAUAGACUAAUGCAUCUCAAUCAUUUUGAAAUCACCAAUGGCCGGACAAUUCAACCAAUCCAUUUUACCCAUUCAUUCAAUAAAUCAUCAAUUCAUUUGAUCAAUUUACCCUUUUUAGGGUCAUCCGGUCGAUUUUGAAUAAAUCGUCAAUUCAUUUGACCAAUUUACCCUUUUUAGGGUCACCUGGUCGAUUUUCAAUAAAUCAUCAAUUCAUUUGAUCAAUUUACCCUUUUUAGGGUCACCUGGUCGAUUUUGAAUAAAUCGUCAAUUCAUUUGACCAAUUUACCCUUUUUAGGGUCAUCCGGUCGAUUUUGAAUAAAUCAUCAAUUCAUUUGACCGAUUUACCCUUUUUAGGAUCGUUCGGCCGAUUUUUGAACAAGUCACUAAUUCAAUUUCAUUCAUUUGGCCAAUUUACCUUUUUUUAGGGCAACCGAGCCGUUUUUUGACCUGUUUCCCUUCUAGGGUAAUCCGGUCGAUUUUCAAUAAAUUGUCAAUUUCAUUUGACCAAUUAGGAUUUCAAUGUCGAAUUCCAAAUUGGGAAAUCUAGUCAAUUUUGAAGAAAACCGUCCAUUGCAUCCAAUCACUUGAUCAAUUAGGGUUUUUGACCCGUAAUUCACUGAGAAAUUUUAUCAACGAAUUCCAAUCUCUUCGAUAGGAGUUCGUCAAGGUCAAACCCAUGCGUUUUGCAAAUCAAAGGUGAUCAAUCUAUUCGGACGUUGUCCUCAUUUUGACAAAUCUCUUGCCACUCCAAUGGCCAAAUUUUUCAAAUUAUUUUUCACUCAAUGAGUUGAUCAGAUCCGUCAGGUAUGGUAUAGUGCUUCCCUAGAGGAUUGCAUUUUCAUGCUAGGCCUACCCUUGGCAUAAAAAGGGUUCCCCCAUAGGACAUGCAUACCGAUUUUUUUUUAUUCUUACUUACUGACUCUGGGUAUUUUUCUUUUUGUUUUCCCCUCCCCCUGCAUUUAUAAAAAUGUUUCAAUAAGGCGAGAAUAUUCUUCUAUAUCUGAUAAUUUUGAUCCAAUAAAGCUUGAAGAUUACAAGUAUUACUUGAUUUUUAGGUAGACAUUGCCGCGAAAGCAUAAAGGGGAAAUUCUAUUUAUUUGAUUUGUUAAUACAUUUUGUUCCAAAAGAAAAGGAGACAAAAAGUGUAUGUGUUGAGCUCUUUACGAGUUUCUCUCUUCUCAUUUGUAUCAUAAUUGAUUGAGCAAUUUUGUUUCAAACUUUUUCAACAAUAAAAUUUUUUGGAUAAUUUUUGUUUUGUGUAUAUUUAUGUACAUUUCAUUCUUUAUUCUUACUCAUUGGAGAUUUCAUGAUGAUUUUUGAGAAAUAAGACCCAAUUUGAGAUUUUUCAACCUAUAGCCUGAAUUUCACAAGUGUGUGCUUCCUAAAAUCCUUACACUCGAUUGGUGUUCCAACCUGUACAAUAAGAGUGCUCAGAAAGAAAGAGAGUGAACGGUCACUCAAAAGGCCCUAUGAGAUACCUUUCUCCUUCACUUAAUUCCAAAAUAAAAUCAGUCACAUUGAUUGAUAAAUUGUAAAUUGGGGUAACUUUUGCUUGAAAAUGUUCAAGGCGUCUAAUCUGGUUCAAUCACAUCUAAGUGAAAGCAAAAAUGUGCAUUAUUCUUAUUUGUUUGGAAAAUUUGGAAUGAUACUUCAAGCAUUCGUUUCAUUACCUGUACAGAUUUUUAUCAUUUGCUCUCCCAUUUGAGCUUCUAAAAGAAUAAUUUCGUUUCAAAUAAGGGUCUUAAUGAUCACUACCCGUCAUUGAAAAAUUUUCAAAUAUCAAAAGAAGAAUGGGUUUUCAAUGACCAUUUCGCUACUUCGGUUGUCAUGAGGUAUAAGAAUGAUACUUUGGCCGUCAGUUCUACAAUCUAAACACUGAUCAUCCCUUGCAUCCUCGUUUGAGCUAAAUUGGUGGUUCUUUUCGAGUGCACAUAUGAUCGCACCCCACAUUGGGGAAGGAGAUUGGGAAAUUUUGAAAAAAGGGAAAAGAAAAGGGGAAAAGCAAAAAAUGCUAGAAUAAGGAGGGAACCGCAAAUUUGGGGAAUUUGAUUCCACUUGGGUUCCAAUUUUGAAAAAAAAAAAGAAAAGAAAAAGAAGAAAACAAGUUCUAUCCGGUGGAUCACUUAUGUUUCAUAGACAUGAAUGAGCAAGGGUCUUCCUCAGUCAGUUAAUUCAGAUACAUGCCAAAAAUUUCCCAUUAAUGAAAAUUUCUUUUCAGAGUUAAUGUAAGGAACGGAAUACAAGUCAGGCCAUCUUCUUUUCCGAUCAAGCAUCUAUCCCUAGUUAUCCCUUUUGAGCAUUCAGAAUGAAAUACUUCGUUUGGCAACCCCUGAGAAUCGCAAACCCCACACUGGGGCAAGUUGGUUUGAAAAAGGAAAAUUUCAAGAAGCGGAAAAGUGAAAAGCCACAAAAUCAAAAGGCAAAGGAAGAAAAGAGAACCUCAGUUCAAAAAUAAACUGGGGCAAAUUUUGUGAAAGUUCGAAAAAAUGGCCGAAGGCCGAAAAAUCAAAAGAAAGAAAAUAAAAGUGAAAAAGCCUCAAUUGAGCAAAAACUGGGGCAAAUUCUGAUUUUACCCUAAAAUAGGGUUGACGCAACAAUGCGAUUUCAGAUUCUUCAAACCACUUUUGAAAUCCGCUUUCAAGCCUUAACUUUUCUAAGCACCCCACCUGACCCCAUUACAAAAGCCAAAAGUCCUGACUUCUGUUCUUUGCAAUGGCCCUGUCAAGAAAAUUUCUGAUGCCGGAAAAUUUUAGCUGUAUUGCUGAAUUGCUUGAGUAUGAGGUUGGCGCUACUCAUGUGAAAACCCAUCAGCUCGAGGGAAAAGAAAAGAGGCAAAAAGCAAAGCAAGAAAAGUAAAUGCAAGGAAAAUGCAAAAAGACUUGACGCUGAAGUCCCUGGGGAAUGAUGAGAAAAUCCAAACAAAGUCUGAAAUCUUUUGAGUUCAAAUAGGGGCAAUUUUGGAAAAAUGUGAUCUUCGGUGCAAUGUCCUUGAAAGUUUUAUUCUUUAGCUAUCGUUUUUCAAGCCAAAUUACAAGCUAAGAAAGUCCAUCGUUGACUUAUUCCUUCAUGACAAUCCAAAGUGAGGAUCAUACUCAUAAGAAAUUCAUCAAAUCAUUUGUGAUCAUAAGGGUAUAACCCGUUUCCACAUGUUUAGCUAUCACUUCUGUCCAUACGUUACAAGCCUAGAAAGCUGGUAUGUUGACUAAGUUUUCUUGAAAAAUAAGGGUGACAAACUCUUUGCUUUCACUAAGAUGUGACAUUGAAUGGAUUACAUACAAUUGGGGCACAAAAAUGAGACAGAUUCUGACCUCUCAUUUUCCUUCAGCCACUUCCAAAUCAAAAAUAAAGUCACUUGAUUGGUCCUGAAAAAUGAGCCAACCAGAAGUGGUGACCCGUUACCCUAAACACCAAUGCUAAAAGUGAGGAAGAAAUCUUCUUGAAUUUGGUGUUACUUCGAGGAAUUCAUCAUGAAAUUUCUGCAUGAGUUUCAAACUUGACGUUUAAAGUUUCUUCACAUUGUUGUAUAUGUGCACUCUUUUCUAAAUUUUAGAAAGUGCGGUUUUUCUUUGUUCAAAUCAAUGGGAAAUCAUCUGAACAAAUUUUUGCAAUUAAGGGAGCCCACACUGGGGCAAAAAUUUUAUUUGUGAGAUUUCAUGAAAUAAGCCCAUACUGGGGCAAAUUUUUUGUAAUACAUUUGAGAUUUGUGUCCAAAAAUCAAAUAAUAACAUUUUUCGAAACAAUCCCGCUGCUCUUUUCCUGGAAUUUAAGUGCAUGUCAUACUUUGAUGAACCCCUUGUACAGGUAUUCAUGAUUCAAAAUGACGAAAGGCAUCCAGUAAGGCGGAAGGCCGAUACUGCAAAGAGAAGCAAGAAGAAGGAGGAAAAAUGGACACUACACUUGGGGCAAAUUAUUUUUUUAAAAUUUUUGAAAAAAGGGAAAAAAGAAGGAAAAAAGAAAAAAAGAGAAAAAACCAAAAAUCAAAUCAAAAAGUCAAAAAUCAAGUUCAAAUUCUUGUUUCUUGAAAAAUCAAAUUUGAUUUCUUGUGGGCGAAGCUCCAAUGCACGCCGCGCAUCAUUCUGUUCCCCCCUUCUCUUGACAUUCCAAAUCAAGUUGGGCCUGGAUUUCGUGCCACCAACAUCAUUUUAUCACGUUGGGCCUGGACUUGGUGCCGCCAACAUCACUUUAUCACGUUGGGCCUGGACUUGGUGCCGCCAACAUCACUUUAUCACGUUGGGCCUGGACUUGGUGCCGCCAACAUCACUUUAUCACGUUGGGCCUGGACUUGGUGCCGCCAACUUCACUUUAUCACGUUGGGCCUGGACUUGGUGCCGCCAACAUCACUUUAUCACGUUGGGCUUGGUUUUCGUGCCACCAACUUCGCUUUGUCACGUUGGGCUUGGAUUUAGUGCCACCAACAUUACAAAAGUCACAUUGGACCGGGUUUUAUCCCGCCAAUCUCGGCAGGACCGGGUCUAAUCCCGCUGACCGCUUACAGGACCGGGUCUAAUCCCGCUGACAGGCAGGACCGGGUCUAAUCCCGCUGACCGCUUACUUCGGCAGGACCGGGUCUAAUCCCGCUGACCGCUCACCUCGGCAGGACCGGGUCUAAUCCCGCUGACCGCUCACCUCGGCAGGACCGGGUCUAAUCCCGCUGACCGCUCACCUCGGCAGGACCGGGUUUUAUCCCGCUGACCGUCCACACCCCGUCGGCCUCAGAUGUUAUCCCACCGACCAAUUCAUCACACUGGGGCAAAUUUUUUAGAUAAUUUUUCAAACAAGUCCUAUACAGUUCUCUAUUUAAUUUUCUGUUCGGGUCUAUCCCAUGGGUCUGUCCCAUCUACAUUUUUAUCCGAGUCUAUCGCAUUUACAUUCCUGUCCGGGUCUAUCCCGUUUACAAUUCUGUUCAGGCCAGUCCCAUGUUUGAAAUUCCUUGUUUAGGUCAGCCCUCCGAAUAGGGGCAACCGAAUGGUACAGGUAAGCAUUUGGUGUCUACUUCUUUGUCUCAAGUUUUUUCAAAACUCAGACAAAGAGGGGCAAACUGUAGACACCAAAAAUUUCAUCGAUUCAGUUUUAGCUUUAUUCAUUCAAUUUUGACUUCCUUUGAUUCAAUUUUUAGUUUUAUUAUUAUUAUUUAUUCUUGUCUCAUAUUUAUUAUUUUUAAUUGAUUGGAGGUUGCAAAUGGUAAUUGAUGUUCAUUCUUAUUUUAAAUGCAUUAAAAUUCAUCAUUUUCUUUUUAAAGCAAUUUUACACUAAAUUUUAGGAAAAUCCCGAAUAAAGAUCCAUUUUAUCUUUUUAAAAUUUGAUUUUUUCUUGCUAAGGCAUUUUGCAAGGUAAUUUUUAAAAAUUAAGCAUGUUAAACAAGUGUGUCAAUUGCAUGUUGAACAAGUGUGCAAAUAAGCAUUAGACAAGUGGUUGAGGAAUGGUAGGACAAGUGUAUAGGGGGUAGCUGUCAAGGACACUUGGGGGGUUUUUUGGGGGGCAUCGGAAAAAAAAGGAAGAAAAAACCCUCGAAGAGGCUUGAAAACAGGGGGAAGAGAAAAGAGCUAAAAACAGGGAGGGGGCUUCGGAGGAAAGGGGAGAGGAAAAACGAAAUCGAAAAAGGAGGGGAGAGUAGGGAAAAAUCUGGGGAGAGUCUGUGGGCUAAGAAAAACAGCGGAGAGAUAGCGGAAAAAAAGGAGAAAAAGAACGGCUGAGGGGAAGGCUAAAAAUCUGAAAAGAGAAGAAGGCUUCGGCUGGGAGAAGCUGGAGUGGAAAAAAUAGAAAAAGGGAGAACGGCUGCGGUUGAGGGCCGAGAGAGUGGAGAGCCGAGGAGGAAAAAUCAGAAAAGGAGGAGAAAAAUCAAGGGCGGCGGAUGAAGGGAAAAGCUGGGAAAAUUAGAAACAGAGAAAGAGAGGAUAGCAGCGGACAAAGAGCUUGCGACUGAGGAAGCAGAGCAGCUGGAACUGCCGUUCGCGGGAAGCUGUUGCCGCCCUCUUCCGUCACGCGCGACGCCAGCUUCAUCGCUUCUUCCAUCAUAGUUCAAGCUCCGCCCUCUGCCGGCACAAACAAGUGGCCAACCGCCCGCCCAAGCAACCAAAUCCGAGAUCAGCACCCGCAAAAUUUUACCAAGAAACAAACGGUAAGCCACCAUCAUCCUUCAAAUUUCAGUUUUCAUGUAAGUUUUCGAAGCGUGUUUUAUUUUUCACGUUGUGGCUUGUAGCCAUUUCUCUGUUGAAUUAUUCACUAAUUGGAAGUAUGUAUGCUUUGAAUGUCGAUUGGACUGGAGUUUUCUUGCAUUUGAUGAAAUUUUGGGUGCUGAUUCAUGUCAAUUGGGCGAGAAAUUGGUGAAGUUUUUUAAUGGCUGUUUGUUGUUCGACAGAAUGCUUCAAUGAAAGUUCGGCCUGAAGAAUGGAUUAAUUUCUGAUUUAUAUACGUUCGACUGUUUCAUGCUUGUCAAAAUAAUUGAUUCGAAUGGGUUUGUUUGGGCGUCCGUUUGUUUUGGCAAUCUGCUCCGCUUCUCGUUUGUUUGGUGUUCCUCUUGUAUGGAUUUAAAUUCAUGACAUAAAAUGGCGUGCGAGGGGAUUCAUGUGAGAGUCAUUUGUUUUGCUUUUGUUUUGUUUUGUUGAUUGGAGUCCGAAGUUGAAUUUUCUGGUUGCAAAGAGGAAUGAAAUAGCAGCGAACGUUGAGCCAAUUUGGGAAGAAGAGGAUUGCUUGAUUAAAUUCAUGAUUCCAGUCCCUCAAUUUCCCUUUCCAUUAUGAUUUAACCCCAGAAUUUUAGGACUUCAUAAUUUUUCCUCCAACACCUUCAUAAGUCCUUCAAUUAGGUCCCUGCUCUUGUUGCAUUUUAACCCCUCAGCUUCCCCUUGUUCUGAUAUGACCCGAAAAGUGGAAAAAGUGCGUUUGUUUCUCCCUUCUAGAUUUAAAUCAUCUUCUAAUAAGCAUGAAUAGUCCUUUUACUAGAUUAAUUCUUGUUUGUAGGUUCUAAUUGUGGUUCAAUAAUUUAUUUUGAUUUUAUCAUGUUGGGUUUAAUGAAACAAGUGCCUUGGGCUAAGAGGUUAUUUUUGUUUGGGUUUAAGAAAGUCGUUUUAGUUUAUUUUGUUUGGUUUUUUGGUUCGGGCUAGAGGGUCAAGGCCCAUCUAUUUGGUUGGCUAAUUUUUGGGCCAGGAUAUUAUACUAGCCCACUUGUUUUCCUUGGACUUUCGAUUGGGCCAAGUUAUCUUGGCCCAAGAAAGGUGAAGAUGGCCCAUUCCCUUUUUGUUUUGGAUUUUCGGUUGGGCUUGUAAGGCUUUGGCCCAAACAAAUAAAGGAAAUGGCCCAAUGGCUUGGUCCAUUAAGAAACCAGAAAACGAUUUUGCAAAUCAGUCCCUGAAUUUCUCCCUAAUUGUAUUGUGGCCCUGGACAUUUUCAACUUCUUUCAAUUCGGUCCUUGCUUUAAUUGCAAAUAGGUCCCUGAACUUUAUUUUUCUUUAAUUUUGACCUCCAAACUUUGUCAAUCUUUGCAAUCAGGUCCUUUCUUCUCUUGACUUCUUAAAUGUGAAUUGUCGACAUGAUUUAAUUGAUUCAAAUUCAUGCUUAUUUUUUAUCCUUUGUGAUUAUUUGCCAAAUAAAUUGGUACCUUGACCUUUUUAUUGUUUUGAAGCUAAUAUCUCAUUUACUCGAUUUCCGUUGCGAGGGAGGUAACUUCUAUAUUUUUGAGUUUAUUUUUUCCUACGUGCUCCUACGUGUUAUGUGAAUAUGCCUGUCUACUUUGCUUUCUUUGCCUUUCUUUAAUUCUUUUCAUUUUUUUUUACUUACUUUUGCUUUUUAUUUAAGUUAUUCAUUAUGGGGUAUGUGUACACCUCUUGGCUUGUAAUAGUUAGGGAUUUAAUUAUUUUAUUCUUUUCCCCCUUUUAGAUUGUAGUGGGGUCUCCCUAAUGUAAUAGAUAGGGUUUGGAGGAGCAUUCAAUGAAGACCUAUCGAAGACUUGUGCCUAGCUAGCAAAUGUAAUAGUUAGGGCUUUAAUUGUCUCAUGUGCCUUGCAUGCUUAGUUGCUACGUGUUAAUUUGCUUUGCUAGGGCCUUGCAUCUAGUCGAGCAUGCAAAAUGUUAUGUGCUAUGUGUUUAUAAGUGUUUGGCAUGUCUACUCGCUUUCCAUAGCCUGAAUAAAUGUGAUGGAUGAAUGUACGUCACCACACUAGUCCAAUGCUAGUUGUGGCUCAUUAUUUCAUUAGGAAUUCAUAGAAAGGGCUAGUCCAACGCUAGACCCAAUAGGAUUUUUCCUUUGUUUUUCAUUAAUGCAUUAUUUGCCUGUUCACUACAUAUCAUGCAUUUUUCCUUAGUUUUAUCAUCUGGCAUGCUCCUCGAUUCCCCUUUCCCCUCACUUUAGGAUUUUUGCAUUUCAUGCUAGUUAUAGGGUUCAUUUGCCUGAAGAGUCCCCUUCUGAUAAGGGAAACGAGCGAGUGUGGCUACUCGAUAGCCUUAGCACGCUAGUUUCGCCUUCUAAUCAAAGGGAAGAUUAAGUCACAAAGUUAGGACUCCCCGUUCCCGUCUUGAUGCAUUCCUAUAGGAUUCAUGCAUUCUAUUCAUUCACUAUCACAUACACUUACUUUAUAUUCUAACCCUUUUUCCACAUUCUCACUUCACACUACUUUUACACGUUUUCAUUUAACUACUCACACUCUAUGCCAUAUCACUCGCACACAUGCACUUUAUAUUAUUUUCACAUUAUCAUUCUUUACUCACCUUACCUUGUAAAUACAUUUGCACACCUCCACUUUUCUCACUUCACAUAAACUUACAUUUUCACAUGACAUGCACCCCAUUCAUUUUUACGUCAUUUAGGAUUACGUGUGACCUCUCCAAAGGAUCAUUAUUGGGCUUCACAAUUAAUGUGAUUGGCACCACUCAACCUUUGAAGAGAAAUUUCCCCCAAUACCCCUAGGUCUAGGGUUUUGCAUUCAUAUAGACAUAUCCAACACGCGAUACAUACCUUGGGUAGAAAAAUUAGGAAAAAUUGGUUUAAGUCACGCAACUAGCCUUGGCUAGGUCGAAGGGGUGCCUUGGAUUUUUUAUCCUUGCCUUCCCCUUCGUCAAAUGUGACCCCCGAUCCCUCUUUUUGGUUACGUAGACCCAAAAGUUCUUUAAAAGGGUUUAUUUACUUUUUUUAUUCAAAAACAAAAAACCAUUUUUUGGGUGACUUGGUACACCCUAACCCUAUACCAAGUGGCGACUCCAUUUUUGAUACAAAAAACCCUUUUUGAACUUUAUAUGGCCAAACCGUCGCAUUAUCAAGUCCCAUGGCCUUUUACUUUUCAUUUACACACGUUCACAUUCCAUUACACCACUCACAUCUCACACCACACACACACCACAACUCAUCAUCUUCGAAAAGUGGGGCGCGACAGUUGGCGACUCCACUGGGGAAGCUCCUAAGUGGGUCCGAGCAUUUGACUUAGCCAUUCGUUUCCUUUUUCUACCCUUUUUAUGCAUUGCACUUGGAUAUUAGGGUUGCAUUUUUUUUAUUUUAGGCCUUUUUGCCUCGUGCGCGUAUCCAACUAUUCCCUCACUCACGUACGUGUGAUUGGUUGAUUGGAUGUAUGUUUACUUGUUUAUCUCGCGCUUGCAUUGCAUUUGGGAGGGGGCGUGUCACCUUUAGAGCCUCACGUUGGUUCUCAACCCCUUCCCUCAAAAUAGGGGAGCACUUCAUACGUGCACGUUUACUUGCUUUUAUCCCAUUUUAUUUUGUUUUUCGUGGGCGUUUCCCACACCGCCUUGUAGGAUUAGGAUCGAUUGCCUUGGGUAGGCGGCUGGUGUGCUCUGCGCCCAUAACGCUACCUAAGGGAUCACUCGAGCCACCGAUCAAAGGCCUUGGGAGUGAUGACCCUUUGCCUUUAGGUCUGAAGGCUUGGGAGCCGAAGCUUUAUCGAGUCUAGGCAUUAAUGAACCAAACCUCAUGCAUCCAUGUUAGCAUUUGCCUAGGGUAGAGUCAGCCUCACCCUUUUUAAGCACAAUUAGGCACGAGGGAAGGGGUUCCACCCCUUUUUAUUGGCUUUUAUUGUAUUUCUUUUUCUUAAUUGCUCCCAAUAUGUUAUGUGUAUUACCAAUUGCACUAACCAUUCUUUUGUUUUCUUGGCUUGCAUUCAUAUGCCCUAGCAAUAAGAGGCCCUUUUGGCACUCUUUUAGUGACCUAUCCACUAGAUAACUCACAUGUUUAAAUUUCAGUCAUUAUACUUAAUAAAUACAUUUCAUUUUAGACCUUUUUUCCCCCGAUGCAUUAUUUAUGUCCCUUAGGUCAUAUUUGUCACAUAUUUACAUCGCUUUAAUAAAUGACAUCAUGCAUAAACCCUAGAAAGGGAAUGCCAUUUAGGGGAUCCCGUGUCAGGAAUAAGCCACCUUGUGUCUCGGAUACUUAAUCCAGUGAGACUUGCACGUUUACAUUUUGUACCAUCCAAAGGGGGUAGUGCACAAAGUAAGGUAGGAUCCGAUCAUUUUCAUAGAGUGAUCUUUGGGAUAUGAGCAUCUAAUAAUCACUUUUUGGCCAUUUUAUCAAAAAUUGGUAAAAAUUCCUUGCGUGAAGGACAGUAAUUUGAAGAAAUUCACAAAUGAUUCCUUCUAUUGAGACGAUAAAUAAAUUGAGGCCAAAAUUUGAUUUUUAGAAGCUCAUAGACUAAUGCAUCUCAAUCAUUUUGAAAUCACCAAUGGCCGGACAAUUCAACCAAUCCAUUUUACCCAUUCAUUCAAUAAAUCAUCAAUUCAUUUGAUCAAUUUACCCUUUUUAGGGUCAUCCGGUCGAUUUUGAAUAAAUCGUCAAUUCAUUUGACCAAUUUACCCUUUUUAGGGUCACCUGGUCGAUUUUCAAUAAAUCAUCAAUUCAUUUGAUCAAUUUACCCUUUUUAGGGUCACCUGGUCGAUUUUGAAUAAAUCGUCAAUUCAUUUGACCAAUUUACCCUUUUUAGGGUCAUCCGGUCGAUUUUGAAUAAAUCAUCAAUUCAUUUGACCGAUUUACCCUUUUUAGGAUCGUUCGGCCGAUUUUUGAACAAGUCACUAAUUCAAUUUCAUUCAUUUGGCCAAUUUACCUUUUUUUAGGGCAACCGAGCCGUUUUUUGACCUGUUUCCCUUCUAGGGUAAUCCGGUCGAUUUUCAAUAAAUUGUCAAUUUCAUUUGACCAAUUAGGAUUUCAAUGUCGAAUUCCAAAUUGGGAAAUCUAGUCAAUUUUGAAGAAAACCGUCCAUUGCAUCCAAUCACUUGAUCAAUUAGGGUUUUUGACCCGUAAUUCACUGAGAAAUUUUAUCAACGAAUUCCAAUCUCUUCGAUAGGAGUUCGUCAAGGUCAAACCCAUGCGUUUUGCAAAUCAAAGGUGAUCAAUCUAUUCGGACGUUGUCCUCAUUUUGACAAAUCUCUUGCCACUCCAAUGGCCAAAUUUUUCAAAUUAUUUUUCACUCAAUGAGUUGAUCAGAUCCGUCAGGUAUGGUAUAGUGCUUCCCUAGAGGAUUGCAUUUUCAUGCUAGGCCUACCCUUGGCAUAAAAAGGGUUCCCCCAUAGGACAUGCAUACCGAUUUUUUUUUAUUCUUACUUACUGACUCUGGGUAUUUUUCUUUUUGUUUUCCCCUCCCCCUGCAUUUAUAAAAAUGUUUCAAUAAGGCGAGAAUAUUCUUCUAUAUCUGAUAAUUUUGAUCCAAUAAAGCUUGAAGAUUACAAGUAUUACUUGAUUUUUAGGUAGACAUUGCCGCGAAAGCAUAAAGGGGAAAUUCUAUUUAUUUGAUUUGUUAAUACAUUUUGUUCCAAAAGAAAAGGAGACAAAAAGUGUAUGUGUUGAGCUCUUUACGAGUUUCUCUCUUCUCAUUUGUAUCAUAAUUGAUUGAGCAAUUUUGUUUCAAACUUUUUCAACAAUAAAAUUUUUUGGAUAAUUUUUGUUUUGUGUAUAUUUAUGUACAUUUCAUUCUUUAUUCUUACUCAUUGGAGAUUUCAUGAUGAUUUUUGAGAAAUAAGACCCAAUUUGAGAUUUUUCAACCUAUAGCCUGAAUUUCACAAGUGUGUGCUUCCUAAAAUCCUUACACUCGAUUGGUGUUCCAACCUGUACAAUAAGAGUGCUCAGAAAGAAAGAGAGUGAACGGUCACUCAAAAGGCCCUAUGAGAUACCUUUCUCCUUCACUUAAUUCCAAAAUAAAAUCAGUCACAUUGAUUGAUAAAUUGUAAAUUGGGGUAACUUUUGCUUGAAAAUGUUCAAGGCGUCUAAUCUGGUUCAAUCACAUCUAAGUGAAAGCAAAAAUGUGCAUUAUUCUUAUUUGUUUGGAAAAUUUGGAAUGAUACUUCAAGCAUUCGUUUCAUUACCUGUACAGAUUUUUAUCAUUUGCUCUCCCAUUUGAGCUUCUAAAAGAAUAAUUUCGUUUCAAAUAAGGGUCUUAAUGAUCACUACCCGUCAUUGAAAAAUUUUCAAAUAUCAAAAGAAGAAUGGGUUUUCAAUGACCAUUUCGCUACUUCGGUUGUCAUGAGGUAUAAGAAUGAUACUUUGGCCGUCAGUUCUACAAUCUAAACACUGAUCAUCCCUUGCAUCCUCGUUUGAGCUAAAUUGGUGGUUCUUUUCGAGUGCACAUAUGAUCGCACCCCACAUUGGGGAAGGAGAUUGGGAAAUUUUGAAAAAAGGGAAAAGAAAAGGGGAAAAGCAAAAAAUGCUAGAAUAAGGAGGGAACCGCAAAUUUGGGGAAUUUGAUUCCACUUGGGUUCCAAUUUUGAAAAAAAAAAAGAAAAGAAAAAGAAGAAAACAAGUUCUAUCCGGUGGAUCACUUAUGUUUCAUAGACAUGAAUGAGCAAGGGUCUUCCUCAGUCAGUUAAUUCAGAUACAUGCCAAAAAUUUCCCAUUAAUGAAAAUUUCUUUUCAGAGUUAAUGUAAGGAACGGAAUACAAGUCAGGCCAUCUUCUUUUCCGAUCAAGCAUCUAUCCCUAGUUAUCCCUUUUGAGCAUUCAGAAUGAAAUACUUCGUUUGGCAACCCCUGAGAAUCGCAAACCCCACACUGGGGCAAGUUGGUUUGAAAAAGGAAAAUUUCAAGAAGCGGAAAAGUGAAAAGCCACAAAAUCAAAAGGCAAAGGAAGAAAAGAGAACCUCAGUUCAAAAAUAAACUGGGGCAAAUUUUGUGAAAGUUCGAAAAAAUGGCCGAAGGCCGAAAAAUCAAAAGAAAGAAAAUAAAAGUGAAAAAGCCUCAAUUGAGCAAAAACUGGGGCAAAUUCUGAUUUUACCCUAAAAUAGGGUUGACGCAACAAUGCGAUUUCAGAUUCUUCAAACCACUUUUGAAAUCCGCUUUCAAGCCUUAACUUUUCUAAGCACCCCACCUGACCCCAUUACAAAAGCCAAAAGUCCUGACUUCUGUUCUUUGCAAUGGCCCUGUCAAGAAAAUUUCUGAUGCCGGAAAAUUUUAGCUGUAUUGCUGAAUUGCUUGAGUAUGAGGUUGGCGCUACUCAUGUGAAAACCCAUCAGCUCGAGGGAAAAGAAAAGAGGCAAAAAGCAAAGCAAGAAAAGUAAAUGCAAGGAAAAUGCAAAAAGACUUGACGCUGAAGUCCCUGGGGAAUGAUGAGAAAAUCCAAACAAAGUCUGAAAUCUUUUGAGUUCAAAUAGGGGCAAUUUUGGAAAAAUGUGAUCUUCGGUGCAAUGUCCUUGAAAGUUUUAUUCUUUAGCUAUCGUUUUUCAAGCCAAAUUACAAGCUAAGAAAGUCCAUCGUUGACUUAUUCCUUCAUGACAAUCCAAAGUGAGGAUCAUACUCAUAAGAAAUUCAUCAAAUCAUUUGUGAUCAUAAGGGUAUAACCCGUUUCCACAUGUUUAGCUAUCACUUCUGUCCAUACGUUACAAGCCUAGAAAGCUGGUAUGUUGACUAAGUUUUCUUGAAAAAUAAGGGUGACAAACUCUUUGCUUUCACUAAGAUGUGACAUUGAAUGGAUUACAUACAAUUGGGGCACAAAAAUGAGACAGAUUCUGACCUCUCAUUUUCCUUCAGCCACUUCCAAAUCAAAAAUAAAGUCACUUGAUUGGUCCUGAAAAAUGAGCCAACCAGAAGUGGUGACCCGUUACCCUAAACACCAAUGCUAAAAGUGAGGAAGAAAUCUUCUUGAAUUUGGUGUUACUUCGAGGAAUUCAUCAUGAAAUUUCUGCAUGAGUUUCAAACUUGACGUUUAAAGUUUCUUCACAUUGUUGUAUAUGUGCACUCUUUUCUAAAUUUUAGAAAGUGCGGUUUUUCUUUGUUCAAAUCAAUGGGAAAUCAUCUGAACAAAUUUUUGCAAUUAAGGGAGCCCACACUGGGGCAAAAAUUUUAUUUGUGAGAUUUCAUGAAAUAAGCCCAUACUGGGGCAAAUUUUUUGUAAUACAUUUGAGAUUUGUGUCCAAAAAUCAAAUAAUAACAUUUUUCGAAACAAUCCCGCUGCUCUUUUCCUGGAAUUUAAGUGCAUGUCAUACUUUGAUGAACCCCUUGUACAGGUAUUCAUGAUUCAAAAUGACGAAAGGCAUCCAGUAAGGCGGAAGGCCGAUACUGCAAAGAGAAGCAAGAAGAAGGAGGAAAAAUGGACACUACACUUGGGGCAAAUUAUUUUUUUAAAAUUUUUGAAAAAAGGGAAAAAAGAAGGAAAAAAGAAAAAAAGAGAAAAAACCAAAAAUCAAAUCAAAAAGUCAAAAAUCAAGUUCAAAUUCUUGUUUCUUGAAAAAUCAAAUUUGAUUUCUUGUGGGCGAAGCUCCAAUGCACGCCGCGCAUCAUUCUGUUCCCCCCUUCUCUUGACAUUCCAAAUCAAGUUGGGCCUGGAUUUCGUGCCACCAACAUCAUUUUAUCACGUUGGGCCUGGACUUGGUGCCGCCAACAUCACUUUAUCACGUUGGGCCUGGACUUGGUGCCGCCAACAUCACUUUAUCACGUUGGGCCUGGACUUGGUGCCGCCAACUUCACUUUAUCACGUUGGGCCUGGAUUUGGUGCCGCCAACAUCACUUUAUCACGUUGGGCCUGGACUUGGUGCCGCCAACUUCACUUUAUCACGUUGGGCCUGGACUUGGUGCCGCCAACAUCACUUUAUCACGUUGGGCUUGGUUUUCGUGCCACCAACUUCGCUUUGUCACGUUGGGCUUGGAUUUAGUGCCACCAACAUUACAAAAGUCACAUUGGGACCGGGUUUUAUCCCGCCAAUCUCGGCAGGACCGGGUCUAAUCCCGCUGACCGCUUACUUCGGCAGGACCGGGUCUAAUCCCGCUGACCGCUUACUUCGGCAGGACCGGGUCUAAUCCCGCUGACCGCUCACCUCGGCAGGACCGGGUCUAAUCCCGCUGACCGCUUACUUCGGCAGGACCGGGUCUAAUCCCGCUGACCGCUCACCUCGGCAGGACCGGGUUUUAUCCCGCUGACCGUCCACACCCCGUCGGCCUCAGAUGUUAUCCCACCGACCAAUUCAUCACACUGGGGCAAAUUUUUUAGAUAAUUUUUCAAACAAGUCCUAUACAGUUCUCUAUUUAAUUUUCUGUUCGGGUCUAUCCCAUGGGUCUGUCCCAUCUACAUUUUUAUCCGAGUCUAUCGCAUUUACAUUCCUGUCCGGGUCUAUCCCGUUUACAAUUCUGUUCAGGCCAGUCCCAUGUUUGAAAUUCCUUGUUUAGGUCAGCCCUCCGAAUAGGGGCAACCGAAUGGUACAGGUAAGCAUUUGGUGUCUACUUCUUUGUCUCAAGUUUUUUCAAAACUCAGACAAAGAGGGGCAAACUGUAGACACCAAAAAUUUCAUCGAUUCAGUUUUAGCUUUAUUCAUUCAAUUUUGACUUCCUUUGAUUCAAUUUUUAGUUUUAUUAUUAUUAUUUAUUCUUGUCUCAUAUUUAUUAUUUUUAAUUGAUUGGAGGUUGCAAAUGGUAAUUGAUGUUCAUUCUUAUUUUAAAUGCAUUAAAAUUCAUCAUUUUCUUUUUAAAGCAAUUUUACACUAAAUUUUAGGAAAAUCCCGAAUAAAGAUCCAUUUUAUCUUUUUAAAAUUUGAUUUUUUCUUGCUAAGGCAUUUUGCAAGGUAAUUUUUAAAAAUUAAGCAUGUUAAACAAGUGUGUCAAUUGCAUGUUGAACAAGUGUGCAAAUAAGCAUUAGACAAGUGGUUGAGGAAUGGUAGGACAAGUGUAUAGGGGGUAGCUGUCAAGGACACUUGGGGGGUUUUUUGGGGGGCAUCGGAAAAAAAAGGAAGAAAAAACCCUCGAAGAGGCUUGAAAACAGGGGGAAGAGAAAAGAGCUAAAAACAGGGAGGGGGCUUCGGAGGAAAGGGGAGAGGAAAAACGAAAUCGAAAAAGGAGGGGAGAGUAGGGAAAAAUCUGGGGAGAGUCUGUGGGCUAAGAAAAACAGCGGAGAGAUAGCGGAAAAAAAGGAGAAAAAGAACGGCUGAGGGGAAGGCUAAAAAUCUGAAAAGAGAAGAAGGCUUCGGCUGGGAGAAGCUGGAGUGGAAAAAAUAGAAAAAGGGAGAACGGCUGCGGUUGAGGGCCGAGAGAGUGGAGAGCCGAGGAGGAAAAAUCAGAAAAGGAGGAGAAAAAUCAAGGGCGGCGGAUGAAGGGAAAAGCUGGGAAAAUUAGAAACAGAGAAAGAGAGGAUAGCAGCGGACAAAGAGCUUGCGACUGAGGAAGCAGAGCAGCUGGAACUGCCGUUCGCGGGAAGCUGUUGCCGCCCUCUUCCGUCACGCGCGACGCCAGCUUCAUCGCUUCUUCCAUCAUAGUUCAAGCUCCGCCCUCUGCCGGCACAAACAAGUGGCCAACCGCCCGCCCAAGCAACCAAAUCCGAGAUCAGCACCCGCAAAAUUUUACCAAGAAACAAACGGUAAGCCACCAUCAUCCUUCAAAUUUCAGUUUUCAUGUAAGUUUUCGAAGCGUGUUUUAUUUUUCACGUUGUGGCUUGUAGCCAUUUCUCUGUUGAAUUAUUCACUAAUUGGAAGUAUGUAUGCUUUGAAUGUCGAUUGGACUGGAGUUUUCUUGCAUUUGAUGAAAUUUUGGGUGCUGAUUCAUGUCAAUUGAGCGAGAAAUUGGUGAAGUUUUUUAAUGGCUGUUUGUUGUUCGACAGAAUGCUUCAAUGAAAGUUCGGCCUGAAGAAUGGAUUAAUUUCUGAUUUAUAUACGUUCGACUGUUUCAUGCUUGUCAAAAUAAUUGAUUCGAAUGGGUUUGUUUGGGCGUCCGUUUGUUUUGGCAAUCUGCUCCGCUUCUCGUUUGUUUGGUGUUCCUCUUGUAUGGAUUUAAAUUCAUGACAUAAAAUGGCGUGCGAGGGGAUUCAUGUGAGAGUCAUUUGUUUUGCUUUUGUUUUGUUUUGUUGAUUGGAGUCCGAAGUUGAAUUUUCUGGUUGCAAAGAGGAAUGAAAUAGCAGCGAACGUUGAGCCAAUUUGGGAAGAAGAGGAUUGCUUGAUUAAAUUCAUGAUUCCAGUCCCUCAAUUUCCCUUUCCAUUAUGAUUUAACCCCAGAAUUUUAGGACUUCAUAAUUUUUCCUCCAACACCUUCAUAAGUCCUUCAAUUAGGUCCCUGCUCUUGUUGCAUUUUAACCCCUCAGCUUCCCCUUGUUCUGAUAUGACCCGAAAAGUGGAAAAAGUGCGUUUGUUUCUCCCUUCUAGAUUUAAAUCAUCUUCUAAUAAGCAUGAAUAGUCCUUUUACUAGAUUAAUUCUUGUUUGUAGGUUCUAAUUGUGGUUCAAUAAUUUAUUUUGAUUUUAUCAUGUUGGGUUUAAUGAAACAAGUGCCUUGGGCUAAGAGGUUAUUUUUGUUUGGGUUUAAGAAAGUCGUUUUAGUUUAUUUUGUUUGGUUUUUUGGUUCGGGCUAGAGGGUCAAGGCCCAUCUAUUUGGUUGGCUAAUUUUUGGGCCAGGAUAUUAUACUAGCCCACUUGUUUUCCUUGGACUUUCGAUUGGGCCAAGUUAUCUUGGCCCAAGAAAGGUGAAGAUGGCCCAUUCCCUUUUUGUUUUGGAUUUUCGGUUGGGCUUGUAAGGCUUUGGCCCAAACAAAUAAAGGAAAUGGCCCAAUGGCUUGGUCCAUUAAGAAACCAGAAAACGAUUUUGCAAAUCAGUCCCUGAAUUUCUCCCUAAUUGUAUUGUGGCCCUGGACAUUUUCAACUUCUUUCAAUUCGGUCCUUGCUUUAAUUGCAAAUAGGUCCCUGAACUUUAUUUUUCUUUAAUUUUGACCUCCAAACUUUGUCAAUCUUUGCAAUCAGGUCCUUUCUUCUCUUGACUUCUUAAAUGUGAAUUGUCGACAUGAUUUAAUUGAUUCAAAUUCAUGCUUAUUUUUUAUCCUUUGUGAUUAUUUGCCAAAUAAAUUGGUACCUUGACCUUUUUAUUGUUUUGAAGCUAAUAUCUCAUUUACUCGAUUUCCGUUGCGAGGGAGGUAACUUCUAUAUUUUUGAGUUUAUUUUUUCCUACGUGCUCCUACGUGUUAUGUGAAUAUGCCUGUCUACUUUGCUUUCUUUGCCUUUCUUUAAUUCUUUUCAUUUUUUUUUACUUACUUUUGCUUUUUAUUUAAGUUAUUCAUUAUGGGGUAUGUGUACACCUCUUGGCUUGUAAUAGUUAGGGAUUUAAUUAUUUUAUUCUUUUCCCCCUUUUAGAUUGUAGUGGGGUCUCCCUAAUGUAAUAGAUAGGGUUUGGAGGAGCAUUCAAUGAAGACCUAUCGAAGACUUGUGCCUAGCUAGCAAAUGUAAUAGUUAGGGCUUUAAUUGUCUCAUGUGCCUUGCAUGCUUAGUUGCUACGUGUUAAUUUGCUUUGCUAGGGCCUUGCAUCUAGUCGAGCAUGCAAAAUGUUAUGUGCUAUGUGUUUAUAAGUGUUUGGCAUGUCUACUCGCUUUCCAUAGCCUGAAUAAAUGUGAUGGAUGAAUGUACGUCACCACACUAGUCCAAUGCUAGUUGUGGCUCAUUAUUUCAUUAGGAAUUCAUAGAAAGGGCUAGUCCAACGCUAGACCCAAUAGGAUUUUUCCUUUGUUUUUCAUUAAUGCAUUAUUUGCCUGUUCACUACAUAUCAUGCAUUUUUCCUUAGUUUUAUCAUCUGGCAUGCUCCUCGAUUCCCCUUUCCCCUCACUUUAGGAUUUUUGCAUUUCAUGCUAGUUAUAGGGUUCAUUUGCCUGAAGAGUCCCCUUCUGAUAAGGGAAACGAGCGAGUGUGGCUACUCGAUAGCCUUAGCACGCUAGUUUCGCCUUCUAAUCAAAGGGAAGAUUAAGUCACAAAGUUAGGACUCCCCGUUCCCGUCUUGAUGCAUUCCUAUAGGAUUCAUGCAUUCUAUUCAUUCACUAUCACAUACACUUACUUUAUAUUCUAACCCUUUUUCCACAUUCUCACUUCACACUACUUUUACACGUUUUCAUUUAACUACUCACACUCUAUGCCAUAUCACUCGCACACAUGCACUUUAUAUUAUUUUCACAUUAUCAUUCUUUACUCACCUUACCUUGUAAAUACAUUUGCACACCUCCACUUUUCUCACUUCACAUAAACUUACAUUUUCACAUGACAUGCACCCCAUUCAUUUUUACGUCAUUUAGGAUUACGUGUGACCUCUCCAAAGGAUCAUUAUUGGGCUUCACAAUUAAUGUGAUUGGCACCACUCAACCUUUGAAGAGAAAUUUCCCCCAAUACCCCUAGGUCUAGGGUUUUGCAUUCAUAUAGACAUAUCCAACACGCGAUACAUACCUUGGGUAGAAAAAUUAGGAAAAAUUGGUUUAAGUCACGCAACUAGCCUUGGCUAGGUCGAAGGGGUGCCUUGGAUUUUUUAUCCUUGCCUUCCCCUUCGUCAAAUGUGACCCCCGAUCCCUCUUUUUGGUUACGUAGACCCAAAAGUUCUUUAAAAGGGUUUAUUUACUUUUUUUAUUCAAAAACAAAAAACCAUUUUUUGGGUGACUUGGUACACCCUAACCCUAUACCAAGUGGCGACUCCAUUUUUGAUACAAAAAACCCUUUUUGAACUUUAUAUGGCCAAACCGUCGCAUUAUCAAGUCCCAUGGCCUUUUACUUUUCAUUUACACACGUUCACAUUCCAUUACACCACUCACAUCUCACACCACACACACACCACAACUCAUCAUCUUCGAAAAGUGGGGCGCGACAGUGCAAAAAUAAUUAUUUUCUCUGAUCAUGCAGCCUUGAGGUACUUGUUAGUGAAGAAGGAUGCAAAACCAAGGCUCAUAAGGUGGGUUUUACUUCUGUAAGAGUUCAAUUUAGAGAUUAAGGAUAAGAGUGGGGCCGAGAACUUGAUGGCUGAUUAUUUGAGGCGUUUUCUUACGAAUAAGGAAGAUCUGUCAUUGAGAGAAUUGUUUUUCGAGGAGCAGUUACUAGCCAUUAAUUCGUCAGUACCUUGGUAUACUGAUGUUGUCAAUUUUUUGGUAACAAAUCAAUUACCUGCAGAUUGACCAAAGGCUAAGAGAGAUAAAUUGAGAAGUGAUGCCAAAUACUAUAUUUGGGAUGGCCCUUACCUGUGGAGGCAAUGCUCGGAUCAAGUGAUAAGAAGGUGUGUAAGUGCAGGUGAGUUCCAUUCUAUUUUAACUUUUUGUCAUUCAUUUGUACGUGGAGGGCACUUUAGACCAAAGCGAACAGCUCGUAAGGUGUUGGAGAGUGGUUUUUAUUGGCUUACUCUGUUUAAGGAUGCAUAUUUAUUUUGUAAAUCUUGUGAUAGGUGUCAAAGGGUGGGGAAUAUUUUUCGUAGAGACCAAAUGAUUCAAACUCGCAUGUUGUUUGUUGAAAUUUUUUAUGUCUGUGGUAUAGAUUUCAUGGGUCCCUUUCCCUCGUCUUUUGGUUUCUUAUACAUUUUACUUUGCUGUCGAUUAUAUUUCUAAAUGGAUGGAGGCAAAGGUCACCCGGACUAAUGAUUCGAGAGUGGUUGCAGAAUUUAUAAAGUCUAACAUUUUUUGUCCGCUUUGGAAUGCCUAGAGCUGUAGUUAGUGACAGGAGCACUCAUUUUUGCAAUAAAACGAUCGUUGCCUUGUUCCGUAAAUAUGGCGUACUCCACCAAAUAUCCACACCCUAUCAUCCGCAGACGAAUGGUUAGGCCGAAGUGUCGAAUAGGGAGAUUAAGUCAAUUUUGGAGAAGAUGGGGUGGCCUGAUAGAAAGGAUUGGAACUUGAAGUUGGAAGAUGCUCUAUGGGCUUACCGCACCGUGUAUAAAAUACCAAUUGGAACGUCCCCAUACAGAUUAGUCUUCGGGAAGCCGUGCCACCUCCCAAUAGAAUUUGAACACAAGAAAUUUUGGGCAAUUGAGCGGUGCAACAUGGACCUUGUGGAUGCCGGGGGACAUAGAAAGCUCCAAUUACAAGAGUUGGAAGAAUUAAGGAAUGAAGUCUAUGAGAACGCAACAAUUUAUAAAGAGAAGAGCAAAGUCUUUCACGACUAACAAGUCUCAAGGAAGUCAUUUGUAGUAAGGCAAAACGUCCCCCUAUAUCACUCGAGAUUUAAGUUUUUUUCCGGUAAGUUGCGUUCGCGUUGGAUUGGUUCAUUUGUCAUUUCUAAUAUUUUUCAUUAUGGUGCAGUGGAAAUCCAAAGUUUGAAAAUUGAGAAGAAGUUUGUGGUAUAUGGUCAACAUUUUAAACCCUAUUAUGAGAGGUUUAAUAGUGAGCAAGUGGAUGUCAUAUAUGUUGAUGAUCCAAAUUGUGUGGCUUAACUAGCUAUUACUGUGUCUAGCCAAAAACAUUAAAGAAAGACGCUACUUGGAAGGCAAUCCAAGGAUUUCAAUUGUGUUUUAUUUCAUAUUUGUGUAUUCAAGAUCAGUGGAUUUAGGUUCCUAUUGACAAACAAUCUGUAUUGUACGUCAUGGGUGUUUCUGUGCAGUUUUAUUCUAGGUUGGGGGCACAAAUUUGUGGGCAAGAGACUUCAUGUUACAAGGCGUGCUCGCGCCUUGUAUUCACCGCACAUGGACAUUUGUAAAAUUUGGUGAACAGAGGACUUACACCCCCAAGGCAUGCCCACGCCGCACAGCAGAUCGUGUCGAACAUAUUACAAUGGGAUGGGCAGACAGAGUCAAACGUGACCAGGACCUUCUCUAACCCCACUUUUCUACUUUUCUCUUUUCUUGUCUUGACUGGUCUUUUCAUUUUUUUUUGUCUUAGCCUCCCCUAGUUUUCUCCCAUCUUUGCUGAAAUCUCAGAGGCCACCGCCACUGCACACCUGCUCCGUUGAUGCCGCUGUCUCCACUAUCUGCGGUCAAGCUCCGGCCGCCAUCAUGCACGCUGUCCGGGCGCACAUCGGCAUCGCCAUAUGCGCCUCGCCGACGCUGCUCAUGCACGUCUCAUGCCGCACGCCAACGCCUCCGUACUUCCCUUCCUCGCCGUAGCGCGCCACCACCGUAGGCGCCAUCAGCUCUACCUAGGGCGCCACACCAAUCAUCGACCGCUCGCGCCCCGCGAUAUCUCACUGUUCCCCGCCGUCGCGACUGCUGCCCUCCGCCAUCGUCGUCAUUGAGGCUCCACUUCUUCCUCUCUGUGCACCACCAACGCUUGCUCCUUCCACGCCACCGCGCCGACCGCCGACUCACCCCUGACGCCCUUGCAGUCGUACCGACCGUCGCUUCCACCGGGGUCCCCUCCAGCAUGACAAAGUGGUACCCCUAAUUCAUUUCUUGCCAUUACUGCUUAAAAUCUGAAAUUGUUUCUAUGCGAUAUUACUCUAUUGUUUGAGCUGAGCUUGCUGAACCUCUGAGACUUUCAUAUGUGUUCUUUGCUUCGCGGUUGAAUUGCUGUGAUUGGUUGUUGGUGUUGGUGUAGAAUUGUUGUGGGGUGCUGAGGUUGUUGUUGUUUAUUUUGCUUUCGAAUUGGUUGUCGAGGGUUUGAUAGGUGAAGCACGUGGCGCAGUAUCAAUUCUGGUUUAAUGUUGAGUGCAUUGUUGACCAGUUAUUUUAGGAAUCUGUUUGUCUUUUUGCCUUGUUGUUGUGGUGGUGGGGUAAUUAUAUUUUUCUUUGCUAUUGGACUGUUGACUGUUGAGUGACACCUAUUGACUGUGGUCCCCUGUCCCCAUUUGGUGGUUGCUUCACUGUUUCUGUGCUUAUUCGUAUUUGUCCUGUGGCCUCCAAAUGCCUUCGAAAAAGCGCGUGUUCAGACACCCACUUCAUCUGGUCCAUCUAAGUCCCAACCUCGUAAGAGGCGAGCCCAAUUCAACCCCCCACUCGAUCCCGUUUAGGUCUCUCUAAAAGUACUAUAUCUCCUGGGACAUGGGGGGAACCUACCACUAACCUUACACAGGAACAAAAGGACCGAUUGACUAGCUUGAUGCCACGUCCUUUUGCUCCGUGUAAAUGUUUCCAUGCCCCAACCCUGGAUCAUUUGCAAAUUGCACGAGAAGUUGAACAGUUGUUCUCAGCAAUUGGUUGGCAGUGGUAUCUGGUCAUCGACUAUCCUACAUUUGAGGAGCUAUGUUAUGAAUUCUACUCCACUUUUGAGUUCAAUAAAAAUGAAUUCAUCACUUUGGAUGAGCGGGGGUGAUUACAUUUAGAUUAAGGGGUACCCCACAAGAUUUGUCCAUUAAUGACUUUAAUCUGAUUUUGGGGUUUUUCAGUGAAGAGACCCUUUCCUCCGGGACGUAUAUCAACAGUGCGUGUGAUUAUACCAGACCCUUUGCUAGUGAAUAUAUUGACAUAUGGAGGGAGUAGUUCACGGACCCUCAACUCUAUGAUCCGAGUCAGUCCAAGGCCUCUCAUCUUAAGAAUCCGAUCUUGAAGGUUAUCCACAGGUUCUUGGCCUACAAUUUCUCGGGUCAGAAGAACUCUUCCGGCACCCUUGCCAAGGUUGAAUUCUAUUUUCUUUGGUGUAUGCGCAACAAAGUACAUGUCGACUUUGGGUGUUGGGUGACCACUCAAAUGCAAUCCGUCAUUCAAAAGCGACAUAAGUAGGUGAUUAUGGAUUCGCUCAUUACUCACUUGGCCGUUCGGUUGGGAUUGCUUGACCUCGACAAAGAACACAAGUUCGCUCUAACUUGCGAGAUUGAGCCAUUGGAUUUGCGUAGCUUAGAAAGGAUGGGGGUUAUUUUCAAAGUAGGAGAUGUAUAUCAGAUGACGCUUCCUGGCGAUGGCAGGCUACAACCCCGGGUUCCUCCUACUAUUCCCCCUACUGGUUCACCAACCCGCACAGAUCAAGUGGGUCCGUCCUCCUACCAUGCUCCCCCUGCUUGGGAUUUCCAAUACCGUGCCCUCCAAGAUUCUAUUCGUGAACUAGGCGAGCUAGUUGUGGGACUGGAUGGCCGUCUUGCAGCGUUGCAAGUUUUUUCCCGUAUUCAGACAAAGAAUCAGGCAGCUUUCUUUGCUUAGAUUGGAUUCUAGCUGCCUCAUCCUCCUCCCCCUUAGUGUUUCGCUGCGUCGUCUCGGCUGUCAGGGAAGUUUCACCCCUUUACACUUACACACUAUUUAUUUUUGCUACAUUGAAGACAAUGUCGAUUUUAGGUGUGGGAGGGAUGGUUUCUAUUAUUUCUUUUUUGCUUGAAAAGAGAAAAAAAAGAAAUAAAAAAAAGAAAAAGAAAGAGAGGAAAAAAUGAAACAAAAAAAAAAGUAUAGUUAGUUGACUUCUUUAGUUCUAUAUUUGUUAAUUGCUAGAGCAUGUUGCUAUGAUGGAUUGCACAAUCAAGGUGCACGUGUAUGUAUCAUUUAUGCUAACUAUGUACUCUACUUUUCCUAGCCAAUGUAGCUGAGUGAUGAAUAUGCUGGACUUGACCCAUUCUUGAAACUUUUGGGAGUUUUUGAGCAGUGCACGAGCACAUUACUCUCGUUUGCUUCGUUUGUGUUGUUGAGUGGGUAUCACACAUGGUAUUAACAUUCUAGAACUUGCUAUUUUAUACAUGUCAAAGCCACAUCUUGUUGAACUGGAUGCAUUUGAAAUGAUAAAGGCAUUUAGGAUUUAACUUUCUUUAAUUUUCUACAAACCAUACCUUCAUCUUGUCUCCCAAUAGUGAAUCAAUUUGAGCUUUUAUUCUUCUCCUUUGUUUGUUAGCCGUGUUUGAUAACCCAGGACUUUUUUUUUUGACUUUCUUGUCCAACCUUGUGUCGUUAAGAGAUGUCUGAAUUUCAUUGUUUGUGCAAGGCAAAUAAAUUUAGGGUCGCAAGUGUUGUUAGAAUAGAAGUUGUAUGGUGUUGGUUCUGUGCAUCUGAGAUCGAAAAGAAAAAGAAAAAAAAGACGAGAAAAAGAGAAAAAAGAAGGAAAAAAAUGUCUACAAACUGGUGAGCAUGGGAUUCUGCUUACAGGGCGUGCCAUGCCUUGCAAGACGCCCUUUCAAAAAAAAACAGAAAGAGAGAGAAAAGAGUUUCGACACUUGCGCAGUUGGUAUAGCAAAUGGAAAUGCCUUGCUUGUGGAAGUUCUCCAGUAAAGCGUUGAGGUUAUGUAGUGGAUAUCGGACAUUAUCUUGACACAGUGCACCCUAUCUUUACCUUCUUAUCCCGCUUUGUUGGCCUAAUCAGCAACAUCCCUCAGAUUCCGGCUCGAAGGGACUAACCGCCCAACUCGUGGCACCCAGGGGUGCAGCCCCUCAUGCUGGCCAAGCGUGGUACGAUGCUUUUCGCUGCUAUUGUGGUUAAGGAAAUAAAGUUACAUCUUCACUAACAGCUAUAGCUUUUGGUGCAAUGGUAAGCGCUUGAUCCUGACAAGUGGUAUCGGAGCGAGGUCGCAGGUUCGAGUCUCCCUGGUUAUUGUUGGGGGAGGAAAUGUUGGCCUAAUCAGCAACAUUCCUCAGAUCCCGGCUCGAAGGGACAGCCCGUGGCACCCAGGGAUACAGUCCCUCAUGCUGGCCGAGCGUGGUACGGUGCUUUGCGCUGCCAUUGUGGUUAAGGAAAUAAAGUUGCGCUUUCACUAAUAGCUAUAACUUUUGGUGCAAUGGUAAGCGCUUGAUCCUGACACGCUUUUCAUCCAAGCCCCAUUACAACCCUAUUAAAGUCCCUUUGAUUUAUGUAUUGAGUUCAUUUUUGAAUGGUAGAGAUGUGAUAAAUGUGCAAGCCUAUGGUAAUGUCAUUCCGUGGUGUUGAUUUGAGCGUUCCUGGUAUCUAUACAUUUUCUUGAAAGUGAUGAGUAUUACUGCUCAUACUCUUUGGAUAACUACCUGUCCGGUGUGCUCUAACUUUGGCGACAUUGUCAGGAAUGCAGGAUGCUUGUGUUAGUGUAGAUCACCGCAUAGUAGUUGCUAUUGUGAUUGAACUUCUGAUCUUCGAAAUGCUUGAGAACAAGCAUUGCCUAGGUGUGGAGGGAUUUGAUAGAGCAAUGUUUGGGCAUCUUAUGUGCUGUUAUGUGGUCAUAAUUUUGGCUACUUAUUAUGCUAAAUAUUGAAAUUUUGCUCAUAUUUGAUAUUUGUGUAAAUUAUAGGCGGUUGGUGUCAAAAAGUGUCUCUGAAGGUGAAUUUCCACAAGACUUUUUAUUUCAGGGUGUGCCCACGCCAGAAACUGUAGAAGAGACGCCUCAAAGUCAGACCGCGGGACUAACUAACUAACUAAACUCAUCCUUAUUCCUGCGGGAUGCGGUUGGAAGUGCGUCAAAACAAAAAGACGGCAAUUUCCAGCGAAUUUGUGAUAGGGUAUUAAUUGUUAGUAAUUUUAUUGUUAAUUUUUUCCUUUGUCCUUACCAAAUAUUGUUUUAAAUUGUUAAUAUAUACUUGUAUUUGGUAUUUGGACCUAUCUACAGGAAGUGGAACUAAAAAGUGCUAAAAAGGGGGGACCUUUUGGAGAGAAUUGCUCCACACGUGGGAGACUUCAAAAAGCUUCACGAACCUGGCCCACAGGAUACUAAGCAACGGACUUCCUUUUCUUUUUGCUGAUAAAGAGUUGCUGACUAGGAGUCUUCCUAUCAAAAGGAAACGAAAAAAGUGGAAUUCGGAGAGCUUUCUUUUUGUACCUUUUCUUUCAAUUCGGCAGGGACAACGUAGGGAGCAUUAGUCAUUGUUUAAGAGACAGUUUAGUUUUCUUUCUUUUCUUUUUCAUGCGUAAGUCUUGUUCGAUAAAAGUCUCGACUGGAGAAAUAUCGUUUAUUUCUUGAUUAUCUAGUGAAAAACGUGAUGCCUUUGCAAUUAAUUAAUUUGCGUGGAGAUUUACUGAUGCGGCGUGGUUAAGUUUUUCAUCUAGUCAAGGAUCAAUGCGACAAUGCAAUCCCUAAUAUCCGUGAGAUCGAAUUAAUUUUCAUGCAUUCCUUAAUUUGUUAAUAUUUGCACGUUGUCUGCUUGAAUUUUCAUGGGAUUAUUUUGUUAAUUGAAUGUCAAGGGCCCGAUGUUCAAUGCGACUUAUUAAUCUCCUGUCAAAUUAGUUAAUUAAAUCUGUAAUUAUUUAAAUUGAUUGAUAUCAGUGGCAACUAACGUUUUUAUACACUAGGGGAGCGUUCAAUCUGUUUCAAAUAACUCUCGUAGCAUGUUAUUGAUUAGGGUUAGACUUUUCUAGUUUUUAAUGCAAUUAGAGAAUUAAAUCCUAUGAUCAUACCUAGGAGUGUUUCCGGGUUAGGGGUAAUCAACGGUCGUACCUUGGUUGUCAAUAAAUUAAGGAAAAGCUGGUCGUCAGAACUUAUUGGCGACUAUAACUAACCUGUUAAUAAAAUUAAGUAAGCCUCCCUUGCAUCAAUAAUCGGAUGAAUGGACUGUGUCGGUGAAGUUGUAUCCUUGGCUCGAACUUGUCUAUUAUUUAUUUAAUUCCUAUCUACAUUCGUGUUAGUUAAUCGUUUACUUUUGGUUGAAUUGCUUAAUUAUUUUUAGUUUCAUUCCGAUAAAAUCCCCCAUUGUUAACUUGAACUUUAGUAAGAAACGAAUUACUCCCAAUCUCUGAGAAUACGACCCUACUUGCCCUGUUUUCAAAGCAAUAAUUAUUUGUGAAUAAGCAAUCCCAUUCUGGUAUAUCGGGUCAAGCAAACUUUUUGGAAACAGGGUGAAUCAAGUAACCUAUUGCACACCUAGAGUCCCUACUCCAGUACUUAGAAUUGGAUUUUGAUUACUCCGAUUGGCAACUAGGUUUAUUUUUAUUAUUGCGCAGGUUCGGCCCUUGUCAAUUUUUGGCGCCGUUGCCGGGGACUGGCAUUAAUUAUUUGUUUCUUUUUAAGUUCAAUUUUGUUCUAAUUUUCUGAUAUUUUUCUAGUUUAUGCCUCGUUCUUCUUGGACAGACGAAUUAAUUUUUGACCCUGAAGUAGAGAAGACCGCGCGUAAAAAGAGCAAAGAGACAAGACAGCUUAGAGAGGAGUUGUCCAGUGUUGCACCUGAGGGACUUGAUCCAAAGGUUGAGUCAACAAAUUCGCAUGGUGAUAAUUCGAGUGAUUCAGACCAAGAGGAAGUCACCAUGGCGAAUGCACGAACAUUAAGGGGGUUAGCUGCCCCAAAUUUAAAUCAACAACCCUUAUGCAUUACUUUUCCGCAUUUAAAUGAUAACACAUCUUUCGAGUUAAAAUCUGGCCUGAUUCAUCUUUUACCAUCUUUUCAUGACUUACCAGGUGAGGAGCCCUACAAGCACUUGCAAGAGUUCAAUGUCGUUUGCAACAGUAUGAAGCCCUCGGAAAUUACAGAAGAGUAGAUAAAAAUGAGGGUCUUUCCCUUCUCUUUGAAGGACUCCGAGAAAAAUUGAAUGUACUACCUACAACCAGGUAGUAUCACCACGUGGGACCAGCUGAAAAAAAAAUUCUUGGACAAAUACUUUUCGGCGUCUCGAGCUGCAAGUCUAAGGAAGGAGAUAUGCGGUAUCAAACAACACCCAGGCGAGUCUCUCUAUGAGUACUGUGAGAGGUUUAAGAAGCUGUGCAUCAAAUGCCCUGAGCAUUAGAUAAGUGAGCAACUGCUCAUCCAAUAUUUCUAUGAGGGGCUACUCUUCAGGGACAGAAGUAUAAUCGAUAUUGCAAGUGGAGGGGCAUUGGUGAACAAGAUUCCUCGAGAAGCAUGGGAGUUGAUUAAAGGGAUGGCUGAGAAUUCACAGCAGUUUGGUUCAAGAGAGGACAUCCCGACGCGUAGGGUGAAUGAGGUAGAAACAUCCUCUAUCCAACAAUAGCUCUUCGAAUUGACAUCUUUUGUACUACAACUAGCUGUGAAAAAUGCUCCACAAGCCAAAGUAUGUGGAGUAUGCACUGCUUUGGGUCAUUUUAUGGAGAUGUGUCCACUAGUUCAAGAAGAAAGUGCAGAGCAAGUGAACAUGACUGGUCACGCGCCCGCGCCAAGAAGGCCAUAUAACCCGUGUUCGAAUACGUACAAUCCGGGUUGGAGAGAUCACCCUAACUUUAGUUAUAGAGGAAAUAGGCAGUCCAAUUUUGCACCAAAUAGAGAGCAAGGGCAUCAACAGCAGUACCAGUCUCGCCCACCACCACCCCCUUCGAACUCAAGUCCGUCCAUGAAAGAGAUGAUGAAGCAAUAAAUUGCUAAUCAACAAAAGACGGAUUCAGAGUUGUAAAGUAUGAGAAAUCAAUUGGGACAGAUGCAAUCAUUGCAAAAUCAAAUAAAUCAAAUGGCCAUAACGAUCAACCGCCUGAAAUCCCAAGUUCAAGGGAAGUUGCCAUUUCAACCUGAGUUGAAUCCGAAAAAUGUAAGUGCACUGACCUUGAGGAGUGGCAAGGAAGUCCAAGGAUCCGAACCGGUGAUUCUUAGGACAAGGACAAGGAACGAAUUGAGAAAGAGUUGGAAGAAGAGGGCAGAGACAACAAAGAUCCAAAGGUAACCUCGGACCAAUCAUUACAGUUAGAACUAAUCCACCUUCCUUUCCUAGCAGGUUGGAGAAACCAAAGAAGCAAUACAAAGAAAAAGAGGUCCUGAAGAUAUUUCGCAAGGUGGAGAUCAACAUUUCCCUACUGGACGCGAUUAAACAAGUACCCAGUUACGCAAAGUUUUUGAAGGACUUGUGUGUCAACCGAAGGCGGUUAAAAGGAGAUGAACGAGUUAUAGUGGGGGAGAACGUGUCAGCAAUUCUACAAAGGAAACUUCCCAUCGAAAUAUGGGGACCCAAGUAUGUUACUAUUCCCUGUAGGAUCGGUAAUACCUUGAUUGGAAAGGCCAUGUUAGACCUAGGAGUUUCGAUAAACGUCAUGCCAAAGUCCAUAUAUGCUUCUUUGAAUUUAGGUCCUUUAAAAGAAACGGGGAUAAUAAUUCAAUUAGCUGACCGAACUGCCCUGAUGGGUUGAUUGAAGAUUUUUUUAGUAAAAAUUAAUGAAUUGAUUUUUCAACUGAUUUUUAUGUGCUUGAUAUGGAUGAUAAAUACUCCCACGACCCCUUACCUUUAUUGUUAGGUAGACCCUUUUUUAGCACAGCCGAACCAAAAUUGAUGUUAACAAGGGUAUCUUGUCUAUGAAAUUUGAUGGUGAUAUUGUUCACUUUAACAUUUUUGAGACCAUGAAAUAUCCUUCAGAUUCAAAUGUCAGCUCUGUUUUCUCUGUAAAUGUUAUUGACCCUGCGGUACAGGAGGUUAUUGAAAUUGAAGGCAGGGAUGAGCUGGAAGUCGCCUUGACCAGGCACUUCGAGUCAGAGACGACCUCUGAGAUAGAGUUGAGUGAAGAGCUCAAAUGUGUGAUUGGAGCGUUGCAAUCAUUGUCAAUCACGAAAACAAGGUAUGGGCUUGCACCCAUUUUCACACCUGAACCUCACCAACGGUUACUUUCAUCUGUGGUGUAGGCACCUAUCUUGGAACUGAAACCCCUGCCGAAACAUCUAAAGUAUGCAUACUUGGGUGAAGGGGAGACUCUCCCAGUGAUCAUCUCUGCUAGUUUAUCGGAGGUCCAAGAAGACAAACUAAUUCGAGUUUUGAGGGAACAUAAGCAGGCGAUAGGAUGGACCAUCGCCGAUAUCAAGGGAAUUAGCCCCGCGGUAUGUAUGCAUCGCAUUCGACUCAAUGAGGGUUCUAAACCCGUGCGGCAGGCUCAGAGGAGACUAAAUUUCCUCAUGAUGAAGGUAGUGAAGAAAGAGAUCCUGAAACUGCUGGAUGUGGGGAUAAUAUUCGCAAUAUCAGACAGCCCUUAGGUAAGUCCAGUAUAGGUGGUUCCGAAAAAGGCAGGGGUGACGGUGGAAUCAAAUUAAGAGGGUGAGCUCAUGCCAGUUCGGAAGCCCACCGGAUGGCAACAGUGUAUCGACUAUCGGAAGUUAAACGUCGUCACAAAAAAGGAUCAUUUUUCCCUUCCUUUUAUUGAUCAGAUGGUAGAGCGAUUAGCAUGUCGAGCUUAAUAUUAUUUUUUGGAUGAAUUUUCAAGUUAUUUUCAGAUUGCUAUCGCACCCGAGGAGCAGGAGAAGACCACUUUCAUGUGCUCGUUUGGAACAUUUGCAUACAGGUGAAUGCCAUUUGGAUUGUGCAAUGCACCUACUACCUUCCAACGUUGCAUGGUAAGCAUUUUUUCGGAGUAUAUUGAGAAGAUUAUUGAGAUUUUCAUGGACAAUUUUAGUGUGUAUGGUGAGAGUUUUGAUAACUGUCUAGAUAACCUGAAACUAAUCUUAGUAAGGUGUAUAGAAACUAAUUUCGUGCUUAAUUGGAAAAAAUACCACUUUAUGAUCGAACACGGGAUAGUUUUGGGUCAUGUAGUGUCGUCUAGGGGUAUUGAGGUUGAUAAAGUGAAAAUAGACAUUAUAUCUACUUUACCUUACCCCAUGAGUGUGCGGAAAGUGCGUUUUUUUUGUCACGCAAGUUUCUAUAGAAGGUUCAUCACAGACUUCUCGAAAAUUAGAGCACCCUUGUUCCAACUUUUGCAAAAAGAGGUGCCCUUCGAAUUUGAUGAAGCGUGUAAGAGGGCAUUUGAUAGGUUGAAGGAGCUAUUGACCUCGUCAUCUAUUAUACAACCUCCUGAUUGGAACCUACCAUUCGAGAUCAUGUGCGACACCAGCGAUUAUGCAGUGGGCGCGGUGCUGGGUCAGAGAGUAGGAAAGACAGCCCAUGCUAUCUACUACGAGUAUCAAGCCUUGAACGGAGCUCAAUUGAACUGUUCAAUCACCGAAAAGGAGCUUUUGGCGGUUGUUUUUGCUUUAGAGAAAUUCUGGUCUUAUUUACUAGAUACCAAAGUUAUUGUCUUUUCAGACCAUGCAGCGUUGCGGUAUCUGUUGACCAAGAAAGAGGCAAAACAGUGACUGAUAAGGUGGAUAUUAUUGUUACAAGAGUUUGACCCAAAGAUCAGAGACAAGAAAGGGGCAAAAAAUCUGGUAGCAGAUGUAGACACCAAAUUUUUAGCCUUUCUUUUUCUUUUUAUUUUAUUUAUUUAAUUAGUUGAUUUUGUUUUAAUUUUUGCUAAGAAAAUUGUUUUACUAUUAUUAAUUAAUUCAUUGAAAAAAAGAAAAAGAAAAAGCUAUUCCAUGUGCAUGUGCUUGGCACGUGCGCCAUUUUCUUUUCUUUCAUGCAAAAAAUGCAAGCGGAAGGCGAAAAUAGGGACAGAAAUUUGCAGCUGCAUUUUUUUAAUCCCAGCCUCAUCUCAAAAAUGCCAUCCAAUGGCUCAAGUUUUCAGUAGAAACCCACCCUUCAUCCUCACCUUUGAGGUGAGGGUUUUAGGGACCUGGGGUUUCCUAUAAAAGAAAAAAGAGCAGCGGGGACAAAGGGUAAGAGGAGUCGGCAGCUGGGGCUGAGUAGAAACAACGGAGGAAAAAAGCAAAAAGGGGGGGUUCUUGGGGAGAGUAGUUGACGGCUGAAGGAAAGAGUGAAUGGAGAGUCUGAGGGCUAGAGAGAGUUUUGGAGAGGGUGACGGCCGAAAGAAAGAAACCAAGCGAGAGGAAACCAAGGAAAGGAGAAGCGACUUCAUCAAUGUAAAGGGCAUUUCGUGGGUCUUCGUUUCCAGAAACAACGUGUUUGUCCUGAGACUGGUAGAGAAACGAAUCAAGAGUCUGAGGAAGACACAAGGGAGGAUCGGGGAAUAAGCAAAGGAAAUCUGCAAAAUCUUGAAGAAGGCUUCGAAGCUGAGAGCGAGGGAAAGAGGACUGCUCGACGAGGUGGCAACUUCUGCAGCAAAAGUUCCCGAUCGCGUUCCUGGGAACCCGUAUGCGUUUCCGGGCAGAUCCCAAGGCCGCUCAACCAUGCUAGCAUUCUCAGGUAAAAAUGCCUCUUAUUUGGUGGAUUUUAACAUGUUUUUAUGAAAGAUAAAGCCAUCGGAUGUGAAUCUUUUUGUUUGCUAUUGGGUCAAGCUCUCGCUGGUUCUAUGAUUCUGCCAUUUUGCUCGUUUGCUAAGAUCUGAUUCAGUAGGAACCUAUGAGAUGAGUCUGAUUAAGAACAUGGGGUUUAGGGUUUUCUGUAGUGGUCACCUGAUGAAUCCAUGAGUUCUUUGCUCGAUGUUUAUGGUCAGUCUUUGUGUGCAUGAAUAAGCAAACCCAGAAAAGUGGCGUAAAGCUUCGGACAAGUCUGUUUUGAUGUUUCCUUGAUUGCUGCUUCUCCAUUUCUUGUUGUUUGUGUAAUAUUUGAUAUCGGGUUUCAGUGUUAAAUGGAGCAAAUGGUGAGUUUUGGUUGUUGGCUUGGAGAUUGAUCCAUCGGAUCCGAACAUUUGAUAAUAAAAAUGGUAGAAGGUUUUUUGAAUGCACCUGGUUCGAUGUUAGUUUUGUACUUGGGUUAUGUUAAUAAGGGUGAUUUGGAGAUUUAUGAGAGUUCUAGUUCACAAACAAAAUAAGUUUCAUUGAUUUCUUUUCAUAUAAUAUCAGCGUGGGUUGAGCUGCAAUUUUGCAGUAGAAAGUUGCGGCAGAAGAAGAAUGUUUUUUUCAUAUCAGGUUGCAUGAUCCUUUUGUAUGAGUGUCGGGUGCUUAAAUAUAAUGGUUUUAUGUUAGAAAACAGAGGGGGGAAUGUUUAAUAAUCCUGUUGCCUGGCUUCAGUUUGCAUUGCGCUUAUAGUUUGCGCAUAAGAAUGCUUGUUGCAGCGGUAUGGACGAAGUUCUGUUUUUUCCUUUUCCUGUUUCAAGUUCAAGUUUUGACUGUGGAAUAUGUGUGUUUUGUUGCUCAAUUUAAGUUGAAGUCUAGGUGAAAUGUUUUGGAUCAAGUCUGGAAUCCUUAUUUGAAAUGAAAGGGCAACAGCGUGCGUUUGUUCUUGAUUGCAGAAGCUUUAAGCUUCGGGAUUGUGCAUGGACUUGCAUGAAUAGCUUUCAAAAUUUGCACUUUGCUCCCCUUAGCUUCUAUCUAUGCUACAGAGGCCCAAUUAUGUUCUAAUUUCUUGCAAUUAGGUCCUAAAGUAAUUGCCAUUUGAACCAUUGCUUGACCUUUCCAUUACUUAUGGGCCUUUGAAGUUCCCAAAUAUUUUAAUUGGGCUUGAAUGAUUGGUUAAGGCUUGCUCUUGGGUCCUUAGUAGUUUUUUUCUAUUUUAGGAACUUGAUUGACAAUUUACCUUCCUUGCAAUUAUGCAUUAUUUGAUUACAUUCAAUUUGCAAUUGGGAAGGAUUAGGUGAUUUGUUGGUUUAACUUAUUUUGUGCUUUUGUUUAUAUGGUUAUUCGUGAUGCCUUGACUUUUUCUUUUAUUUUGGAGGGUAAAUAAGUAAUCUCACUCCAUUAGGGCCCCAAUUCAAGGAAGGUACACCCUAUCUCUUAUUUCUUACUUUAUUUGACUUUACGUGCCCUAUGUGACUUUACGUGUUUGAUUGCAUACCUCUUGAAUGUUUUUUUUAUUAUUUUAUUAUUUAUUUAUUUGUUUGCUUUAUUGACUUUAGUUUUGUAUAUCUAUUUUAGUUCAAUUUUGAUCAUUUGAAAGGCAAUUUAAUGUCAAAGUUGUAAUAACUAGGUUAUGAUUUUAUUUAUUUAUUUCUUUCCCCCUUAAAUUGUAGUAGGCGUUCCCUUUUGUAAUAGAUAGGGCUUGGGUGUGCCUACAUGCCUAUGUGUUUAAUUGCUUUCCCUAGGCUUCUGCAUCUAUAUAAGCAUGCUUAUGUGCUACGUGCUAUGUGAAACUAUGUGCUUUGCAUGUCUAUUUGCUUUAGUAUUAUAUCUGAUUAUGUGGAUGGAAUGCACGUUACCGUGACUAGUCCAAUGCUAGUCAUGAUCUUCCCCUCGAUCACUCACAAGUCCAAUGCUAGAUCCAAUAGGACUGUCCCUCACUAGUACAUACUUGCAUGCCUUCACUACAUCUUCAUUCAUUUUUUUCCCUUUUAGUUUUACAUUUUUGCAUGAUCCUUCACUCCCUUUCCCGCAUUUGAAACAUGAUUUUUAGGAUUUUGUAUUUCAUUCUAGUUAUUAGGGUCAUUUGCUUGAUUAGGUUAGGGAGUCACCCUUCUGGUAAGGGGAAUGGACGAGUGUGGCUACACAUAGCCUUAGCACGCUCAUUCUUUUUCUAAUCAAAAGGCAAAUCGUAAGUCACGAUUUAGGGUCUCCCCGUACACGUUUUGCUUGCAUUCCUCUAGGUCUCAUGCAUUUCAUUUUGCACACACACACACACUUUACACUCUCUCUCAUUUGCACACGUACACUUUACACUCUCUCUCAUUUGCACACGUACACUUUACACUCUCUCUCAUUUGCACACGUACACGUUACAUAUUCAUUUGCAUCCUUACACUUUAUACACUCCCUCAUUUGCACACAUGCACUUCUCACUAUCACUUUACACUCUUCCUCAUUUGCACACAUACACUUCACAUUAUCACUUUGCACACUACCACCUUACACUUUCUCACUACACACCCGUUCAUAUUGAUCACAUUUGCAUCCAUUCAUCUCACUCGAGCAUUCAUUUGCAUUUAUUCGUGGCCUCUUUGAGGGUUCACCAUUUGGCUAUCACAAUUCAUGUGAUUAGGACCAAUCGAGCCUCAAAAGAGACAUUUUGUUCCUUUCGAACCAAUAAUUAGAUUUAGGUUUGCAUUCACAUUAGACACAUCCAAAAUGCGAUACAUCUUUUGGGUAGAAAUUAGGAAACUUGUCACUAAAUCACGCAACUAGCUUAGGUUAGGGUAAAAGGGUGCCUUAGACUUCGUUUUUGCCUUCCCUUUUAUCAACCGUGACCCCCGAACUCAUCUCUUUGAUUUUCGUAGAUUAGGAGUCAUCUAAAAAGGUUUUUCACCUCAUUUUUCAAAAACUAUUUUUUGGGUGACUUGGUACACCCCAACUCAAUAACAAGUGGCGACUCCUAUUUUUCAUGUUAAAAACCCUUUUAGAUUAUCGUUUUGGCCAAACCGUCGCAUUUAAAAGUCCCAUGGCCUUUUCCUUUAAUUCUCAUAUUCACACACUUCACACACAAUACACAUUAUGACUUCAAAACAAACUUUCACUUUUUUCUUUAUAUUUUCUCAAAAAAUGGGGCGGGACAGCUUGGCGACUCCACUGGGGACUUCCUAAGUGGGUCCGAGCACUUGAUUUAGUUAUUCUUUUCCUUUUUUACCCUUUUCAUGUAUCGCAUUUGCGUGUUUAAGGUUGCAUUUUUUUUCUUUUUUAGGAGUUUUGCAUUCCGCGCGUAUCAACUCACUCCCUUACUCAUUUGCGUACAUUUGAUUUGAUGGAUGGAUGAUUUAUUUAUGUUAUCCCGCGCUUUGCAUUGCAUUUGGAUGGGGGGAUAUUACCCUAGAGCCUCGCGUUGGUUCUCGAUCCCUCCCCUCCAAAUGGAGCACUAGCAUACGUGCAUACGCUUUAUUUUUUAUCCCUCAUUUAUUUUUCUUUUUAGUGGCUUGUCACGCCACUCCACCCUACUAGGAUUAGACGACCCAUUUGGACGUGUGAUCGCGACACGAUGUGUGCGUAGCAUGAUCCAAGGGGUCACUCAAUCUUCCAUUUUAAACUUUGGAUUGAUAACCUUUAGUUUUUAGUCAAAGGUUGAGGAUUUUUGAUAGAUUCACUCAGAUAUGUAGCCGUGACACGAUGUGUGCGUAGCAGUGUCUGGAGAAUCGCUCGAGCCACCGACAAAGAACCUUGGGAUUGAUGACCUUUGGUUUCCAAGUCUGAAGGCUCGGGGACCUAAAACCUAUCGAGUCUAGAUGCAUUAGUGAGCCAAUACCGCAUGCAUCCAUGAUAGUUUACUUAGGGUAGAGCCUGCCUUACCCUAUUAGGAACACUAUUCACGAGGGGAGGGAUCCAACCCCUCUUUUCCUUUUAUUGCUUUAUCUCUUUGUAUUGCUUUGCUUCAAUGUGUUAUGUGUAUUUAUCUGAUUGAACUAACUUUUCUUGGUUUUUGUCUCUAUUGCAUUCAUAAAUCCUAGAAAAUAAGAGUUCUGGCAUGGUACUCUCUAGGAACUUACCCUAUUUGAUGUGACACGUUUAAAUUCAAUGCUUCGCAUUUGUAACAUGAAUACAUUUCAUUUUAGGCGUACCCCGGCAUACAAAAGGGGGUUCCUUUAGGUCACGUUUCAUUUGUAUACUGCAUAUUUAGUUGCUUUGAUAAAUUGACAUCAUGCAUGAACCAUAGAGGGAAUGCCAUUUAGGGGAUCCCACGUUAGGAAUAAACCGCCAUGUGUCUCGGAUAUACAAUCCAAUGAGACUUGCACGUCUAUAUUUCUUGUACCUUCCAAAGGAGUAGUGCACAAGGUAAGGUAGAAUCCGAUCUUUUUCCAUGAUUAUAGAACAAAUUUUGCACAUUAGAAUAUGAACAUCUAACAAUCAUUUUUUGGUCAUUUAUCUGGUAAAAAUCCCUUGCGUAAAAGGCAUUAAUUUGAAGAAAUUUACAAACGAUCCCUCAUUGUUCAGACGAUAAAUAUAUCGAGGCCAAAUCUUGAUUUUAGAAGACUCAUAGACUAAUGUAUCGCAAUGAUUUUUUUUUGAAACUACCAAUAGGUAGACAAUUCAAUAAAUCAUCAUUUUCAUUCAAUUCGUUUGAUCAAAUUAUCCAUCAAAUUCUUCCAAUCUAUUUGGUCAAUUCAUUCAUUUUAGGACAAUUCGGUCAAUUUUGAAUAAAUCAUCAUUUUCAUUCAUUCGACCAAUUUACCCUUUUUAGGGUGAUCUGACCAAUUUUGAAUAAAUCAUCAAUUCCAUUCAAUUCAUUGGAUCAGUUUAUCUAUUUUUAGGGUGAUCUAGUCAAUUUUGAAUAAAUCAUCAAUUUCAUCCUAUUCAUUUGACCCGCUUAUUCCGUUUAGGGUUUAACUCUAAGGUUCACUAAAUAAAUUAGUCGACACAUUGCAAUCCUUUCAAGAGUAGACUCUUUUACACAUCAUUUUAUGUGUUGAUCAAAACAAGCAAUCCAUUCGGACUUUGUCCUCAUUUUUAGGACAAAUGUCUCUUCUCACUCCAAUUGACCAAAUUUGUUAAAAUUAUUUUUUCACUCAAUAAGUUGAUCGGAUUCAUCAGGUAUUGUAUAGUGCCUACCCCAGAGAAUUGCAUUUUCAUGCUAUGCCUACCCUUGGCAUAAAAAGGGCACCCCCAUAGGACAUGCAUACCGAUUUUAUAGUCUUGCUUACUAACUCGGGGUAUUUUUCUUUUAUUUUCUCCCCUCCCCUGCAUUCAUAAAAAAUGUUUCAAUAAGGUGAAAAUAUUUUUUCUAUAUCUGAUAACGAUUUUAUCUAAUAAAUCUUGAAAAUUACAAUUAAUAUUUGAUUCUUGGAUAGACCCUACUAUUUGAAGAAUCUAUCUGGAGGCACAAGGCUAAAACACCUAAGAGACUUCAUAAUUGUUUGUCAAAGAAAAAAUUUUGUUUAUUUGAUUUGUUAAUACAUUUUGUUCCAAAAGAAAAGGAGACAAAAGUGUGUAUAUGUGGAGUUCUUUAGAAGUUUUUCUCUUCUCAUUUGCAUUAUGAUUGAACAAGAAAUUUUGUUUCAAACUUUUCCAAUAAUAAAGUUUUUUAUUUAGACAAUUAUUGUCUUGUAUAUAUAUUCAUCUAUAUUUCAUUCUUUAUUUUGCUCAUUGGAGAUUUCAUGAUGAAUUUUAAGAAAUGAGACUACAUUGAGAUUUUUUCAACCUCUAGCCUGAAAAUUCACAAGUGUAUGUUUUCUAAAAUCUUUGCAUACACUAGAUUGGUGAUCUGAACUAUACAAUAAGAGUGUUCAGAAUUAAAAAGAGGUCACUCAAAAGACCCAAUGGGAUACAUUUUUCUCCUUCACUGUACAAUUCAUAUUUUUGCCCAUUUCUAUUAGCCCCCCAAAAUCAGUCACAUUGAUUGAUAAAUUACAAAUUGGGGCAAUCUUUGCUUGAAAAUGCCCACUGUGUCUAAUUAGAUUCAAUCCACAUCUAAGUGAAAACAAAAAUGUACAUUAUUCUUAUUUGUUUUGAAAGUUUGGAAUGAUACUUCAAGCAUUCGUUUCUCUAUCUAUACAGAUUUUAUCAUUUGCUCUCUCAUUUGAGCCUUUAAAAGAAUAAUUUCGUUUCAAAUGAGAGCCCUAAUGAUCACUACCCCAUAUUGGAAGAUUUUUCAAAUAUCAAAAGGGAGUGGAUUCUCAAUGAGCAUUUCGUUACUUUGGUUGUCAUAAAACUUAAGAAUGAUGCUUUGGCCAUCGUUUCUACAAUCUAAACAUUAUUUAUCCCUUGCAUCCUCCUUUGAGCUAAAAUGGGUGGUUCUUUUUAAAAGCAUUUAUGAUCGUACCCCACACCGGGGAAGGAGAUUGGAGGAUUUUUCAAAAGAAGAAAAAAAGGAAGAAAAAGGAGGCAAAAAAUGCUAAAAUUCAAGAAGAAGAGAGGGAAUUGCAAAUUGGGAAAAUUUGAUUCUAUCUGGGAUUUAAUUUUGGAAAAGAAAGAGGAAGAGUUUUGUCCGGCGGAUCACUUAUGUUUCACAGAUAUGGAUGAACAGGAGUCUUUCUCAAUCAAUGAUGCGAGACGCGGAAGCAAAGACUGGAUUUCAGAGGUACACGUCGCGAUUGACGGAAUGGAACCCGACUUGGACCACUCAAGGACGGAUUCAACGGUAGAGGACGCCACAAUCAAGUGUGUGAGCUUGAUUGAUAAGUCAAUAAAACAGCCUAGGAACCACGCUCGGACAUUCAACUUAGCCUUCACAAGCUAAAGGAAUUUGCCACAACCAAUGGACGAAAUUCUGGAAUUUUAUUGAAUAAUAUCGGAAAACUGAAUGUAAAACAUGAUUUAAGGCUAUUUAUAGCCUUGACUAAACCCUAAUAAAGCUUGGAAAAUACAAAAGAAAAUUCGGCCAACCCAUUUCCUUCACUUGGCCGAAUAUUAACCCAACAACCUAUGGCCCGUAACUCAGCGUAGGUACUUAACUGCGGCCCAAUCAGCCGUUUGAAGCUUGACCACUUGCAUCCUCAACUGUAAGCAACACUUUAGUAGUCUCGCCCGGAUCUUCCAACUCAAUCCCUUCAAUGGGCGGUUUCUCUUGGGUUUGGACUGUGACGGCCCCACAUCUCCUUAAGGCGAACCAAAGGGUAUCCGCGGGACGCCUGCCCAACUCUCGCCAGGACUCAAGCAAUUCCAUUCCUCUUAAAACCAAACCGAACAUUUCGAAGAGAGUAACAUGAGUACAAAUAAUGCGGAAGCGUUCAACUUAACAAGUCACUUAACAUGUAACCAGUACAUCGGGUAAACAUAAUACGACUUAAAUUCUAAUUACACGUCAGGGCCCAAAUUUUACAUUUCAAUUCCAAAAGUACAGUCCAAACCAGGGCCUAGCCAAAAUAUAGAAGAAAUCCUAAACAAAAGUACAACGAAGGGUUUCUCCAUACUUCUCCGAGAUUCGGUCCUGUUAAGGAAAACAAAACUAUGGGGUGAGCUAAAUGCUCGUGAGGCCAAGAACACAUAUUCAAGCACAUUGUUCAAAUAGCAAUCCUAAAUUUAUUAAAUAAAACCGUGAUAUUUCAAUAAUCAACCAUUCGAGCAGGAAAAGUAAUCAGAAACAAUUCAAGGAUAUAGUAGCUCUCAGGAGUUAAGUUCCACUCGCUCUGCCGAUGUCAUUCGUAUACCUUCCCGCGAUGACCCUCCGUCAACCGGGUCGGUAUUUCCAUUUCCGUAGAUCACCACUUACUUCCCUCCGUCCACCGUACACCUCCAGGGCCCACAAGUCAUUUAUAAGGCGAUACUCCACGAGUAUGCCAAGCAAGACCUCUCAUUAGGUCAAGCUUAUAUAUCUCAUGGCUCGCCCAGGUUCCCGACCAAGCCCAUUGCCGGCUCGAGUCCAAGGUCGGCCUAUGAGUUUGGGCGUCCCCCAUUCAUUUGAAAGUCGAGGAGAUUCACUCCAACGACGUAUGUAGUUAUAACAUACCAUUGCAUUUCAUUCAUUCAUUCAAUACAUUUCAUUCAUUCAUUUGAAAUUAGAACGAGUGUGAUAAAAUACACACCCGCCCUUAUUUUUAAAAUCUCCAACAAUUACCACAAAUAAGCAAGUAUCAAGGAUUCACACACUUGACACUCACCGAGCAAUUCAAUAAGAAUUAUUUUCUGGAAGUUCAAGUGUCCACUGUAAGAUCCUCUUGAAGGUCUCCUUGUGCGCCUGGCAAUUAAUAGUGGAUAAUCACUCAAAUAUCAAAAUUAUCAAGGAAGAUUGUACACUAGUACAAUCUAAAGAAUAUUUCACAAAAAUGAACCUCAAUUACUCGUAAAUCGAGGUUCAACUUGCAUUUUAUUAAGUACAAUAUUAUUUGAGUUUUUAUCAUGAAAAUCGAGGGCAAAACGUUUGAAUAAUACUAAGAGAAUUAAGAGUUUUGGAAAAACUCCUUUGCCUUGAAAAUUGAAAAUUUUCAGUUUUAUUAUAAAUCUUUGAAAAUUCGUAUCUCUCUCGAUAUAAGUCCAAAAUUGGAAAACUUUAUCCCGUUGGAAACCUUUUGGAAAGUGUUAAAAGUUCGUAGAAGACACUUUUCCAUGAAUCUAAGUGGAAAGUACUUAAAAAUGAGCUUGAAAUCACUGUUCCAGAAUGUUCAGGAUUGAGUUAAGGUUGGUUUUUUUUGCUAACUUUGGAAAUUUGGCAGAAUUCACUCGUUGCAAGCUAGCCCUUGAAAUUUAUAACUCAAUUAGAGGUGUAAGUAAGGUUUAGGGCAGAACAAGCGGAUUGAGAAUUGGAGUUUCGAGCACCGAGAUACGGUAGCUCGAAGUUGGGAAAAUUCAAGUCUGGUGAACAAUUUCCAGAUUUGAGUUUCCAAAAAUUGGAACCUUAGCUAAGUGUCAAAACGAACUUGGAUUGGUAUAAACUUUUGUAGUAUGUUACUCCUAUAUGAAAGGUAUCUCUCUAUCAAAUUUCAGGAAAAAAUACCUUCGGAAAGAUAGUUAAUUAAUCAUCCAAAGUUCAGGAAAAUUUCUAAGGCAACCUGUCUUUUGACUUCAUUUCCCAAUUCAAAUCGUUUAAUCAACAAAGCUAUCCAACCAUGGUUCAUUUAUGAAAUAAAGGUCUAAGAUACAUCCAUGAUACCUUUGGUAGGUGUUUAGCAUCAAGAACUUCAAUUAAUAAGAUCACUCCCAGGUUUUGUCCCAAACCAGUCCAAGUAUUACGGUUUUUCCAAAACAGUGCAGUCCUCUUGUUUCGGUCACAACUCAGUCAAUUUAACUCAGAAUCGAGCAUGGUUUAUGUCGUUGAAAAAUACAUUCAUAGGGCUAUAAUAUCACAGAAGAAAUCAUUUCAAAAUUUGGUGCCCAACUAGUUCAAAAUUGGGCAUCAAUUUGCUGCCUUAUCACUUCAUUCCAGUUGAACAGAGCAACAGGACAGCGAUCUUAAAACGUUUGGUUCGGCUCACUCACAAAGAAUCAGAACGUGCAUUUUAUCUCAAAUUAAAGCCUGAAAUGUCUAGUUUCCAACGCCACCAACGGCACAUGAUUUCGACAUCCGAGGACGGAGUUAUGGCCGAAUCACCACCGCUGGUCAGAGCCAUACGUGAACAGUUUCCAGAUUUGCUAGUUUCACAAAAAAAAUUCGUUUGCCCAACCAAACCUCAUUAUUUUUCAAUGAAAUUUUUCACACAUCUAAUACGUCAUAUAAACAUCAAAUUCAAGCCAUUAGGUCAUUAAAAAUUGGCCUUAAAAUGGCCGAACAAGGCAGGGGCAAAAUCGGAAACUUUUGCUUCUUGCACCCAAUGAAGUUUCUAUCAAUUUCACACCAUUAAUCCAUCAUUUUAACCACUAAACCAACAAUAUAUCCACCAUCAAUCAUCAAAUCAGCAACAACCCAAGAGUGGGAGUUCAUAGAGCCCACUUUCACAUUUUUCCAACAAUAUCAAGUCAUCUACUUAUAUGCAAGUACUUAGAGAUGCAUAUCUACUACUAUAAAUCAAGUUUAAGGUGAUGGAUCAUGUUAUACCUUCUUAAUGUACUAGAACAGAAUUUUUGGCCCUUGAAAUGCUCCAAGAAAUCGUGAUUUCCAGCACCCUUUUUGCAGCUCAAAAUGAUCUCCUAGUGUUAAGCUAAGUGUGGUGCAAGUUUGGUUGAAUUUGGAGAUGUUUUGGUGGUGGUUUGAGUAAGCUUUGUGAAGUAAAAUGAAGAACAAUGAAGCUUAAGAGAGAGAGAGAGCUAGUCGGCAGUCUUGAGAAGGAAGAGAGAGAGAGUGAUCAGAUUUUUAAGCUUCCAAGAGAAGAUACUAACUUGUGGCUACAAAUCACCCAUUAGUCAACUCACAUUAGGGGGCAUUUGGCGCGAUUAGGGCUCGUUUUCACGCGCGUUUGGUUCACUAGUGCACUAAGUCUCUAAUGCACUUAUUUUCAUGUAAAUAUUAUUCACUCUUAAUUGUCCCGAAAUAAGGGUCUAAAGUCCCUCAAAUAAAGUCGCGCGUAUGAAAACGCGUACCGUCAAUUUUAACGCUAUAACGCGAAACCUCCGAGAAAUUCUUAUAACAACCGUGCUACUAACUAUCACUUGAGUAUUUAUUCAUAAGAUUACCUAUUUUAGGACCAUAGUACAAGUCUCCAAUAUUCCAAACUUAUUGUGCUCCCACGCGGUAAAAUCUCCGAGCACUGUUCACUAUUUUUACUAAACGCACUCCAGGAAAUUAAUUUUUGAGACGAGUCACUUUAAAAAUAUAACGAAGUUAUAUUAUCAUGUAUUUAGGUCUAAUAAGACUAGAAAAUAUUUCUCGUGGUAAAAAUCCAAUUAAAUAAUUUAUUAAGCCAUAAGUUAGGCUAAAAAAAAUAAUAGUUUUUACGAGUCCUCACAUGGACGGCAUAAACCAAGGCUUGAAGUGACUCCUUGAAUCUCUUAACUCGUGCUCGUGUCACUGGGCCUUGGGGCACCUUUACAGGGUCUACUUGAGCACCAUGGGCCUCGUCCGCAUCAAUCAAUUAAUUCAGAUACAUGCAAGAAAUUUCGCAUUAAUGAAAGUUUCCUUUCAGAGUUAUUGUAAGGAACGGAAUAAAAAGUUAGGCUCUCUUCUUUUCCAAUCAAACAUUCUAUCGCUAGUUAUCCCUUUCGAGCCUUCAAAAUAAAAUACUUCGUUUGGCAACCACUGAGGAUCGCAAACUCCACACUGGGGCAAGUUUGAGUUGCAAAGGGAAGGAAAGUUUCAAGAGGUGAAAAGUGAUAAAGUAACAAAAGAAAAAGAGAAAAUGAAACAAAAGAGAACCUCGGUUAAGCAUAAACUGGGACAAAUUUUGAAAAGUUCAAAAGAAUGGCAAAAGGCCAAGAAGAAAAUAGAGAGAAGAAAAUGAAAGAGAAAAGAGCCUCGGUCGAGAAUAAAUUGGGGCAGGUUUUGAUUUAACCCUAAAAAUAGGGUUGGCGCAACAAUGCGAUCUCAGAUCAUUUAAACCACUUUUGAAAUCCGCUUUCAAGUUUUAACUUUUCUAAGCACCCCACCAGACCCCAUUACAAAAGCCGAAAGUCCUGACUUCUGUUUUUUGCAAUAUCUCUGUCAAGAAAUUUUCUAAUUGGCAAGUGAUGCUCAUAUAUUGAUGCCAAGGAAUUUUUAAAUAUAUUUGAAUUGAUUAGGCGUGAGGUUGACACUGCUCUUCAUGUGAAAACCAGCAAGGGCACUUUUGAAAAAAAGAAGGAAAAAGGAAAAAGCAAGCGAAAUAAAUGCAAAAGAAAAAUGCAAAAAGAUUCGAUGCUGAAAGUCCCUGUUGAGUGAUUAUAAAGUCAAACAAAGGUCGAGAUUGGGGCGAUUUUUGGGAGGAAAUGCGAUCUUCAAUGCAAUGUCCUUAAAAUCUUAUUUAUUUAACUAUCGUUUUCAAGCCACAUUACAAGCUCAUAAAGUCCAUCGCUGACUUAUCUUUCAUGACAAUUCGAAGUGAGGAUUAUGCUUCUAAGGAAUCCAUUAAUCAUUCAGGAUUAUAAGGCAAUAACCGGUUUCCACAUGCUUAACUGUCAUUUCUACCCAUAUGUUACAAGUUUAUAAAGCUUAUAUGUUGACUAAGUUUUCUUAAAAAAUAAGGGUGACAAACUAUUUGUUUUCACUAAGAUGUGAUAUUGAAGGGAUUACAUACAAUUUGGGCACAAGAAUAAGACAAAUCCUGACCUCUAAUUCCCCUUAGCCCCCUCAAAAUAAAAAAUAAGAUCACUUGAUUGGUCCUGAAAGAUGAGCUAACAAAAAAGAGGUGACCCAUUACCCUAAGUCUCGAUGUUAAAGUGAGGAAGAAAUCUUCUGUAAUUUGAUAUUAUUUUGAGAAAUUCAUCAUGAAAUUUUUUGUAUGAGUUUAAGCAAGAUGUUUAAUUUUCUUCACAUUAUACGUUAGGAAACAUAGUUUCUUACUUUGUUCAAAUAAAUGGAGAGUCAUCGAAACAAAAUUUUUGCAAUUGAAAGGGCCCACACUGGGGUAAAUUUUUGUAAUGCAUUUGAGGAUUUCGUCCAAGAGUCAAAUAAGAUAUUUUUGAAUCAAUCAUACUGCUCUUUACAUGAGUAAUAGGUGCAUCAAUCAAAAAAAUAAUAAGAAAUUUAAGUGCAUGUUGUACUUUGGUAAGACCCCUAUACAGGUAUUCAUGGCUGAAAUUGAUGAAGAAACAUUUAGUGAUGUGGAAGGCCGAUACCGGAAAAAGAGAAGAAAGGAAAAGAAAAAGGGCUCUACACUGGGACAAAUUAUUUUUUGAAAAGAAUCUCUCAAUCAAAAAAAAAUCCCAAAAAAAAUCAAAAGAUCAAAAAUCCAAAAAAAAAAAAUCAAAAGAUCAAAAUUUUAAAAAAAAAUCAAUCAAACAAAAAAAAUAAAAAAUAAAAAAUCAAGUUUAAAUUCUUGUUUCUUGGAAAAUCAAAUUUAAUUUCUUGUUUCUUGAAAAGUCAAAUCUAAUUUCUUAUUGGUGAGUCUCAGCGUCCGCUGCGCACCCUUCUACCUCAUUUCUGGACAACCACAUUUAAUUCACUGACUUCUACCACCGUUAGCAUCGAGUCUAUCUCACUAACGUGUGCGUUUUUAUUCAACUACCGUUAGCAUCGAGUCUAUCUCACUAACGUGUGCAUUUUUAUUCAACCACUGUUAGAAUCGAGUCUAUCUCACUAUCGUGUGCGUUUUUAUUCUACCACCGUUAGCAUCGAGUCUAUCUCACUAACGUGUGUGUUUUUAUUCUACCAUCGUUAGCAUCGAGUCUAUCUCAUUAACGUGUGCGUUUUUAUUCAACCACCGUUAGUAUCGAGUCUAUCUCACUAACGUGUGCGUUUUUAUUCUACCACCGUUAGCAUCGAGUCUAUCUCACUAACAUGUGUGUUUUUAUUCUACCAUCGUUUGCAUCGAGUUUAUCUCACUAACGUGUGUGUUUUUAUUCAAAUACCGUUAGCAUCGAGUCUAUCUCACUAACGUGUGCGUUUUUAUUCUACCAUUGCUAGCAUCGAGUCUAUCUCAUUAACGUGUGCAUUUUUAUUCAACCACCGUUAGCAUCGAGUCUAUCUCACUAACGUGUGCAUUUUUAUUCUACCACCGUUAGUAUCGAGUCUAUCUCACUAACGUGUGUGUGUUUUUAUUCUAUCUUCGUUAGCAUUGGAUUCAUCCCACUAACGUUAUUCUAUCUCCGUUAGCAUUGGGUUCAUCCCACUAACGUGCCUUUCUAUUUUCGAUUUUUUCGGCAGGCUCGAGUGUUAUCAUACUGACCGACUAUCACGGCAGGUUUGGGUUUAUCCCACUAACCGAUUCUCAAGGCAGGCUCGGGUGUUAUUCCACUGACCGAUUAUCAAGAUUAUUAAGGCAGGUUCGGGUUUAAUCCCACUGACUGAUUAUCAAGGCAGACUCGGGUUUAAUCUCACUGAUCGAUUGUCAAGGCAUUUCAUUCAUCACUGCCACUAAACAUGGGUUAGUCCCACUAGUGAGCACUUCAUUCAUCAUUGCCAUUAAACACGGGUUAAUCCCACUAAUGUACAUUACAUCUUAUCGUUAGACAUGGGUCAGUCCCACUAACACUUCAUUUCACUUCACUUCACUUCAUCCCGUUGGGUUUGGAUUUUGUGCCACCAACCUCGGCAGGCUUGGGUUGUAUCCCACUGACCGAUGUCAUAGCAGCUUCGGGUCAGUCCCGUUUUAAAUUUCUUGUUCGGGUCAGUCACGUUUUAAAUUCCUCAUUCAGGUCAGUCCCGUUUUAAAUUUCUUGUUCAGGUCAGUCUCGUUUUAAAUUUCUUGUUCGGGUCAGUCCCGUUUUAAAUUUCUCGUUCGGGUCAGCUCCAUUUUAAAUUCCUUGUUCGGGUUAGUUCCGUUUUAAUUUUCUUGUUCGGGUCAGUCCCGUUUUAAAUUUCUCGUUCGGGUCAGUCUCGUUUUAAAUUAUUUGUUUGGGUCAGUCCCAUUUUAAAUUUCUUGUUCGGGUCAGUCCCGUUUUAAAUUCUUUGUCUGGGUCAGUCCCAUUUUCUAAUUUUUUGUUAAAGGGGUCAGUCCUCAUUUUGAAAGCGUCAGUCAUUCGAGUAGUUUGCAGCAGAAUAACCACAGGUGAGUAUUUGGUGUCUACGUCUUUGUCUCAAAUUUCUUCGAAACUCAGACAAAGAGGGGUAAACUGUAGACACCAAAUUUUUAGCCUUUCUUUUUCUUUUUAUUUUAUUUAUUUAAUUAGUUGAUUUUGUUUUAAUUUUUGCUAAGAAAAUUGUUUUACUAUUAUUAAUUAAUUCAUUGAAAAAAAAGAAAAAGAAAAACUGUUCCAUGCGCUCGUGCUUGGCACGUGCGCCAUUUUCUUUUCUUUCAUGCAAAAAAUGCAAGCGAAAGGCGAAAACAGGGACAUAAAUUUGCAACGGCAUUUUUUUAAUCCCAGCCUCAUCUCAAAAAUGCCAUCCAAUGGCUUAAGUUUUCGGUAGAAACCCACCCUUCAUCCUCACCUUUGAGGUGAGGGUUUUAGGGACCUGGGGUUUCCUAUAAAAGAAAAAAGAGCAGCGGGGACAAAGGGUAAGAGGAGUCGGCGGCUGGGGCUGAGUAGAAACAACGGAGGAAAAAAGCAAAAAAGGGGGGUUUUUGGGGAGAGUAGUUGACAGCUGAAGGAAAGAGUGAAGGGAGAGUUUGAGGGUUAGAGAGAGUUUUGGAGAGGGUGACGGCCGAAAGAAAGAAACCAAGCGAGAGGAAACCAAGGAAAGGAGAAGCGACUUCAUCAACGUAAAGGGCAUUUCGUGGGUCUUCGUUUCCAGAAACAACGUGUUUGUCCUGAGACUAGGAGAGAAACGAAUCAAGAGUCUGAGGAAGACACAAGGGAGGAUCGGGGAACAAGCAAAGGAAAUCUGCAAAAUCUUGAAGAAGGCUUCGAAGCUGAGAGCGAGGGAAAGAGGACUGCUCGACGAGGAGGCAACUUUUGCAGCAAAAGUUCCCGAUCGCGUUCCUGGGAACCCGUACGCGUUUCCGGGCAGAUCUCAAUGCCGCUCAACCGUGCUAGCAUUCUCAGGUAAAAAUACCUCUUAUUUGGUGGAUUUUAACAUGUUUUUAUGAAAGAUAAAGCCAUCGGAUGUGAAUCUUUUUGUUUGCUACUGGGUCAAGCUCUCGCUGGUUCUAUGAUUCUGCCAUUUUGCUCGUUUGCUAAGAUCUGAUUCAGUAGGAACCUAUGAGAUGAGUUUGAUUAAGAACAUGGGGUUUAGGGUUUUCUAUAGUGGUCACCUGAUGAAUCCAUGAGUUCUUUGCUCGAUGUUUAUGGUCAGUCUUUGUGUGAGUAUUGGAGCAGGGACUGAAACCCGAAUUGCCAUCUCAACCUGAAUUGAACCCGAAGAACGUAAGCGCGAUGAGUACUGGAGCAGGGACUCUAGGUGUGUAAUGAGUUACUUGAUUCAUCCUAUUCCCGAAGUGUUUGCUUGACCCGAUAUACCAGAAUGGGAUUGCUUAUUCGCAAGAAACUAUUGAUUUGUAAACAGGGCAAGUAGGGUCGCAUCCUCAGGGACUGGAAAAAAUUCGUUUCUUUUCAAAUCCACAAUAACAAGGGGAUGUUUUUGGUAUAAACGAUGACAAUCAAAGGAGUUUAAAUAAAGAUAAAUAGCUAACUAGGAAUUAAAUGACAAUUUACUAAAAUCAGAGUAAUAAUAAUUAAAGGUCUAGCCAAGAAAUAACUUCAGCAAUGGUUCACCUAAUUGAUCAUCGAUGCAAAUGCAAUUCCAGUUAUUUACUAAUAAAUAGGUUAUAACUGUCAAACAAGCAAUGACAGUCAACCCCUUCUUACUGUGUCGGUGACUAAGGUACGCCCGUUAAUCACUACUCUAAUUGAGAAAUAAUCCUAAGUACGCCCGUAAGAUUUAAUUUUCCAAUUGCCUUACGUAUUAAAGAAGCCCUAUUCUAACCAAAUAACACACUACCAGGGUUAUUUUAGAUUAGCCUGCGCAUUCCCCUGACACAAACCCAAUCAUGCCAGUUGUCACUAUUUUAGGGCAAUUAAACAAUUACGAUUUAAUGCUCUAAUUGACAAUAGGUUACUAAACUAAUUCAUUAUCUGGAUCCAAGACAAUCAAUUAAUUAAAUAACCAUAAGUACUACAAUCAGGGAAUAUGCAAAUACCAAUAAAUAAGAGGAAAAGAUAAAUUUAAAUCGAUCUCACAAUUUUUAGAUGAACCAAAACCUCCGUUGUUUCUUGACCAGAAAAGGGAAUUUAAUUCAUCCCGGAUAGGAAAGACCCACACAAAGUUGCAGCAAUAGUUGCGGCCAUUGUCUCCAAGAAUUGGGAAAAUUCAAUUCGUUCGAAUCAAUAAGAAAAGCAAGCUACAGAAAAUAAUUACUGGUCUUCACUUUGUCUUGACAUACGAAGAAGGAAAACUACUAAGAGCCCACAAGAAGAAAAGUCAAAAGCUAAAACUAAAAAGUAGUGCCCUCUUGUUUCUCUCUAUUCCUAUCUAAUGCCCCCUGCUUUGCAGCUGCCCCGCGGCAGAAAAAGAGAGAGUCCAGCCUUGUUCCGUCUCUUCCUUCUUCGGUAAGUACCAAAAGGGGAAAAGUUCCCCUUUUCCAAAAAUGCCACUGGGAUGAGGGCUGCUACUUGAACUCCUUUCCUAAUGACUAUCAAAUUGGCACUUGUUGUGGUAUUUUUGUUCUACUCCCUGUAAUAAAUGUAAAUUUUCAAAAGUGAGUAGAAUCUAACAAUUAAUCCACAUCAGGUCAAGUAAUAAGAGAAAUUAAUAAUAAAAGAAAUGAUAAAAUUGCGACCUAUCAAAAUGGGAUGGAUGUUUAGAUAGGAAUUCUGUAGAGGGCUGGUAGCAGCCAUCCAAAGAGAACAAGUCCAUUUGUGGACAAAAUAAAGUGAAUGGAGAAUAUAUAUAUAUAUAUAUACGCUACAUGAAUAUUCAACAUAUACAAAAAUGUGAUCAAGAAAAAUGAGGAAUCUGACAGCCUAAUGCUUACUUGCUGCUUUUUAUGGUUUAACUUUAAAGAGACUUUGGUGUCUUGGUAGUUCGUAAUUUGAUUCGAGGUUGAUAAAAAGAAAUUUUUCAGAAAACGUGAAAUAGGGUAAGUAUCCUAGUUUAUUUUAGGUAUUGAAAGUUAAUAAAAAUGGAAAUUAUGGCAGUAAUCCUCUUCAUUUUUCCCCACCAACCAAAGCAACGAUUUUUAAGAAUACAAACAAGAUUUUAAAAAAUAGUUGUGGAGAAAACUUUUAACAAGUUUAAAAUGCAAAGUGUCCAUCAUAAUGUAGAAGAGCACAAUAAUUAGAACUCCCACGUUGGCUAAGCAAAAAUAUAUGUUUGCUCUAAUAACAUAUUACAUAUUAAAUUAUUUUACUAUGAGGUAGGGUACAUUUUUUUUAUAGUUUAGCAAACUAGAACAAAAUUAUAAUAAUUUUAAAUUAAUAUAGUUGCGUGGUGAAAUAUCAUCUGCGGCAAUAUAUAUAUAUAUAUAUACACACACACAUGCGCACGCACACUACUUAUUCAGUUGAAAAAAAUACAAGAAUUUGACAAUAUUGGUUAAUCAAAGAGCACCUUUAGUGACAUGAGAAUGAAAAUUGCUCCUAGAAUAUCUUCCUGAACUUUGUCAUUGAACGAUUGCUCAAAGAGUCUGUAAGAAAUUUAAUUCAUUCUAAUUUUGUCAGUAUUUAAGAAAGUAAGGAUGAUUGAAUUUGACUGCCAUUGUUUUCGAAAGAAUGACUCCACUCAUUAAAGAAUCAAGCCAAAAUUGAGACAAGUAUGAACAAACAAGCAAUUAGUAAUUUAUAUUGUGGUAAUACAAGUUUAUACAAAAAAAAAAGUAGGCACAGUGUAUUUUUUCUGCACCUGUUGUCUAAUAAUAUUAUCACCUUCCAAACUUUGUGGGUUUGUAAAAUGCAUCAAUUAUGGAUCUUGGAGUAAAGAUAUUAAGUAUUAACUAAAUUAACUAAUUAUUGAACUUAUACUCAUGGAAUAAUAAUUUUUUUUUGUAAUGUGCUAAUCUCUAGAAUAUUUGACUUUUAAUAUCCAGGUCUCCCAAUGGUGUGGAAAUUAAGUUGUUCUUCAACAUGCAGCUUCGUGGGACUUCAAGCAUGCCAAGAGUUUCUGGGAAAGAAUAGGUCAAGAUAAGUGACUUGGAGGAAUCUUCAAAAUCAAUACACUUUGUUGAAAUUGAAACUCUUGGAAGUAGCUUGACUGCAUUCAUACCAAAAAGUAAUUUAACAUAAUACUUAUGGACUUUCUCCAUCUCUUUUGUCAUUUCUUUUUCGAAAUUUAUUGUUUAUAGGAAAAAGAAAAAGUCGAUUCAAGAUAUGAAUCUAUGAACAGUUCAACAAUCUAGAUAAUAUUACUCAUUAACGAGAGAGGUUAAUCUAAAAGGACUGAGAUUCGUAGACCAACUGGUCACUACUCAUUACUCAUUAAUAUUCUAAUGUUUGCUUGCUUCUUUUUCAUGGUUUAACUUUAAAGUGAUUUUGGUGUCUUGCUAGUUUGUAAUUUGAUUCAGUCCGGUUGAUAGAAAGAAAUUGCUCAGAAAAUGUGAAAUAGGUUAAAAUAUCCCAGUUUGGUUUGGAUAUUGAAAGUUAUAAAAAUGGAAAUUAUGGCGGUGAUCCUCUUCAUUUUUCCCCACCAAUCAAAGCAGUGAAUUUUUUAAGAAUACAGACAAGAUUUGAAAAAAUAGUUAUCUAUAAUAAUGUAGAAGGGCACAAUAAUUAGAACUCCUAUAUAUGUUGGCUAAGCAAAAAUAUAUUUUUGUUAUCAUAAGAUCUUACAUACGAAACGAUUGUACUAUCAGGCAGGGUAGAUUUUCUUUAUAGUUAGCAAACUGGAACAAAAUUAUAAUAAUCUUAUUUUAAUAAAAUUGCCAAAUGAAAUAUCAUUUGCAAUGACAAUGUAUAUAUUACUAGUUUAAUUGACAAAAUAUAAGGAUUUGACAAUGCUAAUUUGAUUAAUCAAAGAGCACUUUUAGAAGAUAUUACGUUUACACGUAAAACUUAAAAGCCAAUUUAUUUAUUUUUUUUUGCUUUUCUAAAUUUAAAUUCUUUUUGCACGUGCUUCCACUAUUAUCUUGCUCUACAUUUGAGAAGAACUUCUUACAACUUUCUUCAAAUAAAUACCUUUUCCAUACAAAUCCCGCGCCUUUAUAUAAACAAUUACGCUGGUUACAAAGUUUAUCAAGCAAUAAUGAAGAGGCCGAUAACAUUUUAUAGUACCUUACUUUUCUUCUUUCUUUUACAUCCUGAAGAAGUGAUCACUUUCACUUUCUUGGAAGAUCAUUUGUGCCAUCAUGAUGAGGCUCUUGCACUGCUUCAGUUUAAGGAAAUGCAUAGCACAUCAACUGAUGCUUCUCAUGAUUGCAAUUAUUUUGGUCAGUACUCAUAUCCAAAGACAACACAUUGGAAACCAGAUACAGAUUGUUGCAAUUGGGAUGGUGUCACAUGCGACAACAUCACCGGUCGUGUAAUUGGGCUAGAUCUGAGUUGUGGCCAGCUUCAGGGAGUCAUCCAUCCAUACGCUACCCUUUUCAAUCUUUUCCAUCUCCACAGUCCCAACCUUACUUUUAAUGAUUUCACCGGCUCACGGAUUUCAUAGUGAUUUGACUCGCUAAAAAGUUUGAUCCACCUCAAUCUCUCAAAUUCAAAUUUCCAAGGUGAGGUUGCUUCAGAAAAUAUCACACCUGUUCAACCUAAUUUCACUUGAUCUCUCUUUCAAUCUCUUGUGUAAUUCUAUGGGUUGCUCAUAUCCAAGAUAUGAAUUUAGUAAUUUUGAAGCGAUGCUUCAAAACAUAACCCAUUUAAGAGAGCUAUCACUUUCGUCAGUGAACAUCUCAUCCGAGUUAAGGGUGAAUUUUUCUUCAUCUUUGACAUAUCUAGAUCUCUCAUAUACUGGAAUAACAGGUAAUCUACUAGGCAAUGUUUUUCAUCUACCGAACAUGCAAGUUCUCUCGUUAGAUAGCAAUGAGAAUCUUACUGUUAGUUUAUCAAACUUGAACUGCAGCAUUUCUGAUUCUCUGAGGCAGUUGGACCUAUCGGCGACAAGUCUCUCUGCUGCACUGUCAGAUUCAAUUGGGUGCAUAAGGUCCUUAAAUUCUUUGGAUCUAGGAACUUGUCAAAUUUCUGGUGUCAUUCCUGAAUCAAUUGUCUUCGGAAGAUAACUAUCUUCUAGGGAAAAUUCUAGCUAAAUUUUCCUGUUCACAAAAGCUAAGUAGACUAUCACUUGGUCUUUUUAGAUCUCUCUAGUAAUCAACUAAGCGGUUCACUUCCUCCAACAAUUUUUACUAUUCUGACUCUAUCUUAUCUUGACCUUUCUUCAAACCAUUUUGCUGGGGUUGGGCAAGACGUAUUUGUGGACUUCAAUAAGCUUCAAAAGAACCCUCUUGAGAAUGAAGCCCCACGGAACACUAAAAACAAUGUGAGCAUUUCCUAUCCAGAUUUCUGGCACUUGGGAUUGUCUUCUUGCCAGAUAAAGGAAUUUCCUGAGUCGCAUAGAAAUUCAAAGAGCUUAAAAUUUCUGGACCUCUCAAAUAACAGGAUUCACGGCGAAAUUCCAAGCUGGUUCAUGUUGAAGAAAAGGGUUCAGAUUGGGAAAAACUUCAAGCGUAUAUUACUGAUUGCAAUAGUCUGCUGAUAUAGUUACAAGAAUUUGACAAAAAAGGGAAGAUACAAUUAUUCCUAAAAUCAUGUAAUGGAAAGCUAAAACUACUCCUACAAUCACGUCAUGACAAAAACUUAUAUGGUAACAAUAUAUACAGCUAUAUGAUUGAAUAUCUCAACACUCCCCCUCAAGUUGGAACAUGGAGAUUGCGAAUGCCCAACUUGCUCAACAAAUGGUGGAACUGAGCUUUCCCAAGUGCUUUGGUGAACAAGUCGCCAAUUUGAUCACAUGAGCGAACGUGAGCAGUCUGCAACUCGUUACUUAGUAUGCGAUCACGAAUGAAAUGGCAAUCAAUUUCAAUGUGCUUUGUACGUUCAUGAAAAACUGGAUUUGCAGCAAUGUGUAGAGCAGCUUGGUUGUCACAAAAGAGAGACAUGGGUGAUGCUAAUGAAACUUUCAAAUCUGCAAACAAAGAACGCAGCCAGAGGAGUUCACUAGUAGCAUUGGCCAUUGCCCUAUACUCUGCUUCAGCGGAUGAGCGGGAAACUGUAGUUUGCUUUUUGGACUUCCAAGAAACCGGGCUAUUACCGAGGAAAACGAUAUAACCACUAGUCGAUCGUCGAGAUGUUGGGCAGCUGGCCCAAUCUGAGUCACAAUAAGCAAUGAGUUGCAGCAAACUAGCAGAUGACAAGAAUAUACCUUGGCCUGGUGCCCUUUUGAGGUAGUGAAGGACUCGAUAAGCUGCAUCCAAGUGAGGAACACGUGGAUCUUGCAUAAAUUGAUUGAGAACUUGUACUGGAUAGCUAAUGUCAGGUCGAGUUAUCGUCAAAUAAAGUAGCCUUCCAAUGAGACGACGAUAUUGACCAGCAUCUUUAACUACUGCACCAACUCCCGCUGCCAAGUUGUGUCGUUGUUCCAUAGGAAAGUCAGCAGGACUUGCGUCGAGAUGACAAGUCUCUUCAAGGAGGUCUAGAGUGUAUUUUCGCUGGCUAAGUACAAUUCCUUCCUUAUUACGAGCCACCUCAAUACCAAGAAAAUAUUUGAGUUGCCCAAGAUCUUUGAUGCGAAAAGCUGAAUCAAGAUGAUGCUUCAUAUGAUUGAUGGUGGUUGAAUCAUUUCCAGCCACAAUAACAUCAUCUACAUACACUAACAAAGCAGUAAAGUGUGCUCCACUGGUGAAUGUAAAAUGUGAAUUAUCUGUAGCAGAUUGACUAAAACCAAUACUCUACAAGCAACUAGAAAAUGUUUGAAACCAAUUUCUAGAGGCUUGUUUAAGGCCAUAAAGGGACUUUCGAAGUCGACAAACCCGAUUGUCACCUGGUUUUGCAAAGCCUUGUGGUAUUUUCAUGUAUACCUCUUCACGUAGAUCUCCAUGCAGGAAGGCAUUAUUAAUGUCCAGCUGAUGUAAUUCCCAAUGUCGUACUGCAGCCACAACUAAUAGACAACGUAGAGUUGUAAGCUUUGCAACUGGAGCAAAAGUAUCAUGGUAAUCGAGUCCUUCAACCUGUGUAAAACCUUUAGCAACCAAACGUGCCUUAAACCGCUCAAUUGUGCCAUCAGACUUGUACUUGAUUUUGUACACCCACUUGGAAUCAAUGGCAUGCUUACCAGGUGGUAGAUGCUCUAAUGUCUAAGUUUGAUUCUCCUCCAGUGCCUUAAUUUCUUGCUGCAUAGCAAGUCUCCAACGAUGAUCCCUAACUGCUUGGGAAAAAAACUUUGGUUCGUCUAAUGAAGUGAUGGAGGCCAAAAAAGCUUUAUGGGCAUCAGUGAAAUGAGAAUAGGACAAGUUAUGAGAGAUAGGAUAAAUUGUACCUGAGUUUGCUGAUGGAGGGGACUCCCGAGAUGGUUCCAAGGAGGGUAACAACUUAUAAUCAAAACCAGAAAGCUUUGUGGAUACAUGCCUUACUCGAUGUGGACGCUGCAAGGAAGGAAUUAUAUUUCCACUAGGGCUGCCAGUAUCUGGUUGUAGUGUAGAAUUAUCUUUUUCAUGUUGGGUUUGUUGGGAAAAUGUAUGUUCAAUAGGAGAUGGUGUGGUGUCCAUCGAAGUGGAGUUUAUAGGAGGUGGAAUUGGGUCAGAUUGUGAGUAAUCAUGCUGAUCUAUAUGGGGUUGCACACUCCACAUUGAAGGUUUAGACUCGUUAUUUCAUUGAAAAGGAAAUUCUGUCUCAUAAAAUAUCACAUCCCGUGAUACAAAUACUUUUUCUCUUUCCAAAUCAUAGACUUUAUAGCCCUUUUGUCCAUGGGGAUAACCAAGAAAAAUACACCGAUAGGCUCUAGUAGAGAAUUUAUCUCGGUGUUUGUCAUGAUUAUGAGCAUAACAAAGUGAUCCAAACACCUUCAAAUGAUUGUAGUUGGGUUUACUUUUGAAAAGUACCUCAUAUGGGCUCUUGCCUUUGAGAGUGGGAGUGGGCAUCAAAUUGAUAAGAUGAACUGCUGUCAAAACACAUUCUCCCCAAAAUUUCAAAGGUAAAUGGGCUUGAAAACGCAAUGCUCGCGCAACCUCAAGAAUGUGGCGAUGUUUGCUCUCCACUCGCCCAUUUUGUUGUGGAGUAUCAACACAAGAGGUUUGAUAGUCAAUCCCUUGACUAGCAAAAAAAUCUCUCAUGGUCCUGAGACAAAUUCACUCCCAUUAUCACUUCUCACAACCUGUACUGGGUAACCAAAUUGAGUUUGUGUAGAUUGGCAGAACAUGGUUAGAAAAUCAUAGGCCUACAAUUUAUUUUUCAAAAGAAAGACCCAAGUACAUCGUGAAAAAUCAUCAAAAAUAGUUAAGAAAUAAUGAGCACCACUAAGUGAUAAGACAGAAUAUGCUCCCCAAAGAUCAACAUGAAUCAAAGCAAAAGGUUUAACACUUUUCUUAUUGCUGUUUGGAAAAGACAAUCUUGUUUGUUUGGCCCUAUGGCAUACAUCACAAAUGUGAUUAAAAUUGCUAGGAAAAGGAAUACUAGAAAUUAAUUUUAAUCGGCUAAAGGAAGGAUGACCCAAGCGCAUGUGCCACAAGGUAGCAUCAGAUUCAGUAACACUAAGACUUGCGAGCCCGUGGCCUCCUUCUAAUUGAUAAACCCCAUCUCGGAGCCUACCCACUCCAAUCAGCAUCCUCGUACACAGGUCCUGAAAAAAAACAAGAAUCAGGAAGAAAGGUUGCUGAGCAGUUUAAUUCCUUUGUAGCUUUGGCAAUAGAGAGGAGAUUGAACUUGAAACCAGGCACACAAAUAACAUUUUUCAAAUUGAUAUUUGGUGUUAGGUAGGCAUUACCAACGUGAGUUACAGGGAGACUAGAGCCAUUUGCGAUUCUCACAUUUGGAUAUGAAGAGAUGCAUUUAACAUUGUCAAGUAUACUUUUGUCUCCAACCAUAUGGUUAGAGGCACCAGUAUCCAAAAUCCAUGAGUUAUGGAAUGAAUUGCAUUUACCUGCAAAGUUGGCCAAGGCCUCAUUAUCAUGAUUUGGUGGUCCAAGGAUUUGCAUGAGUUUGUUGUACUGGUCCAUUGUCAAUCCAAGAGGUUGUUGUGACUGUGACUUCUCACUUGGGUUGAUAAAUUGGUGGUCAGUUGCUGCUAUGUUGCCAUAGAUUUGCAUCUGCCCUGAAUUGUUCUUGCCUCCACCACAAUUGCCACCUUUGCUUUGUUGAUUAUUCUUCCAAUUUGCUGGAUACCCUAUUAUCUCAAAGCAUUCUUCCUUGAGAUGUCCCAUUUUCUUGCAAUGUUCACACCUUUUACUUGAUCGACUUCUUGGGGCUUGACUCCUGGUAUUUUCGUUGCCCCUACGAUCAGUUUUUGCUGCAAAAGCCGCUCCUUCCAGGCUGUGUGAUGUUUGUUCAUUUACUUGUACAAAGGAUUGCUCUUCUUGUAAAGCCAAGGAAAACAGUUUACUGAGUGAAGGUGUAGGUUCCAUGGACAGCACAUUAGAUCUCAACCGAUCGAAAUUUCCAUUCAAUCCCAGUAGAAAUUGAAGGGCUUUUUCUUUUUCUCGGCGUAAUAAGUGAUCCUUGGCUGCCUCGCAUUUGCAAUAAGGCAAUGGAUCAUAGAUUUACAGUUCUUGCCAUAAGGUUUUGAACUUGGUAUAAUAUUGAGUUAAAGGCUGCCCAUCUCCUUGUAACAUGUUGGAAAAUUAUUUUUUUAUUUUAUAAAGUCGAGGUGCAUUACUUUGUCCAUACCUUUCACAAAUCUCAGUCCAAAUUUCUUGUGCCGUGCCGGUGUAGACAACGCUCUCUUGUAUGUCCUUGGCCAAGGAAUUCCUCAGCCAUGCUCUAACCAUUGCAUCAUUCUUCUUCCACCGUUGAAAGUCUGGUGACUUUAGAUCUGGCACUUCUAGACUGCCAUCAAUGAAACCACCCUUGCCUUUGGCAUAUAGGGCUGUUUCCAUGGUGCUUUUCCAUGCUGCAAAAUUUUCUCCUGCGAAUGGUGUGGAGACAAAUUGCAGCCCUGGAUGAUCUGAAGGUACAACACAUAGGGGGAGUCAUCAUAGAUUGUAACCUCUCCCCCUUUCGUUGAAUUCUCUGGAGUUGACAUAUUUUAUUGUCAACAAUUGUUAAGGCUCAACCUGCUCUGAUGCCAUGAAGAAAAGGGUUCAGAUUGGGAAAAACUUCAAGCGUAUAUUACUGAUUGCAAUAGUCUGCUGAUAUAGUUGCAAGAAUUUGACAAAAAAUGGAAGAUACAAUUAUUCCUAAAAUCAUGUAAUGGAAAGCUAAAACUACUCCUACAAUCACGUCAUGAUAGAAACAUAUAUGGUAACAAUAUAUACAGCUAUAUGAUUGAAUAUCUCAACACAUGUCCAAGACUUGGGAUAAUUUGCCCUACUUGAAUCUUUCGCAUAACUUUUUGACUGGUACCAUAGACCAACUACGGUGCAAACAUCUGUUGCAUCUAGAUAUGAGUUUCAACUCACUUCAGGGUCAAAUGCCUUCUUCUAUCUGUAACUCAACUUCUCUUUUCAUUCUUGAUUUGUCAUAUAACAAUUUGGUUUCCCGAAUCCCUCAAUGCUUGGGAAACUUCAGCCAGAAGCUCUCCGUUUUGGAUUUGGGAAAUAAUGGACUUUUUGGCACCAUUCCCACAACUUUUUCACAAGGUAACUCUCUGAAUAUUCUUAUGCUGAAUGACAAUCAACAAGAUUGAUGAUAGAUUUCCAAUUUGGUUGGAAUCUCUACCUAAUCUACAGGUUUUCAUAAUCGAUUUCACGGAGGAAUUGGUAAUUUUCAAACUGAAAGCCCAUUUCCGCAGCUGAGAAUCAUCGAUGCAUCCUGCAAUGAGCUCACUGGUGUUCUACCUACAGAACUCUUCAAAAGCUUAGAAGCUAUGAGAAGCUUAAAGGAUCACCCUGGGCAAUAUAGGUCAGAAACUGGCUAUGAGCUUGAUUAUUACAUCCAUUCCUUGACUUUAGUAAUCAAAGGGACGGAGUAUAGUCUUGAAAGAGUCCUGAUAGAUCGAACAGCCAUUGAUUUCUCAAGCAACAGAUUUGAAGGACAAAUUCCAGAAAUUAUCGGAACCCUUCAUUCUCUUCUUAUACUCAAUUUCUCUCAUAACAAUCUCAGUGGUCAUACUCCCCGGGCAUUAGGGAAUUUGAAUAAGCUUGAAUGUCUAGACCUCUCUUGGAACCAGCUUGAGGGAACUAUUCCUGUGGAGCUUCUGAAUCUGACAUUCCUUGAAUUCUUACACCUUUCAGAAAAUCAUCUGAUUGGACCCAUUCCUCGAGGAAGACAUUUUGAUACAUUUGGGAAUGAUUCAUGCAGAGGGAACUCGGCCUUGUGUGGAUCACCAUUGACUAAAGAUUGUGGAAAUACAGGGGCACCACCACCAGCCUCGCCAUUCGGAUCUGAGCAACAAUAUGAUCCAGAGUUCUUUGAUGGAUUCACCUGGAGAGCUGUUGUUCUGGGAUAUGGUUGCGGAUUAGUGCUCGGACUAACCAUGGGAAGUCUCGUGUUCUUAACUGAAAAACGAAGAUGGUUCAUAUAGAUUGUUGAAGAGUCGUACAAUCUGUGAAAAAGAUCGAGGAAAUAUGUCCACAUACGAACUUGAGAACAGCAAUGCAAUUUACAAAAUUGGUGGGCAAAACAUACUCUCUUCUGCAGCUGUUGUCUAAUAAUUUUACUUCCUCUGCAUAAUUUCCAUUUUCAUAAUCAAAUAUCCUUGGAAAUGAUAACUUUUUUCUAUGGCUAAUCACCAGAAAAUUUGACUUUUUAUGUCCAGGCCUCCCAUUGGAGUCGUAACUAGGAAGGAUCAGCAGUAAAACUGGCUUUGUUUCAGUUCCAGUUGUAUGUAUCUGCUAUGCACGUUUUAAGGUUCUAAUAGUUGCUUCUUUUUAUGAUUGUCAAGUUCCAGGUGCAAAGAGAUUCUGAUUCCUUGCAACUUUAUCUUUUGCUUCAUGGUUAAAAAUGAAAUCAAGAACAUGUUCAGAAAAUAUGAAAAAAGGGUAUAUCCCAGUUUGGUUUGCACAUUGAAAGUUGUUCGAUGAAAAUUAUGACAAUAAUUCUCUUCAUUAUUCCCCACCUGCCAAAGAAGUUAUCUUUGAGACUACAAACUAGGCUAGUGUGCUUUAAAAUGCUUUACAUUGACUAAUCAACAACGAAGAUGUUCUUCAACUUGCACCUUUGUGGGACUUGAUUUGGAACAGCUUUGCACCAUUCGAACUUCAAUCGUUUACUGCCACAGCUGGUAUGUGUGAACAGAGAGAGACUAAUCCAAGCCACUUUUCUUGACUUUGUGGAAAAGAACAAGUCAUCCUCAGUCUUUUGCAAUAAAUUAUAGAUAAGUGAAGCCUAGUCUUCAUCCAAAAUUGUCAAAAGUGAAAUUCAUGGAUGCAACUUGAACAUAACUUAUUCUUCACUGGACCUGAAAAUUAGAGCACCAGCGACCAGCUUAAUCUUAAUUGGCUUUGGAGCUUCCACGCCAAAUGGUACGACAAUUUUGAGAAAAGGGAAGGGAGAGUUAUAGAUUUCAAGAGAAUGAUCUUUUUUCACACUACCAAAUUAGGGUCUACUAACAAAAUUUAUAGUGAAGUUCUUCAAAUCAAAUGAUCAAUCCACGAGACAAAAUCUAAUAGCAUGAACUAACUCGAAAAUAAGGUUGAGAUCUCUAUUUUAAAUACAAAAGACAAUUCACAUAUCCGAGAUAAUGAGUCAAGGAUAACCAUAUAAUAAAGCACAUACAACCACAAACUUCAAACAGCAACAAGUAACCAUGAAAUGCUUCAUGAUCCAAUUAACACAAGAAAAGCAAGAUAGUUAAGUAAUCUUAACAGAAUGCUUAUUGACUUUCUACAUCUCUUUAAUCAUUUCUUUUUCCAAUUUUUUUUUUUGUUUUACAACAAAACAAAAGUGAAUUCCAGAUAUGACCCCAUUACAGGUUCAAAAGUACAGAUAAUACUCAUGAACGAAAAGGAAUGAGAUGGGUAGGCCACUUUGGCCCCAUAGCUGUGACAAUUAGUGGACUCGUUGAUCCAAAGGCAUUUAUGGUGGAAAUGAAUUUAGAACGUAAAUGUAGUUUCUUGGCAUUACAAGUCUUUACAAGCCUAAUGAAGAUAGCAAAUAAUUCAUAUGGAUGCUACGACUUUUCAGAGGAGCUAAGGCCCAUUCUAAUUAGCCAUUACUCAUGAAAGGGAUAGUUAGAUAGGAAUUUAGUAACAUAGUGAUAGAAGCCAUCCAAAGAGAACCGGUCCAUUUGUGCACAAAGCAAAGUGAGUUUAGGAUAUAUAUGCUACACCAACAAUCUGCACAUACAAAAUUUGAUCAAGCAAAAUGAGGAAUCUAAUAGUUUAUACACUAGUGCUCCUUUCUUUGCAAUCUCGAGAAAUUACCAGUUUGUCUUCCUUUUUACCUCAUUUGUGUCACCAUGAUGAGAGUCUUGCUCUACUUCAGCUUAAGCAAAUGUUUCAAAAAUCAACAGAUGCUUCUGCCUACUGUGAAAAUGCAUAUCCAAAGAUGAUAUCAUGGAGCAAAACUUCUGAUUGCUGCACCUGGGAUGGGGUAACAUGCCAUAGAGUUACAGGUCAUGUAAUUGGCAUAGACCUUAGUUGCUGCCAACUUCAAGGAUCCAUCUAUGCUAAUAGUAGCCUGUUCAAUCUUUCUCGCCUCCAAAAGCUUAAUCUAGCUUACAAUGACUUCAAGAAUUCACCAAUUUCUCAUGGCAUUGGUGGCUUGACUAGUUUAACAAACCUCAAUCUCUCCAAUUCCAAUUUCUACGCUCAAAUUCCAUCCCAAAUAUCUUUACUGUCAAAUUUAGUUUCACUCGAUCUCUCCCAAAAUCCUAUUGAGUUUGAACAUCAGGAUUUCCAACUGCUUCUUCAAAACUUAACUCAGGUUAGAAUACUUUCUCUUUCUGACGUUAGUAUCUUCUCCGAGUUCCCUAAGAACUUUUCUUCAUCUUUGACAAUUGUGGAUCUUGGUCAAACUCAAGUUUAUGGUAAGCUACCAGACCAUAUUUUCUAUCUAGCAAAAUUGCAACAACUCAUACUAAAUGGAACUCAAGUCACUGGAAGUUUACCGAACUUGAACUGCACUGCUUCAUACAUGUUGUCGUACUUAGAUCUUGCUUACACAAAUUUUUCUGGGGAACUUCCCAACACAUUUGGCUGCUUGAAGUCCUUGAACGCCAUGUUGCUCGAUGGAUGUCAGUUCACUGGUCGCCUUCCUGAGUCAAUUGGAAACCUUUCUCAGCUCACUACGAUGUCUCUGACUCAAAACAGUUUCAGUGGGCCUCUUCCAUCGGUGAUCUCAAACCUUGUCCAACUGGAAGUUUUAGACCUUACAGGCAACCAAGUGCAAGGCCAAAUACCAGAUUGUUUCACAAAUCUCCAAAAAUUAACUCAAUUGUCAUUGCGAGACAACCAUUUGGUUGGGCCUUUCCCAUCCACCAUUGCGAACCUUACCAAUCUCCAGACGCUAGAUCUACAAUCCAAUUCGAUAACAGGUCCUCUUCCAUCAAACGUGAGUGGCCUUCAGGAAUUGUCUUUUCUAUAUCUUUAAAACAACUUGCUCCAUGGCACAGCACCGACAUGGUUAUUUAGCCUGCAGUUACUCACAACUUUGCUUCUCAAAAACAAUCUCCUAACAGGACAAAUCGAAGAGCUCAAUGGAAUGUCACUGAUGAAAAUUGAUUUGAGUAAUAACCAAUUAUAUGGUCAAAUUCCUAAAUCAAUUUCAACACUCCCAUUUUUAGAUUUCCUUGACCUCUCAUCAAAUAAUUUGAGUGGCGUGCUUGAACUAUCCAGUGAUGGUCUUGAGUACCUUGUUCUCUCUAAUAAUCGAAUAUCAUGGAGCACCAGCGGAAAUGUCAGCAACUCUUUACCAAACCUUUAUCGUUUAGAGCUAUCUUCUUGUGAGAUGAAGGCUUUCCCAGAAUUUCUCAGAAGCUCAAAGAAGUUAGAAGUUCUACAGCUCUCUGACAAUAAGAUUCAAGGUCAGAUUCCCAGCUGGGUGACAUCCAUGCCUUGGGAUUCACUUCUGUAUCUAAAUCUAUCUUAUGACCACCUUUCUGGGAUGGAUGCAUUACCUUGGAAGAAUCUAAGGGUUCUAGAUGUUCGAUUCAACCAAAUCCAAGGACAAUGGCCUUUUUUCAUUUGCAAUUUGAAAGCUCUAGCAAUUCUUGAUUUGUCAAGGAACAAAUUUACUGGUGCAAACCUCGGUGUUUUGGGAACUUUUCUAGUUUUGUGGUCCUGAAUUUGGAAGGAAAUGGCCUGCAAAGGACCAUUAAUUCAAUGGUAUUUGCAAAAGAUAUCAGAUUGAGAUAUCUUGGUCUGAAUAGAAAUUUCUUGGAAGGGCCGCUGCCAGAAACUUUGGCCAACUGCAAGUCCUUGAUGUGGGGAACAACCGUCUGAAAGAUAUAUUUCCUGCAUGGUUACAAAAUCUUACGGAGCUCCAAGUUCUUGUGUUGAGUUCUAACAGAUUCUUUGGACCCAUAAGCAUUUUCAAGGCUAAGAGUCCAUUCCAAAAGUUGCAAAUCUUCGCCCUCUCUUGCAAUGAGUUCAGUGGUGUUCUAUCUACAGAACUUUGGAAAGCUUCAGGGCUAUGAUGAGCUUACAAAGCAACAAAUCAGAAUCUAAAUACUUGCAUGCAACCGGUAAUACAACAAAUUAUCUAUACUCUGUCAGCAUGACAUCCAAAGGCCAUGAGAUUGAGUUCACCAAAAUCAUUAGAACUCUCACAACCAUUGAUCUGUCAAGCAACAUGUUUCAUGGGAGGAUCCCAGACGUCAUUGGAAAUCUCUACUCCCUCAAGUUGUUGAACUUAUCCAACAAUAACUUUUCUGGCCACAUUCCACCAGCUAUUGGGAACCUGAAAUUUCUUGAAACAUUAGACCUUUCAAGAAACCAAAUUGGAGGAGAGAUUCCAAUGCAGCUAACGAAUCUUACAUCUCUUGAAGUCCUAAACUUAUCAUGCAAUCAUCUUAUUGGGCAAUUCCUCAAGGCAAUCAAUUGCGCACACUUGGUGAAGAUUCAUACAGCGGAAACUCAGGAUUAUGUGGAUUCCCAAUAACAAAAAGCUGUGAAGAAAUGCAUGUGCCACAAGCGCCCCCAGAUGAGGCAUUGGAACAAGGCGAGGAUUCGAGUUUCAUGGGUGGAUUUACAAGGAAAUCAGUGCUCAUAGGAUAUGGUUGUGGACUUGUUCUUGGCAUAGCUUCUGGUUUUCUAAUGUUUGCUACUGGAAAACCAAGAAGAUUGGUAAGAUUCAUUGAAGAAGAAGCAUAUAGUAAUAGUGUACUCUUGUUUGGAAAGAGAAAAACUGUAUAAUCAGCUGAAAAAACCAAUAACAUGUCACGAGCGCAUGGAAGAAGAAACUAAAUAUCCAGAUAAAUGAGGUAACUAGAACAUACAUUCUGUGAUUUUAUAUUGUUUCCUUGUACAACUUUGUUAUCUAUAUCAUCAAAUGUUUACAUUCUUAAGAUAAACUGUACUUCUUACAGUUGCCCAAUUUAUAUUCAAGCACUUACUAUCUUUGUGCUUAAUAAGCUAUUAUUCAUACAGCGGGUCUGGUUUUAUAUUUGUAUAGCUGAUAUCAAAUUUUUGGAGCAUGUCUCGUUGCCCCAUUAUUCAAAAAUAACAGCUUUAAGAUCUCCAGUCUAUGAACCAAGAUAUCACUCAAGGCCAUAACCAAAAGGAUGACCUCACAGGAUCCAAAGCCAUUUCUGAUAAUUAGUGAGACUGAUAGUUUCUUGGGUUUUCACUGAAUUUCUGAUUCAAUGAAUUAGAAUAGACAGCUUUAAGGAUAUGAUACCUUUCUUUUUAUUAUUCUCAUUUAUUGAUUUGAUCAAUUCAUCUAAGCAAUCACCAUUGUUGUAGUUUAAUGUGCUUACCUUUCAUUUUUGUAGGUGGAGAAAUUUGGGAAAGAGAACUUUUCAUUCCACGUUAGAUGUCUUAAGUAUUUGUGUUAGACCUAUUAACCUUUCACGGUUCUUCAAGUGCUGUCAAUUACUAAACUCAUAGAAAUCAAAAUCCGCUUCAAAAUUUCUCAUAUUAUGUCCUUUGUUCUUUUCAUGUGUGAAUCUUAGUGUGGUUUUGUAACACUUUGUAGAAGCUCAACAAUUGAUUACUAGAUUCAGGUUUCUAAAAGAUAGUCUCCAUUAAUUAUAUGAUUUAGGAAACCCAAAUUAAUGGUGAAAAUAAUAAUUACAUUUUUCAGAAGCUCCUAAAGGUAGGAACUAAUAUUGAAAUUCACCUUUAUGAGACGGUACAGACUCUAUACAUUGGCACAUCCCAAAAUUAUUCUGAAAAUGAUCCAGCUUUGUGUCAAAGUUCAUUAAGGGUACACAAGAAUGUCCAACCACAAGCUAAAAAUUAGUUUUACUAGAACUAAUUUUUAUUAAACUUCAAAACAUAAGCUAAAUUAUUUAACAACAAAAUAGCAAUGAAUUGAGAACAUAGGAUUUGUAAUUCAACAAAAAAGAGGAAAUUAAGGAUUAUGUGGAUUUGCACAAGUACAUGUAACUUGAUGUUACUGUUGGAUCUUUUAAUUGGAAAUAAAGGAUGGCUUACCUAAUUAAAUUUACCACUACCAGGUCAACCUUCUUGCAGUUUCAGCAUUGUUUUUUCAAUAACUCAGCUUCCCCAUGGAUUUUGCUGCAUUCAAAUAAUUUUGUCCUCAGCGUCAGAGAGAAGUCAUAGACAAGUAAUUUGAUUGAUAAGAAACCAACAUGUCAGGCCAUUCAAUUAACUUCUUAAUCAUGUAACUCACCGUUGUGCACAGAAAUAUGAGACUCUAAAAGACAAACCUUGAAAUAGCAUUUCUCCAUUCACGUUUAGUUUGAUUUUAUGAUCUAAAGUAACUGCUGGUGUACUUGCAACACAAAAUGAGAAGACUAACGUGCUUUGUGCAUCAGUUGAAUGAAGCUAAAGGAAAGCACCAACAAAGUGCCCUGCGUCUGGUGAACAAAAGCCACAUAUGGCAACACGAUGAACAUCUCCAGCUCCACGACAAACCUAGUUGCAAAGUUACCCAUUAAAGAACAUAAAAACGAAAGUUGAAAACUUUCUGAUCGAACAUCUUUAAAACCAACAGAACAAUCUUCCAGAAGGAGCAAGUCAUUCUGAUUCUUGUGCAAUCUUUUAUCAAUCCCACAAGGGUGGAACAAAACCUAGAAGUGGAUUCAAUUAAUAACUCUAUGGUGACAAAUUGUCAUCAAAAGAUUUAAGCUCUGAAGGAAACAACUAUAACCAAAAUUUUAAUUGUGGUAUAUACAUCUAAAUGAAAGCAAUUUCAAAGUUUGAGGAGCCAAAAACAUCAGCAAGAAUGAUGAUUGCUACCCAUAAAAGGAAAAAGAAAAAAAAGGAUAAGAUCAGCAGCUCUACUCAGCCACCACUCAAACUGAUUGCAACAUAGCUAGAACAUGUUGACACUCUGCCUAAUCUAAUUAACGAGAAACUGGCAUGUCAUACAAAUGCACUUCUGGACACGCAAUUGCGAGAAACUGGCAUGUCAUACAAAUGCAAUUGAUAUAAAUUUCUGCUGACAUGGGAACAAAAUGUUGAUCUCAGCAUCCUGGCAGUAUACUUCAUGGAUGGAAUAGUUGGAAAAUUGUAUUCAGCAAGUCAUGGAGCCUGAUGUUUCCAAGUCACUCUCUUCACUCCCAGCAAAUUUAAUAGAUCUGCCAAAAAGAGCCAUCUUCUCUGACAAAUUACGAAGAGCAUCCUGCCUAUUAGCCAAUUCCAUAAGCACCUUAAUCCUCCUAAAUGAAACAUUACUUGGUUUUUGCCCUUUCUCCACCAUCUGCAAGAAAGACCUCUCAGCCUCAUCCAACUUCCCCAUGUCACAAAGCAAAUCAAACAAAACGUCAGAGACCAAUAUAUAAGAGCCAUACCCCAUCUCCACCAUAUCAUUCCAUAGCUCAAGUCCCAUUUCAACCUUCUCGUGCCUUCUCAACAACCUGAUCAAAAACAUACAAGAUUGAGUGUUUGGUAGACACCCUGUUUCCCUCAUUCUCAGGUACAAGUUCCAUGAACUUAUCAAAUCAUUCCACCAAUAAAAGUCCUCAACAAAAUAUUUUAAGUAGUUGCAUUUGGGCUCAACACCUUCUUUACCAUCUCAUUCAUCAAACCAUAGGCAUCCCCAAUCCUCUUUGCAAUACAGAAAUUUCUAAUAGCAGCAUUGUAAGCUGCCACAUCAGGAUAGCAUCCAUACUCUCUCAUCUCUUCCAAAACAUCCCUUGCCUUAUCAGGUUGCCCCACAAGCCCCAAACCACCAAUCAAACUCGUAUAUGUAAUCACAUCUGGACUAAUAUCCCUCUCCCUCAUCUCCUCCACCACCCUAUACGCCUUAUCCAUUUCUCUCGUCUUACAAUACACAUCCACCAAACACUAUCAGGUUCAACCCCCAUUUCCCUCGUCUCCUCAAAAAAGCCCUCGGCCUCAUCAGUUGACUUCCAACCAGCCAACAAUAUAUUAAAAGUCUGCAAAUUCGGCCUAAAUUCAUGCUUCAAGUUAUGAUACACAUUCCUGGCAUCACUCAUCCUCUUCUCUUGACACAAUGUCCUAAACAGUGCAUUGUAACAACUAGUAUCAAACUCCAAAACAAGCCUUCGAAACCGCUUAAACGAAAUCACAGUCUGCUUAACUGAACAAACCUUAGCAAUCCUAGCUAAGACAACUUGAACAGUUCUUGAAGUGAUCGAAGAUUGAUCCUUUUUCUUCGCUUCCACCAAAACCUCCCAAAUAUUAUCAAAUUUUCUGCUCCUACCCAAAACAUACAGCAUUGUAUCCAAAGAAAAUGCAGAAUGCAAAAACCCCUUUUUCCUAGAUGUAAACUUAAAGAAUUCCAAAGCCUGUAAUGGAUUAGAAUGAGAAAAUCUGACCCUUUUCAGAACAUUAUCAAUUAAGUCAUUUGAGAAAGGGAUUGAAGCUGCUGCUGAUCUCAGUGACUGUCUGAGUUCAACUGAGGUUCUUGAACUUGUUAGUAUCCGAAAAACAGUCUCAACAUCGUCGUUUACAGCAGGGGAGGAAGAAGUAAAAGGCGGGAUUUUUUCAAUUUGGGGAAUGGAACUAAAGAAAAGAAGUGAAUUUAAACAGGCAUACCUUACUGUUGCCGUUGAUGAUGUACAAGAGUGAAGAAAAAUGGGAUUUCUGAUAAAAAGAUGGAGCAAUUUUUUUGGGAUGAAAUCUGAAUGAAGACAAGAACCAAAUAUUCAGACUCUAUGCUACUGCUGCUCCUGCAGGUUUUCCCUCAAGUAUUCGAAUGCAUGAAAUUUUUGGGAUUUUUGUGAUUUUGGGGUCAUUUUUUAUGCUGUGGUUUUGCCGCAAAGCGAUUCUUCCAGCUGAAUUGAAGUGAAAGUUACACUUCAGGGAUGCACCUCUGUAUUCUUUUGUUUUCCUCUUUUUUGCCUUUUUUUUUCCAUCGGCGAAAUAAAAAGAGAAAAAAAAAGUAGGCUAAUACCAUAAAAAUGACCAUAGUUUUAGAACCAUCAGAUCCAAUUACUUUUAAAGGUCAAACUAGGAGGGGAACACCGCGCGAUGCGCGGUGUAAUUUUCAAGUUUGCCCAGAAACGUUCAAUUAUUCAAACUGGGAUAUUCAAUAUAAAAAGUUACAUGAAGGUGCAUCCAAAUGUUUGUGAUUAUUUUUUAUAAUUUUAUUAUGCAAUGAAGAGAGCCACAAUUUCAGUCUAGUUGCUAAAUGACAGUCAUUUUUGGUAUGCUGACUAAUUGGACAGCAAUGGCAAUGUCAUUAGUUUGAAAAUAAUAUAACACUGUGUAAUGCUGCCUUAUAUUUUUUAUGUACACCAAAAUCUGUGACUUUGUAGCUAAAAAAAAAAAAGAGAGAGCAGUGUAGUAUUGCAGCAAGGCUUAGCCUUAUUUUUAGACUCUGAUACAACCAAUCCACUAUUUUCGUAAUUGCAUCAAAUUAACCCAAAGACUGAAAGAAAGACCUAUUACUUUGUAGUACAAUAACCAAAAUGGCUUCAUUAGCUUGUAACUUCAAGAAAUCUACGGAAAGCAAAAGAAUUGUGCUCACAUAUCAACCGUAGUGAGAUAAACUGCAUUUGACCAAAAACGGAGGAGGAUUACCUAAUGCAGGUGUAUCUUCUCAAUACAUCAAUAGUAUAGGGGAUGGUCAAGUACUCAAUACACAAAAAAAAAAGAAAAAAGGAAGUUUCACAGGCCUCGAUGCAAUUCUACCUUUGAUCAUUUGAUGCAUGUCAACAACCAGAAUCCCGUAAAAGGAAAGACAAGUACAUGAGAUAAUGUAAAAGCCUGCAUUUAUGAAACUUACUACCAGUAGACUGCAUUCCAGAGGUUCUCAUUACACAUCAAAGCUGUUCCAGCUCAAAAAGGAAUAUAAGAAAAAGAAGAAAAAAGAAAUGCACAGUGUGCAUCAAGCCUUUUCCUUGUUAUUAGAAUCAUACACUUCAAAAUAACCGAAAGACCGAAAAAUGCAUUACUUUGUAGUACAAUAACUAAAAAGGUUUUUAUUAGCAUAUAACUUCAAGAAAUCUAAUGAAAAGUGUGAAUUUCAGAGGAAGAGAAUAAAUUCCCCAUAUUUUUAUUCAUCAAUGGUAAGGGUAUAUAUACAGGUAUAGACAUCUUAUAAUAUGAAGAUAUCCUAUUACAAUAAAUCAGUCCUCUAAUUCCUAUAAUUUAGGCUACAAACUAGCCUACAUUUGUUAGCUAUCUAAUCCCUACAAAUCAGCCUAUAUCAAUCUGUGACAGCUAUCUAAUCCCUACAAAUCAGCCUGCAUAUAAUCUGUAACACUCCCCCUCAAGCUGGAGCAUAGAUAUUAAUCAUGCCCAGCUUGUUACAUAGAUAAUCAAUCCGGACCCCGUUAAGAGCUUUUGUGAAUAUAUCACCUAAUUGUUCUCCAGUCUUCACAUAACCUGUAGUGAUCAAACCUUGUUGGAUCUUUUCACGAACAAAAUGACAAUCAAUCUCAAUGUGUUUCGUUCGUUCAUGAAAGACUGGAUUGGAAGCAAUGUGAAGUGCAGCUUGAUUAUCACACCAUAGCUUGGCAGGUACUGAGACCUUAAUUCCUACUUCACUAAGGAGCUGAUAUACCCAUAUGACUUCACACACAGACUUGGCCAUAGCUCUAUAUUCAGCUUCCGCACUGGAUCGUGAGACGACAUUCUGUUUCUUACUCUUCCAUGAGACCAAAUUUCCCCCAACAAAAACACAAUAUCCUGAAGUAGAUCUCCUAUCUUCCUUACACCCUGCCCAAUCUGAAUCUGAAAAACAUUCAAUCCUAGUAUGACCAUGAUUGCCAUAUAGGAUUCCACGUCCAGGAGCACAUUUUAAAUAGUGCAAAACUUGUUCGACUGCUUUCCAAUGGUCAACAGUUGGUGAGGACAUAUAUUGGCUUAACACACUCACUGAAUAAGCAAUAUCAGGACGUGUCACAGUAAGAUAAUUCAACUUUCCGAUUAGUCUUCUGUACCUCUCAGGAUCUGCACACAAUUCACCUUCUUUGGUUAAUUGUAAAUUAGGAACCAUUGGGGUACUACAUGGUUUAGCACCCAACUUUCCCGACUCCGACAGUAAAUCAAGUACAUACUUUCUCUGUGAUAGAAAGAUUCCCUUCUUACUCCUGCUAACUUCAACUCCCAAGAAAUACUUUAACAUCCCCAAGUCUUUGGUAUAGAACUGAGUAUGAAGAAAGGACUUUAGAGACGAAAUUCCGCUAGAGUCGCUACCUGUGAUUACAAUAUCAUCCACAUAUACAACUAACAGAAUAAUACCUCCAUUAGAGUGUCUAUAGAAAAUAGAAUGAUCUGACUUGCUUUUCUGCAUCCCAAAUUUCUCAAUAGCUUGGCUAAAUUUUCCAAACCAAGCCCGAGGACUCUGUUUCAAGCCAUAUAGAGAUUUUUGCAGACGACAGACUUUCCCUUUCCCAUACCCCCCUUGAGCAACAAAACCAGGUGGUUGCUCCAUAUAUACCUCCUCCUGAAGAUCACCAUGAAGAAAGGCAUUCUUGAUGUCUAACUGAUGCAGAGGCCAGUCAUAAGCUGCAGCAAGGGAGAUAAACAACCUGACCGAAGCAAGUUUAGCAACAGGAGAAAAAGUAUCAUGAUAAUCCACCCCAUAAAUUUGAGCAUAUCCUUUAGCAACAAGUCGAGCUUUCAAUCGAGAAAUGGAGCCAUCAGAAUUCAUUUUGACAGUAAACACCCAUUUACAUCCAAUGGCUUGUUUACCUGCAGGUAAGGUAACCAAAGUCCAUGUACCAUUGACAUCUAGAGCAUUCAUUUCCUCAAUCAUAGCAGUCCGCCAUCCGGGAUGAGCUAAUGCCUCUCGAACAGUCUUAGGUACAGAAACAGUGUCUAGGGAUGUAAGAAAAGCACAAGAAGAGGAAGACAAAUGAUGGUAGGAAACAACUGAAGAGAUUGGAUAAGUACAUGCACGUUUACCUUUUCUGUGAGCAAUAGGGAGAUCAAGAUCAUCGUUGGCAGCCGGAUCUGAUGACAAAGAGACUGGUUCAUCAGGACAUGAUUCUGGAGACUCAAGGACCAAGUCAGAACUGGGCUGAUGUGCCCGACGUGAGUAGGUAUAUUUGAUGGGAGGCUUAACCGGUGUAGAAGGAGGCGGACCCAAAUUUGGUAUGACACUAUAGAUUAACAAAUCAUCAUCCUCCCCUGGACUCACAGAACUUGAAGAGCCUGAAGAUGAAGAUAAAGGUGUUUGUUCCAAAAAAGUAACAUCAGCAGACACAAGAUACUUACCAAGACUAGGACAAUAACAACGAUACCCUUUUUGCAUGCGAGAAUAACCCAGAAACAUACACUUUAAGGACUUAGGAUCAAGUUUUGUAACUUGAGGACGAACAUCCCGAACAAAACAAGUACAACCGAAUAUCUUUGGUUCUAUAGGAAACAACUGUUUAUUUGGAAAUAGAGUGUGGAAAGGAGUAUUACCAGACAAAACAGAGGAAGGCAUACGAUUGAUUAGAAAACAAGCAGUAGAUAGAGCAUCAGCCCAGAAACAUUUAGGAACCUUCAUUUGAAAUAACAAAGCUCGAGCAGUUUCAAGAAGGUGUCUAUUCUUUCUCUCGGCAACCCCAUUUUGAGAAGGGGUGUCAACACAAGAGGUCUGAUGAAGAAUACCCUGCUCAAGCAUGUAUUUCUGAAAACUGCUUGAAACAUAUUCUUUUGCAUUAUCACUUCGCAAAAUUUGUACAGGUUUACCAAAUUGGGUUCGAAUUUCAGCACAAAAGGAAGAAAAGUGAAGAAAUAGUUCUGAGCGACUUUGCAUCAAAUAAAGCCAUGUCAUUCUAGAAUAAUCAUCCACAAAGGUAACAAAAUAUCUGAAACCAGUUUUAGAGGUAACUGGACAAGGACCCCAAACAUCAGAAUGUACUAACUCGAAGGGAGCAGUAGCUCGCUUAUUGAUUCUAGGACUAGAACUAAGACGAUGAUGUUUAGCAAACUGACAAGACUCACAAUCUAAGGAAGUAAUGUUUGAAAACUGAGGACAAAGUUUCUUCAACAUAGAAAGCGAAGGAUGACCCAAUCGACAAUGUGCUUCAAAAGGAGAGAUUGUUCCAGCACAAGCUAUAGACCCUGGUUUCGGUGUAUCAAGAAUGUAGAGACCGUCAGACUCAUGUCCCUCACCAAUAAUCUUCUUCGUCAUGAGAUCCUGAAAUGAACAAUAACCAGGAAAAAAUGAGACACAACAAUUAAGAGCACGAGUAAGUUUGCUGACAGAAAUCAGAUUAAAAGAUAGUUGUGGUAGACUCAGAACAGAUGAUAAAUGGAGAGAUGAUGUGGGCUGAGUGGUUCCAGACCCAAUAACACUGGAUGUUGAACCAUCGGCUAAAGUAACAGGAGUGAUAGAUUUAUGUGGCUGAAAGUUAGAAAGUAAACUAGGAUUACCUGUCAUGUGAUCAGUAGCACCAGAAUCAAUGACCCAUUUUGGAGAAGAGGAAACAAGACAUGCAUUGGGUUUACCUGUCUCGACAGGAGCAGUAACAUGACCAGAUGGCUGUUUCACUGUUUCUUGAAACUGAGUCAAUCUAGCAUACUUAUCCGCAGAUAUUGUAACAUGCUUGUCAGAGGUGGCACAACUAGAUGCAAUAUGGGCAGAGUGAGCCUUCUUAUACUGCAGCUUCCGACAGUCUCGCUUGAUAUGACCUGGUUUAUGACAGUAGUGACAUACAAUCUCUCCUUGCUCCUGUCCAUGAUUGCUAGUAUUCUUAUCAGAGUGGUUGGGCCCCGACCCCAUGCUCGUACUGUUGCCAUUACUCUUGUAGUGUUGUCUUCCUGAAUCAGCUGUGGUAGUUCGGCUAAGAAGAACACUGUUAGGCUGAGUAGAUAGAACAGGUAACGUAUUCUCUGUACGGAGAACCCUUCGAAAAGCAUCUUCUAGACUGGAAAUUUCUGAACCGGAAAGAAUUUGAGAUUUAGCAGUCUCAAAUUCAGACGGAAGACCGGCUAGAAAACUCAUAACCGCCAUCUUCGCUCGCUGAUUUCGUUGUUCCUCCACAUCACAACUGAAGGGAAGCAGCAUAUUGAGCUCUUCAUAUGUUUUCUUGAAGUCCAUAAAAUAACUGGUGAGAGACUUGUCUCCUUUAUCUGCCCUGUAAAAAUCCUUGCAAACAUCAUAGAUACGAGAGAAAUUUCCUUUUCCAGAAUAUAAGAACUGUAAAUAGUUCAUUAAUUGUUUUACUGUCUUACAAUGAGUCACCAGACCAACCACCUCACUAUCAAUAGAAUUACGGAUCUGUAUAUACAAGCGAGCAUCCUCUCUCAUCCAAGACAAUUUAGAGUCAUCCGUAGGUGGAUCAUCAGUCAGAUGGCCAUCCAUAGAAAUACUGAGCAGAUAUAAUUCAAUAGUAUUGUUCCAAUCAAGAAAAUUAAUUCCAGUUAACUUAUGUUCCGUGAUUUUUGAAACCAGCGGAACUAUAUCAGAAACAACUCCAGGCUUUUUGUCAGACAUAAUUGCUAAGAAAAUUCAACAAGAUAACAGAUUACCCACAAGAAAAACCUGUUGUAGCCAAGUCCCACACCUAGAUCGAUGUUGACCCACAAACAGGUAUGCAAAUAGCGUCGAGAGACAGAGGAGAGGUGCUGGGUUCUGACCAAUCGGUACUACGUACCUCCCUGAGUUGGCGGUGUCUAUAAAGGAACCUCUAAAGCCUGUACCUUGAAUAUGGCAGCAGCUUCCCUCACACCCAACAACCCAGAAAAAAAAAAUUUAUGAACAAACCUUGCUCUGAUACCAUGUGAAUUUCAGAGGAAGAGAAUAAAUUCCCCAUAUUUUUAUUCAUCAAUGGUAAGGGUAUAUAUACAGGUAUAGACAUCUUAUAAUAUGAAGAUAUCCUAUUACAAUAAAUCAGUCCUCUAAUUCCUAUAAUUUAGGCUACAAACUAGCCUACAUUUGUUAGCUAUCUAAUCCCUACAAAUCAGCCUAUAUCAAUCUGUGACAGCUAUCUAAUCCCUACAAAUCAGCCUGCAUAUAAUCUGUAACAAAAAGAAACUGUGUUUACGUAUCAACCUUAGUGGGAUAAAUUGCAUUUGAUCAAAAAAGGAGGAGGAUUAUUAAUAUAGGCCAUACUUCUAUCCUCUCAAUACAUCAGUAGCAAAAGGGAUGGUCAAACUCUUGGCACAAAAUAACUCAUCCAGUUACACAAGAUUUUAAACCAAAUAAAAAUAUUAUGAUAACACCAUCCGCGUGAGAUAUAAUGCAUCAAGAGCUGACAUACAUAUAUAGCAGGUAAUGCAAAGAUCAGAUAGCUACAGUUAGUGCAAAAUCUAGUAUCCAGGGUCAUACGCUUCAAGGCUUUGAUCUUGAUAAAGCUUCAAGGGUGGCCGAUUCUGCUUCCCACAUAAAUAAACACGUAGUUUUGUUAAUCAAAUGGCAGAGGCAUUCUUGAGUGGUACUGCAAAAAUCCACUUCGUAUAGUUAAAUAUUAGUAACAAUUACCAUAUUCUCCAAAAAUAUAUCAUAGAUUUUUUUCUUUUAUCAUUGUCACUUCCAUUUUAAUCUAACUUUUUUCACUUACAGGAACAUCAUAAUUAGCGCCUAUCUAUGCAAUUACCUAUAUGGCAGACAAGUUUUUUCCAUAUAAUUAUCCCUGAAGGCAAAAGUAUGGGGCAAAGGAUUUUGUACAAUUCAUAGGUUAGGGCAUACUGCACCAGUGUGGCCAAAGAAUAAACGAACAAUCUUCAAUUACAAUAUAAAACAUGCAAUAACUACAAAUGAACAAUUUUCCAUUACAUUAUUAUAUACACAAUAUACACACUGUUGUAAAAAAAAAUUCCAUUCAUAGAGAUGGUUACAUUAAACCGAAAGGUGAAAGAAAAAAGGUUAGAAUCAGCACCUUAAAAGUAGUAGAAGGCCAUUAUUUGCUUUAUUAUAUGCCGAUAAUUUUAAUACCUAAUUCCAUCAUGAAGAGCCAGGUAGCCAUCUAAUUUAACGCCAAAUAAGGACACAAAGAAAUGGUUCGCAAGCUAAAUAGCAGAAAAGAUAAUUAACAGAAACUUAAUCAUUUUCUCAUAAUUAACAGAAACAUAAUCAACAAAGACAUCUACUAAUUAUUAGUAUACAAGCACAUCAAUUUGACUAAGAUAUUUUUUUAAAUAAAGUGUAAACAGCUUACUUGUCUAAAGCUGAACUAUGCUAAAAGGCCAAAGCUUGGGCUUAGACUGACUGGUACUAAACGAAGCAUUACCCCUAUAAAAUUCAACCCAAAAGUUAACAAAAAUAAACAGGAGCAAAAAUAAAUUGUUCAUAUGCAAAAUGGAAACAAGUAGCAAAAAAGAAGGCUGUAAAAUGUUACACAAAGAUAAUCACCAAGUUUUUAGCCAAAGACAUUGUGCUAAGAUUUAAACAACCCAUGAAUCCAAAACUAUAUGGUCAAAGAAGGAAAAGAGAUCUAGGGAUUUUUUCUUCUAAAUAAUAGGUUUUUUGGUAAACAUACACCUUUCAUAACAGCAUUUGUGGCCAAAGUGUUAUCUACCAACCAAUCUAACAAAUUUUGCCACUUUAACCUCCUUUCCCACAAUUAGUUGAAAAUUAUUCAAAACUAUAAUUAAAAACUUCAAACUAAAGUCAUCAAAAGAUGAAAUAAGUUCAAUUCCAUUGGAAAUUGACAAUGGCGGAGACAUGAAAAAGAAACAAAGAAAAUUGACAAUUUAAGUUAUUUCGAAAAUCCCAAGCAACAACUAAACAAGAGCUGGGAAAUUUGAGCAUAUAACAUCUCGAGUGAUAACCAAUGCAAUCUUGAUUUUGAGCUCCAAGACUCCAAAUGAUCAAGUAGUAUAGUACAGCAUAAACUGAAAAGCAUGAAACUUUUGCACUAAAAACCAAAGCCAACAGAUGAGAUAACUUAUUUAUGGCUUGGUUCCUAAGCUUAAAUGACACCACAAAUACAGCAAUAAUAAAAAAUCAACUUUAAUGUGCUCAAACUUCAAAGCUUGCGACGUCUGUGCAAUCACUCAGUUGAAAUUUUAGCUCAAAACACUAUACAACGGAAAAGGAAUAAGCAAAAGCACAAAAACACAUAAAAUCCGACAUUUUAAAAGCAAAAAAAAAAGAAUCCAUGGAAUUAAUGUUUGGAACCUUUUUUACGGCAUGCAGUGCAGCUCCAUGACCACUGACGCCAGCGCCAAUAAUGAUGAGAUCGUAAUCAAAGGAUUUGGGAGCGCUUCCAUUAUCAUCCGAAGAUGCAGAAACCUUCGUCGGACUCGCCUGCGCUUUUCUCGGAAAAAUUAGCCUCUUUGCUCGAAUAAACUGGCCGCGCUUCAGCUGCGAGGGAACUGAAAACCCAGAGAUUUCUAAUAUUUCACCUGCAAGAUCUAAGCAGAAGAAAAUAAAAAACAUACUACGGGUAGGAAAGCAGAUUUCUAAUAUUUCACCUACAAACUCAAAAGCAUACUCAACAAGAAAAUAAAAAACAGCAGAUCUCUGGGUUUAUAAAUACUUCUGACUUUCACUGCUUUUGGAUGAAGAUUUUACUACAGCUUUCUUUGUUUGCUCAAAGAAGGAGAUGAAAAAAUAGUAUUUCAGACCUCUAGGUUAUUAAUCGAAAGAUUAACAAAUCUUAGCAAGAAAAAUGUCUUUCUUUCUUGAAUAAAGGAAACUGUAAAACUUUGGGGAAAUAUUGGAGCUUACCAAUUAAGAUGAUUUCUGUGUCUCAUGCGUUCAGUAGCUUCAUAUCCAGACCAAUUCUAACAAGGGAAAAAAAUCAGUUAGAAUCAUAUAAUUGAAAAAAAAGGAAAGAGAAGAAAGGAAAAAGGGGGGAGGGGGGAAACGGGAAGGAAAAACAGAGAAAAAAGGACCAAAUAAAAACAACAAAAAGGAACAAAGAAAAGAAAAGAAAAGAAAAAUGGAAGGGGAGAGGAGAGGAGCUCUGGAGAGCAACGAAGCGGCGGACAUGAAUGAGGGGAAAGAAAACAAGGGAAGCCCUAAAACAAAAUUUUUGGCACGCGAGUCCCACGUGAUUGACGACCAAAUUCCAGCCAAUAAAACCCAGCCACGUCAGCAAAACAACAACCACCCUUAACAAUCCCAUUCGCGCUUUUACUAUAUAGGUAGAUUAGCAUUAUUCUUGUUCGGCUGGUUCUAGUUUCGAUUUCAGUUUCUAUCAUUUUCAAUUUUAGUAUUUUUCUAGGUAUAGUUUUCAGAUUUUCUAGUACAUUUAAUUACUUAUGAUUAUAAAAUUAAUUUUAAGAAAAUAUAAUAAUGAAUUUAGAGUAACGAGAAACUAAAGAAAAUGAAUGUAAAAAAAAAUAAGGCUUUUAUUGUAUUAUUAGCUUACAAGGAAGAGAAAGAUGAUAAAAAAAAAAUUUAUGUAAAACAUAUCUCAUAUUUAUUGAAUGUUUUAAAUAAAACAAAAGAUACAUAAUUUUCUAUCAAACUUGAAAAAAGAAAAAGAGAAAAACAUCUCAAUUUUCUCACUAACUUGCGCAUUGUUUUUCUUUUGACUCAACAUUUUAGAACUAGCUUAAUGCUGUUGAACUUUCGGUGAACCUCAACCAAAACCUUUAACCAUGGUUCCAACACCGAUUUAAAAUUUCCAAAUUAGUUAUAAUUUUUUUUUAACAAAUUGCUGAUUCAAUUCCGAUUUGAUUCCAAUUUGAACCUGAACUAUGGCCAUGGUUAUUACUAUUACGUAGAGGUGGCAAUUUGUCCCAAAUCCCAAUGAACUACCCAUACCCAAAAAGACUUUGGCGGGAUGGGUAUUGUAAUUUGAUAUUAGGUUUAAAAUGGGAUGCAUCCCAAUUAUACUCAUUAUUUGAUGGAAAAUGUUGGAAAAUACUUGGGUACCUAUUGAGCCCAAAUAUCUUCCCAAAAAAUUUCAUUUUAUCCAAAAAUUCAUCAUUAUUUUUUUUUUUUUGCAAAAAUCUGAUUUUUUUUCACUUCCAUUUUCUUUCAUUUCCUUUCUUCACUUUCCUACAAAAGAAAACCAGUUAAGUAAAAAUGAUUUCAUUUAAACAACUUUAAAAAAAUUAAAGAUAACAAUAAAAAUAAAAUAAAUUGGUAAAAUUUUGGUGUCUACAAGAUCAAUACUUUACUAACAACUGUUGGUACCCUAUAUGUUAAUUUUAUGCUAAUUGUUGAACUAUCUACAUAGAUUUCUAUAUGCAACCCUGUUAUCAAUUUUUAAUCAGCUUCUUCGUUUCUGUGCUAGCUUUAUUCAGCAUUUAAUGUGAAUUUCUUUUGUAUCAAAUUUUGAAAAUUUUAAGAAUGUCAGUAAGAAUGAAUGUGGUGUUAAAAAACUUGUUUCUAGUCCUUGUGUCAGACAACAUUAUGGGUAAGGUUGGAAUAUGGUUGUAUAUCUAUCUUUUCCUUUUUUUGUUAAUCCAAUUUUUGGUUUAAUCCAGGGAGAAGAUAUGUUCAUUCUUACCAAAAUAUUAUGUCUUUUAAAAGUAACUGCUGAUCGUUCUAAAGUGUAAAUGAAUUCAGGAAAAUAUAAAUUCACAAUAAGAUCAAAAGAAAUUUAAUAAAUAAAAAUAUUAAAGUUAUAUAAAAAAUAAAAAAGAAUUAAAGGAAAAAUAUAGAAAAUAGAUUUGGGUAUUGGACGGGAUCAAUCUAAACCUAUCCCAAAGUGAUCCCGCCCAAGUUAGUCCCAAAAUAUAUAUGGGUAAGAUUAGACCCAAACCCAUAUGAUUCGGUUCUAUUUCGAAUUCAAGCAAAUCACGUCCAUCCCGCCCAUUUUGCCACCUCUACUAUUACGAACCAAAUAGUGAAAAACUUGGGUUUUUUUUUUAUGGAAAUGAAACAACUUUGGUGCGAAGGAAGCUCAAGGGCUCAUGCAUCAAAAACAGAAACUGUUUCGUUGAAGCCCUUUUGGAUAGUGGAUAUUGCCGGCUCAGGCCAUUGAAUUUGAAUUGAAGAAGGAUUGCAUCGUGAUAUAAAUAAUUAGAUUGUAAACGAAUUGAAUCGAAUACAAAAUCUAUUCCCAGAUUGAAUUCUGGAUAUUAAGUCACACAACAAGUAGGAAAAAAUAAUAAAGUUAAAAUUGCCAUGUAUUGCCAAUUUUUCAUGUAAAUCCGAACUUUUUUUCAGUUUUCAUAUAAUGUUUUUAAAAAUUGAAGCCAAAAUCACUAUAUGUACUCGAAUUGUUAAUUAGGCAUUUUAUGACUAAUUUGAUUUAGCAAGUGCUCUAAGUUUUACUCAUCGUUAGCUUAAUUUCUUAAGAUUAUACUCGAAUGCCCAAAUGCACGUAAUUAGAAUGGUAUCUUAUGUACAUAUUAUUAAAAUGAUGUCUUAUGAAAUUAUUGCAGGUAUCAUGCAACAAAAUUUUAUCAAGUCCUAAAAAUGAUGUGAGUUCUUGGAAAAUAUUUUAAAAAGAAAAAAUGCAUGCAUUAUUAUUUUGGUAGUCCACUUAUAUUAAUUGCAUGAGCAAUUGAAGGCAGUCCAAAAUUUUUUCAACAAUCUUUACAAGUGCAAAGUGUUCAUUGUUCACAAUAACAAACAAGGGUGAAACUAUAAAAACUAUUCUUCCUUGGAAAAAUGUGAAAUGUGGGCAAAGAUAUUAUGAAAAUAACACAAAAGACUCGAUGAUCAUAAAAUCAAAUGUUCAAAACAACAUAGAAUAGUUCAUGAUCUUUGUAUACUUUAUACAUAAAUGCAUAAUUAAUGAGUUUUCUAUUAAAUUCCAUAAACUGCAUGGAGGAUAUUAUCAGUUUCAUAUGAGAUUAACUUGGGGUCAACUGGUCAUGGGUAGACCAUGAGAUGCCCUAAAACAUGACAUGGAGAAGAGAAUCUGCAUAUUAAGUGGCUCUUAGAGUCUCUUGCUACUAAUACUCUUGUUUAUGCCUUGGCUAAAAAGCUUGAGCUGCAGGUUAAAUGGCCUUAAUUUUAAGUACUCUUGUAACUUAGCUUAAUUUUGAAUUUGGCCCUGAACAAAUAAUUCAACUCUUGAUUCGAGUUCGAACAAGAAAUAUGAUUUGAUUAAAGUAUCAAAUAAAAUUCGAGUUGAAUAUUCGACUCGUACAUAUUCAAUUGAUUAAAGUUCAAUGCAACUCAACUAAUUUUUUAUAUUUUUAAGUUUCUUAAUAUUUUUUAUAAAAUUAUGCAUUUCCUAUUUUAUUAUUAAAAAAUUAAAUAAAAUUCCAAGCUCCGAAUUGAGCUCGAGCCUAGUGAGUACUAAAUUGAAUCAAACUCAACCUUAAAUUUUAAACUCGUUUAGGAUUCGAAUUGAGCUUUCGUUUGAGUCCAAAAAUUCAAAUCAAGUCGAAAAAUUAGAAUUGGAAUCUGAGUCUAACAGCUAAGAAGUUCGAGUAAAUUCGUUUGCUGCCCUAGCUUUAUGGAUUUGAAAUCCACGAAAUACAAGUUGAAAAGCCAAACAAUUAAUCAAGAAACCAGAGCAUCAAAAACUAUUCAAAAGUUUCCUUUCCUUUCUUCCUCAAUCUCCAUCCCUUGACCAAGACAAAAAAGGUUUUCACUAGUAACGACAUACAAGAAAGGUCUAUCAAUCCUUUAAAGGGCUAAGGGAAAGAGGAAAUGAAACCCCAACUCAAGGGAAGAACAACAGGGACAAUAAUUACAAAAACCUUUACAACUAUACAAAAUUCCUGUAGAAUUGAGGGAUUAUUUCCUCACCUCAAAAUUAGGGAAUGCUUUCUCUAUAACAUGAGUUGGCACUAUGUACUGUUAUGAUUUUUCUUUGUGUAUGUCAAAUAUGGAUCCUGAGCAAUGGUCAAAACAUCUGGCCUCUCUGCCUGAUUAUAUGUAAGACAACGACGAAUAAAAUCCUGCAAAACAUAAAAGGAGUUGCUACUUCAGCAUACAGGACAAAGGUGAUGAAAGAAAAGUUUAGCGCAGUCUAUAUACCAGUAUUCUUCAGCUUUUUGUCAGCAAAUGUCCUUUAACCACAUGUUAACAUCAUUCAUCGCAGAAAAUCCAAAAACUAAAAUAAACAUUGUAAUAAAGAAUCCAAGCUAAACAAGGAAACAUCCUAAAGGUAUAAAUUUUGCACCUUUGCCAAGCAAAUAAUUUAGAAAUCCAUCAACAGUAUUGUUAUCAAUUUUCAUGAGAAUCAGCAAUGGCAGUUUUAUUUAUAAAUCAUCAUCAUAGUUUCUUCAUUUUUGACAUACCUAGCAAGUUUCUCUAUUUCGUUUUGUUCCUUCAUCAAUCAUUUCCAUAUUAUGACUUGCAAUAUGAGUAAAAGGAAGCAUGAACAUUAUGUCUGAGCCAGUCAGCCAGAUGUUAAUCUGUCUCAGAAACUGCUAUAAAACAUUGAUACAAAUGAGAUUUUCAAAUUUGCAGCACAUCUGGCUUGGAGAAUUGCCAGAGACGAGUGGGGGGUGGGGGUGGGGGAAUAGAUUGACAUGUUUGUAAAUGGACACCCUCGAUUGAAUUUCAUACAGAAUACUUCCGCUAACAGAAAGUAUAGACAUUGACGAGUCAAAACCCAUUUACUGAAAUAAAUUUUGAAGCACUUCAAUACCACACAAAAAUUGACUCCACUAUGUUGGAAACAAUAACCAUUAUGAAACAAACAAGAGGAUAUCAAGAAUAAACUCAGUAGCAUCCACAUGAUUGGCAUGCUUAUCCAUUACAGAUAAAUUAAAGAGAUAAUUGUUGAAACUUUUGUCAAAUAAGAUUUACACAAGUGAAAACACAUCAAAUUGUAAAGUAUAAGAAAGAUGAUCGAUUUCACACCCCACUUUUACUGUUAUCAAAUUGUGGUAAUAAACACUAGCAAUUAGUGCUGGUGAUGGUGAUAGUGGUGGUGGUGGUGGUCAUAGUAACAAUGAUAUAGUCUCUCCUACGCAGACUCUCUUAGAGAAUUUACCCUACAUAAGGAUGUCGAAGAUUAUCACCCCAAGAAACAUUAGCAAAGAAGUUUACACACAAAUGAUUAGUGAACCUGCCUUUGCCUCGUUCGACACAGCUGGCCUUGAAGGAAAAUCCACCUUCCGGGCUUUAAUGAUGGUAUCUUCGCGUAAAACAAACAAAACAGACAGAAUUCAACCAAGAUCAAUCUAGCAAACGUCCGUGAUCUAUCCCCCAUUCUAACAACAACUCCCAAUUUUCCUUACUACGAGGAGCUUUAGCCCAUAAGAGACAAGUCAAGUUGAACAAUUUUAACCACUGUUGAUUUAAUAAAAUUUGGAGUGAAGCCCUCCAACGUGUACAGGGCUUGUCUUUCCAAAAAAACAAAAAACAAAAAACAAAACCGCUGCUGCAACUACUUCCAUUAUCAGUAUUCUGUAUUCGAAAAUCAACAUUUAGUCUUUCCCAAAUUUAGUAUAUUUUAGUGCAUAAUUGAAAAAUUCUCUUGGCGCAAGUGGAAAAUUAUAGAUUUGCAAUCAAUUACAAAUUUUCCUCGAAAAUAGAUGCCCAGUGAUCAACUAUGGCGCUUCAUAGUUCACCUUUUCCAGUCUUAUACUUAGGAGUUGGUCUUAAUAGUGCAUUAAUUUUUUCAUAGUUAAUCAGAAUUUUCUAUGACAAAAAAAAGAAGAAGAUUCAUGAAGAAAAAUAAUCUAUUGGCUGUACUUUUUUUCGAUUUAGACAUCAAUAGUGCAAUGGCAAAAGGACUUUGUAGAUGAAGCUAGUUGAUGUAAUGAAUUUAUGAUGAUUUAAUUAACUAAAAAGGCAAUCAAUUCGGUCUACUAAAUGUCAUACUCAAGAGGUCAUCAUCUUUGUCAAAGGGUCUAUACAUUCCAUACAUUAGUAGUAAAAGUUAGUGGAUUUGUUAGUAUUGAUGACCAUGUUAGCCACUGAUUUCUAUUAAAUCAUGUCUUCAGCUUCUUAUAAGCUUCUCUAUACCCUACCUAAUCUCAUACCAUUUUACUUUCUCUUGGAUUAUGUGGAAUGCCUACUUGACUGCCUGCAAUGCCUAUAUUUUAAUGAUUCCGGUGCAUUUUCAAAAUCUUCAAUUUAUUUUGUAAAGUAUCGAAGUUCAGUUCACUAAUUGGCCAUAAAAACAGAUCAAUAGCAAAGUUGAAAUAUGCCACUUAUCCUGAGACUUUGCAGAAAGUUUGGAAUGUUAAUGUUGUCCCUUGUAAUCCGAAUUAUCCGAUUAUGUGAAACUGAAGUUGUUGAAGGGUGAGAUGAGUUUUUCACUUGUAUACAAGCUGUUUAAUGGGGUUUUCAAUAAAAAACUUUAUCAUUUGCUCCAAAAAAAAAAAAAAAAAAGAAGAAGAAGGGUGAGUUGAGGAAGCUGAAUGCUAAGCAAUAUAGUUCUAUUAGUGAUAGAAUAAACAGGUGUGUAUGGCCAGUUAUGUGAAGUGCAAUCCUUUUCCUUCAUUCACCUUUUGAUAUCUCUUUGCAAUUUCAAGAACAAUCUCAGAGUAGUUGUCUCAACUAGGAGGCGACCAGCUAGGAUUUAUGUUUACUUUACGGGCCAAAGAUACUGGCCUGGCCACGUCUUCUUCUUCUUGGUUUUUUUUUUAAUUCUUCUUAUAGAUCUUUCAGGCGAGUAAGCAACCUUUUGGGGAAAUAAUGUGGUAUAUUUGGACAUUGGGAUAAUUUAACAAAUCUCCUCUGAGUUUAUAACAAAUUCAUCAUAGCUCCCCUCAAAUUAUGACAUGACGCUUGUGUCUAUUAGCUAUUGAUUUCCAAGGCAAAUACUGAAGUUUACCUCUAUGUUUACCAUUGACACUUUCUAUACAAAGCGAUACAAAUUAUAUAUAAGAGAUUUGUGAAAAUGUUAUACUUCCGAGCUAUAACUCAUAAACAAAGGCAUUCGUAAAACCCUUUUGAUUCAAAUAUAUAGAUAUACUCAACUAUACACUUAACAAUUUAAUGUGUGCUAAAGUGAGUAGAAUAGGCUUUUGAAAAAAGUACUCAAAAGUAUGCUACUUCCAUCAUUACCUUCUAGCACGCAUUGUGCAAACUCUUUUCAAAUAGAAAAAAGGGAACGGAAAGGAGAUACAAAAAAGGGUUACAAAUUCUUUAAAAUAUGGCAAGGGUAAGCAUGGAAGUAACAUAUAACAUGAAACAAACAUGUUAAGGAAACCUUAAAUCAAGAGAGGUAACAGUAAGUUUGAAAACUUUGGUGCAGCUAAAUGAAGUCAAAAACCUAAAACAAGGUUGAUGGAAUUAUCCUUUGUAAACUUUAUGUGUCCGUGGCCAAGUGAAAAAAUACUGUUCAAAAUUCUUAUUUCUAUCGGAACCAUUUCGAGGAACUCCAAUUUGGAUGUCAAUACUAAAAGAAAUUUUCCCUAUGGUACAACUGAUUUUGAAAUUUACUAAUUAUUUAUAUUUUUUUUCGGAGACGACAACUGUUAUAUAAUCUAAUCUAUCCUACACUAAAGGGGAGGGGGCGGACCUAAAGAGGCCCAGGGGUAUAUAGGAAGCAAAUGCAUUGUAUAUAGGAAGCUGAAAACCAAACAAGACUUUAUUAUUAGGUUAUCAGUAUUAUUAGUCGUAUCCAAGUGUCAUCAUGUUUUUUUUAUUCAAGUGUCAUAACGUUAUUGAUAGUAUAAUUGGGUUGCAUGAUUAUGGUUGAAAGUGUGGACUAUGCGAUUAAACUCCGUCUUAGGUGAUAGGGUGUUAAUUGUUAGUAAUUUUAUUGUUAAUUUUCCCUUUUAUCCUUGUCAAAUAUUAUUUUAAUUAUUAAUAUUUACUUAUAUUUGGUAUUUGGACUCAAUUUCAGGGAAUGGAGCAGAAAACUACAAAAAAUGAAGGACUUUCUGAAAACAAUGGAGACUUCAAACAAUCGGGCCCACAUGGUGCCACAAACGGAUGGCAUUUCCUUUUUGCUGAUUAGGAGUUGAAGUCUUUGAUGGGCAACAGGAAACGAAAAGUAGAGAAAAAUUCGGCAGAGCCUUCUUUUUGUACUUGGACUCCCAAUUCGUUGGGGACCACAGAGAGCAUUAAGGAGUCAUACUUUUGCUUGGAAUAAAAAGAACGUACAGAGGCUAGGGAUAGUUUUUAGCAAUAGUUUAGUUUUCUUGCUUUUUCCUUUUCAUGCACGCCUACUGUUAUCAAUGGUUGUACCUUGGUUAUCAAUAAAUUAAAGAAAAAUUGGUCGUUAGAGUUCGUCGGCGACUAUAACUAGUCUAUUAAUAAAUUAAGUGAACCUCCCUUACAUCAAUGAUCGGGUAAGUGGACUAUGUUUGAAUAGUUGUAUUCUUGGUUAGAAUUUAUCUAUUCUUGAAUUAAUUCCUGUGUAUAUUUGUGUUAGUUAAUUAUUCGUUUUAUUUGAAUUGCUUAAUUAUUUGUAGUUUUAUUCUGAUGAAACACCCCUUUUACCAAUUGGAAUCUCAAAGAGACAAAUAUCCUCAAUUCCUGAGGAGACGUGUGAGAACCCGUAUUUUCCCUAAUAAUUUUCCUAGGGUUUUUCCCCUUUAAUGGCAUGUUUUUUGCAUUUUCUGGCUUAGAAAAUUUUCCUGGUGAAUUUUAUGAGUAAUUAUAGUUUUUAGAUGAUUUUUCUAGCAUUGGAUAGUUUUUGAAAAAUUACGGAUAUAUAACGGACGUGGGGCCCACUAGUGCGAAAAGUUCGGAAAAAUUCGGCCAAUAAGGUUAAGUUUCGGAUACUGAGUGAAAUUUAUCGGGUGUUAAGAGAUAAGUAUAGGAUGUGAUGUGAUUGAUGUGAGAGGAAAACAAAAGGAUAGAAAUGCAUUAAUGAAGUGACACUUGUCAUGUUGGGAUUGGUUUCACUUGUUGACAACUAUUCAUUUUUUUUGACUUUUCUUACCAAUUGAUUAAAUAUCUCAAAAAUCACAAAAAAAAUCACUCUUGUCUUCACCUUCUUGGCCGGCCACCUUGAGCUUAAGAAGGAAGAAAACUCUUCAAAAUCUUGGCUACCAUCUAGCUCAAAUCCUCCAAAACAAUUGCUUGAUCUUGUUUCUACUCCAUAAAAUCUCUCCAUUUGGUACUAGUAAGUGAUUUGGUGAAGUGUUUAAGGAAGCUAAGGUGUCCAACAACUCUCCCUCUCUUGUUUACUAGGUGAGUGGUGAUUGAACUUCCUCCUACACUUAAUGAAGCUUAAGUUGUGCUUAGUGGUAGCUAAAGUGCUGAAAUUUGUGGUUUAUUUCUUGGUUUGAGAUGAAAUGAUGAAGUUUUCAAUUUAAUGGUGUAUUUUCUGGUUUAAUGUGAUCAUGAUGUUGUGGUUAUCUAUGAUGGUUGGUAAUGAAGGGUAAUGACUCUAGUAGGUGUACAUGAUUGGUAAUUGCAAGCAAUUUUGGGUUUGGAAGGAAUUUGAGAAAGUUAGGGUUUUAUAUCCCCAAUUCUGUCCGAUUUUGUAUCUCAUGGUUAGAGGCCGAAUUGGCCUUGUCUUAAAACAUGAAAGUUGUAGGUAUUGAUGUGUUUGAGGUGCCUGUAAAAUUUCAGGUUCAUCGGAGUUGUGUAGAGUGAGAAAAGUCGAUUUUACUGUUGCUGUUCUGGGUUCUUCAGGAUGGCCGAACUGCGUCUGUAAUUGGUGGUUUUGGCUGGAAUUGCUUUGGAUUUGGUUGUUGAGGCCUUCUGAUGAAAUGUAGCUUGAUGUCUUAGCUACCGCAUGCCUUUGGUAUGAAUGAAUUUGGACUUGUAUAGACUGAGUUGGACUAAUUACAGCAUAGUGUAUUUUGUAAACCUGCAAUUAAGGUUCUGGUUUGGUAUUUUGCAUAUUUGACCUAGUUGUGCUAGGAAUUGGACUGAGUGACCUUCUACAUUGUUGUAGCCCUGUUUCUUAGCUUCGAAACGGUGGGUCUUACACCCUCAUCCGAUAAGCGUAGUGCAAUUUGUGCCAUUACCGCAAACUGAGGACAAAACUGUUUUUUUUUCAGGGCCAAGUUAGUUACAUUUCCUGAUUUUCUGGUUUGCUAUAAUGCUUAUAUAUGAAUAUGAAACCCUAUUGGGGUUGUGAUUGGCAUGGCUUUAUGACUCGUUAUCGAGUCUCAUUGUAUUUGUUUACGUGUUUUAGGACGUGACGAGGGUUCACGACGACCUUUUAACGACGGUGCAUGAAACAUCACCUACUUGAGUAGUGAGUAUACUACUCACUUGAAUGUUUAUAAUGUGGCUUUGCUAUAUGUGAUUGUGAUGCCUUGAAGGCUUGUUUGGCUAUUGGACAUGGUUAAGGUGAGGGUGUACUUGACCGCCCUCAUCCUUUUUAUCUUGUUAAUGACUGUUUACCGUUUCACUGUAAUACUGCACUUGCUAUAUGAGAUAUUGAAUUCCAUUCAUGGGAAACUGUUUGGGUGUCGGUUGGACGAGUAUCCAACGGCCCUACUGCAUUACUGAGCUCGACCCCGUUGGUAGUUACUUGAAUCGAGCCAGCGAGGGCUUGGUCGUGAAAAUUGACUAGCCACGGGGACUGAAAUGGGAAUCUUGUGGUAAUGAGACCCUUGGUUCCGGUGUACUCGAGUAUCACCUAAAGCUACUGCUUGGAGUGCGGGCCCGGUUGGGGUAUGUUGGGUGGAAGGAAUGGAAGUGAAGUGAGGUCUACGGUCGGGUAUUCUUAAACAUUGACGGAGGGUCAAUGAGGUUGGAUCAAGAAUGUAAGCGUGGAAAUGGGCUCUUGAGAGCCGUCCGUAUCCUUUUACCGACUUGUUUUAUUUCUUAAUUGCGUACUUGAGAUGAAAGUUAAGUGAUCUUUGUUGAUUAUGUGAUAGUUGCUCACUGAGCUUUAGCUCACUCCGUUCCAUUUGUUUUCCUUACAGGAAAAAUGACUAUUUUGGGAAAGGUUGUGCUAGUUGGUUGUCAAGUUGAGCUCAUGUAAAUGUAUAUUUUGAAUAGCUCCUUGAGGGUGAAAACCCUAAGUGUUUUGUUUCAACCAAUGGUUGGUUUGUAAUUGGCCAAUUGCACAUGUGUGAACUUGUUGGAUAUUUUGGUAUACCGCUUUGGCUUGUAAAUGUUAAAUUUCGAUGUAUAUAUGUUGGAUUGAUGUUUGGUUGAACUCCGGAUUCUGACAUGGCCGGUACUGUUCAUCAUCGGCUUCGAUUUUCAUAUUUUUUUUAUUUUGUGAUUUUGACUUGUUUGCGCGCGUUGGUGUGUUCCGGAAUGUAGUAGAUCGACGUAAACUGAUCCGUUAGUCCUGGCGAGAGCUGGGCAGGCAGUCCGCUAACCCCUUUGGUUCGCCUUAGGGGAAGGUGGGGCUGUUACAAGACGACCCUACUUGCCACUGUCUGCCAAUUAGUAAAUUUUGUCAAAUAAUUAAUUCUGGUAUAUCGGAUUAAGCAAACUCUUCGAGAACAGGGUGAAUCAAGUAACCCAUUGCACACCUAGAGUCUCUGCUCCAGUACUUAGAAUUGAUUAUUGACUACUUUUGACGGGCGUAGGGUAUACAUAUAACAUUAAGCUCAUCCUAAUCAAGUUUUACAUUUAUAAACUCCUAAAUACCCUACACGCGAUUUAUCGCAAGUAUACGAAUCGUGAGCGAGUAUAGGGUAUUAAAAGUCGAUCUCACAAGGAAGAUUGCAAUUACCGGCACUACUAAAGCUUCUCUAUUAUUUAGACUAUCAAUGAAUUAUAACAAAUUUAACCUACUGAACUUAUGCAAGAAAAUAACAAAUGAAAGCUCCUUAAGUUGUGGUAUCCCUAACUACUCAUGCAAGUGCUAUAUUUGGAUCAUUGAAUACUACUAUCUAGGCUAGUUAUGGUGUAAUUUCCUUAAACAUGUGAAACCUACUUUCGUAGUGAAUCAACUAUAUUCAUAACUAAUCCAUACAUAUUCUCAUGGUUAUGAAAUUAGCUACAAGUUCAUUUCUUCAAUGAAAUUAAUCACUAAAAUCACAUAGGUGCACCUCUACUCUCGUGAGCGUACUCCCUAUGUUUAGCACUUCUUAAACUAGUGUUAAAUCUCAAUUUUCAUUGCAGAAACAACACCUUAAAUAAUCACAAUCAAUGGUACCAGAUUAAUCAUGAUUUAAAGAGCCAAAGUACUAAAUAACUUGCUCAAAUCAUAGCAAUCAAAUAACCAAAUAAUAAAUACUAACAAUUAUAGAAAGUUCAACCAAACCCAAGGCAUAAACGUUAGAGACACAUAUUAAACACAAAAUCCAGAACUUGCAUAUCAACUAAACUUAGAAUCCAAUACAAAAGAUAAAGAGUUGGAAAAGAGAUAACCAUUGUCACAUGAGCUUCAACUCCUCCUUUUUCAUCUCCAUUUUCAUCCUAAUCUAGCUAAUAUACAAGAAUGGAAGAGCUAUACUAUUCUAAACUAAACUAUCCUACUACUCAGAAAGUGCAAGAGCUACAUCUCUGCACUCCAAGUUUCUCCUGUAUGUCUCUCUAUUCUCCCUUCAAUCUUGCAAGCUUUGGCUAUAUAAAGGUGAAAGUUGGUCAAGAAGUGAGGUUUACACCUCCCUUUUACAGCUGGGAAUGUUUCUCACAUGUCUAGCAUCACCUGUGACUUAGUGGAGGUGAAAUUGAGUUUCCCACGUAAAGAGCAGCCUUCUCUGACCACAAUCCGGCCAGAAAUCUGGCCAAGUUCCGGCCGGAUUGCUACAGUGACAUUUUGGUGCACUUUUGUUCAAUUUCCAGCUCUGCUCCAAUUUUGUGUCAAUUUCAACUGAACUUUUGUUGAUGAUAAAAGCUGAUUUAGCUCUUGAUCAACAUAAAACUUGUAGCCCUUUGAGUUAGCUUUCCAAUGCAUCAAGAAUCACCUCAUUUGGAUCUGUGUAGGCUGAGAAAUGACCGAAAUACCUUUGACUGCUCACUGCCCUAUUUCAGCUUCGACCAAUAGAAAUUAGCUACUGUAAUUCGGCUUUUUAACCUGGAAAACCUUCAAAAUAGAUUCAGAUGUCUUCACCAAAGUUGUAGAUCUAUCUCUUAUCUUCAAAUUGGUUUAAGAAUCAUCUCAAUCCGAUCAUUAUAGCUCAAGUUAUAGCCAAAAUACGAAAAUGUGUCAAAACUGUCAAAAUGCACAAAAUCCAAGUAAAAAGUGAUAAAAACCUCAUUUAAUUACUUAAAAGCAUUUUUCACCAAUUAUAGCCAAAAUGAAUCAUUUUCUUCCAAUAAUGUAACCAAAGUGACUAACAAUAAUAUAAAAUAUCAUACAAUUAUUACAUAAAUUAGUCACUUAUCAGCUUUUAUUGGCAAUUAGGUUUAUUUUUAUUAUUGCACAGGUUCGGCACCUGUCAUUAGGAGUACUGGUUUUGCUGUGGGAUUUUUCGUUUUCUUUGUCAGCUGCGUCAGCUGCAUGGUGCUUUAGAGCAUAAGCCUUUGUUUUGUAUCGAAACAUCACGGCCAAAAUUGCCAAAAGCAUAUCGAAACAUGAACACAAAAUGAAAGAUGUGAGGAAACUUUAAUGAAGAUAUGCCUUGAGAUUUAAACACCAAAGACAAAAGCUCAAAAAAUAUUAUCAACGGAUCAAAAUAAGAACUUGAUUAUUGGUAAAACACUCCAACAAGUUAAGUCGAACCAAGAUCAACAUAAUCAAUUAUUUGAUUUCAAGAGUCAUAACUUUUGCUUGUAAAGAACAAAUAAAGUUAAACAAUUUAUUGCUUUUUUCCCCCCAGUCAGCUGUGUACCUCAACAUUAUUUCACGUCAAAAACUUGUUUUUCCUCGGAUUAAAUACCCUAGCAUCUGAGGUUAUCACCAGUCUCGACACCCAAUUGUCUACAAUAUUCAGUAUAAUACUCAACUCGAGCACUAACUGUGUUUGGAUUUGCACCAUCACAUUCAAGCCGACCAUUAAUGGCACGAAUUGUAGCCCCAAAACCCUGGCCAGAAGUGAUAAGAUCAUGACAAUGGUUCAUCCAAUACCACAAGCCAGUUUUGAAUGAAAUAACAUUAUUUGUAGCUACAGUUUCAGGUUGGCUGAGUCCAUUGAAUCCAAUGCUUUCACCUGCUGGUCCAUAGUUAGAGUUCCAUGAUAACUGUAUUGGACCCCUGCCGUAAUAUCCCUUGCCUGGCACACAUGGAUACUGAGUGUUGCUCUCAUCACAGUAAUCUCUGGAGGGGCCGUCUAUCUCUUCUAUGUAGCACAAAUCUGCGCAAUAUAAAGAAAUUUUGUCACUCAAUUGAAAUGAUUGAUAAAGGGUUAGAAUCAAAGAAAAUCAGGAGGUCUGGAAUUUUUUGUAAAUUUUUAGAUUUGAUUGUUUUACUAAUGAAUUCAAUUGGUGAGAAAAGACUUUAUCCCAUUUUGUAAAAAUUGGGUUGGACAGACCUAAAGUAAACACUCUUUUUAUGAGGUAAAAUUUUAGAAUGAUUUAACAUUAUAGGGUUAUACGAUAGAUAAAUAAAAAUUGGCAAUAGCAAGAUUAAGAAGGGACCAACAGUGAUAUAAAAAUUACAAAGGUAUCAUGGACGUCUAAAAUAUAUUUGGCUAAUAAAUUUGAACUAAUUUACGGCCAAAUUUAGGUGAAAUAGUUAAUUCUACUUGGUAAAUUGGAAGUUCGGAAACGUGUAUCUGUCAGUUGUCAUACUCAUGAGCGAGCCAAUCUUAACUUAAAAAAGAAAAAGAAAAAAAGAAAAAGAAAAAAGGAAUCCAAAAGAUAAAAGUAGAAAAGGCAUGAAUUUUAAAACGUAAUCGUAAUACCUUGUACCCGAAACAAAUAUGUGCAAUACUUAUUAAGCUAAGCAAAGCCACAUGAUCUACUCUUAGAUGCAGCAAAAUAUACAACCACCUUAAGCUUGGAAUGUAAAGGCAGAAAAACUUGCUUAUGUAGAUAUAAAAGUGACCACUACAAGAAAAGUAAAAAGAAUAUGGAGAUAAUAAUCCUUCUGUUCAUCAUGAUAAAUUAUUUAACAGUAAUAAAUCUUUCAUAUUCAAGUUUUAUUUUUUGAAGAAAAAAUUCUUGGAUAAUAGUGCACAGGAGAUUCCAAGAUAUACUAUCUAGAAAUUCACAGGAGCUACUAAAAAAGUAGAAAAUAUCUUCAAAAUUUAAUUUCCAAGCUAGUGUUAUUCAAAACUUACGUCCAGUCUCAUGAGUGACAUGAGCAAAGAAAGCAGCAAUCUCCCUUUUAGAAUCAUCAACAGAACCAGCGGUUCCAAACUGGGGAUACGAGUUCAGAGCUUCAAGAAAAGCUGAUCGAGUAUAGAACCCUUUUCCAGCACAGCUUGAAGCAGCUUGAUCAGCAAUCCCAUUAAAGAAAGCGUCCGUCACAAUAUCAGCAACUGAAACGCCACUAUUACCACUGCUCGGAGCAGCGGUGCAAGGGCCGGAUUGACAGCCAGAGCCGCAGUAGUCGUUGCCGGUACCGCAAUAGCCGAAUUUGCUGCAGCACAAGUCUGGUGCACAGCCGCAGUUUUGGCUUGAAAUCAGCUGUGGAAAGGCUCCUACAAGAACUACAAUGGAGAAAAUGAUGGUUGGAAAACUCUUCAUUUUUGGAUUUGAUAAAGGAGAGAAGCUUGUGGGCAGCAGUUGUAUCAGAAAAAAGGGUAUAUGUAGGGAAGAGAACUGAAAACUGAUCAGCUUGUGUGAAGCAUGCACAGCUGCUAUUGUUGAAAAUAUUGAAUUUGAGCAAUUAAAGAAAACAGAACAGAAGACGAAAGCGUGAAUGGUUGACUUCUAUCGAGAGUAUUGACUUUGACAUUGUCAAUGAAGCGGAAACUUUCUUUCUUGGCUUCUAGAAUGGGAAAGGUCAAAAAGAAAGAUUUUGGCCAAUUCGUAUGAACAAUUGUGAGAAUAAGGCAUGUAGACUCACAAGUCCCCACUAGAAUGUGUGCAAAAAUAUAAUUUGAAGUUGCCUAAAUCAUUUAAUUUCAUGCUUGUUAUUGAGUUUAUUUGCCUAACUGUGUUUUAGUAAUACUUCAAAAUUGUGUUUGAGUUAGAACGGAAAAAAAUAUGAGACAUUUUUUUUUUAAUUGCAAUUCCAGAAAUAAAAUCUUAUAAAACAUGUAUUAGAAAAAUUUUGAGGGUAAAUGAUAUGAAAAAAAAAAAGAAGAAAUAGUUCUAUAAAUUGACAUAAGUGUUCAUCGGCUUUUGGAAAAAUUAAGAAAGAAUAAAGCAGCCGACAUAUCUAUCAUGCAUAACAACAUUAUGUGGCUUUUGUUAGUACACGCUAUGACCAUAUAUGUUUCAUUUGAGAUGCUUGUCGGACGUGUUGAAUUGUUGGCAAUGAAAUGCUCCAAAAUGUCAGCACUAUAGUUUAUAAAUAGUAUUAGGUCAUAGUGAAUUAUCGACAUAUCGUUACAUGCAGAGUCGUGAAAAUAUACAAGUCUUUCCCUAUCAUUAAUUAGUUGGUCAAAUGACAAUUUUAGAGUGGCUGCUGACUAUGUCAAGAAACAUCUUGCAGUAAAUUGGGCGAUUUAAUGUACUUUUCUUUUUCUAAAUAUUUGCACUUAAACUCUCAAAUCGACCAUAGUUUUAACUAAUUUUGCUCUGGCUUUAUUCUUGAUUCGCAAAAUUCAGAAAAACCAAAACAAACCCUUGUUACUGAAGAUAUCAAAAUGGUAACCCAACUAAGUAAUUGAUUUUGAAAAACAUUCUGAACCAAAUUUCAAGUUUUGGUUUCUUUGCUCUUUUUCUACUGAAAGGCAACUUCCCCGGGCCAAGAAAUUGAAACAAAUAGUACGAUGCUUAAGUUUUCUAUGCUCUUAUGAUCAAGUCAAACCAUGCUUAUAAUCAAUUACAUAAAAAAUUACGGGCAAUUUCGUCAUUAUUUGGGAGGAGGAGGAAUAUUAAGCAAAAAAAAAAGUUCUAUUAAGAAAACGAUUAAGCAUAUUAUUUUCCAGGAAUAAAAAAGAACGAGCAGAGAAAUACAUUAGUUUGGAUGACAUUACAACAUUUAGCAACAUGAUUAGGGAUGCAAUGGGAUGGGUGCCAAUUGGGAAUCAAUGGGAUGGGAGAAAAUGCAGGAGGGGAUGGAGGGAUUGAAGAAUAUUUCUCCUCCAACAUUAAAUGGAUACCUCCAUCCCAUCCCCUAAAACCCCUUGUUGCUAUUCCUAAACAGGAUGCUACUUAUAUCCUCUCUCUAUGAGCAUGUGUGGCUAGUGAGGAAUGCAGGAUUUUGAUUUUGGCGGGGGGAGGGUGGGGCAAAUUGACAAUCAAGAAACAAUAGAAAAAAAACCUUAGCAAAUAAAGCACACAAACUUAAAAUGAAAGUUUAAUAUACGAUAAAUAAAAUAUAAAUAUUUUUAAUAAUAAAAUACACCAUAUAAAUAAAAUGAUAGAGCAAUAAUUGGGCACCAUAAGUGCUGUUAUUUGGUCAUAAUGUUGGCUACUUAUCAUGCUAAGUAGUGCAGCUUUGCUCAUAUUUGAUAUUUGUGUAAAUUACAGGCGGUUGGUGUUGAAACUGAUCUCUCGAGGCAAAUUUUCAGAAGACUUUUUAUUUCAGAGCGUGCCGACGCCAGAAACUAUAGAGAGACUCCUCAAAGGUGGACCGCGGGACUAAUUAACUAAACUUACCUUUAUUCCUGCUUGACGCUGCUGGAAGUGCGUUAAAACAAAAAGGCAAUAAUUUCCAGCGAAUUGGGUAACAACCAAUAAGGAGGAAAAUUAGGGGCACUAGCCUACAAAGCCGGACCCCGCGAGACUGGUAGACAAAGUGGGGAAUUAGGAAGUCUUCAAAGCGGCUAUUUUCUCGUGGGCUGCAGAGGUGAAAAGGACAAGUAGUUUGAGUCUUGCAGAGAGCUUUUGAGUUCUCUUACGUUUUGUCUUGCGGUAGCCACCCGGGGGAGGAUUGAAAAAGCCAUAUUCACGUGGGAUUAGGAGAUUAGCUUUAGUUUCUUGUAUCCCUGGGUAGACGAUCUGCUCUCUGCUUUGCUUUUGGCGACUUUCUUUAGACCUUUUUCUUUACUUUUCUCCGGCACGAACACGGAACCAAAAAAGAAGCAAGACUUUUCGUUUGUCUCGUCGUUAUUUCAUCUUUCCCAACUUUUUGGUAAUUAAGUGGAUGGAAUCAAUCAAAUCACGCGAGAUUGAUGUGAUGAGGAGUGGCUAGGUUUCUCUGCUACCCAAAGGUCGACGCGAAGGCGCGGUCCAUAACAUCUGUGAGAUCUAAUCGAACUUUCACUAUUUCUUCCAAUCCGUUACUAUUCGUGCGUUUUCUGGAUUAACUGUUUAUGAUUAUUUUAUUAAUUGAGUAUCAACAGCCGGAUAUUUAAUUUAAUCUAAUAGCCUACUGUCACGUUAACUAAAUUGAAUCCGUAAUUAUUCGUUUAGUUGAUAAUUAGUGACAACCAUCAUAAUUGGCUUUAUGUUGGGAAAAACGUAAGAUCUAAUUUAGAUAAACCCUCUUAUAGCGUGUUUAUUGGUUAGGGUUGGAUUUUUCUAGCGUUAAUGCAACUGAAUAAUUAAAUUCCUACGGUCGUAUCUAGGGUUAUUUUCUGGUUAGAGAAACAGUCAACGGUCGUACCUUGGCUAUCGAAAAAGUAAGAAAAAACUAGCAGUCAGAGCUUGUUGAUCGCUAUAACCAACCUAGUGACGAAUGAGUGAAAUAUCUUUGCAUCGAUGAUCAUUUAAUUGGACCGUGCCUGAAAAGUUGAUCCUUUGGAUAGAAUUUUGCUAAUUGCUAUUUUCAGUGAAUUGUACUUGGCGAGUUAGCUUUUGAAUUUUGUUUAUUUUAUUUUCAUUUUCAUUCCAUUAAAUAUCCCCCAAUUUUGUUCUAUUGACUUGGAAAGAAACAACUUCUUACCCGUUACUUGUGGAAUCGACCCUACUUGCCAUUUUCAGAAACAACUUCUUAAAUUUUAAUCCUUAUGAAACCCAGCUUCUCUCUCAAUUUUCAGAGGUUUCUUUUCCUUCAUCAUGUCAAAGUUGCUAUUAUAAUCACUGUAAUUAGACAGCUAAACCUGUCAUUCCAAUUAUACCCUUGGUCCGCCGUGGGAAAUACAUAAAAUGUGGUAGCGCUGCCCAAUAAGUCCCACAUUGGACCAUAUAAAAUUGUUUAAGGACUAAAUUGGUAAAAAAAAUCGUAAAUGAUGAAAUUGAUUUAAGUGAAAAAGUUCAAGGACCAAAUUGGCAAUUUUUCCUUAUUAUGAUUAUGAUUAUGAUUAUUAUUAUUAUUAUUAUUAUUAGUCUGAGAUGCCGAACAAGUUGUGGAGACUUAUUUCACCUUUACAAGGUCAUUGGAGGGCUUGACGAGGUGCGAUGUGGUAAGGAAAGGCACAAAAAACUCUUUUUUCUUUAUUAAAAAACAUACAAAUUGCACUAAUAAUGGCUGAAAAUGCAUCCAACAUGCAAUAGUGAAAAAUCGUUAGAUGCAAGAUAUAUAAAAGUUAACAAAAAUUAUCUUAGUACCUCUGAUAUAUUCCAAAUUCAGAUAAAUCAUCUGCCCCCAAUGAAUAUAUGUGCAUAUCAUCAUUGUCAAAAAAUAUUUAUGCAUAUCAUUGCCGUUAGAUUUUAUAUUGAAGUGGUUAAAGCUCCAAAUCUAGUAGAGAAGAAAUUCAACACUUGAGAAAAUAAGUUAAGAAAUUCAAGAUUUGACAUACAAAUCUGAAAAGCUCUCAAAUCUAACAAAACAAGAUAUAAAAUUAUCUGAAUAAAACUCUCACUAGAAUAUCUUAGUAGAGAAGAAAAUUCUCACUAGAUAGUCUCACUAUACUUUAUUAGACAUAAAAAAAAAAAAAAGAGAAGUCAAACAGAGGGAGGAAGGCAAUCCUCCAUGGAGGAAAUAAUAAUUGUCUUGAAGGUUGUGUAGAGAGAUGGUGGAGAAACUUCUUUUGUUUUAUCUAUUGGUUAUCUUUCUAAUUGCUAGUUAACGAACAAUAAACUCUAAAUGAAACUACUAAAUUUGCAACCGAAGACAUUUUUGGGCUUGUAUCUUAGUAUCGUAAUCGUCACCCAAUUAGAGCCGCCCAUGACGGCUUCAUUAAAUAUAUAAUUUGGGGGAACCAGGAUUUAAGGCCAAAUUUCGGCAACCUUCAAGGCACUUCAUUGUUUUCUCACAAAUUUUGUUUAUUUAUUGUAAAAGAUUAACUUUAAAGUGUCCUCAAAUUUCUUCCCUAUCUUCUCUCAAACUUUACCAGUGAAAAUUGUUUGUCUUCGGGUUCGUUUGUUUCGGGUGAAAAUGUUUUCCAGAAAAAGUAUUUUCCUAAUUUCCCGUGUUUGAUUGCACAAAAGUUACUGAAAACAUUUUACAUAAAUUUUCACUCAUCUUAUGGAAAACAACUUCCCUUCCAAACUUACUGAAGUUGUUUUCCGAAAUGCAUGCAUCCCGCCUGUAGUAUGUUCCAAACUUACUGAAACCAUCUUGUAGUAUGUUCUUUUUUUUUUUUAGUGUAAACAGGAGGACUCGAACCAAGACCUCUUCCUUACACUCCCUCCCCCGUACCAUCCAACCCAACCCAACCCUCCCCCUAGUAUAUUCAAAAUAAAAAAAAACCUCAUCCUACUCAUCCUAUUCUAGUAAUUAAUUAUGUAUAAUAGGGACAUUCUUUUCUAGAGAAACUUUCAGCAAUGAUAGUGCAAGAUAUAUGUCACAAUAAGCAUUGCAUGUGAUUGAUAUUUGACACUAAAUGGCCAGCAAUUUGUUUAUUGCUUAAGGAGAUAUUUUUUAUUCAUAUAUACAUUUCUCCAAGAUUUUUUAAAGUUAAACAAUGAGAUAAAUUUUCUUAUUUUGCAUGGGAAGAAGUAUGUAGUUAUAAUGUGUAGAAAGUAAAGAUAGAGAUAAAAGUGAAAAUAUUUCAAAAGUUAAACAAACACCAAAAAAAUGAAGUAAGAAAAUAUUUUCAAUAAACUAACCAAACACCUGAAAAUGAUGAAAGAGAAAUGAUUUUCAUGGAAAAUUACUUCCACGGAAAAUAUUUUCCCAAGAAAAACAUUUUACUUCCAACCAAACAGACCCUUCAUCUCGUUGAUUGUCUCCCCCAGUGCAUACAAAUGUAUUAUGGGCAUUUUGGUGAAAGAAAGGCAUAAACUGAGUUCUGCACAACUAAAUUUUGCCAAUAGCAUAUGAAAAUAUGAAGAAGAAUAAUAAUAAAUGAAGGGUCUGUCUAAUAAGUAUUCAUAGGGAACCAUUGAAAUAUAUCUCAAGUGUCAUGUUUUUGGAAAUGUAAAAUUAAUAGAAAAAAUAAAUAAAUACAAGAGAGAGUAGAUAAAAUUAAAUAAGAAAAGUUAAUAAUUGUUAAUAGAUAUAUAUACAUAAUAGAUUAGAUGAACGUUAAAUAUGUUAACAAGUACCUUAUUAGCACCCGUUAAAAAAAGCUAUAAAUGAAAGAUGUGAUCACCAAAUCAUUGACAAAGAAAUGUGUUGAAAAUGAAACAAGAAAGUCAAACAUGAUAAGGGAUCAAAAAUGGAAUUUAAUAAUUGCAGAUACUCCAAGAAGUUGAGUUGAAAUCAGUUAUCCGAUUUCAAAUUCACAACUUCUGCUGUCAAAGAACUACAAAGGGACUCAACUUCUGCUAAUUUAUAUUAGUUUCGAAACUCUUACAAGUACCCUAGCAUCUGAGAUUAUCACCGGGAUCAACACCCAACUGGUUACAAUAUUCAGCAUAAUACUCAACACGAGCACUAACAGUGUCCGGAUUUGCACCAUCACAUUCAAGCUGUCCGUUAACGGCACGAAUUGUAGCCCCAAAACCCUGGCCAGAAGUGAUAAGAUCAUGACAAUUGUUCAUCCAGAACCACAAGGCAGUUUUGAAUGAAAUAACAUUAUCUGUGGCCACAGUUUCAGGUUCAGUUAGUCCAUCGAACCCUAUGCUUUCACCUGCUGGUCCAUAGUUAAAGUUCCAAGAUAUUUGUAUUGGACCCCUGCCGUAAUAUCCCUUGCCUGGCACACAAGGGUACUGAGUGUUGCGCUCAUCACAAUAGUCUUUGGAAGGGCCGUCUAUCUCUUCUAUAUAGCACAUAUCUGCACAAUAUAGAGAAGUCUGUAUCAAUUAUCACUGCAUUCAAUUGCUUAUAUGAAAGCCACUCAUUGAUACAUUAUGGAUUUUAGAUAUUUUUACUAUUAAAAAACCUAUAAUCUAAAUACAAAAUAAAUGAGAACAUAAAAAAAAUUAAUUAUUUAAAAUCAGAAUCUAUAGUCAGUUAUAAUAAUCAAUCAAGAACAACCCCAAAAAAUGUCAUCAAUAUUUAAGAAGGGACCAUAUGUGAUAAAGAAAUUAUAAAGUUAUAAGUAAUCACAGACUAAAUAAAUAACCAAUACAACAAAGUAGAAAAAAUUAACGUCAAAGUGGGACGGAGGGAGUAUAUGUUUUUCUUGGUAUCCUAGCAAUAUGAUAGUUGGAGCAAUAACCAUUGUCAAAUUUUGGUGUUUGAUUGUUGCUCUCAUGCUUGAGGGCAAGCAUGGUUCAGGUGUGAGGAGAAUUGAUAGGGUGUUAAUUGUUAGUAAUUUUAUUGUUAAUUUUCCCUUUUAUCCUUGCCAAAUAUUGUUUUAAUUAUUAAUAUUUACUUAUAUUUGGUAUUUGGACUCAAUUUCAGGGAAUAGAGUAGAAAACUACAAAAAAGGAGGGACUUUAUGGAGACAAUGGAGACUUCAAACAACCGGGGCCACAUGGUGCCACAAACGGAUGGCAUUUCCUUUUUACUGAUUAGGAGUUGAAGUCUUUGAUGGGCAACAGGAAACGAAAAGUAGAGAAAAAUUCGGCAGAGCUUUCUUUUUGUACUUGGACUCCCAAUUCGUUGGGGACCACAGAGAGCAUUAAGGAGUCAUACUUUUGCUUGGAAUAAAAAGAACGUAUAGAGGCUAGGGAUAGUUUUUAGCAAUAGUUUAGUUUUCUUCCUUUUUCCUUUUCAUGCAUGCCUACUGUUCGACAAAAGUCCCAACUGGAGAAAUAUCUUUCACCUCUUGAUUAUUUAGUGAAAAACCCGAUGCCUUUGCAAUCAAUUAAUUUGCGUGGAAAUUUAUUUAUGCGGCGUGGCUAAACUUUUCAUCUAGUCAAGGAUCAACUCGACGGCGCAGUCCCGAAUAUCUGUGAGAUCUAAUUAGUUUUCACGCGUUCUUAAUUUGUUAAUAAUUGCGCGUUGUCUAUUCGAAUUUCCAUGGGAUUAUUUUGUUAAUUGGAUGUCAAGGGAUCGAUGUUCAAUGUGACUUAUUAAUCUCCUGCCAAAUUAGUCAAUUAAAUCCAUAAUUGUUUGAUUGGUUAAUAUUAGUGGCAACUGGCGUGUUUACACACCAGGGGAACGUGCAAUCUAAUUUAAAUAACCCUCGUAGCGUGUUAUUGAUUGGGGUUAGGUUUUUCUAGUUAUUAAUGCAAUUGAAAAAUUAAUUCCUACGGUCGUACCUAGGAGUAUUUUCUGGUUAGGGGUAAUCAAUGGUUGUACCUUGGUUAUCAAUAAAUUAAAGAAAAAUUGGUCGUUAGAGUUCGUCGGCGACUAUAACUAGUCUAUUAAUAAAUUAAGUGAACCUCCCUUACAUCAAUGAUCGGGUAAGUGGACUAUGUUUGAAUAGUUGUAUUCUUGGUUAGAAUUUAUCUAUUCUUGAAUUAAUUCCUGUGUAUAUUCGUGUUAGUUAAUUAUUCGUUUUAUUUGAAUUGCUUAAUUAUUUGUAGUUUUAUUCUGAUGAAACACCCAUUUUACCAAUUGGAAUCUCAAAGAGACAAAUAUCCUCAAUUCCUGAGGAGACGUGUGAGAACCCGUAUUUUCCCUAAUAAUUUUCCUAGGGUUUUUCCCCUUUAAUGGCAUGUUUUCUGCAUUUUCUGGCUUAGAAAAUUUUCCUGGUGAAUUUUAUGAGUAAUUAUAGUUUUUAGAUGAUUUUUCUAGCAUUGGAUAGUUUUUGAAAAAUUACGGAUAUAUAACGGACGUGGGGCCCACUAGUGCGAAAAGUUCGGAAAAAUUCGGUCAAUAAGGUUAAGUUCCGGAUACUGAGUGAAAUUUAUCGGGUGUUAAGAGAUAAGUAUAGGAUGUGAUGUGAUUGAUGUGAGAGGAAAACAAAAGGAUAGAAAUGCAUUAAUGAAGUGACACUUGUCAUGUUGGGAUUGGUUUCACUUGUUGACAACUAUUCAUUUUUUUUGACUUUUCUUACCAAUUGAUUAAAUAUCUCAAAAAUCACAAAAAAAUUCACUCUUGUCUUCACCUUCUUGGCCGGCCACCUUGAGCUUAAGAAGGAAGAAAACUCUUCAAAAUCUUGGCUACCAUCUAGCUCAAAUCCUCCAAAACAAUUGCUUGAUCUUGUUUCUACUCCAUAAAAUCUCUCCAUUUGGUACUAGUAAGUGAUUUGGUGAAGUGUUUAAGGAAGCUAAGGUGUCCAACAACUCUCCCUCUCUUGUUUACUAGGUGAGUGGUGAUUGAACUUCCUCCUACACUUAAUGAAGCUUAAGUUGUGCUUAGUGGUAGCUAAAGUGCUGAAAUUUGUGGUUUAUUUCUUGGUUUGAGAUGAAAUGAUGAAGUUUUCAAUUUAAUGGUGUAUUUUCUGGUUUAAUGUGAUCAUGAUGUUGUGGUUAUCUAUGAUGGUUGGUAAUGAAGGGUAAUGACUCUAGUAGGUGUACAUGAUUGGUAAUUGCAAGCAAUUUUGGGUUUGGAAGGAAUUUGAGAAAGUUAGGGUUUUAUAUCCCCAAUUCUGUCCGAUUUUGUAUCUCAUGGUUAGAGGCCGAAUUGGCCUUGUCUUAAAACAUGAAAGUUGUAGGUAUUGAUGUGUUUGAGGUGCCUGUAAAAUUUCAGGUUCAUCGGAGUUGUGUAGAGUGAGAAAAGUCGAUUUUACUGUUGCUGUUCUGGGUUCUUCAGGAUGGCCGAACUGCGUCUGUAAUUGGUGGUUUUGGCUGGAAUUGCUUUGGAUUUGGUUGUUGAGGCCUUCUGAUGAAAUGUAGCUUGAUGUCUUAGCUACCGCAUGCCUUUGGUAUGAAUGAAUUUGGACUUGUAUAGACUGAGUUGGACUAAUUACAGCAUAGUGUAUUUUGUAAACCUGCAAUUAAGGUUCUGGUUUGGUAUUUUGCAUAUUUGACCUAGUUGUGCUAGGAAUUGGACUGAGUGACCUUCUACAUUGUUGUAGCCCUGUUUCUUAGCUUCGAAACGGUGGGUCUUACACCCUCAUCCGAUAAGCGUAGUGCAAUUUGUGCCAUUACCGCAAACUGAGGACAAAACUGUUUUUUUUUCAGGGCCAAGUUAGUUACAUUUCCUGAUUUUCUGGUUUGCUAUAAUGCUUAUAUAUGAAUAUGAAACCCUAUUGGGGUUGUGAUUGGCAUGGCUUUAUGACUCGUUAUCGAGUCUCAUUGUAUUUGUUUACGUGUUUUAGGACGUGACGAGGGUUCACGACGACCUUUUAACGACGGUGCAUGAAACAUCACCUACUUGAGUAGUGAGUAUACUACUCACUUGAAUGUUUAUAAUGUGGCUUUGCUAUAUGUGAUUGUGAUGCCUUGAAGGCUUGUUUGGCUAUUGGACAUGGUUAAGGUGAGGGUGUACUUGACCGCCCUCAUCCUUUUUAUCUUGUUAAUGACUGUUUACCGUUUCACUGUAAUACUGCACUUGCUAUAUGAGAUAUUGAAUUCCAUUCAUGGGAAACUGUUUGGGUGUCGGUUGGACGAGUAUCCAACGGCCCUACUGCAUUACUGAGCUCGACCCCGUUGGUAGUUACUUGAAUCGAGCCAGCGAGGGCUUGGUCGUGAAAAUUGACUAGCCACGGGGACUGAAAUGGGAAUCUUGUGGUAAUGAGACCCUUGGUUCCGGUGUACUCGAGUAUCACCUAAAGCUACUGCUUGGAGUGCGGGCCCGGUUGGGGUAUGUUGGGUGGAAGGAAUGGAAGUGAAGUGAGGUCUACGGUCGGGUAUUCUUAAACAUUGACGGAGGGUCAAUGAGGUUGGAUCAAGAAUGUAAGCGUGGAAAUGGGCUCUUGAGAGCCGUCCGUAUCCUUUUACCGACUUGUUUUAUUUCUUAAUUGCGUACUUGAGAUGAAAGUUAAGUGAUCUUUGUUGAUUAUGUGAUAGUUGCUCACUGAGCUUUAGCUCACUCCGUUCCAUUUGUUUUCCUUACAGGAAAAAUGACUAUUUUGGGAAAGGUUGUGCUAGUUGGUUGUCAAGUUGAGCUCAUGUAAAUGUAUAUUUUGAAUAGCUCCUUGAGGGUGAAAACCCUAAGUGUUUUGUUUCAACCAAUGGUUGGUUUGUAAUUGGCCAAUUGCACAUGUGUGAACUUGUUGGAUAUUUUGGUAUACCGCUUUGGCUUGUAAAUGUUAAAUUUCGAUGUAUAUAUGUUGGAUUGAUGUUUGGUUGAACUCCGGAUUCUGACAUGGCCGGUACUGUUCAUCAUCGGCUUCGAUUUUCAUAUUUUUUUUAUUUUGUGAUUUUGACUUGUUUGCGCGCGUUGGUGUGUUCCGGAACGUAGUAGAUCGACGUAAACUGAUCCGUUAGUCCUGGCGAGAGCUGGGCAGCCAGUCCGCUAACCCCUUUGGUUCGCCUUAGGGGAAGGUGGGGCUGUUACAAGACGACCCUACUUGCCACUGUCUGCCAAUUAGUAAAUUUUGUCAAAUAAUUAAUUCUGGUAUAUCGGAUUAAGCAAACUCUUCGAGAACAGGGUGAAUCAAGUAACCCAUUGCACACCUAGAGUCCCUGCUCCAGUACUUAGAAUUGAUUAUCGACUACUUUUGACGGGCGUAGGGUAUACAUAUAACAUUAAGCUCAUCCUAAUCAAGUUUUACAUUUAUAAACUCCUAAAUACCCUACACGCGAUUUAUCGCAAGUAUACGAAUCGUGAGCGAGUAUAGGGUAUUAAAAGUCGAUCUCACAAUGAAGAUUGCAAUUACCGGCACUACUAAAGCUUCUCUAUUAUUUAGACUAUCAAUGAAUUAUAACAAAUUUAACCUACUGAACUUAUGCAAGAAAAUAACAAAUGAAAGCUCCUUAAGUUGUGGUAUCCCUAACUACUCAUGCAAGUGCUAUAUUUGGAUCAUUGAAUACUACUAUCUAGGCUAGUUAUGGUGUAAUUUCCUUAAACAUGUGAAACCUACUUUCGUAGUGAAUCAACUAUAUUCAUAACUAAUCCAUACAUAUUCUCAUGGUUAUGAAAUUAGCUACAAGUUCAUUUCUUCAAUGAAAUUAAUCACUAAAAUCACAUAGGUGCACCUCUACUCUCGUGAGCGUACUCCCUAUGUUUAGCACUUCUUAAACUAGUGUUAAAUCUCAAUUUUCAUUGCAGAAACAACACCUUAAAUAAUCACAAUCAAUGGUACCAGAUUAAUCAUGAUUUAAAGAGCCAAAGUACUAAAUAACUUGCUCAAAUCAUAGCAAUCAAAUAACCAAAUAAUAAAUACUAACAAUUAUAGAAAGUUCAACCAAACCCAAGGCAUAAACGUUAGAGACACAUAUUAAACACAAAAUCCAGAACUUGCAUAUCAACUAAACUUAGAAUCCAAUACAAAAGAUAAAGAGUUGGAAAAGAGAUAACCAUUGUCACAUGAGCUUCAACUCCUCCUUUUUCAUCUCCAUUUUCAUCCUAAUCUAGCUAAUAUACAAGAAUGGAAGAGCUAUACUAUUCUAAACUAAACUAUCCUACUACUCAGAAAGUGCAAGAGCUACAUCUCUGCACUCCAAGUUUCUCCUGUAUGUCUCUCUAUUCUCCCUUCAAUCUUGCAAGCUUUGGCUAUAUAAAGGUGAAAGUUGGUCAAGAAGUGAGGUUUACACCUCCCUUUUACAGCUGGGAAUGUUUCUCACAUGUCUAGCAUCACCUGUGACUUAGUGGAGGUGAAAUUGAGUUUCCCACGUAAAGAGCAGCCUUCUCUGACCACAAUCCGGCCAGAAAUCUGGCCAAGUUCCGGCCGGAUUGCUACAGUGACAUUUUGGUGCACUUUUGUUCAAUUUCCAGCUCUGCUCCAAUUUUGUGUCAAUUUCAACUGAACUUUUGUUGAUGAUAAAAGCUGAUUUAGCUCUUGAUCAACAUAAAACUUGUAGCCCUUUGAGUUAGCUUUCCAAUGCAUCAAGAAUCACCUCAUUUGGAUCUGUGUAGGCUGAGAAAUGACCGAAAUACCUUUGACUGCUCACUGCCCUAUUUCAGCUUCGACCAAUAGAAAUUAGCUACUGUAAUUCGGCUUUUUAACCUGGAAAACCUUCAAAAUAGAUUCAGAUGUCUUCACCAAAGUUGUAGAUCUAUCUCUUAUCUUCAAAUUGGUUUAAGAAUCAUCUCAAUCCGAUCAUUAUAGCUCAAGUUAUAGCCAAAAUACGAAAAUGUGUCAAAACUGUCAAAAUGCACAAAAUCCAAGUAAAAAGUGAUAAAAACCUCAUUUAAUUACUUAAAAGCAUUUUUCACCAAUUAUAGCCAAAAUGAAUCAUUUUCUUCCAAUAAUGUAACCAAAGUGACUAACAAUAAUAUAAAAUAUCAUACAAUUAUUACAUAAAUUAGUCACUUAUCAGCUUUUAUUGGCAAUUAGGUUUAUUUUUAUUAUUGCACAGGUUCGGCACCUGUCAUUAGGAGUACUGGUUUUGCUGUGGGAUUUUUCGUUUUCUUUGUCAGCUGCGUCAGCUGCAUGGUGCUUUAGAGCAUAAGCCUUUGUUUUGUAUCGAAACAUCACGGCCAAAAUUGCCAAAAGCAUAUCGAAACAUGAACACAAAAUGAAAGAUGUGAGGAAACUUUAAUGAAGAUAUGCCUUGAGAUUUAAACACCAAAGACAAAAGCUCAAAAAAUAUUAUCAACGGAUCAAAAUAAGAACUUGAUUAUUGGUAAAACACUCCAACAAGUUAAGUCGAACCAAGAUCAACAUAAUCAAUUAUUUGAUUUCAAGAGUCAUAACUUUUGCUUGUAAAGAACAAAUAAAGUUAAACAAUUUAUUGCUUUUUUCCCCCCAGUCAGCUGUGUACCUCAACAUUAUUUCACGUCAAAAACUUGUUUUUCCUCGGAUUAAAUACCCUAGCAUCUGAGGUUAUCACCAGUCUCGACACCCAAUUGUCUACAAUAUUCAGUAUAAUACUCAACUCGAGCACUAACUGUGUUUGGAUUUGCACCAUCACAUUCAAGCCGACCAUUAAUGGCACGAAUUGUAGCCCCAAAACCCUGGCCAGAAGUGAUAAGAUCAUGACAAUGGUUCAUCCAAUACCACAAGCCAGUUUUGAAUGAAAUAACAUUAUUUGUAGCUACAGUUUCAGGUUGGCUGAGUCCAUUGAAUCCAAUGCUUUCACCUGCUGGUCCAUAGUUAGAGUUCCAUGAUAACUGUAUUGGACCCCUGCCGUAAUAUCCCUUGCCUGGCACACAUGGAUACUGAGUGUUGCUCUCAUCACAGUAAUCUCUGGAGGGGCCGUCUAUCUCUUCUAUGUAGCACAAAUCUGCGCAAUAUAAAGAAAUUUUGUCACUCAAUUGAAAUGAUUGAUAAAGGGUUAGAAUCAAAGAAAAUCAGGAGGUCUGGAAUUUUUUGUAAAUUUUUAGAUUUGAUUGUUUUACUAAUGAAUUCAAUUGGUGAGAAAAGACUUUAUCCCAUUUUGUAAAAAUUGGGUUGGACAGACCUAAAGUAAACACUCUUUUUAUGAGGUAAAAUUUUAGAAUGAUUUAACAUUAUAGGGUUAUACGAUAGAUAAAUAAAAAUUGGCAAUAGCAAGAUUAAGAAGGGACCAACAGUGAUAUAAAAAUUACAAAGGUAUCAUGGACGUCUAAAAUAUAUUUGGCUAAUAAAUUUGAACUAAUUUACGGCCAAAUUUAGGUGAAAUAGUUAAUUCUACUUGGUAAAUUGGAAGUUCGGAAACGUGUAUCUGUCAGUUGUCAUACUCAUGAGCGAGCCAAUCUUAACUUAAAAAAGAAAAAGAAAAAAAGAAAAAGAAAAAAGGAAUCCAAAAGAUAAAAGUAGAAAAGGCAUGAAUUUUAAAACGUAAUCGUAAUACCUUGUACCCGAAACAAAUAUGUGCAAUACUUAUUAAGCUAAGCAAAGCCACAUGAUCUACUCUUAGAUGCAGCAAAAUAUACAACCACCUUAAGCUUGGAAUGUAAAGGCAGAAAAACUUGCUUAUGUAGAUAUAAAAGUGACCACUACAAGAAAAGUAAAAAGAAUAUGGAGAUAAUAAUCCUUCUGUUCAUCAUGAUAAAUUAUUUAACAGUAAUAAAUCUUUCAUAUUCAAGUUUUAUUUUUUGAAGAAAAAAUUCUUGGAUAAUAGUGCACAGGAGAUUCCAAGAUAUACUAUCUAGAAAUUCACAGGAGCUACUAAAAAAGUAGAAAAUAUCUUCAAAAUUUAAUUUCCAAGCUAGUGUUAUUCAAAACUUACGUCCAGUCUCAUGAGUGACAUGAGCAAAGAAAGCAGCAAUCUCCCUUUUAGAAUCAUCAACAGAACCAGCGGUUCCAAACUGGGGAUACGAGUUCAGAGCUUCAAGAAAAGCUGAUCGAGUAUAGAACCCUUUUCCAGCACAGCUUGAAGCAGCUUGAUCAGCAAUCCCAUUAAAGAAAGCGUCCGUCACAAUAUCAGCAACUGAAACGCCACUAUUACCACUGCUCGGAGCAGCGGUGCAAGGGCCGGAUUGACAGCCAGAGCCGCAGUAGUCGUUGCCGGUACCGCAAUAGCCGAAUUUGCUGCAGCACAAGUCUGGUGCACAGCCGCAGUUUUGGCUUGAAAUCAGCUGUGGAAAGGCUCCUACAAGAACUACAAUGGAGAAAAUGAUGGUUGGAAAACUCUUCAUUUUUGGAUUUGAUAAAGGAGAGAAGCUUGUGGGCAGCAGUUGUAUCAGAAAAAAGGGUAUAUGUAGGGAAGAGAACUGAAAACUGAUCAGCUUGUGUGAAGCAUGCACAGCUGCUAUUGUUGAAAAUAUUGAAUUUGAGCAAUUAAAGAAAACAGAACAGAAGACGAAAGCGUGAAUGGUUGACUUCUAUCGAGAGUAUUGACUUUGACAUUGUCAAUGAAGCGGAAACUUUCUUUCUUGGCUUCUAGAAUGGGAAAGGUCAAAAAGAAAGAUUUUGGCCAAUUCGUAUGAACAAUUGUGAGAAUAAGGCAUGUAGACUCACAAGUCCCCACUAGAAUGUGUGCAAAAAUAUAAUUUGAAGUUGCCUAAAUCAUUUAAUUUCAUGCUUGUUAUUGAGUUUAUUUGCCUAACUGUGUUUUAGUAAUACUUCAAAAUUGUGUUUGAGUUAGAACGGAAAAAAAUAUGAGACAUUUUUUUUUUAAUUGCAAUUCCAGAAAUAAAAUCUUAUAAAACAUGUAUUAGAAAAAUUUUGAGGGUAAAUGAUAUGAAAAAAAAAAAGAAGAAAUAGUUCUAUAAAUUGACAUAAGUGUUCAUCGGCUUUUGGAAAAAUUAAGAAAGAAUAAAGCAGCCGACAUAUCUAUCAUGCAUAACAACAUUAUGUGGCUUUUGUUAGUACACGCUAUGACCAUAUAUGUUUCAUUUGAGAUGCUUGUCGGACGUGUUGAAUUGUUGGCAAUGAAAUGCUCCAAAAUGUCAGCACUAUAGUUUAUAAAUAGUAUUAGGUCAUACUGAAUUAUCGACAUAUCGUUACAUGCAGAGUCGUGAAAAUAUACAAGUCUUUCCCUAUCAUUAAUUAGUUGGUCAAAUGACAAUUUUAGAGUGGCUGCUGACUAUGUCAAGAAACAUCUUGCAGUAAAUUGGGCGAGUUAAUGUACUUUUCUUUUUCUAAAUAUUUGCACUUAAACUCUCAAAUCGACCAUAGUUUUAACUAAUUUUGCUCUGGCUUUAUUCUUGAUUCGCAAAAUUCAGAAAAACCAAAACAAACCCUUGUUACUGAAGAUAUCAAAAUGGUAACCCAACUAAGUAAUUGAUUUUGAAAAACAUUCUGAACCAAAUUUCAAGUUUUGGUUUCUUUGCUCUUUUUCUACUGAAAGGCAACUUCCCCGGGCCAAGAAAUUGAAACAAAUAGUACGAUGCUUAAGUUUUCUAUGCUCUUAUGAUCAAGUCAAACCAUGCUUAUAAUCAAUUACAUAAAAAAUUACGGGCAAUUUCGUCAUUAUUUGGGAGGAGGAGGAAUAUUAAGCAAAAAAAAAAGUUCUAUUAAGAAAACGAUUAAGCAUAUUAUUUUCCAGGAAUAAAAAAGAACGAGCAGAGAAAUACAUUAGUUUGGAUGACAUUACAACAUUUAGCAACAUGAUUAGGGAUGCAAUGGGAUGGGUGCCAAUUGGGAAUCAAUGGGAUGGGAGAAAAUGCAGGAGGGGAUGGAGGGAUUGAAGAAUAUUUCUCCUCCAACAUUAAAUGGAUACCUCCAUCCCAUCCCCUAAAACCCCUUGUUGCUAUUCCUAAACAGGAUGCUACUUAUAUCCUCUCUCUAUGAGCAUGUGUGGCUAGUGAGGAAUGCAGGAUUUUGAUUUUGGCGGGGGGAGGGUGGGGCAAAUUGACAAUCAAGAAACAAUAGAAAAAAAACCUUAGCAAAUAAAGCACACAAACUUAAAAUGAAAGUUUAAUAUACGAUAAAUAAAAUAUAAAUAUUUUUAAUAAUAAAAUACACCAUAUAAAUAAAAUGAUAGAGCAAUAAUUGGGCACCAUAAGUGCUGUUAUUUGGUCAUAAUGUUGGCUACUUAUCAUGCUAAGUAGUGCAGCUUUGCUCAUAUUUGAUAUUUGUGUAAAUUACAGGCGGUUGGUGUUGAAACUGAUCUCUCGAGGCAAAUUUUCAGAAGACUUUUUAUUUCAGAGCGUGCCGACGCCAGAAACUAUAGAGAGACUCCUCAAAGGUGGACCGCGGGACUAAUUAACUAAACUUACCUUUAUUCCUGCUUGACGCUGCUGGAAGUGCGUUAAAACAAAAAGGCAAUAAUUUCCAGCGAAUUGGGUAACAACCAAUAAGGAGGAAAAUUAGGGGCACUAGCCUACAAAGCCGGACCCGCGAGACUGGUAGACAAAGUGGGGAAUUAGGAAGUCUUCAAAGCGGCUAUUUUCUCGUGGGCUGCAGAGGUGAAAAGGACAAGUAGUUUGAGUCUUGCAGAGAGCUUUUGAGUUCUCUUACGUUUUGUCUUGCGGUAGCCACCCGGGGGAGGAUUGAAAAAGCCAUAUUCACGUGGGAUUAGGAGAUUAGCUUUAGUUUCUUGUAUCCCUGGGUAGACGAUCUGCUCUCUGCUUUGCUUUUGGCGACUUUCUUUAGACCUUUUUCUUUACUUUUCUCCGGCACGAACAGGGAACCAAAAAAGAAGCAAGACUUUUCGUUUGUCUCGUCGUUAUUUCAUCUUUCCCAACUUUUUGGUAAUUAAGUGGAUGGAAUCAAUCAAAUCACGCGAGAUUGAUGUGAUGAGGAGUGGCUAGGUUUCUCUGCUACCCAAAGGUCGACGCGAAGGCGCGGUCCAUAACAUCUGUGAGAUCUAAUCGAACUUUCACUAUUUCUUCCAAUCCGUUACUAUUCGUGCGUUUUCUGGAUUAACUGUUUAUGGUUAUUUUAUUAAUUGAGUAUCAACAGCCGGAUAUUUAAUUUAAUCUAAUAGCCUACUGUCACGUUAACUAAAUUGAAUCCGUAAUUAUUCGUUUAGUUGAUAAUUAGUGACAACCAUCAUAAUUGGCUUUAUGUUGGGAAAAACGUAAGAUCUAAUUUAGAUAAACCCUCUUAUAGCGUGUUUAUUGGUUAGGGUUGGAUUUUUCUAGCGUUAAUGCAACUGAAUAAUUAAAUUCCUACGGUCGUAUCUAGGGUUAUUUUCUGGUUAGAGAAACAGUCAACGGUCGUACCUUGGCUAUCGAAAAAGUAAGAAAAAACUAGCAGUCAGAGCUUGUUGAUCGCUAUAACCAACCUAGUGACGAAUGAGUGAAAUAUCUUUGCAUCGAUGAUCAUUUAAUUGGACCGUGCCUGAAAAGUUGAUCCUUUGGAUAGAAUUUUGCUAAUUGCUAUUUUCAGUGAAUUGUACUUGGCGAGUUAGCUUUUGAAUUUUGUUUAUUUUAUUUUCAUUUUCAUUCCAUUAAAUAUCCCCCAAUUUUGUUCUAUUGACUUGGAAAGAAACAACUUCUUACCCGUUACUUGUGGAAUCGACCCUACUUGCCAUUUUCAGAAACAACUUCUUAAUUUUAAUCCUUAUGAAACCCAGCUUCUCUCUCAAUUUUCAGAGGUUUCUUUUCCUUCAUCAUGUCAAAGUUGCUAUUAUAAUCACUGUAAUUAGACAGCUAAACCUGUCAUUCCAAUUAUACCCUUGGUCCGCCGUGGGAAAUACAUAAAAUGUGGUAGCGCUGCCCAAUAAGUCCCACAUUGGACCAUAUAAAAUUGUUUAAGGACUAAAUUGGUAAAAAAAAUCGUAAAUGAUGAAAUUGAUUUAAGUGAAAAAGUUCAAGGACCAAAUUGGCAAUUUUUCCUUAUUAUGAUUAUGAUUAUGAUUAUUAUUAUUAUUAUUAUUAUUAGUCUGAGAUGCCGAACAAGUUGUGGAGACUUAUUUCACCUUUACAAGGUCAUUGGAGGGCUUGACGAGGUGCGAUGUGGUAAGGAAAGGCACAAAAAACUCUUUUUUCUUUAUUAAAAAACAUACAAAUUGCACUAAUAAUGGCUGAAAAUGCAUCCAACAUGCAAUAGUGAAAAAUCGUUAGAUGCAAGAUAUAUAAAAGUUAACAAAAAUUAUCUUAGUACCUCUGAUAUAUUCCAAAUUCAGAUAAAUCAUCUGCCCCCAAUGAAUAUAUGUGCAUAUCAUCAUUGUCAAAAAAUAUUUAUGCAUAUCAUUGCCGUUAGAUUUUAUAUUGAAGUGGUUAAAGCUCCAAAUCUAGUAGAGAAGAAAUUCAACACUUGAGAAAAUAAGUUAAGAAAUUCAAGAUUUGACAUACAAAUCUGAAAAGCUCUCAAAUCUAACAAAACAAGAUAUAAAAUUAUCUGAAUAAAACUCUCACUAGAAUAUCUUAGUAGAGAAGAAAAUUCUCACUAGAUAGUCUCACUAUACUUUAUUAGACAUAAAAAAAAAAAAAAGAGAAGUCAAACAGAGGGAGGAAGGCAAUCCUCCAUGGAGGAAAUAAUAAUUGUCUUGAAGGUUGUGUAGAGAGAUGGUGGAGAAACUUCUUUUGUUUUAUCUAUUGGUUAUCUUUCUAAUUGCUAGUUAACGAACAAUAAACUCUAAAUGAAACUACUAAAUUUGCAACCGAAGACAUUUUUGGGCUUGUAUCUUAGUAUCGUAAUCGUCACCCAAUUAGAGCCGCCCAUGACGGCUUCAUUAAAUAUAUAAUUUGGGGGAACCAGGAUUUAAGGCCAAAUUUCGGCAACCUUCAAGGCACUUCAUUGUUUUCUCACAAAUUUUGUUUAUUUAUUGUAAAAGAUUAACUUUAAAGUGUCCUCAAAUUUCUUCCCUAUCUUCUCUCAAACUUUACCAGUGAAAAUUGUUUGUCUUCGGGUUCGUUUGUUUCGGGUGAAAAUGUUUUCCAGAAAAAGUAUUUUCCUAAUUUCCCGUGUUUGAUUGCACAAAAGUUACUGAAAACAUUUUACAUAAAUUUUCACUCAUCUUAUGGAAAACAACUUCCCUUCCAAACUUACUGAAGUUGUUUUCCGAAAUGCAUGCAUCCCGCCUGUAGUAUGUUCCAAACUUACUGAAACCAUCUUGUAGUAUGUUCUUUUUUUUUUUUAGUGUAAACAGGAGGACUCGAACCAAGACCUCUUCCUUACACUCCCUCCCCCGUACCAUCCAACCCAACCCAACCCUCCCCCUAGUAUAUUCAAAAUAAAAAAAAACCUCAUCCUACUCAUCCUAUUCUAGUAAUUAAUUAUGUAUAAUAGGGACAUUCUUUUCUAGAGAAACUUUCAGCAAUGAUAGUGCAAGAUAUAUGUCACAAUAAGCAUUGCAUGUGAUUGAUAUUUGACACUAAAUGGCCAGCAAUUUGUUUAUUGCUUAAGGAGAUAUUUUUUAUUCAUAUAUACAUUUCUCCAAGAUUUUUUAAAGUUAAACAAUGAGAUAAAUUUUCUUAUUUUGCAUGGGAAGAAGUAUGUAGUUAUAAUGUGUAGAAAGUAAAGAUAGAGAUAAAAGUGAAAAUAUUUCAAAAGUUAAACAAACACCAAAAAAAUGAAGUAAGAAAAUAUUUUCAAUAAACUAACCAAACACCUGAAAAUGAUGAAAGAGAAAUGAUUUUCAUGGAAAAUUACUUCCACGGAAAAUAUUUUCCCAAGAAAAAUAUUUUACUUCCAACCAAACAGACCCUUCAUCUCGUUGAUUGUCUCCCCCAGUGCAUACAAAUGUAUUAUGGGCAUUUUGGUGAAAGAAAGGCAUAAACCGAGUUCUGCACAACUAAAUUUUGCCAAUAGCAUAUGAAAAUAUGAAGAAGAAUAAUAAUAAAUGAAGGGUCUGUCUAAUAAGUAUUCAUAGGGAACCAUUGAAAUAUAUCUCAAGUGUCAUGUUUUUGGAAAUGUAAAAUUAAUAGAAAAAAUAAAUAAAUACAAGAGAGAGUAGAUAAAAUUAAAUAAGAAAAGUUAAUAAUUGUUAAUAGAUAUAUAUACAUAAUAGAUUAGAUGAACGUUAAAUAUGUUAACAAGUACCUUAUUAGCACCCGUUAAAAAAACCUAUAAAUGAAAGAUGUGAUCACCAAAUCAUUGACAAAGAAAUGUGUUGAAAAUGAAACAAGAAAGUCAAACAUGAUAAGGGAUCAAAAAUGGAAUUUAAUAAUUGCAGAUACUCCAAGAAGUUGAGUUGAAAUCAGUUAUCCGAUUUCAAAUUCACAACUUCUGCUGUCAAAGAACUACAAAGGGACUCAACUUCUGCUAAUUUAUAUUAGUUUCGAAACUCUUACAAGUACCCUAGCAUCUGAGAUUAUCACCGGGAUCAACACCCAACUGGUUACAAUAUUCAGCAUAAUACUCAACACGAGCACUAACAGUGUCCGGAUUUGCACCAUCACAUUCAAGCUGUCCGUUAACGGCACGAAUUGUAGCCCCAAAACCCUGGCCAGAAGUGAUAAGAUCAUGACAAUUGUUCAUCCAGAACCACAAGGCAGUUUUGAAUGAAAUAACAUUAUCUGUGGCCACAGUUUCAGGUUCAGUUAGUCCAUCGAACCCUAUGCUUUCACCUGCUGGUCCAUAGUUAAAGUUCCAAGAUAUUUGUAUUGGACCCCUGCCGUAAUAUCCCUUGCCUGGCACACAAGGGUACUGAGUGUUGCGCUCAUCACAAUAGUCUUUGGAAGGGCCGUCUAUCUCUUCUAUAUAGCACAUAUCUGCACAAUAUAGAGAAGUCUGUAUCAAUUAUCACUGCAUUCAAUUGCUUAUAUGAAAGCCACUCAUUGAUACAUUAUGGAUUUUAGAUAUUUUUACUAUUAAAAAAUCUAUAAUCUAAAUACAAAAUAAAUGAGAACAUAAAAAAAAUUAAUUAUUUAAAAUCAGAAUCUAUAGUCAGUUAUAAUAAUCAAUCAAGAACAACCCCAAAAAAUGUCAUCAAUAUUUAAGAAGGGACCAUAUGUGAUAAAGAAAUUAUAAAGUUAUAAGUAAUCACAGACUAAAUAAAUAACCAAUACAACAAAGUAGAAAAAAAAAAGGAAAACAAUAAUCCCUCUGCCCAGUUAUAAGAGACACACCCUCAUGAUAAAUUUCUUUUUUUUCUUUUUCAGUUAUGUCAUUUUAAGUUAUUUGACAAUAGAAAGUAUUUCAUAUUAAUGUCGUUAUCUUUGAAGAAAGUUCUUGGACAAUAGUGCACAGGACAACAUCCUACGUAGAACUGUACAAAGAUUUAGUAAAUAGGAUCUAAGACGUAGAAAAGUUGCUAAAAAUUUCAAAAAAACUAAAUCUCCUUGGUGGAGUUGUUCAAAGCUUACGUCCAGUCUCAUGAGUGACAUGAGCAAAGAAGGCGGCAAUCUCCCUUUUGGAAUCAUCAACUGAACCAACUGUUCCAAACUCAGAAUACAAAUUCUGAGCUUCAAGAAACGCCGAUCGAGUAUAGAACCCUUUUCCAGCACAGCUUGAACCAGCUUGAUCAGAAAUCCAGCUAAAGAAAGCGUCUGUCACAACAUCAGCAACUGAAACACCAUUAUUACCACCAUCUGAUGAAGCGGUGCAAGGGCCGGACUGGCAGCCUUUGCCACAAUAGUCGUCGCUGGUGCCACAAUAGCCCCACUGGCUGCAGCAUAAAUCUGGUUCACAGUCACAGUUUUGGCUUGAAAUCAGCUGGGAAAAGGACCCUACAAGAACUGCAAUGGAGAAAAUGAUGAUUCGAAAAUUCUUCAUUUCUGUACUUGAAGAAGGAGAAAAGGAUGUGGACAGAAAUUGUUUGAGUAAGAAGGAUAUUUAUAGCAUGGAGAACUGGAAAAGUGAUCAGCUUGUGUGAAGUAUGGAGAACUGCUAUUGUUGGAAAUCUUGAAGUUGAGCACUGAAUGGAAUGGAUAUAAAAUGCAAUAUUAGUGCUUGACUUUCAAUUAAUCUAUUGACUUUGGCACUGUCAAAAAGUAGCAACCUUCUUUCUUGGCAUUCGGAAUGGGAAUUGUGGAAAAGAAAAAUUUUGGCCAAUUGAUAUCAACAAUUGUGAGUACAAGUCACAAGUCACAAAUAUAAUGCGUGCAAAAAAGAUAACUUGAUGUUGUCUGUAUCAUCUGAUGUUAAUAAAGCCUAACUCUGUUGUAGUCCUAUUUCAGUCUCGUAUUUGAGUCAGAACACAGAUGAUAUUUGUACCAUUCUAGAUCCACGGGCUGCCCUACUACAAAUACUUUUCAUUUGGCUUAAAAAAAACAUUUUAAAGGGUGUAAGCUUUACAAUUAAAGCACGAUCUUUACCUUAUCAUGCAAAGUAUUGGACAUAUAAAAUUUUAUCAAACUGUUGUAGUGAAAAGAACUCAAAUGAUCAAAUUUUAUCCAGUUGAUAAAUAUAGAAUCCUAAAUAAAAUGCAUAGUCCUUUUUUUUUCCUUUAGAGUUCUUAUUGCAUACUAUAUGAAUUAAUUGGUAAAAUUUUGGUAGCGUAUAGGAAAUGAUACCAAUAUAAAAACUACAUUUACUACUCGAGGGCUUAUUAUGCUGCCCAAUUUUUUGGUUUCUACCAUGAGCUGAAAAAAAAUCUUUUCGAAGCAUAAGUUUCCCCAAAUUCUCAUAGACUUUACAAAUGAAAGUUAUUUGUUUCUUGUCGUUCAUUGACUCACCAUGCGUGUGCAGAUGAAUUAUUGAUUGGCCUUUUUGUGGCAGAAAGAUAAAACAGAAUUGAACCAAAGACCUCAUAAUUCCCUAAUUAGUCACUUCAGCCAGUUGAAUUAGAUCUUAUUCACAAGUUUUUUGUACUUCGGUAUAAUAGCGCUCCUGUUCCUUAGUCUCUUAUGCUUCGGUUUACUCCCAAUCUUAAUUGCCUUAACAUUGGUGCAUUUAGACCCUUGCAUUUGGUAAUUCAUAAUCUUAGUAUAGUUAUGAUCCUCAAAUAUCAUACCUUGAGAAACAUCACGGCUAAAAUUACCAACAGCAUAUUGAAACAUGAAAAGUAAAUGAAAGACGUGCAGAAACUUCAAUGGAGAGGCUUGUUGAGAGUGGAAACACCAAAGUCGAAAGCUCGACGAAUACGAUCAAGGGUUCAAAACUGGAACAUGCCUAUUCGUAAAUAGUCCAAGAAAUCGAAACAAGACCAACAAAAUCAAUUAUAUGAUUUCAAAACUUAACAACUUUCGCUUGUAAAGAGCAAGAAAGGUAAACACCUUUUGCUAAUUUUUAUUAAUUUCCAAUCAGUUUUAAGCCUUUAUAGCUCAACAUAUUACUCCCUUCCGAGCACUUUCGGCUCUCCAGAAGUACCCUAGCAUCUGAGAUUCGGACCAGGAUCAACACCCAGUUGGCGACAAUAUUGAGUAUAAUACCCAACACGAGCACUAACAGUGUUUGGAUUUGCACCGUCACAUUCAAGCCGACCAUUAAUGGCACGAAUUGUAGCCCCGAAACCCUGGCCGGAAAUGAUAAGAGAAUGACAAUGGUUCAUCCAAAACCACAAGGCAGUUUUGAAUGAAAUAACAUUAUUCCUGGCUACAAGUUCAGGUUGACUUAGUCCAUUGAACCCAAUGCUUUGUCCUGCUGGUCCAUAGUUGUAGUUCCAUGAUAUUUGUAGUGGACCGCGGCCGUAAUACCCCUUGCCUGGCACACAUGGAUACUGAGUGUUGCUCUUGUCACAGUAGUUUCUGGACGGGCCGCUUAUCUCUUCUAUAUAGCACAUAUCUGCAUGAUAUAGAGAAGUGGUAUUAGUUAUCAUUCCGUCGAAUUGCCAAAAAAGGAAAAAAUGAACGUUAGGUAAGACAAGGAUUGUCGGAUGAUAUGAUAAUGAAAAAUGUAGCAAAAUUUUAUGAGUUCUAAUAACAAUUAAUUGCAAAAUUAUAGAAUUGAAAGGAUUUAAGAAUCACAAACAAAAAUAUUUAUGUGGGAGAAAAGAGAAUAAAUAACUUAACUCAAAAUGUCAUUAAUAUUUCAAACAAAGAAGAAAAUCUCACCACAAUAAAAAUCUAAUAAAUUUUCUAUAGACUAUUUUAGGCUCUCUUAAAUUUUUAGAAAAUACUCCACCUAAUACUCUAGUGCUAAUUUAUGAGAAUCAUUGAAUAAGAAACAACACGAUUAAUUAUGAAAUAAAACACCAAUCACUAAAUAAUAAAAUUACUAGAAAUUGACUUCAAUAAAACUAAUGAUAAUUAAAUAGAAAAUUUUUGAAGCUUGGUUUAUUUUGCCAAAAAAAGAAAAGAAAAGAAGAGCCAUCAAUAUUUAUGAAUAGACCACAAGUGAUUUAAAAUUUACAAAGUUGUAAGUAAUGAUUUAAAAUUUACAAAGUUGUAAGUAAUCACAUGCUUACUAAAUUAUAAAGUUGACUACUACAACAAAGUGAAAAGAACGGAAAAUAAUAAUUUCUCUAUCCAAUUAUAAGUGGCACCCAUAUUCAUGAUAAAUUAUUACAAUAAUAAGUAUUUCUUGUUAAAAUUUUAGUUUUUGAAGAAAGUUCUUGGAUAAUAUUGCAAAGAAAAAUAGUCAAAACUUGGGGACAUCCGGUUUUCAAAAAUCCAAUAGACCAAAGUGUGCUAUACUUUCUCACCAAGUGGUUUAACACAAUUUGGACUAUUGAAUUUUUGAACAUGGGACUUACCCAAGUGUGAGUCCAGAAAAAUAAUCUAUAUAUUACUGUACCAACAUUUAGAAAAGUUACUAAAAAUAUUUUAUAGAAAGUUCCAAAGUAAUUCUCUUUGGUAGAGUUGUUGAAAACACUUACGUCCAGUCUCAUGAGUGACAUGAGCAAAGAAAGCAGCAACCUCCCUUUUAGAAUCAGCAGCAGAACCAGCAGUUCCAAACUUAGAAUACGACUUCUGAGCUUCAAGAAAUGCCGAUCGAGUAUAGAACCCUUUUCCAGCACAACCCGAAGCAGCUUGGUUAGCAAUUCCAUUAAAGAAAGCGUCUGUGACAAUACCAGCAACUGAAGCACCAUUAUUACCACCGCUGGGUGCAGCAGUGCAAGGGCCGGAUCGGCAGCCGGGGCCACAGUAGUCGUUGCUGGUGCCGCAAUAGCCGAAUUUGCUGCAGCAUAAGUUUGGUGCACAGCCACAGUUUUGACUUGAAAUCAGCUGUGGGAAGGCUCCGACAAGAACCAUAAUGGAGAAAAUGAUGGUUGGAAAAUUCUUCAUUUUUGUGCUUGAAGGAAGAGAAAUGGAUGUGGGCAGAAGCUGUUUGAGAAAAAAGGGUAUAUAUAGGGAGGAGAACUGGAAAAUGGAUCAGCUUGUGUGAAGAAGGGAGAGCUGUUAUUGUUGAAAAAAUUUAAGUUGACUAAUGAAUGAAAACAGAAAUCACGUUUGACUUUAAUUCGUGCAUUGACUUUGACAGUGUCAAUAAGUGGGAAUUUUUGUUCUUGGUUUCUAGAAUGGUAUUUGUGAAAGAUUGAUUUUGAUCAAUUGAUAUCAAUAAUUUUGGAAUUGAAUAAUGUAGACUCACAAGUCGCAACUACUGUGUGUAUUUUUAUGACUUGAAGUUGUCUACAGCAUUUAAUUUAGUGCUCAUUAAUUCAUUAACUUGCCUAACUAUGUUUUAGUCAUACUUCACAUUUGCAUUUGAGUUUAAGCACUCAAAAAUAUGAGACAGAUCAAUUUGUCAGUUACAAUUCAUGAAAUAAAAUAGUGUAGAACCUGUGUUAGAAUAAUUUUAGGUUAAAUGGUAAAGAAAAGCAACACUUUUACAUAGCAAUAUAAGUGGUAGUCAGUUUUGGAAAAGCUAAGAAAGGAUUAAAGCCCCGCUUGAUAACCUAAUUCAACACUUAAAUUUAUUGAAUUCAAAUUUUAAUAUAUUCAGACCAUUUGAUAACCAAAGAUUGAACAUCUGAAUUAAUUAAUUCGCACUGAAUUUUCUAGGUAAAACUUAUUUCCAAAAUUAAGUGAUAAGCUAUUCACUUAUCAUUGAAUAUGAUAUGCACUCAAAUAUAUUAGAUUUAAUACUUAACAACUCAAUAAUUUAACGGAUUUAAAUUUAAAUUUUCAAUUUUCAAAUUUGAGACUUCAAUUUUCACGCUUAACUUUUGUCAAACGCAUCCUAAUUAGGCCACUUGCAUAUCACGAAUGACAAAACCAUGUGGCUUCUGCUAGUACACGUUUCGACAGUAUUCCACUUCACGUGUUUGUUGGGCAUACUGGCAUGUCCAUUUGCAUCAUGUCCUAUUUCAUAACAAAAUAUUAUAUUCUAAAUAUAUAUGAAAUAUUUAAUUUAUAUAUGUUAAUUUUUUAAUACAAUAAUAUAAUGUACUUGUAAAUCAAAUAGUAUUAAGUAAAAUAACUACAUAGAAGCAGAUAAAAAUAUAACUGCAGUGCCCCUGUUAGAUUGAAUCUUUAACAAAUUGAAUGCUUUGAACUUUUUUCAUUCAGGAUUUCAGUGCUAUAAUUUAUAAACAGUAUUUCCAAAAAAGAAUUGUUAGUGAAGAUAUCAAAUUGGUGCCCCUAGUAAGUAAUUGUGUUCAGAAAACAACUAGAGUCAAAAGUCAAAUUUUCGUUUCUUUCCUGUUCUUGUCUAAAGACAAUUCUGCAGACAAAGAAGUUGGAAAAAAAAAUAUGCUCACAAUUUGGCAGGGCAAACCUCCUUGCCUAAAAAUUAAGAAAAAUCCACGCCUAAAAAUUAAGAUAAGAAAAAAAAAUCAGUUCAUUUUCUCCUCAUGUUCACUAUUAUCUUAUUAAAUUAAAGGAAACCACGCUUAUAAAUUAUAAUCACUUGCAUCAAAAUCCAACGGCAAUUUUCUCCAUUUUUUGGAAAGAAGAGGAAGGGGGAAAAAGGAAGAAGCUUCCGUAGAAAAGGAAAGAAUUGAGAAAUGUGAUAGGUACUCUGUCUCCCUCUCGGCAAGUGCGGCUUAAGCCAAGCACAGCUCACAGAAGUCCAUUGUUGAAUUAGUCUCCCUGAAAAUUUCUAGCCAUAAAAAUUUUAACUUUUCCUUUUAGUAUAAAUGGAAGAUCUCGAAGUGGGGACCUCUUAUUUACAUUUUCUCUCCUCAUAUCAUUCAACUCAUUUUUUCCCCGAAUUUCAACUUGCUACUCCAUAACUUAGCUUCAUGGAUCUAUAUUUAUGUUCUCAGAAAUGUGAUGUCAUACUUCUAGAUACAUUCAAAAGCGAUGAAUAGUCGAUCAUUUGGACAAUUGUAGUUUAAAGAACUAAGAAUUAGUGCAAAUAUCUAGUUCAUUGAAAACGUAUGGCCCUUAAUUUUUGUAUUUUGACGAUAUACAAGUCUGAAAUUCUAGAAAACAAAGAAAACUGCCAUCCUUGAACAAUUCUUUAGAGAUUUUUUGUUCUUUUUAUUUUUUGAGCAAAUGAAACAUCUUCCCGUUUAUCAUUGGAACAUAAGCUUUACAAAGGAGCAAAACCUCUUACUACAACAAAAAAUCUGGAGCGAGCUAUACCCAUUAUACAAUACUAUGCAUGUGAAAACAAACAAAACAGACAGAAUUCAACCAAGAUCAAUCUAGCAAACGUCCGUGAUCUAUCCCCCAUUCUAACAACAACUCCCAAUUUUCCUUACUACCAGGAGCUUUAGCCCAUAAGAGACAAGUCAAGUUGAACAAUUUUAACCACUGCCGAUUUAAUAAAAUUUGGAGUGAAACCCUCCAACGUGUACAGGGUUUGUCUUUCCAAAAAAACAAAAAACAAAAAACAAAACCGCUGCUGCAACUACUUCCAUUAUCAGUAUUCUGUAUACGAAAAUCAACAUUUAGUCUUUCCCAAAUUUAGUAUAUUUUAGUGCAUAAUUGAAAAAAAUUCUCUUGGCACAAGUGGAAAAUUAUAGAUUUGAAAUCAAUUACAAAAUUUCCUAGAAAAUAGACGCCCACUGAUCAACUAUGGCGCUUCGUAGUUCAGCUUUUCCAGUCUCAUACGUAGAAGUUGGUCCUAAUAGUGCAUUAAUGUUUCAUAGUUAAUCAGAAUUUUCUAUGACAAAAAAAAAGAAGAAGAUUCAUGAAGAAAAAUAAUCUAUUGGCUGUACUUUAUUUCGAUUUAGACAUCAAUAGUGCAAUGGCAAAAGGACUUUGUAGAUGAACCUAGUUGAUGUAAUGAAUUUAUGAUGAUUUAAUUAACUAAAAAGGCAAUCAAUUCGGUCUGCUUAAUGUCAUACUCAAGAGGUCAUCAUCUUUGUCAAAGGGUCUAUACAUUCCAUACAUUAGUAGUAAAUGUUAGUGGAUUUGUUACUAUUGCUGACCAUGUUAGCCACUGAUUUCUAUUAAAUCAUGUCUUUAGCUUCUUAUAAGCUUCUCUAUACCCUACCUAAUCUCAUACCAUUUUACUUUCUCUUGGAUUAUGUGGAAUGCCUACUUGACCGCAAUGUCUAUAUUUUAAUGAUACCAGUACAUUUUCAAAUCUUCAAUUAGCUUUUAAAGUAUCGAAGUUCAGUUCACUAAUUGGCCAUAAAGACAGAUCAAUAGCAAAGUUGAAAUAUGCCACUUAUCCUGAGACGUUGUAGAAAGUUGGAAUGUUAAUGUCGUCCCUUGUAAUCCGAAUAUGUGAAACUGAAGUUGUUGAAGGGUGGGGGAGAGUUGGGUUGGGUGGUACGGGGCAGGAAGUAUAAGCAAGAGGUCUCGAGUUCAAGUCCUCCCGCUUACACUAAAAAAAAUUAAAAAAAAAAAGAAGCUGUUGAAGGGUGAAUGAGUUUUUCAGUUGUAUACAAGCUGUAUAAUGGGGUUUUCAAUAAAAAGUUUAUCAUUUUCUCAAAAAAAGAAAAAAAAAAGAAGAAGGGUGAAUUGAGGAAGCUGAAUGCUAAGCGAUAUAGUUCUAUUAGUGAUAGAAUAUAACAGGUGUGUAUGGCCAGUUAUGUGAAGUGCAAUCGUUCUCCUUCAUUCACCUUUUGAUAUUACUUUACGGGCCAAAUAUAAGAAUGAGAUCUCUUGGGCUGGCCACGUCUUCUUCUUCUUCGUUUUUUUUUUCCAUUCUUCUUAUAGAUCUUUAGGCGAAUAAGCAAUCUUUGGGGAAAUAAUGUAGUAUAUUUGGACAUUGGGAUAAUUUAACAAAUCUCCAUUGAGUUUUAUGACAAAUUCAUCAUAGUUCCCCCUCAAAUUAUUGCAUUACACUUGUGUCUAUUAGCUAUUGAUUUCCAAGGUAAAUGCUGAAUUUCCCCUCUAGGUUUACCAUUGACACUUUCUAUACAAAGCGAUACAAAUUAUAUAUAAGAGAUUUGUGAAAGUGUCAUACUUCCGAGCUAUAACUCAUAAACAAAGGCAUUCGUAAAACCCUUUUGAUUCAAAUAUAUAGAUUUUUUUUUAUCCAACACCAAAAUUAUAUUGCCCAAUAAAAAAAGAAAACCUUUUUUUUUGGUUAAACCAAACUAUUAUUAUUGCAGCCCCAAAAAAGUACAAAGUUCGGGACCAGCCCUUCCCUAAGAAUACAAGCUCACACACCCUGCCCCACCUCUAAUUAACCCCUACCGCCGGCAUCUACGAAAAUUUGGAUACCCACACACAUCUAAUAUAUAGAUAUACUCACCUAUACACUUAACAAUUUAAUGUAUGCUAAAGUGAGUAGAAUAGGGUUUUGAAAAAGUACUCAAAAGUAUGCUACUUCCAUCAUUACCUUCUAGCACGCAUUGUGCAAACUCUUUUCAAAUAGAAAAAAGGGAAUGAAGAGGAGAUACAAAAAAGGGUUGCAAAUUCUUUAAAAUAUGGCAAGGGUAAGCAUGCAAGUAACAUAUAACAUGAAACAAACAUGUUAAGGAAACCUUAAAACAAGAGAGGUAACAGUAAGUUUGAAAACUUUGGUGCAGCUAAAUGAAGUCAAAAACCUAAAACAAGGUUGAUGGAAUUAUCCCUAGUAAACUCUAUGUGUCCUUCACCAAGUGAAAAAAUACUGUUCAAAAUUCUUAUUUCUAUCGGAACCAUUUCGAGGAACUCCAAUUCGGAUGUCAAUACUAAAAGAAAUUUUCCCUAUGGUACCCCUGAUUUUGAAAUUCACUAAUUAUUUGUAUAAUUGUAUCAUAUAUAUGCUUUUAUGUAUUGUGUAAUGAUUCACAUCAAAUUCAUGAGAAAUUUCGCAUCCCUCUCACAAAAGUUAGCAAAUGCAUUGUAUAUAGGAAGCUGAAAACCAAACAAGACUUUAUUAUUAGGUUAUCGAUCAGUAUUAUUGGUCCUAUCCAAGUGUCAUCACGUUUUGUUUAUUCAAGUGUCAUAAUGUUAUUGAUAGUAUAAUUGGGUUGCAUGAUUAUGGUUGAAAGUGUGGAAUAUGCGAUUAAACUCCGUGUUAGGAGUACUGGUUUUGCUGUGGGUUUUUUCGUUUUCUUUGUCAGCUGCGUGGGGGCUUUAGAGCAUAAGCCUUUGUUUUGUUUCUAAACAUCACCGCCAAAAUUGCCAAUAGCAUAUCGAAACAUGGACACUAAAUGAAAAGAUGUGAGGAAACUUUAAUGAAGAUAUGCCAAAGACAAAAGCUCGAAAAAAUAUGAUCAAGGGAUCAAAAUAGGAACAGGCGAACACCAACAAGUUAAGUCGAACCAAGAUCAACAUAAUCAAUUAUUUGAUUUCAAGAGUCAUAACUUUGCUUGUAAAGAACAAUUAAAGGUAAACAAUUUGUUGCUUUCCCCCCCUCCCCAAUCAGGUGUGUACCUCAACAUUAUUUCACGUCAUGAACUUGUUUUUCCUGGGAUAAAUACCCUAGCAUCUGAGGUUAUCACCAGGCUCGACACCCAAUUGUCUACAAUAUUCAGUAUAAUACUCAACUCGAGCACUAACUGUGUUUGGAUUUGCACCAUCACAUUCAAGCCGACCAUUAAUGGCACGAAUUGUAGCCCCAAAACCCUGGCCAGAAGUGAUAAGAUCAUGACAAUGGUUCAUCCAAUACCACAAGCCAGUUUUGAAUGAAAUAACAUUAUUUGUAGCUACAGUUUCAGGUUGGCUGAGUCCAUUGAAUCCAAUGCUUUCACCUGCUGGUCCAUAGUUAAAGUUCCAUGAUAACUGUAUUGGACCCCUGCCGUAAUAUCCCUUGCCUGGCACACAUGGAUACUGAGUGUUGCUCUCAUCACAGUAAUCUCUGGAGGGGCCGUCUAUCUCUUCUAUGUAGCACAAAUCUGCGCAAUAUAAAGAAAUUUUGUCACUCAAUUGAAAUGAUUGAUAAAGGGUUAGAAUCAAAGAAAAUCAGCAGGUCUGGAAUUUUUUGUAAAUUUUUAGAUUUGAUUGUUUUACUGAUGAAUUCAAUUGGUGAGAAAAGAAUUUAUCCCAUUUUGUAAAAAUUGGAUUGGACAGACUUAAAGUAAACACUUCUUUUAUGAGGUAAAAUUUUAGAAUGAUUUAACAUUAUAGGGUUAUACGAUAGAUAAAUAAAAAUUGGCAAUAGCAAGAUUAAGAUGGGACUAAAAUAUAUUUGGUUAAUAAAUUUGAAUUAAUUUACGGCCAAAUUUAGGUGAAAUAGUUAAUUCUACUUGGUAAAUUGGAAGUUCGGAAAUGUGUAUCUGUCAGUUGUCAUACUCAUGAGUAAGCCAAUCUUCACUUAAAAAAAAAAGUAAUCCAAAAGAUAAAGCCGCAUGAUCAUCUACUUUUACAUGCAGCAAAAUACACAAUCACCAUAAGCUUAGAAUGUAAAGGCAGAAAAACUUGCUUCUGUAGAUAUAAAAGUGACCACUACAAGAAAAGUAAAAAGAAGAUGGAGAUAAUAAUCCUUCUAUCCCCUUAUAAGGAUUAAACCUUCGUCAUGAUAAAUUAUUUGACAGUAAAAACUCUUUCAUAUUCAAGUUUUAUUUUUUGAAGAAAAAAUUCUUGGAUAAUAGUGCACAGGAUAAUUUAGAUUCCAAGAUAUACUAUCUAGAAAUUUACAGGAGCUACUAAAAUAGUAGAAAAUAUCUUCAAAAUUUAAUUUCCAAGCUAGUGUUAUUCAAAACUUACGUCCAGUCUCAUGAGUGACAUGAGCAAAGAAAGCAGCAAUCUCCCUUUUAGAAUCAUCAACAGAGCCAACGGUUCCAAACUGGGGAUACGAAUUCAGAGCUUCAAGAAAAGCUGAUCGAGUAUAGAACCCUUUUCCAGCACAGCUUGAAGCAGCUUGAUCAGCAAUUCCAUUAAAGAAAGCGUCCGUCACAAUAUCAGCAACUGAAACGCCACUAUUACCACUGCUCGGAGCAGCGGUGCAAGGGCCGGAUUGACAGCCAGAGCCACAGUAGUCAUUGCCGGUACCGCAAUAGCCGAAUUUGCUGCAGCACAAGUCUGGUGCACAGCCGCAGUUUUGGCUUGAAAUCAGCUGUGGAAAGGCUCCUACAAGAACUACAAUGGAGAAAAUGAUGGUUGGAAAACUCUUCAUUUUUGGAUUUGAUAAAGUAGAGAAGCUUGUGGGCAGAAGUUGUAUCAGAAAGAAGGAUAUAUAUAGGGAAGAGAACUGAAAACCGAUCAGCUUGUGUGAAGCAUGCACCGCUGUUAUUGUUGAAAAUAUUGAAUUUGAGCAAUUAAAGAAAACGGAAGACGAAAGCGUGAAUGGUUGACUUCUAUCGAGUGUAUUGACUUUGACAUUGUCAAUGAAGCGGAAACUUUCUUUCUUGGCUUCUAGAAUGGAAAAGGUCAAACGGGAAGAUUUUGGCCAAUCAUAUAAACAAUUGUGAGAAUAAGUCACGUAGACUAACAAGUCCCCACUAUAAUGUGUGCAAAAAUAUAAUUUGAAGUUGCCUAAAUCAUUUAAUUUGAUGCUUAUUAUUGAGUUUACUUGCCCAACUAUGUUUUAAUAAUAUUUCAAAAUUGUGUUUGAAUUAGAACAAAAAAAUAUGAGACAUACUUAUUUAUUUAAUUGCAAUUCCAGAAAUAAAAUCGUAUACAACAUGUAUUAGAAUAAUUUUUAGGGUAAAUGAUAAAGAAAAGAAAUACUUCUACAAAUUGACGUAAGUGAUCAUCAGCUUUUCGAGAAGUUCAGAAAGAAUAAAGUGGCCGAUAUAUAUAUCAUGCAUGGCAAACUAUGUGGCUUUUGUUAGUACACGUUAUGACUAUAUGUAUGUUUCAUUUGACAUGUUUGUUGGACGUGUUGAAUUGUUAGCAAUGAAAUGCUCCAAAAUGUUUUCAUGCAAGAUUUCAGCACUGUGGUUUAUAAGCAGUAUGAGGUCAUAGUGAAUUAUCGACAUAUCGUCACAUGCAGAGUCGUGAAAAUAUACAAGUCUUUCCCUAUCAUUAAUUAGUUGGUUAAAUGACAAUUUCUAGAAUGGAGCUUCAUGGUUGGCCAUGUCAAGAAACAUCUCGCAGUAAAUUGGGCGAGUUAAUAUGGUCCUCUUGUUUUACACAGGAUGUACUUUUCUUUUUCUAAAUAUUUCCCCUUAAACUCUCAAAUUGAUCAUAGUGUUAACUAAUUUUGCUCUGGUUUUAUUCUUGGUUCGCAAAAUUCAGUAAAACCAAAACAAACCCUUGUUACUGAAGAUAUCAAAAUGGUACCCCAACUAAGUAAUUGAUUUCGAAAAACACUCUGAACCAAAUUUCAAGUUUUGGUUUCUUUGCUCUUUUUCUACUGAAAGGCAACAUCCCCGGGCCAAGAACUUGAAACAAAUAGUAUGAUGCUCAAGUUUUCUAUGCUCUUAUGAUCAAGUCAAACCAUGCUUAUAAUCAAUUACAUAAAAAAAAAAAAAUCACGGGCAAUUUUGUUACUAUUUGGGAGGAGGAGGAAUAUUAAGCAAAAAAAUAUUCUAUUAAGAAAACGAUGAAGCAUAUUAUUUUCCAGGAAUAAAAAAUAACGAGCAGAAAAAAACAAAUAGUAUGAUGCUCAAGUUUUCUAUGCUCUUAUGAUCAAGUCAAACCAUGCUUAUAAUCAAUUACAUAAAAAAAAAAAUCACGGGCAAUUUCGUCACUAUUUGGGAGGAGGAGGAAUAUUAAGCAAAAAAAUAUUCUAUUAAGAAAACGAUGAAGCAUAUUAUUUUCCAGGAAUAAAAAAUAAAGAGCAGAAAAAUACAUUAGUUUGGAUGACAUUAGAACAUUUAGCAACAGGAUUAGGGAUGCAAUGGGAAGAGUGCCAACUGGGAAUCAACAGGAUGGGAAAAAAUACAGGGCGGGGUGGGGGGGAUUGGAGAUAUAAUAAAUCUAAAAUUUUGUUUCUUUAGGAAACUUACAUAAGUGAACUUAAUAUUUCCUAAAAUAAUAUUUAAAAGUUAUAUUUAUUGUAAGGAAAAUAGAUUUGCUUUAUUUUGAGAUACUUUUUAACUUAAGGAAACUAGAGUUAAUUUAUUUUAGGACACUCUUGUUAAGGAGAAAUUAAAGGAAAUUAACAAUCUAACUAAUGAUAAAUAUGUUUUUUUUAGGGCAUUCGGUUGGUGCUUGAGAACACACCCGAGUACUGCAGCGUCUGCUGGAGAUUAGAGCAUUCGGUGGAGGAGUGCAGGAAGGAUACUCAUAACGGUGCAGGAGCCUUGGUUAAGGGCAACCAACCGCAAUUUGUAUCGCAGAGUGAUACUGUUGGGGCUGUCAUGGAGGCAAAAGGCAGUUCGGUUGGUGCGUCGAAGCCGCCCGGGGGGGGGAACACUCCCAGCAGCGCUGAUGGAGGCUCCGCUCUCCAUCCCUGGUCGAGAUGGCAAAAGCCCAGCGGCAGCAGCUGCGGUAACAGGGGUGGUGCCCAGGGAGGCAGAGCUGACCCACGAGCAUCAGCCUACUCGGGUUGCUGGUGUGAGUGUGGAGCUCCUUGAGGGAAGCGGGCAGGAUGAUGGCGCGCCAGAGGGGGAGCGUUCCACAGCAAGGGAAGGAGCCUCGCUUGCGCAGGUGAAUGCUAGAGCGGAGAUAAUGGUGGAGGGGCGACGUGCGGCUGAGCUUCCAGUGGCAGCAGGCUCGAAGGACAGUGGGCAAGCUGUUGGCGCACCAGAAUGGGAUCAGGCUGAGCAGGUGGAUGCUAGAGUAGAGAUCAUUUUGGAGGGGUGCAGUGCGGAUGUCCAGACUGCAACGGGCAAUCUGUCUCCGCGGCCCAGCGCCUAUUAUGGGGAGUUGGCAGCUUCUCCCUUGGAGGCGAUGAAUGUAGAUCAGUCACGGGCAUUGGAGCCGGCUAUAAAACUCGGAAAAUCAAAGGGAAUAAGAGCGAUUUUCCCUUCCGACAGGUAGCUGCGUUCCACUUCAACAUCCUCCAAAAACGGAUUCCAGGUUCUUUCCCAUGAUUAAUAGCAUAUUUUGGAACAUUAUGGGGGUUUCCAAACCUCCUAAUUUGAGACGGUUGAAAAACCUUAUUCGAUUACAUAAAGUUCAGCUGGUAGCUAUAUGUGAACCGAAACUUGAUGUCACAAAUAUUGAGAGCAUCCGCUUAAAUUUAUCGUUUGAUGCUGCUGUUGUUAACUUGUCAGCAGAUGUUUGGGUCUUGUAUAAUUUUCCGUUAGUAUGCUCUAUAGCUGGGAAUUCUCAGCAACAUAUCUCCUUGAAUGUCCAUCAUCCAUGGCUACCUCGCUCCUUGCGAUUUUCUUUUGUGCAUGCCAGGUGUACAUUGGAAGAACGACGGGGGUUGUGGCAAGCACUUUUGGUGGACAAACCACGCGACCAGCCAUGGUGCAUCUGUGGGGAUUUCAAUGUGAUCAUAUCCCCUAGCGAAAAAAAAGGAGAUCGGCCUUUUCGUGUCUCGGAGAGGUUAGAGCUUCUGACCUUCAUGGAGGAGGCGGAAGUUUUUUAUGUGGGUUUUUCCGGCUCGAGUUUCACUUGGUGCAACAAUAGCCAUGGCCGGGCUCGGAUAUGGAAGCGAUUGGAUAGGCUAUUGGUUAAUGGAGAAUGUUCUGAAUUACCGUCAGCCGUGUCGAUCACUCACUUGGCUAGACAUCCAUCCGACCAUGCACCGCUACGAGUUUCUUUCACAUCCUGUGUAGAGAUAAACCUCAUGCGUUCCGCUUCCUGAAUGUGUGGACAUCCAGAGCAUCUUUACUUGAUGUUAUUUGAACGACUUGGCAACAGGAGUGUCGGGGUUCUCCCUUAAGGAUCUUAUGCUCCAAGUUGCUAGCAGCAAGGAGAGCUAUCCAAGAGUGAAAUAAGUCCUCCUUUGGGAAUAUAUUUGCAGUGUCUCGCGAAGCAGAGGCUUCGGUGCUUAGGGCGGAAGCACGGGUGGAAACUGAGGCAUCGGAGAAUGCUCAGAUAGAGCUUCAUAGGUCUCAAGCACAGCUCAACCGUGCUUUGUCAGUGGAGGAGGAGUUUUGGAAGCAGAAGGCUCGUGUCAAGUGGCUCCGACAUGGCGACUGUAACUCAAAGUUCUUCCAUGCCACCCUGAGACAGAGGAGGAUGCAAGGGCAAAUCCACAGGAUUAAAGAUGAGACUGGCAUAUGGGUGAAGACGGAUGAAGAUAUAUCACGUGAAGCGAUACGGUAUUUUUCUGAUUUAUUCUCUGCUCCGGCGGAAUCCUCAUCAGACUUGCUGCAUGUUAUCCCUGCCAACGUCACGGCGGAGGAAAACAUGAGCUUAGAGGCCGAUCCGUCUUUCGAUGAAGUAAAAAGAACUAUCUUUGCAAUGGACGGUGAUAGUGCAGCAAGCCCCGAUGGUUUCAUGGGUAAGCUUUUUACUUUUGCUUGGGAGGUGAUUGGUCAAGAUGUCUAUAAUGCAGUUUUGAGCUUUUUCUGUAGGGCUGAGCUCCCUCAUUUUAUUACAUCUACUUCUAUUGUCCUUCUCCCGAAGGGACCGAACCCUCAGGAUUUUUUGAUGUUCAGACCGAUUAACCUCUGCAAUUUCUUUAAUAAAGUAUUGUCCAAGAUCUUGGCUGAUAGGUUGGCUAAUAUUCUGCCAAGAAUCGUCUCACCCCAACAUACAGGCUUUGUUAAGGGCAGGAAUAUAUCAGAGAAUUAUUUUCUCGCCCAGGAAAUAAUGUCAGGGAUGCGUAGAUCGUACAGGGGUGGGAAUGUAGCAUUGAAGUUAGACAUGUCCAAGGCAUAUGAUCAUGUAUCGUGGGUAUUUCUCAUGAACGUAAUGCGGCAGUUUGGGUUUGGAGAAAGGUUUCUUGACAUGGUGUGGAGGUUGAUUUCUAAUGCUUGGUUUUCGGUUAUAAUUAAUGAAGCGUCUUAUGGCUUUUUCAAGUCGGGUAGGGGAUUACGGCAGGGGGAUCCGAUAUCCCCCGCGUUAUUCGUAAUUGGGGCGGAGCUUCUCUCACAGGCUUUAAACAAUCUCGUGUUACAUUGUGGCUAUAGGGGUUUUAAGGUCCCACGGGGGUGUCCCCAAGUCACGUACUUGGCCUUCGCUGACGAUGUAUUGAUUUUCGCUAAUGGGUUUGCUCGAGCUUUGCAGGAUAUUGUGCGGGUAUUGGAGCUUUACCAACAAUCCUCGGGUCAGUUGGUGAAUAGGCAAAAAAAUGGGUAUAUCGUCCAUCUCUCCGCCUCGAUUGCUAGACGGAGGGUGAUUGAGCAUCUCACUGGCUUUUCUAGGCAACAGGCGCCUAUUCGAUACUUGGGCUUCCCAUUGUACUUGGGCCAAAGUAAGGCUUAUUAUUACGGUGAGGUGAGUCAAGCAAUAAUCGGAAGAAUCCUCUCAUGGAAGUCCAAGUUUUUGUCUCAGGGGGGUAAGAUCAUCCUCAUCAAACAUGUUCUCUCUUCUAUCCCACUGCACUUACUAUCUGCUGCAGUAAUGCCGACUUCGGUGUUCAGGGUAAUUAAAAAGGUUUGUUCUGACUUUCUAUGGAGUUCGACGGAGAGGGGGGCCAGGUAUUACUGGAUCCACUGGGAGUUGUGCUUUUCAAAGGAGGAGAAGGGAGUAGGCUUCAGGCUUCUAAAGGAUGUUUACACAGCUUUAUCUCAUAAACCCUAGUGGAAAUUCCGCACGGGGACGUCUUUAUGGGCAAGGUUCUUACGUGCUAAGUAUUAUGGGGCUUGCCACCCUUGUCAAGUGGAGCUUAAAGUGGGCGUAUCAGCAACUUGGAAACGGAUAAUCAAUGUCAGCAGGGAGGCGGAGUUGUCUAUGCGAUGGUUGGUGAAUGCUGGGACCUGUGACUUCUGGUAUGAUAACUGGCUAGGGAAUGGAGCUCUUUUCCUUAAAGCUCCUGUUCAGGGGGAUUUAUCGUUCAGAGACUUUAUUGUUGACGGGAAGUGGAACUCGGUGGGACUUGCAGAAUACCUCCCAAGGGACAUCACAACUAUGAUCCUGCAACACUCGACCCCAGAGGGUGAGAGGCCCGAUGAGGUGGUAUGGGUGUCAACAACUUCAGGAUCAUUUUCGUUAUCCUCUGCUUUUCGUGAGGUAAGGCAAGCUCGGAAUCCCUCUUGGAUAUUUUCCCACAUUUGGCUCCCCCAACUCCCUGUAAAAGUUUCUUUAUUUAUGCUCCGUCUUUUGAUGCGGAGGCUCCCCCUGGAUGAUAUCUUGGGUAAGUUUGGCUUUCAAUUACCUUCCAAAUGUUUUUGUUCUUCCAUGGCAGCGGCGGCGGGAGAAUCUAUUGAACACAUUUUCUCAACGGGACAACUAGCGGUAGAGAUUUGGGGUGUCUUUGGAUCCUCGUGCGGUAUAUGUCUGCCGGCCGUAUCAUUGCGAGAGCGACUGGUCGCUUGGUGGUUGUCCCCGCACUCAGAUGCUCAAAGACGUCAUGUUGUUUCCAUCCUGCCAAGUUUCAUCUGUUGGCAUAUCUGGAAGGCACGGAACAAAGCAAUCUUUGAAGGGGUUGAACUGACUAGGGGGGAGAUUUGCCAUGGCAUUCUCCGGGAUAUUUUCGCAACGGUUGAGAUUAAAUUUCGUCAUGGGAUUGUAGCGCAAACAUUUGAUCAGUUUUGUGAAAGACUCUCUUAGCCGCCGCUAGUACUUCGGGUCCAGUUGGUCAAGUGGUAGGCAUCUGGAAGGGGGGUUUUCUCCCUUAAUACGGAUGGGUGCUCAAAGGGGAAUCCAGGGAUGAGUGGUGGUGGAGGAAUAUUACGGGAUUCAAAUGGUCAGGUGCUAGUAGCAUUCUCAGCCUCCCUGGGGGUCAAUACAAGCUUGCACGCUGAAGCAUUGGCACUUUUAACGAGGCUUCGCGUAUGCUUCCAGCAAGGGUUUGUACAGGUGCGAGUGCAGACAGAUUCACUGGUUCUAGUAGAUAUAUUACAACGGAGGUUCCAGUGUCCAUGGCUCAUUCGAAGAGAGGUACACCAAAUAUGGCAGCUAGUCGCGAAUCCUACACACUUUUCGCAUUGUUUUAGGGAAGCCAACAAAGUGGCUGACAUCUUAGCUAAUGUAGGUAUCUUGCAUCCGCAGGAUCAUGUAAGGGUGUAUCACCAACUCUGCUCUCUUUCACAGCUAGCAAGGGGGGAAGUUAGGUUGAAUAUGCUAGACUUUCCUUCUAUUAGACUUAUCAAAGGAUCGUCGUGAUGACCGGUCCUGGUCUCGGCUUGUAAUCUUCUGAUUGGGCAAUAAAAGUUUUUUCAAUAAAAUAAAUAAAUAAAUAAAUGUUUUUUUUGGGAGGGGGAUUGAUAAAUUUUUAAUCUGAAACAAAACUCUAUAUUGUUGUUUUGGGUGAGGGGAGGGAGGAGGGGGGACUGCCCCCACAAUAGAUCUUUUGUUUCAUUCUCUGUGUUAUUUUCUGUUUCACUUUUUAUUAUAUCAUUAUUUUUUCUUCAUAGACAUCAUAUUUUAUUUUCUUUAUUUCUUUAAGAUCUAAUAACUAUUAACUAAGUAAAAAAUAAAUACAACAAUCUAAAAAUAUAUAUAUAAUAGAAAAUUAGAAAAUAUAGCAAAAAAUUUAUUAAAAAAUCUCAUUUUUCAUGCAUUUUAAUUUUUUGAAUUUGUUAAAUUUGGUGUAUUACUCAGUUAAUAGUUAUUGGAUCCUAAGGAAAUUAAAAAAAAAAACUAAAAUAUGAUGUUUAUGAAGGAAAAAUAAUAAUAUAUUAAAAAAUGAGACGGAGAGUGGCACAAGGUGUGAGACAGAAAAUCCAUUGCAGGCUGCCCUGCUGGCCCUUUCUUAUGUCCGUCACUAUAUGGCUAGAAACAAGUACCUAUUGCUGAAUUAGUCUCUCCCUUCUAACUUCUAAGAAUUCCAAGGUUUUGUAAUGAUUCCGCAGGAAAUAAGACAAAAAUAGUUAGCCAACUAUUACCUUGCUGGAAUUGUUAUAACGGCUACCACUUGCAGAAAGAAGGUUACUGAUUAGUUAGUGGGGAAGCUUUCUAUUAAUAGGCCAAUACUAAUGUAAAGGGGCAUGCAAAUUCUGAUCAUUGAGAAUACAACUUUCCCGCUUCUUUCCCAUUCAUUCUGCUCCCUCUCUUUUCUCUCAACCUUUUUCUCUCUAUUCCUUUCUAUAUUUUUGUUCCUUAGUUGAAUCAACCAAUUCCCAACCAUUACAGUUUUUUUUUCUUGUCAAUCGACAACUUCUACAUUUAUCCUACUCCUACUCCUACUUUUUCUCCUAUUCUAACCUAUCUAAAGAAUGGCCUAACAGGGCCAAAAAUCCUAUUCCUAGUUCUAUUUCCACUCCCAUUCUAACCUAUUUAAGGGAGGGUCUAGCUGGAUCAAGGGGACCUAGAGAGAGUAGUCCCCAUCUCUAGACCAACGUCUGGAUUUGGAGGAAACUACAUACUAGUCACAAUUGCUAGAAAGUAAGAAUUGAAUUCUUGAUCUCUUACUCCAAGGCCUUUGACAAGUGACUAAUUUACACUAUAUUUGAAUGAUAUCUUAUGUUAUUUUUAGUCACUUUGGCUAUAUUAUUGGAAGAAAAUGGAUCAUUCUGGCUAUAAUUAGUUUAAAAUGCUCUUAAGUGAUUAAAUGAGAUUUUUGUCACUUUUACUUGCAUUUUGUCCAUAAUUUGUAUAGGAGUUGGAAAUAUAUUUCCUUUGGAUGAAGAGGAAGUUGACAGCUUUGACACAACUUCGUAUUUCGGCUAUAACUUGAGUUACAAUGAUCGGAUUGAGAUGAUUCUAGAACCAUUUUUAAGAUAAGAGAUAGAUGUACAAAUCUUAUGAAGACAUUGAAAUACAGUUUGAAGGUUUUCCCUAUCAAAAAUCUGAAUUAUAGUGCCAAUUUCUAUUGGUCGAAGCUGAAACAAGGCAGUGAGCAGUCAAGGGUAUUUCUGUCAUUUCUCCAUCUACACAAAUCCAAAUGAGGUGAUUCUUGAUGCAUUGGAAACAUAACUAAAAGGGUUACAAGUUUCAUGUUUUGGUCAAGAGUUAAUUCAACUUCUAUCAUCAAGAAAAGUUCAGUUGAAGUUGAGGCAAAAUUGGAGCAACAUUGAAGACUGGACAGAAAUUGCUAAGAAUGGCAGGGGAGCAAUCCGGCUGAAAAUCCGUCCGGAUUCUGGCCGGAUUCUAGUCAGAAAUAGCUGCUCUCCACUUGCACAACUUAUUUCCUCCUCCAAUAUUCAUAGCUAUUGAUGGACGUGUAACAACAACUUUGCAGCUGUAAAAGUGAUAUUUGAAGCCUUAUUUCUUGACUAAAUUAUCUAUAAAUAGCCAUGGACUUAUAAGGAUAAGGAGAGCUUGGGGGAGUGCAAGAAACACCACAAAAAUGUAGUUCCUUGGUUCUUUAGUGUAGAGUAGUGUAGGAUAGUUUAGUUUUAGAUAGUUUAUCCUUUCUUGUAUGUUAGCUAAAUGAAGAUGAAGAUGGAGAUGAAGAAGGCAAGGAAAGAGCUCAUGUGACAAGGAUUACUUUACCUUUCCAACUCUUUAUCUUUUGUACUUGAUUCUAAGUUUAGUUAAUAUAUAAGUUUUGGAUUCUAUGUUUAUUAUGUGUUUCUAAAGUUUAUGCCUUGGGCUUGGUUGAACUUUCUAUGAUUGUUAGUGUUUAUUAUUUGGUUAUUUGAUGCUAUUAUUUUGAGCAAGUUAUUGAGUACUUUACCUCUUUUAAAUCAUGAUUAACUUGGUACCAUUAAUUGUAAUUAUCUAAAGGUGUUGUUUCUUCAAUGAAAAUUGAGAUUUAACAGUAAUUCAAGAAGUGCUAAACCUAGAGAAUACACUCACGAGAGUAGAGGUUCACCUAUGUGGCUUUAGUGAUUCAUUUCAUGUAAUUUCAUAGAAGAAAUGAACUUGUAGCUAAUUUCUUAACCACGAGAGUAGGUAUGGAUUAGUUAUAAGUAUAGUUGAUUCACUACGAAAGUUGGUUUCACAUACAUAAGGAAAUUUCGCCAUAACUAGCCAAAAUAGUAGUACUCAAUGAUCCAAAAAUAACACUUGCAUGAGUAGUUAGGAAUACCAUAGACUAAGGAGCUUUCAUUUGUUAUUAUCUUGCAUAAGGUUAGCAUAGUUUUAUCUCUUUUAAUUCAUUGAUCGUCUAAAUAAUGGAGAAGCUUUAGUAGUGUCGGUAAUUGUCCAAUAUCAUUUGCAAGGGUAGUGAGGAAUUCCAUAUCUCUAGAAGCUUUCUAGUACUGAUUUUCAUUACUUUUAUAUUUAUGGUAAUCUAGAUAAUAAAGGAGUUCGAAAAACACCGGUAAUUGCAAUCUUCCUUGUGGGAUCGACCCUUAAUACCCUAUACUCGCUCACGAUUCGUAUACUUACGAUAAAUCGCGUGUGGGAUAUUUAAGAAUUAUAAAUGUAAAACUUGAUUGUGGAUAAACUUAUUGUAUAUGUAUACCCUGCGCACGUCAGCCUUUAUGGUGGCCAACAGCCCAAUAGGACAUUGGUUACAUGACAUCAUACUUCUAGUACAUGAGAAUACAUUAAAAAUCAAUCGCUUUCACAGUUCCACUUCAGACAAUUAAGAAUUACUAUCCAUUGGAUAAAACUAGUUUUAACCUUCAAAUAUCUUAUUGCAAGUAAGCCUUCUAAAAUAUGCUCACGAUUACUAUAUUUUUAGCAUUUUCACUAUGUAUAAGUCUAGAAUUGUAUGAUGAAAAGAAUUUCCAUCAAUCAAUAACUACUUAAGACUUUAUUGAGCCCAAUGACUAGCUUCUGAUAUAUUUUUGAAAGUGUACACUUUAGGUCGUUAAACCAUCAUUUUCAAGUAAAAUUACAGACCUAUUAAGCAACAGUUAAGAAAUUAUAGAUUGCACAAUACUAAAUUCACAGAAAAAUGAAAGAUUACUAAAUGAGGAUAAAUAUAUAGUUGGGAGGUGGAGCUAGAAACAAAAUUCAGUACGGAUAAACAUACUGUUAAAUUAUACUACUUUCAGUGUAUAAAAAAAGUUACAAUAACUUUUCAAAUGAAUUUCUUGUGUGUUGGGAGCACAUCAAUGAUGGAUCUAAGGGGGGGCUGGGGCCCCCCUCGACCCAUGUUUUGAAAAGUUUAAUUCAUAGUGUGUAAAUAUAUAUAUAAAAUAAUGUUGGCCCCCCUUAAUUUUUUCCAAUUUUAAUUUAUAUUAUGAGAGUUUAUAUUUAUAUAUAUAUAGUCACCUUUGAAUUAAUUUUUUUAUUCAAAAAAGUUAUUUAUUUUUUACUAAUUACUUAACUUUCAAAAAAUUAAACAUACUAUUUGAUGAUCCAUAGUAAAUUGAUCCAAUUUGACAUAUUAUAAUAAAAAGACCCAAUUCACAAUAUCAAUGGGUUAAAACAAAAAUAAUAAUUUUAUUGGCCCAUAUGCAAAUAUACAACUUAACCCAAUUGAAUGAUUGUCUAAGUAUAUACAUAGAUAGGGGUGGCAAUGGGGCGGGGAUGGGGCAGGGGACACCUCCCCCAACCCCCGCCCCCGGCUUCCCCCGCCCCGCCCCGCUUCCCCCCACGGGGGCACUCGUAGGGUUAAAAAAAUUUUAUUAUGUAAUUUCAUUAUAAUUAAAUUUGAGCAAAUAAUCAAAUAUUAAAAUAUCAACACAUCACCAAAUUAUUAUUCAUUGUAACUUCACAAUUGAAACUCAUAAAAAUAAUUAAACAAAAGUUAUUUGAAUACAAUCUAAUAUGAUAAAACAAAUAUAACUAAAAUAAUCAAGUUUUCACUUUUGAUACAAAUACAAUCACUAAAUUAUUAUUGUGUUUUUUUUAGAAAAAAGUGUUAUUGUAUUAAGUGUAGUUAGAAAUUUAACAUAAAUGUAUUAAUAAAUUUAGUAUAAAUAAUUAAUAAUUUUUAUUAAUAGACAUGUAUAAUUAGUAGUAUAAUUGAUAAUAUCAUUAUAUAUAUAAUUAUGUACAUAUAUAUAUAUAUAUAUUUUUCAAACAGGUGGCGGGGCAGGGGUGGGGCGUACUCCCCUGCCCCCCGCCCCGUUUCUAAACGGGGGGAAAAAUUCCCCCCCCCGGCCUUCGCCCCAACCCCCACCCCACUAAUCCCCCGCGGGGCGGCUGUCCGCCCCCGUUGCUAUCCGUAUACAUAGAAAAGAAAAUUGCUGAAAAAUUUAUCAUUGAUUCAAUCAUAGAUGAAUUUAGUUCUAUGAAAGAAUGUAAAGCUCAAUUUACUUUAAAAUAAAAGGUUCAAAUUUUAAGUUAUAUUAACAUAACUUUUAUCUUGUUUUAAUUGAAAAUAGAUAUAUUUAUAUUGCAUAGUUAUAUGCUUUCUUUUCUUUUUGCAUAGGUGACAUAUUGGAGUUUAUGUUCAUAAUGUGCAUCUUGGAUGGUUUGCAAUGCUAUAAGACAUUUAAUCUAAUGUUAUUUCUUGUCUUAAUUUUCGUUAUGACUAUAUUGCAUAUUUAUGAAAUAGACAUACACUUAUAAUUAAAGUUAAUAUUGGAUAUUUUUAGAUAAUAUAUAUUUAAAUAGUUGAAAUUUAUUUUGAACAUAACAUAUUAAGAUAAUUUUGUUAGAAAAUCCCCCCCCCCUCACGAAGAAAAAAAUCCUAGCUCCAUCACUGGAGCAGAGAAAAAGAAGGAAAAGAGGAAUAAACAUAAAGUUGAGUUUUUGUUAGUUAUUUUUUAUUUAUUUGUAAGAGGUGAAAUGAGUUGUUUUUUAUUUUUAAUCUAUUGAAAUGGUGAGGACAAAGUGAUAAACAAAGGAUAAUAUUAGAUACAUAUUUUAUUAGAACAUAGUGGGGAAAAUAUUAUCUAACAACGACAUGAAUUGUAUAUAAGUUAUAUGCUUUUGGUGGGUCAGUGGAGGUUAUUGUCUCCAUUGUAUCGUUUCCUAGAAUCAGUAUAUUCUAGUAAAUGAUUCUAGUUAUAUGUAAGUGAUUUAUAUUACUAAUUUUUUGUUACAAUUUUUAGAGAAUAGUUGGUUGAUUCUUAAAAAUAGAGCGAAGUCAACAACUAAUGCGCUUCAUAGUUAAUAGAAGUUUCCAAGAGGGCACCAAGUAAUAUUUUCAUAAUUGAUUAGCUUGGUUUUCAAGUGCAUAUAAAAAGAUAUCCAUGAAGACCUCCCCACCCAAGGGAAGACUGUAAGUUACGAAAACGUUUACUUUACUCUCAACAAAAUGUUGAGCAUACUUUAUUUUACUUUCGACAUCAUGCAAUGAUUAAAGGAUUUUGUAUAGGGACCUAGUUAAUUCAAUAAGCUUUAUGAUGGUUUAAUUGACUAACGGAGGAAUUUGCUCAGCCUAGUAACUCUGGUACUCAAGUAAUCAUGACCUUUAUCUAAAGAUCUACACAUUCCAUAUUGAAGUAAAUGAUAAUGGAUUUAUUACUUUUGUUGACCAAGUCAAGCAAAAAGCUGUUAUCAAAUCAUGGUUUUAGCGACUUAUAAGUUUCUUGAUAUCCCAACUAACCUCAUAGGAGGGCUACUUUAUUUCUUUUUGGUUACUUUCUAAUGCCUAGUUGCCUGUCGGAUAAAAUAUUGCCUUCACGGAUUGAUUCCAAAACUUGCUCAAAAACAUCUAUUUAUUUUUAAAAUAUUGCUUAUACUAUAUUUUGAACCAUUCAAUUGCAAAACACAAACAAUUUUUCUUAUGGUGCCUUCUUGUCGUUGAAACUAGGAAGCUAACCAAACAUUUGAAGCAAAGUGAUAAACAAUUAAUAGCAAACUAUAUUGGAUCUUCGAAAGGAAAAUUGAGGCCUCAUCUAUGAAUUUAACAUUUUCCGUUGUGAUGACAUCCGAAAUUGAUUGUGAGAAGAUUUUACAAACGCUAAAAGAGUAUCUCCAUUUAAUUGUGGAAAGGAAUUUGAUUUUGUCAAAUGCACAGAUAAUGGAAAUGACAAAAUAGCAGCACUAUCCUUGUCAUUAGGAAGCACUCAAAAGUUACGUAUUAAAUGGGAGUCUAACGUACAAGCAAUGAAACACUAUUGUAUUUGCGAUAGUAUUGAUAAAAAUUAAGAUUCUAUAGUCUUUGGAUCAUAAUGAAUUCAACGUUGGAUGACACAAUAAGUAUUCUGAAUUCUUAAAUUAUAAUAAUGUUAAAUAUUUAAAAUAGAAGCUGAUAUCGUUAUUAAGAAAUACACAUUGAAGGAAUAGUUCUCUAAGCGAUAAAAAUUUUCCAAAAGUAAAAGAAUGAAUGAUCAAAGUUUUCCAUCUUUGCCCGAUGACUCGUCUCUUUCCAUUUUACUUUCCCAAAGGAUAGCAUUUAAUAGCCUCGUGCCUGCUCUCAUUUUAAUCCUAAAAUAAGUGAUCAUGGGCUUCUUUGAGAAUGGGCUUGGUCUAAAUAUUGAACGCUCAAAACAGACUUCUUUUGUUGGAGGCGGCUUUCACUAGAGAGCGUGGGACUGAUUCAGAGUUCUUUUUUUUUUUGUAGGAAAAGGGAGACUGAUUCAGACUUCUUGCUAUCAUAGUUAUUAAACCUACCUUGGAGAGGAAUCCGGUGAAGGAGGUGGGUCAACGGAUUAUUGGUUCAAUCAGUGGAUGAGUAGUUGAAUUGGUGGGUUACUAAAUAUAUUUAAAUAUUAUGUCUCAUAAUUUUUUCAUAUAGGGUAUCUGGUUUAAACUACAAUGAACUAUACCAAGCAAAUGGUUAUUUAGGGUGUGUUUAAUAAAAUUAAAAUUUGAAAUUAAAAUCUGAAAUGUGAAUCUAUUAAGUUAUUAAAUUGUUAAGUGCUAAAUCUGAUACAUUUGUGUGUGUGUAUAUAUAUAUAUAUAUAUCAUAUUAAGUAAUAAGUGAAUAGUUUAUCACUUAUUUUUAGGAAUAAAUUUUGCCUAGAAAAUUCAUUACUAUUUAAUUAAUUCAGAUGUUCAAUUUUUUAAUAUGUUAAGAUCUGAAUCCAUUAAAUUAAAGUGUUGAAUUGGAUUAUCAAACAGGGUUUUAGUCUAAUUCAUUAUAGUCUAAUUCAUUAUAGAAUGAUUAAUUAUUAUAAAAAUCUAUAAAAUCAAAAUUAAAUUAGUAAUCCACCAAAUUUCAAGUGCAAAUAUUUACCUAUAUUUAGUGUAAUUAUUUAGUUUAUUUAUGAAUUUUAAGUGCAAGAGGUUAUUAGGAACAAUAUUUGCCUUUAAAUGAAUUGUAUACUAUGUUAUUUUUGAAAUCCAUUUCAGAACUUAUAGAGUUUGAGAAAUAAUAAAUUUUAUUAAAAUAUCCCAAAUAAUUUUUAUUUUAGAGAAAUUAUAAAAAUAAAGAAACAAUUGACUAACAUAUAAUAUAAGACAGGUGAAUAACUAGCAUGUCAGCUGUUCACCUAGCGGUAAGUACUCGUUGUUUAUAUGCAUGAGGUUUUGAGUUUGAACCAUUAAAAAAACACAAUCUUGUCUAAUUUUUCCAAUAGCAACUAAUGUUCUACCUGAUUCAACCGGUCGGAUUUUCGAUUUAAUCCGGUUGAACCAUUGAUUUGUUGACAAGUCAAUGAGACUUGUUCACAUUCAAUCCAAUUAGAGACCCGAUGUUGUUUACUGAUCAGGCUUAAUAACUAUGCUUGCUGUGUUUCCUAGGUUUGCAAGAUUGAAUUCAAGGUUAAUUGUAUUCAUCUCCUUUUUGGUUAAACCAAAUUACAAAAAUCUUUUAUAUUGUUUGACCAAAUUAAGAGUACAGGCAAAGCCCUUGACCAAAUUACAAAAAUCUACCAUAUUGUCUGACCAAAUUAAGAGUACAGGCAAAGCCCUUGAUGGCAAAACAUUUAUCAAAUGCGCCCUUAUAUCAAUAGCUGUUAAAAUUGAUGCUUACAUUAACAAAAACCACAUAUUUGAAAGCCCCAAAAUAACCUUUUACACCUUGAGUUAAUUACACUUAUCUUUAUAUUUGGCAAUUGGGUGGGUUGAACGGAUUUUGGGCGGGUUAAUAUUGGAUUUUCACUUAAAUGGAUUAUACCCAACCCGUCCAACUUUAGAUUUGGUUGAUUUUGGGUUGGGUCAUAUUGGGUUAUUUCAAACCCAUGACCCAAAAAUAACCUAUUAUAUUAAUUAAUACAUAACCUUUUUUCACAUUCAUUUUAACAUACAAAAAAGAUUUUUUUCACACAUAUAAACACAUUUUCACAUACAUAAAUGUAUUUUCAUACACACUCACUUCUUAAGUUCCUUGAAAACACAUCAUAAAUAGAAUAAUAUUUUAUAUUACUUGUAUUGUAAAUUUUAGAUAAUAAAUGAUGGGGGUUGGGUUCUGCAGCAGGUUGCGUGAUGAAGUCGUAGAUGAUGUUGGGAGUACUGGGAAAGGAUGGAUGAUGAUGAUGGAGGUGAUGAGGAGGUGGCUCCGCCAUUAUACACACAGAGUAUACAUGAAUGAGGAUGGCGCCGAUGAUGACUGCACUCACUUCUUAUUAUAUGUAUCCACAUUAAUAAUUCCUAUGUACACAUGAAACUCUGUGUGUGUGUGUAGAUACAAUAUAUAUAUAUAUAUAUGUAUGUGGCGGGACUUAAAUUAUAUAUAUAUGGGACAUAGAGCCACUGCUACUGGUCUAUAGUAUAGUUCAACAACAACAGCAGCAACGGCAUUCGACUACUCUGUUAGUGCAGUGUAUCAGCAGCUUGAGGUUAAAAAAGGUUAAAAAAGAAAUUUGUACAAUAUUAUAUGUACACGAAAUAUUGACAAACAAAAGCAAUCAUGAAAUAUUAAAAAAGAAUGCAAUUAGAAUAAAUUUAAAACUCUAUUUUACGUACACGAAAUAUUAACAAACAAAAGCAAGUAGCAACUUGAGAACAACCACAAAAAAAAAAAGAAAAAAAGAAGGAGGAAAAUAACAUACUCUUAAAAGGCAUAAUAAAUUAUUAUAAAAGUUGAGUAAGUUUAACUACUGUUAUAAAAGUAAAAUAGCUAUGAGUUUUUAUUUCAAGUUUCUUUUUUCUUUUAAAUAAAAAUUAAAAAAAUUGAUUGAAAAAAAAAAAUAUAUAUAUAUAUAUAUAUAUAUAUAUAUAUAUAUAUAUAUAUAUGAGAAUUUUGAAUACAAAUUAAUCAAUGAAUUAUUAACACAUGUCCAAAUGCAAAUAGUUAGAUAUAUGUGUAUUGAAUCUUGUAUUUAUUAUUUUCAAUUACUUUUAAACAAGUUAGAUAUUGAGUACCCAAAUAAAAAAUUCAACCCGUCCAAUGAAUAAAUUGGAUUGUUCUUACCCAACCCAAUAAAACCCAUAACCCAAUUAACCCAACCCAUCAUUUAAAAUUAAUGGACGGAUUUUGGGCUUUUUUGCUAGCUCCACUUAUCUUCCUUGGAUUUUGUCCAAACUACUUUCAUCUCUCGUGAGGGUUGUACAAAUGACAAGUAAAGCCUAUUAUUGUCCAAAUCAAUUCAAAGCUAUAAAUAACCCAAUACUUUUCAAAUACACCAUAGUCAACUUAAUUAGUUGCAACAAACUUCUAAAACAAUUCUCAAAUACCGAUUAGUUACUACCUUUUUCUUUUACCAUUUUUUCUCCUCGUAGGUUAUAGUGUUACUCCACCUAAAAACUUGAAUUCGAUUUUCGCACAUCGUUGGGCCUUGCAUGAUGUCAAAUAUCAACAGUAUUUUCGGCAAUUGAUUCUUUAGUCGCAACUGCUAUGUACAAAAUUGAAACUUUUCUCCUUGUUAGCAUGCAAAUUAUCAAAAUCCAUUUUUCAAAUAAAAGACAGUAUAAACUUAAAUCCACCUUAGCACUAAAAUUUAAGGUUUCUAUAUAAACGAUAUUUUGGAAUUCAUUAGUAAAAGUCCAAGAAAAAAUUAUCUAGAAAUUUUAGAAUAAAAGCUUAACAUCUUAAUAUGGAUAAAAAGAAGACAAUCUAAAAAGAAAGUUCCGUCUAAGCUAAGUCAAUCCUUGCUGAUGGUUCAUGAUUUUGGAGGAAAUUGCUCCAAAUGCGAGACCUGGCAAGAUGAUAUAUUCAGGCUGUAGUAGGCAGUGGGCGCGCUAUACAUAUGUGGCAGGAUUCAUGGCAUCCACAUGGACCUCUGUUACAAUACUAUGGGUAUGAUAUUGUUAAGGGUAAAAAACAAAAAAAAAAAAUUCUCCUGUAGCAAACCUAAUACAUAGAAAAGCUCUCCGUAAUUUUAAAACGUACAACAUGACACCUCAUGUUUUGAACUAAAUUGUAAAGGUGAAUGCCUUAUUGGAACCUAAAAAAAAUUUUAUACCUAAUUUUUAACAAAUAUACAUGUUCUCCCUCUUAACCCUCAAUUCUCUUUAUAUAGAAAAUAAAACGAAUGAUUUUUUUGAACUGUUUUUUACUUAAUUAUAUGAAGGCAUUUUGGUCACUUCAUCCAUUUCUGUUAAGUUUAACGGAUUCCGUCACUUUUACAAUUUAGUUCAAAGUAUGGAGUGUUGUGUUGUACAUUUUGAAAUUACGGGGAUUUUUCUAUAAAUUAGAUUUACCACGGGGGCUCUUUUGUUUUUUACCCUAUUGUUAAACAAUUUAAUAGGUUUGAGAAUGCAAGACUGGCUUCAAUUGUGAACACAAGUGCUUGGUGUUGGCCACAUGGUAGAAGAAGAACCUCUCAAGCGGAGGAUUUGAUCCAUAAACUUCCCUCUGCUUGUGUACCUCUCUACCCAGGGAAGAUGAUACCUUCUCAUGGUUAUGAGAUAAAACUGGAAUGUUACUACAAAGUCUGUUAUUGCUUCUUUGAGAGAACAUUGUAUGAAUGUCGAGUGGUAUAAACUGGGGUGGUUUAAGCAACAUAUCCUAGACAUACAUUUAUCGCUUGGCAACAUAUUCCUAGACAUGCAUUUACAAACAAGCAACAUAUUGUUUGUAAAAAUAGUUUGGCUACAAAAGAUAGGUUACUUAAAUGGGGUAUGCCAGCUUAUGUUUGGAGUAGGAUACAACAGUGCUAUUUGCUUUAUGGAGGCGUAUAUGGUUGGUCUGUAGGAUUGGCAUUGUGGGUUGGUUUCCUGUAGAAUGAUGAAUUUGUUACCUCAGUCAAAAGAUUGGCUCUUGGGGGUUUUUAUUUAUUUCCUUUGGCAUGAGCGCAAUCAAAGGCAGUUCAAUAGUAAGGUGUCGAAUGCUGAUUAUGUGAUACAGCAUAUAAUUACUACUGUUAGGCAAACUAUAAUAGGCUGGCGAAGGGUGCAAAGGACACAUAGCAGCUGGGAGUUUGGCAUUGGCUGGAAUUUUGAAUAGCAGUUUUUUUUCUUAGAUUAAUAUUUCAUGGUUAUAAUAUUUGUUUUCAUUAUAGUAUGGUGUCUUGUUCCGUUAAGCUUGUAUAGGGCAGCUUUUCUUGUUGUUGGAACCAUUCCUUGCUUAUCUAAUGAAAAGAGUUAUUUUGCCUAAAAAUAUAUAUAAUAUUCUUCUUUAUUUUUCUUACUUGCCCAACCCUUCUCACACCCUUCCCAUCCCCAAGUGCUAGGUUAUACUAUUCACUUAGGCCCUGUUUAAUAACUAAUUCAGUACUUAAUAUUAAUUGAUUCAGAUCUUAAUAUGUUCAAAUGCAUUUGAUAACAAAAUAUUGAACAUUUGAAUUAAUUAAGUGGCAUUGAAUUUUCUAAGCAAAACUUGCUUUUAAGAAUAAGUGAUAAGGUAUUCACUUAUCAUUGAACGUGAUAUACACUACAAUGUAUUUAAUUUCAUACUUAACAAUUCAAUAAUUUAAUGGAUUCAGACUUUAGAUUUCAGAUUUCAGUUUUCAAAUUUUAGUUUUAUCAAACACACCCUUAAUCUAAAUAAAUUUAUUUUUUUGAAACCAAAUUAUAUAUCUAAAAUGUAGCGGACACUUGUCAUAUGGAGAAAUUGGGUUAGGUGAGCUUCGUAGCGGCCACAAUGAGCUGUAGCAAAGAAAAAGGGGAAGAGGUUUUUUUUAAAAAAAAAAUUUUAUCUUUUAUUUGUCAUUUCUUAGUAUUGAGCAAUUAAUUAUUUUCUUUUAAUUUGGGAUUCAAUUUUUCUUGGAUGAUAUCAUGAGUUUUCUUAUGAAUUGUUUGCUAUUCAAAUGAUUAAAUUUAUAUGGCCAAACUAUAUGGUAACUCUUGUAAUAUAGACAAACGUCAAGACAAGAAAAUGUUGGUUUUUCAAAAGGCAUUUUUUGUCAUUUCGCUCAUUUUGUUGGCUGAGUUUAGACGCUGUCACUCAUGGGUAAAUGUAGAUGCAUCACGUGCAAUUUUAAGUUGACCAUAACAAAUAAAGAAAUCCAAAAACAUGAAGUUUCAAAUAUUAAUGAAGCUUUUUGAAAAUAUAAAUAUGAACCGUCACAAAAUAAUUAUUAAUACCCAUAAUACUUCAAAUACUAAUAAUUUUGGCACUCAACAAUAAGGUUUCAGCCAAUCCUCCACUAUUUUUUACUCCAUGAAAAUGACUUUAAUGAUAGACAUUUGUGUUUUUUUUAACCUCCCACCCCUCUCCACGCUCUUCCCACCCCCAACUAUCAGGGCCAAAAUUCGAACUCUCAACUUGACACAUAUGUUUAUGUAUUUGUUAAGUAUAUGGUUUACUGCCUUGGCAAAGAAAUAUAUGAACUAAUGCACAUGUCAUGAUUUUCUAAGUUAAAUUAUCUUGGCGUUUUAAAUUCUUUAAGCAAUGUGAUAAAAUACAAUUUUAUUGGUUUAAAAUAUAUAUAUUUCUUACAUAUCUGUUAUCACUUGUUGUUCAAGAUUAUUUUUAAUGGAAAUAGUUUAUUCAAGUUUUUUUCUUCCUCGUCUCUUUGGCCAGGUUUGGCAUAUAAAUUAUGAGAAAACAUAGAUUAUGUAUCUUAGUUAUUUUGGUGAAGGCAAAGUACGAAUUGAGUGUCUCAAAGUCAAUUUGGAGUUCCAAAUUCAUUGGUUCAUUGGUUCCAAGUUCCAUUAUUUUUUGGACUCUUCUAGGAUCACAUACUUUAUGCAUGAUUUUGGAACUUGCAAGUAUAAACAAAAAGUGUUACUCUCAAAUGCAAAAGAUUUUCAUAUAUAUAAUAGCCCAAGUGUCUAAAAAAUAACUUGUGGAUAUGUCUAAAUUGUAAGAAAAGGAACGAAAAAAGCAUUUAGUUUGGGAGGUUGGAAGUACUUCCAAAUCACAUGUUUGAGAAUAUGUUAUUGCCCCUCUUUUCCUACAUGAAAUUCAUAUUGGAAUUGAUAUAUCAUUUUUCCGGUGCGAUGUUUAAAUUAUUGUUCAUGCAUGCUGAUGCGUGGAACCAAAGAAGAAAUUAACAAAAAUAGCAAAAGAAACAAACUCAAACUUAAUCCAUAGUACAAUACGUUCAUAGAUAGGAUGUCAUAGAUUACACAUCUUGGUUUACAGAUCCACUCAAACUCAAGCAUAAUUACAAUACAUCAGACUUUUAUUCCCACCAUCUUGGUUGAUAAAAGCACACACAAACCAAAUAGAAACACAUGAACACUUAAUUAAGCAGAGAAUAACAGCUUCUGCAAUCUGCGUAUCGCAGCUUGAUAGUCUGAUUAGUUCUUUCCUUGAGAAAUGAAAAUGAGAUCACUUUGAGACAUCCAAUGGCAUGCUUCACUUUGGCCAGGAGAAGUUUUCAAUAUCUUCAAGGCCACAUGAUCAGGGGACCAGCCUGAAGUAUCCAUAUGACAUACCACCGUGACUGUAUUAACUGGAACUUUGGUCCUAGGUUCAACAACAUCUACUGCAUAGACUUCAAUAUUGGACAGCAAAUGGCAGAAAUAUGUUGCAAAAGGAAGAAAUAAUUGAUGACAUGCCACAGUUUUUCCAUAUUUAAGCUUUUCCACGCGUCCAACCAUCAAUUCUUUUCUAGAACCCUCUGUGUUUUUCGAUGCCAAUGCCACCAAAUUCUUGUCACCUAUGGCAGUUUUUGAAAAUUCAAUCAUUUCCUCAAGGGAUUUUGCACAGCUCUGAGGCUCUUCCUUAAGAGCAGGAGUAUUGCAAUAAAUAAGGGUGUAUUGAAUGGCAUCUUUUGUUUGCGGGCUUUCAAAGGAUUGAGGAAAUAAUUUUCGUAGGUCAUUUUCCGUAACAGAGAUCUUUGAUGCCGUUUGAGAAGGAAGAAAUGACUGUUGGGGCAAUUGGUUUUCCAAGCUUGAGAGAUGCACCAUGUUUCCUUGUUUGAGAAGUGAGAGUCUGAAGAAAGAAAAAGGAUCAACAUGUAGGACAACAUUUGGGCUAAUUCUGCCAUAGCCGUAAUUAUUCUUGUCCAAGAAACUAUCAACACGUGCUUUGGAUAAACAAGCUAGGUUUGCAAGAGAGCAAAGAUUUGCAUCAAAUGGAAGAUUUUUCUCGGACGCUAAUGAAGUGAAAUGUUCAGCUUGUUCCUUGCUCAGUGGAGAUAGUUUGGACAGAAGAUUUCCAGGCAUGGUGCCUUGGACAUUUUCUGACCAAUAUUUGAGCUGAUUCAAUGCAGUGAAUGAAGAAGAUGAAAUGUGUGCAGCAAAAUGGGACGUAGGAAACGUGAGGGCAAUGACAAAGAGAACGAUAGCAAACGUUGAAGAGGCCAUUGGUUUCAUCAACACUAAUAUUGAGCUAAUUUUCUUCAGUGGAUGAAGUGCUGAUGACUUUGCUAGUGCAGCUUCUAAUUUAUACUAGUGCUCGAGCCUGGACACAGGGCCUCACCUGCCCAUUUCAGGAUAAAAUGGUUACUCUAAAUUUUUUUUACAUCUUGUUUUAGUUGGUAUAUAUCUUUACUUCAAUUUAUUUACAUCCCACUCCAACUUAUUUGUACCUUAGUCUAAACUGGUUGGAAAUGGAACUUGUGAGGCCUCAUCCCCACUCUAGCCUUGUGUUUGCUCCCGCUAUAAUCUCUAAAGGGAAACCGUUCAAAAUGUUCCUUACAUUUUGUCAUAUAAAUUUUUUCCUUCUUGUUGUCCCUAAAAAUUAUCAAUCCUCAAUCAUUAUUUUCCCUAAAUAAGUAGAAUCUAAUCCAUACCAUGUUCAUUUUUCUCCAUAAAAAAGUGGAAUAUGAUCUAAUCCAUAUUUAUUUUUGCCACAAAAAAUGGGAUCUACCCUUUUUGGACAUAAAAAAUAACUAUAUAUAGGUCACAUGGUGAUUUCAAACUAGUCAGAUAUUUAGGUUGGAACUAAAUUUUGCUAAUUUGAAUUUUUAAAUGACUUGAAGUUUAUAUUUUAAAAGUGACGAACGAAAAAAUUCAUUUGAUAAAAUGUGUGGCAUGUUUUGAAUGAUUUUCUCAUCUUCACAUGUAUAUAUUGUACAAUUAAUCCAAAACAAAACUCCAAAUGUACCUGUGUUUACUAAUCCAGAAAAAAAGAAACAAAAUUGAAAAAUAAAUUUAUUUGAAUAGACAAUUUGCAACUUGUUCCACGUUCGCAUUUUUUUUUUUUUUUUUUUCUGACGGAGUGGGUGUCCGGGUCAAGUCCGUAAAGGCGGCCCGACUAAUCCCACUCCGGCCCGGCCCAACGCUCCAACCAGACCUAGCACGGUAUUUGCACGGAGAGCUGAUGUUGCUGCGGAGGUUCGACCCCAGGACCUAACGGUCCCGAGGAAGAGGCGCCAACCACCAGCCCAUUGACGUGGGGGCUCCACGUUCGCAUUUGAAUGGGUUAAAUACACUAAUCAUUCAUAGCAUUUGGACAUGGUCCAGGACAUUAUUUGUCCCAUUUUAUGCUCUCAGCUUGCGGUCCAUAACCUGAGAUAUGUGGUAGUUAAAAAGACAUUAGUAAUCUCGAAAGUGAUGGACAAUACGGUCCCGCACAUUUAGUGCGUCUUGUAGGUAUACAUGGACAACCAUGAUUGAUUCCGCGGCAAGGAAUUACAUCUCCAAAUACGAAAAUUUCAUGAACAAUAGGAAGGAAUAGCCUUACAUUCUUUGACAAAAAGAAAGAAAGUAAAAAUCCCUAGCUACAUUAUUUGAGUUCUCAAGUACUACUGAUUAUGGAUGGAGAAAGAUUGCUCAAAAUUGCUGUCCUUUUGAAAUUCAUGAAAUUAUUAAUCAAUUGGCAACUUUGGUUGACUGGUCUUUUAUUGGGCAAUUUUUUGACAGAAGUUUGUCGGAGAAUAUCCUCUCCUACAAUUUAAAAGAAGAAAAUUUUGAAGUAAUUCCUCCUACACUAGCCAAAAAUCUUUUCUAUGUUCUUCAGCUUGGGCUGGAUAGUGACCUGAUCGAGUUUAGGUAUUAAGAGUCAAUGAGUUCGAUCGAUUAGUUCGGGAUCUAGCUGAAUGAUGUCAUAAAUAUAUUUUAAUUAUCUAUAAAGUAAAAAUUAUAUAUAAAUUACACAUUAGCUUGACAUAUUUGGUGAGUUUAUAACAAAUAUGAAGAACUCAUUCAAAUAGUUGUACAAAUUUAGGCUGGAAAUAUAAUUUGAUAAGUAUUUGUGGUUUAAUAUAUAAUUUUUUUGAAACAAUUCAGUGUCAAUUCUUGAACUUAAAGUCCAAAUACACAUUGAUGUGCCUAAAACUUUUUAAUAGGACAAUUCUUCAACAAAAUUGAGGUUUGUAUGUAAAAAUACAAAAGUUAGAGUUGCGUAGAGUAAUUAUAAAAGAAGUUUGGGAGUAUAUUUAUGAUUAUAAAAAAGUGGAGGGUCAAAACAAAAUACUAGAAAAGUUUUAUAUUUAAUUGGCAAUUUCUUCUCCACCAUGCAUCUUCAUCAGCCAGGAAUCGGGAGGUUUCAACCUUCAUCUGCAUUCCCCUUUUUUUUGGUUUCUUUUUGUAAUGAUUUCAUUGUUUUUUUGUCCCUUUUCUUCAACUGGGUAAGAAUCUUCCCCUUAUUCUUUAUUUUCGUUCUCUCCUGUUUUCUUCUCUUUUUAUUUAGAUCUAUAAAUCUUUGAGAGAUGACAAUGAUAGAUUUAUAGAUCUAUUUUCUCUUUUCCUUUUUUCUUCUCUUGCAGUAAUUGAAACUUUUUAUUAUGAUUUGUCAAAUAUCUUACCACCUUUUUUUGGAGAGAUAAAAUUAGGCUUUAGAAAUGAAGAAAAUUUUUGAAAAAAAUUCACAAAUCAGCAAUGAAGAAAUUCAGGUAUAAUGAGGUUUUUCCCGAUUUUAUUGAUUCCCAGUUUAACACUCGAUUUUUUAAGGUGACUUGGACCGAAUGCUUGAUCGGUCUUGAUUUGCCCGGUCAGACUGAUUAGUCUAAUCCAAAUUUUAAAACAUAGGAUUUAAAAGGACAUAUUUGACUUGUGGAUCUAGCAGCAGAGCAUUUGAGACUGAAAAUAUAUAUGGAUGUUAAACAGGGGCAGCAACGGAAAGAUAGUCUAAUCCUAUACCAAAGCAAGGAAACAAAAAGAAAAAGGAUUAAAAGUAAAAUGAGUUGUGACCAAAUAAAUGUAGCCAACUUGAACAUGGUAUAAAAGCAAUUGAGCAAAUGCCUUGUUCAAUUCAAGAUAAUUGAGGUACAACAUCUAGAUUAACACGGCAAAUUAGGUUGCAGAAUGUUGGGUGUGGGCCAGCUCAUUUGUGAGCCAAACUAGAAAAUCAAAUAUUUUUAGGUUUAAGUCAAAAUUUUGACUUAAAUAAAAAAGGCGAGCAGCCGCAUGAAGUAUGAUUCUUCGGUCCUUGUGCGAGAAAAAAGAUUUCAGCCGCCGCUCUUGCUGGCUUGUUGAAGAAGGAAACGAGAAAAAUAACUGGGAGAUCUUGAUUGGAAGGUGAUUCGAAUCCCGAUUGAGAUAAAAUUUUACAUACGCGAUCCUCUCAUCAAUCUCUACUCAUCUACUGGUCUAGAUUUUAGAUUUCCUUUUCGUUUGGUGACACCUUUCUAAACUCACUUCUUUGACAGUUGUAAUUUUUGGGGGUGAUUUUGUAGUAAUUUCGCUUGGUUGGUAUUGGUGAUAUUAUUGUCAUCCGAAUAUUUUGGGUAGACCUGUGUAUUCCUAUUGUUGUGAUAGUGAAGAUUUUUGACUGGACUAGAUCCCGUGGUUUUUCCCAAUUUGGAUUUUUCACGUAAAAAUCUUGGUGUCCUGUGCCUUUUAUUUUUCUUGCAUUUUAUUAUCACUACUGGUAUUAUUACUUGGUGAUUUGAUUUAUUCCUAUUUUUAACCGGUACAUAGAGAAAGAGAAAUUUGUUUUGGAUUAACUCUGAUAUUGUGUGUCUGUACCCAUACCCCUUUCCCAACAAAUGGUAUAUUAGAUAAUCUUCACAUUUUGCACUUUCAUAAAGCAAUUACACCAAAACUAUUCAGUUUUAGAUCGACAACUUUGUAUGCUACAGUUCCUUAGGCUGUCAACCACGUAAAAGAUGUCUUUCCGCAUCAUAUUGAAUGCGUUAGUUACUUUGUUUAGCAAAUUUAUAAUUAUUGAGAUGCAUGAAAUACUUUUUUUUUCUGCAAGAAGAAUGGUUAAAUUCUCAAUUACAAUGAAAACAGAUAAUAUAGUAAUCCCACCAAUAUUGUUUCUUUAAACAUUUUGUUGUAAUACUCUCAACCUUUUGCUUUUCUGGUAAUAUACUUUCUUUUCAUUUCCUUUCCUUCAAUUCAAAAGGUAACUAAAUUUUUUUCCUCAAAUGGCGCCUAAAUUACUUUAAAAGCAAAGAUAACUAGUGAGAUGCCAAAAAUUUCCAAUCAAUUAUAUGCUUUACUUUGAAACUUACCGGUAGUUCCACUUGUUUUAAAUUUGUAUUAUUUAGGUAGGUUAAAAGUCGAACCAAACUAUUUGAUAUUUGAAAUAAGUUUGGUUUAGUAAAAACUUGUUCUAACUUGAUUUACGAAUUAAUCAAACAAAGUUUGAACAUCAUUUUGUGUUCAAUUAACUUUUAAACUCUAUUUAAUCUUGGUACAAUUAGCAUAAAACUUGAUUUUAUAAGUAAAAAUUCAAGCUACUCGAGCUCAACUCAAAUCUGGCUUGACUAAAGCUCAUUUGAGUUUAGUUCAAUAAAUAAAUAAGUCAACAUUAAAUAUAAUUUCAAAUUUACUAAAAUAAUUAAACAAAAUUGAACGCUAACUUGUCCUCAAUCUUACUAUUGUCCUUAAAUGCAGCCAUGCUGCAAAAUACCUAUGCAUUAUUAGUGGCCACUUACUUCGACAUCUUCUUAUCCUCAACUUCUUUUGCCUUUCUUUCCUUUUUUUUCUUCUUUUGUUUUUAUGUUACUGUACGGUACACCUACAAAAUUAUAUUGCUACCCACUUUACCCCACUAUACAACACGGAUGAAGGUUACUAAAUACAAAUUAGGGACAUGAGAUUUAUUAAAUAGAGGGCGUAGAAAACAAAUGGGAGAACAAGAAAUCUAUAUUGUCUUUUGUUUACACUUUAAUUGAUCAUUUUUCUUUCUUUCAGCUUGCAAUACUCAAUCUCCUUCAACUUCAAUUUCCUUCAAAGUUUCUUUUAAUUUUUUUCUUGGUGCUUUAAACAUGACACAUUCCCUACUACUUUUUCUUAAAAAAAGAAAAAACAUUGGCACGUGAAGUUGGCAAUUGGCACUUAUCAUACAAGUGGCCCUGGAUGUGCGGUAUCGUUUGUUUCUUUUCUUUCCUGGGUAAGAGUUCUUGGACUUGGACCACUCAUAAAUAAAGUUGUUUUCUCCUGUGCGGUAUUUCUUAUCAUGGUUGCUCUUACAAUACAGCCAGCCAAUGAAAGUGAAUGUGAUAGAGAGAUAUACGCACGGAGACAAAGACAAGGCUGUUCGUGUUCCAUCGUAUGAUCCAAUACUUUGGGAAUUCAAAAAAUCUAAAAGCAAAGGAGAAAACAAAUGUAAAUGUGCAAAUUUACAAGUAACCAGUAUUGGUGUAAUCAAUGCAUAAAUGUGUACAUUACAACUGAUAACAUGCACAAACAAGAUAAACUCACAUUUAAUAAGACUUGACUCAAUGGUUAUGAUUGUUGAAUCUCAACCGUGAUUUUCUAGACGAAGAUCUCACUGUACAAAUUAUUUGAAUUGCUAUUUUUAGAAGUUUUUGUAGAAAAAUAUAUUAUAAUGAUUUGAUAUAUAUGAGAUAAAAAGAUGAUUGAAAAAUUUGUUUAUGAAAAAUAUAAAAAAUUAUCUAAAGAAAAGAGUAAUGGAAGCAAAGGUUUUUGAAUUAUUGGAGCACCCCUAAAUUAGGAAGGACGAAAAUUCAAUAUCACAUCAUAGGAUCAGCUAGUCUAUUAUUCGACAAGGUGAGAUAAUUAUGAAAUUGACAUGAAGAAAUACUUCCUACACGAGUCAUGAAUCGAUGAGAUGUGAGACUGGUGGCGGCCGCCAUCUCAGAAAUUAUUAGGGGUGGCAAUUUUCGAUACGAUCUGAAAACACGACAUGAACCUAACACGAAAUUAAUGGAUUUGGGUUGAGGUUUCGUGGGCUCGGGUCAGAAUCGAGUCAAUCCCGAUGAACCCGAAAAAAAAAGGGUCGAAUUCGGGUCUACCGGUGGGUGACCCGAUAACCCGUUUACGAAUUAAAAAUAAUUUAAUAAACAUAAAAAUUAUUUUAUCUAACUAAACUAAGUUAUUCUUUUUUCCAAAGGCAUUAAUCACUUAAUCCUAAAUGCAUUUAUUUAAUUUGUGUGAAGUUGAAAUUAUUAUAUUUGGACAAAUAAUGUAUUACAUUAUUUUUUACUUUUAUACUGUUUUAAUUUAUUUUAGAUUUGGUUUGGGAUUAUUUUAUUUAAAUUUUAUUACUUAAUUAUGUAAUUAGUCUUGUGCAAAAUUGAUUUUAUUAGAAAUUAUAGUGGUAAAUUAAUAAAUUAAAAUUCAGUUUCGGGUCAUUUGGGUCGACCCACCAACCCGCCAACUCGAAAUUUUUUGGUUCGGGUCAGGUAUCCUGCCCCGUUUCGGGUUAACGGGUCAGGUUUAGAUCAACGAGUUUUCAAUUAUAUCCGGAUUUCAACCCGACCCGUCAAACCCGUUUCGAACUCGAUUGCCACCCCUAGAAAUUAUCAUACGACAAGACAUGUUUCAACACCAUAAGUUGCUUUCGAAGAAUAUUAAAAAUAAUGUUCUGCUCAAUCAAUUUGGACAAGGUCACAAGAAUGGAUCAAGGCCUCUGGCAUCUACACAAUCCAAUUGAUUAUCUCAAGUUGAUCUGGGCCAUUCAAAUUUAAUUUUGCUUUACAAAAAUUUUUCUUUUAUAGUUGAAGGCCCAUAUCUGGUCCACAUAAAUUCGGCUCAAUUUUGGCAACUAGGAGUGUCAAUGACAGUAAUCAAGUCAAAUAUCUUAAUAUUCAAGGUUGUUUGAUUGUUAUAACGAGUUUAAAAUUUUGUUUAAAUUUGACUUGUUUAUUUGUCAAAUUGAGUUUAAACGAGUUUUUUUUAUUGAAUUUAAAAGUUAUCGAACAUAAAAUAUAAUUUAAGUUUAGUUUAACUAGUUGGCAAACCAAAGUCGAACAAACUUUUAUCAAGGCAAAUUCGAUUCAAGUAUUAAAUAGUUUUUAUUUAUUUAUUAUUUUUAAGUAGGGUGUCUUAAGUAUAAUCUCUUCUCUCUUACCACUUAAUCCAACCCUCCUCGAAUAUCGAGUGAUUUGAUUCAUGUUUCAAUCCUAACUGUAAUUGCCCGCCCUUAUCUAUUCAAAAGAAGCAACCCAUCCCAUAGUUCUUGCCACUGCUUGCCUGUUACUCAUUCUGCAUCAGAAGACCACCAAUGUAGAAUCAUCCCUUACUUCUCCAUUUCCAAUCCACAACUUUGCCAACAAAUCAAGCUAAAUUGUCUAGUUCUAUCCUUUUUUUUCUUUUCUUCCUACAAUCUCCUUCCACUCAAAUCAAAGAAUACCCAUGAAAUAUUCUUUUGGGAUAAGAGCAAGUUUAUAUCAUAUAUGAGGUGUCCUCAAUAUAUAAUAUCACCUAAUUUUAGAUUUUGGUUUUGAAACAAAGUCAAUUUUUUUAAAUUUAUCAUUUGCUUUUGCUUCUAAAAUUUAGAUUUUUUUUUAAAGGUAAAAAGUCAAAAUCUAAAAUCUACCCAAGAGUAAUUUUGUUGAUUUUGAUUAAUCUGCUUUUUGUAAAGUUUACAGCUAAUAAAAUUGCAUCAGAGUGAUUAGAGAUCCAUAAUUGGGUUGCAUAUUUAUUACUAUUCAAACAUUAUUACAUAAGAGAAUAAAAUGAUAUUAAUUGCUUCUAAGAAAUAAAAUCUCAAAUUUACUUAUCUUUAAAGUAAAUUUGAUGUAGGAAGUUUUUGGAAGUCAGAGACUUGGCUUAUAUUUCUGGUUUUUUUUUUUGUGCCUGCGGGUCUAUAGAAGGGCUAGUUUGUUGGAGAAGAAAGAUGUUGGAAGAUGAAGGAGACAGCCUAAGUAGGAAAGGGAGAAAUAAGAAGCGGCGUUGUUGAGGGAACUGCUUUGAAACUUAAACUAGAUUGAAUGGCUCAAAUCACUGAAUCAAAAAAUCCUUCAGCUGCUCAGCUUGAGUUUUACUAAAUAUUUUGAAUUGCAAAGACCUAGUCAAAAAUCGAUUUUGAUCAUGAAAAACAAGGAAAAAAAUAGAAAAGUUUUUCAUUUUUUGGUGAACCUUUUUCUUUUUUCUAUUUUGUUAAAGUCUUCCAUAAAAUAUGUUUACCAUAGUUUGAUGGGUUAGUUGCAAAACUUACCUCUUAAUUAUAACAAAUUUUGCACUUUACUCCUUACAAUUAUCUUAUUUUGACUUUACUCCACUAUUAGUCAACUUAAACAUUAUAUACCCAUAACGUGAAAAAAAAUUCAUCCUGAGGGUUAAUUACAGUAAAUCCCCUCAAGAUAUUGCAUGUUUUAUACUUUAUUCUAUAAAAUCAUCUUUUCUCAAUUUGUAGGUUUGUCCCCAAGACCAUUAGUUAACUCCAAUGUUCUGUAACAGCCAAGAAAAAACAAUAUCUAAGAGACAUUUAUACCCUUGACAGGAUAGUGAACUGAAUAAUAUUUUUAUGGAUAUGAGUCUAGUUAAAUUUCAUCUCGUAAUUACACUUUUUUAAGAUAGAGGGAAAUUUCUUGGUCAUUUUAUGCCUUAAGGAGGAACAAUAAACAAAAUAUUAUUUAAAAAUUAAAAUAUGAAAACUGAAAAUAUUACUAAAUUUGUAAAAACCGCUUAAAAACUGUCAAUCUCUCUUUUCAAAUGUGCAUAUAGGUUUGCUUUUCAUUUAAUGGCUACAUUUUUGCUUUGCAUAAAAAAUAUUUAGUAACACUACAAAAGGGCAAAAACAUGAUGGAUUUGGCUUCCAAAGCUUUAUUGUCACUAGCGCUCAGUGCGCACCCGACGUGUGUACAAUCAAAAAAUAUAUAAUAUUAAUAGUCAUAUAUUUUAAAUAAAAUUUUUAUUACUAAAGAAAAUUUUAAUCUUUUAAAUAUUUUUCAUAAAAUAAUUUUAUAUUGGUAGUUAUGUUGAAUGCAUAUACUUAAAAGUAAAAAUAGUCAUGGGUGGUUAUAGAUAGUUAAAGUAAAACUAAUUUUUAUAAGGGCAAAAAAGAAAGUUCAUAAAGUGAUGAUAAAUGUUAACCCUAAUGUUAACCCCAAAUCUCUUUGUCAAGCUAUACAUAUAACUAGUGCCAAAGGCACACCCACAUGUAUGCAAUUUAAGAAUAAAUUAAUUUUUAUGAAAUUUUCUUUAAUGAAUUGAUAUUUAUUUUGGUAGUUAUGUCAAUUGGUAGUUAUCUUGGUAAUUAAACCUUUUUUCAUAAUAAAAAGUUUGGAUGUUUAAAUUUUAAACUUUUUGGUAGUUGCAACAAAAAUUAUGUUGGUUAUAUAUAAUUGGAUAGUUAGGAUAAAAUUUAAUUUUGUGAGGAUAAAAAUGGAAGUUUAAAAAGCGACAAAAGGUGUUUACCCCACCCUUUCAUUUCCUAGAGUAAAUAAGGGUAAAUUUGAAAACACGCAAAACUAACACCAAGUUAACUACCUACACAUGUUUUAUUAUUUUAAAGAUAUAGAUUUUGUAAGGCUUAAAGGCACUUUUCUCAAACUUCAACGGUUUACUACGGAGGCAUUUUUUUUACAAGUGCUCAAUACACACCCAAUGUGUGUGCAAUCAAAAAAUACAUAAUUUUCAUGGUCAUAUAUGUACGCGAUAAAAUUUCAAGUCUGCAAAACGACAAGAAAAAUACAUGACAAAUAUAUGAUAUAUAAAUUUAGGAAAAUAUGUAGGUACAAUCUCUGGGGUUUUCUCGAACUUGUGGAGAGUUUCCCUCGAUUUUUCUCCUCGAACGCCAAUCCAAGGGCUUCGUAGCUUGUUCUUGGAUCCACCACCGAUUUUUUCAAAUCUUGAUAUGGAAGAUUUGAAGGAUUUGAAAAUAUUUGGAAGUUCAAGCCCUGAUAUAUGGAAGACUUGAAGAGAUUGAAGACCCAGACAUUCGUAGCUUGGAACUUCACCACUUGAGAGUAUGAGAUGCCUCCUGGUGUGUGCCUCUGUGUCUGUGUCUGUGUCUGUGUCUUUGAUUUGGUUGAGAGACCCCUAUUUAUAGUUGUAGCAAGAGGUAGAGGUUGAAGACCUGUGUACUACUUUACUUGUCUUGCAAGACGUGCAGUCAUAUUAGGACUGUACCAGUCAAAUAUUAUCUCUUCAUUUUAUAUUUAUUAAUAAAGAGAUAAAUAAUUUGUCGAUUGGCCAAACUCAUGGGGACACGUGACGUGGCGUCAUUUGACUGGACAAGCUAUUGCAGUAUAUAAGAAAUAUACUUGGAUUAAACAAUUCUAAAUAUUAUCCCUUUAAUAAGAAAUAAAUACUUAGAUAUUUAUCCAAUAGGCAUGUGAUAUGAUAUGAUUUUGUUGGUAGAGAUAUCCCAGCAAUUUGAAUUGAUUUGGAACACCUCAACUUGACACGUGGAGAAAUAUAAUUGGCCAUUUAAUAACCAAAAUUUUCAAGUGUACAUGACAUAUGGCAAUAUCCAAUUGGAUAAAAAUAAGCCAUAAAAAUAAAUUAUAGACCAAUGAUAAUUUUAGGAAUUGAUUAAAAUUUCAUUGUCUACAAAUGCCCCCUCAAAACUUGUUUGUGAAUACGGAGUAUUUGAACGAACAAGUUUUUGACAUCCUUAAUUUGAAUAAGAUCAAAACAAUAUUGAUUUCCAACCAAAGUCCGUAGGUGAAUUUGCAUAAGCCUUUAAUUAAUGGUGCGGAGCGGUGAUUGAAAAUAUUAUCACUUUGAAUUCCCGAGGCCGGAUUGCUCCAAACUAAAGCUUUACAAUAAAGUCUGUGAAUGGUAUUUACUUGAAGUUUUGCAAUGUAGUGGCUUUUGAAUUGAUCAUAAGAUGACCAUGUGGGAUGCCACCAAUUUAUACAUAACUUAGUAAUAUCAAUCUCCACGGUCAAAACAUAUCAAUAGCUUCAAGUCCACCGCUACGCAUGCAACAUCAGACACAUUUCGGUGGUAUCAAUUUCCAAGACCAACUGACUUCAUAUGAAUUUCAUAUUGACAAGGCGCAUCACUCCCUACUUCAUGGCAAUGACUUAGUGAUCUCAAAUAAAGUCCAAUGGCUUAGUGAUCUUAGACUCCACGUGAAAUACCACCAACGCAUCCCUUAAUGAUCUCAAUUUCCAAGAUCAUAUCAUACAAUGGUUUCAAGUCAAAGUCCUCCGCCUUGGUCAUAUGCGCAUGAAUUCUUUCUCUUGUAAGAUUCGGACAAUCUACCAAAGUUAGCAUUUGCAUUCUUGGUGAACUACACAAUCUCGUUGCCGAAUUGAAUCCGAAAGCUCAAAAGGAAGUCCAAUACAAAUUGCGUUAACAUUUGUUGAGACCCGCUCCAAAUUUUUUUAGCAUUCACGAUAGCUUUUAAAAUCCAUAGAUAGAGUUGUAUAGGUUUUAAAAUAGGAUGCCGUGGAAUAGUCAUUCAAACUUUCCAAGAUAAUUGGAUGCAUUAGUACCUUCAAUUUCCAAAAGAUCAAUUCACUUUCUUUAGCCUCAUAUCAACCACCCCAGCCAUGCGCUUAUCAUUCCCAAGCCGAACCAGAAACCAAUUGCCAUCGAGGAACUCCAAGUGGAAUUUGAAAUUCGCUAGGAUUCUGCUAGCCACGCAUAACAAAAUCUAAUUAAUCAAGCGUGAUGUUCUGAAGCCAAACUGAUGUUAGAAUCAUAAUUGACCUUGAACUCAAGUUCCCAAUUGACUUCAAACAAUAAAGCUCGCACGACUCCCUUCUCAACUGUACAAGAAGUUACUUCCUUUCAAUAUCCUAACAACAAUCCAUAUGGAAUUAGAAGUUUACUUGUAUCCAAAUUGGAACCACCUUCCACCCAGAUUUUCCUCGGACCCAAUCACAAUGCCACUAGUAUAAAUAAUCAAGACUAGAGUUGUACAUUCACUUGUGAGAAGCUAGAGACAGCAAUAAUAACUUUCUGCUAUUGCCGAAAUGCCUUGUCGUUGCUACCAACUCUUUCUUGCAACUGGUGAUUCAACAAUUGCUAUCUAGAAUUGCUGCGGUUGCUAGUGCCAGCUUUGUCGUUACCAGUGCGAAAUUUUCCACUAACGUCGCGCCGACUUGGAGGUGAUUAUCUUGACUCUUCUUCCACUUUUCAUAAGUAUUCAUACUUUUGGCCUGGUAGUCCCCUCGUACGCAAGGUGUAGAAGCUUCUGUACCAUAGAUUUGCAUGCAUACUUUAAUUUGUUUUGGCACUUUGCGAGUGAUUAAAAGUUUUGCAUACCAGUCCGCCAUGUCUUGACCUUGGGAAAAAGAUAACAUGGUUUCUGGCUUCCUGAAGUUUGUGGUCAAUGCACUGUUGAUAAACCACGAGUAUUUUUGCCACCUUGCAUUGGAAUCCUGGCACUCUAUAAUUGUCUAAUAGAUCAAAGCGGUUCUUUUUUUUUUAAAGAGUCUCACCACAAAAUUGAAUAACACAUUAGUCACCGUAAUUGCAUACAUGACUCCUUACAAUUGUGACUCCACUGAUUCAUGUUACUGCUCUUCUUGGCAUCCGAAGUCUACCAUUCAACCACAGCUUGACGUACGACUGCCUUGCCAAAAUUUUAACCUUUUUAUCAAUCAGUCGUCGCCAUACCAUGUUACUUUUACUUGUCUUUAUUGUCGGUUUUGCUGUCCUUUGAUCAAUAGAGACAAUUUGAAGCUGGUUAUCGCCUUUGCCGAGCCGCAAGCAUCAAUCAUUAUCCAUCGGUUGCACUCCAAUAAUUUUCUUUUCGCUCACCAGGUACUUGAAGCCCCCCCUUUUUUCUUUACUCGCAAUAUUUAAUUGUUACGAGAAGCUUCGGUCAAUUGAGAAACUUAGAGCCUCACGUCCUUACCUAAUAAAUUCUCAAAAUAUUAUUUGAGAAUGAAGCUUGGGUCUCGACUGGAAGAUUGAAAUUAACCAAAUGACGAUUAGCUCAAAAUAUUAUUUGAGGUGCCUUUUGAAUAUUAUUCGAAAUCAUGUAUGCCCUUUAAAUAUUAUUUGACAAUGAAGAUUGGCUCAAAAUAUUAUUUGAGCUAUUCCUUAGGGCUGGAAAUUUUAUCUCAACUUCCAUACCACUUAUUAUUAUUUUUGCAUCCCAAAUAUUUCUAUCAUACAUGAUUUCGAUCUUAGCUUUAUUGACUUGCUUCUUUGUAGGGAACCAAAAUCGUGCUUGAAGAAUAGGUUUAAGCAAUUUUGGGGACUUGAGAAAAGGCAAGGAAAUUCCAAUUACCAAAAAUUUGUAAGAAUUUCCCUUUAUCCUCUAACAUUUUGUAAAAUUUCAGCAAGCAUGCAAAUUAAGGAUUACGCCACGCCAUUGCCACAUAUUUCAUUGACGGAUGAACGGGGAGGACCUCAAUCAAAGAGUUUGUCACUACAUGUUCAUAAACCAGCAAUCGGCACGUUCACUGAAUCUUUUAUACCCCUUGAAGGAUGCUUUCAUCUUGAGGAUUGGACUAACAAGUGGACCAAGGAAGUGGUGACACCGUCGACCUUCUCCACUACGUCGAGGGAAGAAGAAGUGGUCGUAUUAAACUCGUCACUUCACAAUGGAGAUCUAGAAAUAGCCAAAUUCACGCUUCCGUUCGUGGGAUUCAAUAUUGACAAAACUACAUGGAAGAUCCCUUCGUCCUUCUUUGGCGAGGCGUGCUUCACUUCUCAUUAUUGGGAAUGGGCCGAGGACAUCCUCGGAAGGUAUAAAGACAUACUCACACGCGCUGGCAUAUUUGAAGCCGUCUACGCGUUGAGAUACUCCUACGACCGCUGUGAAAAUAUCUUGCGAGUCUUCUUCAAAUAUUGAUGCCCCUCGACGAACACACUCCAUACGCCCGUUGGGGAGUUGUCCAUCACACUUUGGGACCUUUAUCGACUUGGUGGCCUUUCGAUCGAUAGCUCGUUCUUCGAUGAAGUUGUUCCUUCGGCGCAGGAGCUCCUCACUCGUGACAAAGAAGGGAAGCCACUUCUCGCCGAGAGUUGCAGGCAUCUCUUUUCCACUUACUACCACCUUUGGACGAAUGACCAAGGGGUAUGGAUGACGGAUUGGAUUUGCUUCUGGUUCAAAGGUGAGGCUAGGUAUAGGGCUCCUCCGAGUAGAACGAAUAGAAGGAAGACCACAUUUAAACCAAAACUGACUUACAACCCUUCUGGAAGCGUGGAGCCUUACAACCUUGCCGAUACGAAUGACUUCAAUGUCCCUUUUGACACCCUGGGUAUCCCAGGGUCUCUAAGAAAGGAAACCUAUAUUGCGGCAUUCAUAGCGUGUUGGAUUUGCAAGUUCCUUUUGCCAAGCAAAACGGUCGAUCGUAUUCGCCCAAGUGUCUUCAAGGUUGCAUGCUUAAUGGCCACAGGGAAAAGAUUUUGCCUUGCAAUUCCCGUUCUUGCCAGCAUAUAUCAUGGGUUGAGGGAGAUCGUCCAUGCCCCUAAUCUUGGAGAAUGCGGGGUAACUUUCCCAAUCCAUUACGUCUAUGCUUGGAUUGGCCAAUACUUUGACGUAUAUUAUGAGAAUAAUCAAGUGAGUAGCCACCACGCGCGCAUAAGGAGAUUUAGCGGUAAGAAAAUGGCAAUAUUCCAUGGUAAAUCAGAAGCUGAGAAAAUCUUCAAAGAAGUUAAUCCUUUGAUGCUUCCUAAAUUGCACUGGACUGAGAAUGAAGAAAAGGUGUUGACCGAUGAUGGAUCCUUAUCAUCAAGACUCACGAGCUACUUCAUUAGUCAACGCUCUUGCCAUUUAACUCUACGUAAGGACAAUACUUUCAUUAUUGAAAAAUAUAAUCCUUGCAGGUUUAGCAGACAAUUCGACUUCUGUCAGGACAUCCCCAACAACUUGAAAGAGAUUACUCACACUUAUACCUUGGGUGAGGCUAUUCAACUAUGGGAUUCCUCAGUUCGCACGCAGACGCGGUCUCAGAUGACUAUACCCACGCACAGGAAGCAUUCAUUGAUCACAAAAGACUAUGACACCUGGUGGUCGACUCGGUCAAAUAGUGUCUCUUUAACUUCCUUUAAAUUCACCGUUAAGAUCCCUCAACAAUCAUCGAAGAAGGGUAGGGUCACCCCCGCCAAAGACUCAGUGCAUCAUAAUGGAGCUAUAGAGAUUGUAACGAGUCUUACCUCAUCCACCUUGCGGAAGAACAAAAUUAUUAGCAGUCUCUCGAAAAACAUUGCCGCAAAAAAUAAGUUUUCCAAGGACUCUCAACAGGCCAUCAAAGAGGCGCAACCAGUGAUUCCAACAAAGAAGACGCCGUCCAAAAUUUCAAAAUCCGUAUCCGUGACUCACAUAGAAGAAAAUGUCGAAAUUGAAACGGUGGACGAUCGUGAUUCUAUUGAGGCUAUAGAAAAGGAAGGGACUCAAGUUCAGGACAUCGGAUCUACCCGAGAAGGAACCCAUUCGUUGGCGAGCGGUAGUAGUAGUCAAGAUCGUCAUUGGAACCGAUCAAAGAAGAGGACAUCCUCUGAUUUAGAGGAGGUUUCCUUUACACCACCGUCAGUUGGAGUGUCGCCACUUAAGGUAAUCAUCACUCCAUUUUUUUUUUCUUUUUUGUAAAUUUUUUUUUUUUGUAACUUCUUUUUUUUUUCCUCCACCCCCCGUUUCUUAAUUCCGUCAAGAAGGUGUUGGUAACAAUUCACCACCCGAACUCGAAGCUGGUGAUAUAAUUUCAAACAACAAAAGUGACGAAGUAGCUGUCAGUACUCCAAAACAAUUUGCUCCCAGUGGAGGUACCUCAUCAAUGUGUAAGAAAGAGUUAACUGGUUCGCACGAGACCCGAAAGAGGCCUAAACCAGCACUGGUUUCAGAAUUUCAUGGGUAAAAAUUGAUCCAAACGCAUCGAAUGAGAUAUUUGCAGAGUUUGUGGAUGAAUUUUCGCGGGCAGAUUCUUGACACUCCUAUUGAGCAGAUAUCUUCUUUAAAAGAGUGUGCGAAGGAGAUUAUUGCAGAAAUCACCAGAACGGAUCCUACCAAUGGUCUCCCUUUAAAAGAUUAUUUGUUAGAAUUAUUUGCCAAGGCAGAGACAUAUGAUGUUUUGGCAUCUUCAUCAUGGAAAAAGAUAAGUAAAAAAGCACAUACAGAACUCCUUUCCAAAGUGACCACCUAACUCGAGAGAGCCAAGGCGAAGGAAGAAGACUUAACUUGUCAUCUGCAAAGUCUUGAAGAAAAGUUGCAAUCCAUUGAAAACAGGAAGAAAGUGUUGCAACAGGAACUUAUUAAUUUGGAGAAACAAAGCCUGGAAAUCAGUUCAACUAUCGAUCAAAAGCAUGAAACUUUUGAGGAGAUCCGGACUGAAGUAACCCGGGCACAUGAUGAGCUCUCUUCUAUUGAAAGUACCGGUAUCUUGACUGAUGACGCAGUGAAGGAACUUGAAGACAUGAAGUCUGUACUUGAAUCAUGCAAAAUAGCUGUAGUGGAUUACAAGUUUGACAUUUAGACUUUUCACCAUGUCUUUUUUUCUGAAUUUGUUACAUUUUUUUUUUCAUGUAAUGAAUUUUUCCCUUUUUUUGAAUAAUAAAAUGCUUUCCGUUCCUUAUCUCUUUUUUUUUUAAGAUACAAGGACUCAAAUGGAGCAUUUUAUUUAUUUUAUAUAUAUUUUUUUGGAAAGAGAAGAAUUUUUUUUUUGUUGCAAGGAACAAGGAUUUGAUUUGGAGUGGUGUAACUGAACUUAGAAGUUGCCCUCCAAGCUGCCUACGUAUCCCAACAAGGGAAUCAAGUCACACGUAGUUCCUGCCGUUCACAUUUUAACCUCAUGCGGGUCAGGAGUAUCUAUUUGUUUACCACCUUAGACUUGGUGGAGUGUUUCAGCAGUUUAACCACAUACUACACUAUUGGUGGUUGUCAUCCACAGUUUUAGCUCAUGCGGGCCAGGAGUAUCGUGCGGUUUCGAUUACGCAUAGUACCUUUUUAGGUACUUGCCAUUGAUGGGGCCAACCCUCAAUCCAUCUUCAGCAACCAAUUUGUAUGAGCCAUUUGUAUAUACUUCUCGAACGACAUAUGGACCAUCCCACUUAGGAGUAAACUUUCUUUGUCCGCCAUGAGUGACAAUGAUUGGUCUCGGAACGGCGAGCACUAACUCUCCAAUUUGGAAAGAGCGAGGUCGAACGUGCUUAUUGAAUGCUUUUGAAAGGCGAGCCUGAUAGCACUCAAUCCGUUGCUGAGCUUUCAAUCUCUUUUCGUCGAGUGCUUCUAGCUCCUCAAGGCGAAGACGAACAUUAUCUUCUUCAUUGAGCCCUUCUUGAAUUGCAAUUUUUAGCGAAGGUAUUUGACACUCAAGUGAAAGAACAGCUUCAACACCUUAAACAAGCGCGUAUGGGGUUGCUUGUGUGGGAGUUCGAAAAGUAGUUCUGUAUGCCCAAAGUGCUUCUCCAAUUCGAAGAUGCCAAUUCCUUUUUGAUUUAUCCAUGAUUUUCUUCAACAGAUUACAUAAGAUCUUGUUGAAUGUUUCAGCGAGUCCAUUUGCGGCAGCGUAAUACAUGGACGAAUUGUAUUGUUUGAAAUGAAAUUUUUCGCAAAGUUUGGUCAUUGCUACAUUGCAAAAAGGCUUACCAUUUUCGGUGAUGAUAUAACGCGGGACCCCAUAUCAAUAAAUGAUGUGCGAGCGAAAGAAAUCUACUACAUUCUCCUUUUUGACCUCUCUUAGAGGAACCGCUUCGGCCCACUUUGAGAAAUAAUCUGUUGCUGCCAAAAUGAAAAUGUGCCCUCCAGAAAACUUUGGGAGCGGUCCAACUAUAUCUAAACCCCAAGUAUCGAACGGCCAAGAAGCCACAGUUGGAUGCAAUGGUUCAGGAGGUUGGCGGAUGAAAUUGCCAUAGAAUUGACAAGCUUGACAUCUUCUAGCAAAAUCGAUACAGUCAUUUACCAUCGUUGGCCAAUAGUAUCCCAUUCUUUUAAUGCGAAAGUGUAAUUUCGGGCCAGAUUGGUGAGCACCACAUAUCCCAGAGUGAGCCUCCUCCAUUGCUUGCAUGGCCUCAUCUUCUCCAAGACAUCGUAGAAACACCCCAUCGAAUGAUUUUCGGUAAAGCGUCCCUUUGUAGUAAAUGAAACGUGACGCUCGACGACGUAUAUCAACCCUUUUCCUGGGAUCUUCUGGUAACUUCCCACGAUUAAGGUAAUCAAUGAUGAGGUGACGCCAAUCUUCCUUUUCGAUCUUAUGGACAAAAAUAUGAUAAACAUUUUCUUCCUCACCAUCAUCUUCUUCAUCAAACAUCGGAGGUAUGACCCAAUUUUGACAUAUUGAAAUUUGAUUUCGAUGAGAAGGUAGAGUGAUCAUGGACGCCACCCUUGCCAAAGAGUCAGCUUGUUGGUUGAAAUUUCUAGGGAUAUGUUUUAUAGUGACAUUAUCUAAAUAUCCCAUGAGUUGUCUUGCAUACUUAUAAUAUGGGAUCAAUUCAGUUUUCUUGACAUCAUAAACACCAAGAAGUUGAUUUAUCACCAAUUUUGAAUCACCAUAGACUCUAAGAUGCAACUGUUUCAUGUCUACAGCCGUUUCAAGACCGAGAAUCAACGCCUGAUAUUCGGCCACAUUGUUUGAACACCUGCGUGUUAAAGUGAAAGAGUAUGGCAAUAUAUCUGCUUCAAGAGUAUAAAAAAUAACUCCUGCACCAGCUCCAUCACGGUGAGCAGCUCCAUCGAAAUACAUCGACCACAGCGAUUCGACCAUAAACACUUCUUCAUCGGGAAGUUCAUCAGUCAACUCCCACUCGGCAAGUACGGGAUGAUCGCCUAAAAAGUCUGCCAAUAUUUGUCCUUUGACAGCCUUCGCAGGUACAUAAAUAAUUUUGAAUUGUUGAAACUGAAGGUACCAUCUCGCGAGUCGAUCAGACAGUACAGGUUUUGCCAUGACAUAUUUGAUGGGAUUAGACUUAGAUAUGAAUCAAAUAGUGUGUGCUUGAAAAUAAUGUUUUAGCUUCUGAAUGACAAAUGUAAGUGCCAAACACAACUUCUCGAUGGGUGAGUAAUUCAACUCAUUAGAUGUCAUCAUCCGACUCAAGUAAUACAGCGCAUUCUCCUUACCUUCAUCAUUUUCUUGAGCAGGUAAGGCCCCAACCGACCGUUCUUGUGCGAAAAUAUAGAGAAUCAAUGGUUUUCCUGGAAUGGGCGUAGCCAGCACUGGGAGAUUCAUGAGGUACGUUUUGAUGCUUGUAAAAGCAUUCUUACACGAUUCAUCCCACUUGAAGGGUACUCCUUUCUUCAUCAGCCGACUAAAGGGUUGGCAUCGUCCGGCCAAAUUAGAGAUAAACCUCCGGAUAUAUGCCAACUUCCCUUGAAGGCUCUUCAAUUCAUGAAUAUUUCACGGUUCAGGCAUGUUCACAAUGGCAUCAAUUUUAGAUCGAUCGACCUCUAUUCCCCGUUGAUGAAUGAUGAAACCGAGAAACUUGCUAGAAGUGACUCCGAAUGCACACUUCAAAGGAUUCAUCUUCAAUUAGUAUCUCCGAAGGCGUUGGAAAACUCUUCGAAGGUCUUGAAUAUGAUCCUCUCGUUUCUUUGAUUUAACCACGAGAUCAUCAACGUAGCACUCCACAUUUCUAUGGAGCAUAUCAUCGAAAAUUCUUUGCAUUGCCCUUUGAUAUGUUGCUCCAGCGUUCUUCAAGCCAAACGGCAUCACUUUAUAGCAACAAAUUCCCUUAGGGGUGCGGAAGGCAGUGAGCUCCUUUAUCCUCGGGCGCCAUGCGUAUUUGAUUGUAGCCAGACGAUCCAUCUAGAAAAGAUAGUGCUUCAUGCCCGGUUGUAGUCAAUUCUGUGAUGGGGAGGGGAAAAUCAUCUUUGGGGCAAGCCUCAUUUAAGUCUCGAAAGUCAACACAAACUCGAAUUUGCCCAUUCUUCUUCCUUACAGGGACGAUGCUUGAAAUCCAUGUUGGAUAUUUUACUUAUCGUAUGAAUCCGGCUUCAAUCAAUCGAUUUAUCUCAUUUUCUAUCAGAGGAAUCAAUUCGGGCCGAAAGCGCCUUUGAGUUUGCUUGACAGGUUUUGUUCCUCGCUUGACAAACAAAUUAUGAACGGCGACCCUUGGAUCCAAACCAGGCAUUUCUGAGUAAUUCCAGGCAAAGACGUCCCUGAACUCGAGCAGCAAAUCAACAUACUCUUUUUCUUCUUCGGGAGUCAUACAAGAGCUUACGUAAAUUGGGCGAGGAUCAUCGCUUGUGCCAAGAUUAAUCUCUUUUAGCGCAUCGACUGUAUUUUUUACCCCUUAUUCAGGUUCAGGGGGAGCGUCAUCCGCAUCUUCUUCUUCUUUUUCGGGACCACUGAUCGUAAUAUGAUGACAGGAAGCCAUACUUUCUUGACCCUGUUCUUCAAAAAUGGUUUCAAUUCUUACAUUGAAUAAGUCUUCAUAGUGCAUGAAGAAAUUGAAAACUCGCUUUCUUGGUCCGUUCUUCUUUAUUGGAGUAAGACUUUCUUUCUUGGCAACUUGGUACUCUUGCUUUUUACUGCCUAAUCUUUCAUAAACGGGUGGUUUCAAAGUUUUCGACUGCGGGCCAAGUCUGUCAAACACAGAAGUACGCUUUGACUUAUUUCCCAACCUAUCGAACACAGAUCUCUUUCGGCUUGUGACCUCCAUUUUCUCGUUCACGUAGUUACAACUUGCCCUUUUGAUCACUAUACGCACUGGAGAAGGCGGUUGAUAACCAAAACCCAUCGAUGAACUUUCAACAUUAUAACCUUUUUCUUUCAACAUUUUCUGCGUAGGUGUUAACCCAUGAGUUUUCUCGCCAGUCACCUCAGGAGGGAGUUUGCCUAAUGCAUGUUUCUCAUUUGGGUUAUAACCGACCUUAGCAAAAAAUUUAUAUGCAUUUGGAUCAAAACCUUCUUGAGUCCGAUUAGUUGGUAGUGAGUAAUGUUCUACUGCCGGUUCUUCUUUGGGACGAACAAAUCCUUGCAAGCUCGCUUUCUCACUUUUAACAGGCUCUAUUUUAGUGAGCGGAACAUUUAAUGUAUCCUUCCUGAUAAAAGAAGACUGACCUUCUUCUCUCCUUGAUCUUGGAAUAUACCGUAAAAUGGGUACUUUAAAAUCUUGACUUUCUUCCUUUACUGAUUCUUUUCUUUUUGUCUCUUUCUGAAGGUAAAAUUUGACGUCGGCAAAGUGAACCUCGGCCUCAGUGAAAGGUUUAUCAUCGGCAACAACCUUCUUAACUAUACCGUCUCGACAAUAUUUGAAACAUUGAUGCAGAGUAGAUGGCAUAAUUUCAUUUUCGUGAAUCCAGGGUUGUCCCAAGAGCAUAUUAUAAGAGGUUUUGGCUUCAAUGAUAUGAAAUAACGCACUUGAAGACAAUUCACCAAUGACCAAUUCAAGUCUUAUGAGACCAAUUGCUCUUUGCCCCCCUUGGUUAAAUCCUUGGAUCAUGAGGCGGCUCUGGGAGAGUUCAUCGCUUGAGAUUCCUAGUUCUUUCAUAGCACGUACGGACAUAAUAUUAACAGCAGAUCCCCCAUCAAUGAGUAUCCGAUUCAUCUUCUGUUCUCGGACAUACGCACUAACAAACAAAGGUCGAUUGUGGGUUUUGAACUCAACAGUUAAAUCGUCAUCAUCAAAAAUAAUAGUCGUUGCACAAUCCACUGACGGUUUAUCAUCGAUUUUGAGUUUUUCUCAAAUUUAGUGCCAAUUUGUGUGAUUUGAGGAUUUUCAGCUUUGACGACAUUACAAGAAGUGGAAUCAUCAGCAUCGUCACUUAAAUACCCCUUGGAUAUAAAUUCUCUCAGUGUCACGGGCUGUCGAAUCUCUUGAAGGGGCUGAAAAUCUGAAGGAAUUGGCAUUGUGACCACUCCUUUUUGUUUCUUUGUUGCAUUUCGUUGUUUCAUUGUCACUUUAGACUUUGUCGAACGAAUGCUUUUCGAAAAGAUUACUUCUUUAUUUUUGGCUUGCAAGUCCUCUUUCGAGUGACUAAAGUCUAUCCUUCAUUGUCAUCUUCAAUAACGUUUUCAAUUGAGGAUUUUUCAAGCUCCUUAGACAAAGUACUACUCGAUAUAGAUAAAACUUCUAUCGGACAACACAUAGACCCAAACAUUAUUGUCGUUUGGUUUGUCGAUACUUUAUCUUCCUCGAGAAGGAUUUUUCAUUGACGGGCCAAUUCCAUAAUUUUGUCUUUAAAGACAAAGCAUUUGGUGAGAGGGUGGCCAAUCAAACGAUGAUAACAGCAAUAGUUUGGAUCAUUGACUUGACCGGCUUCCUCUGGGCCCUUCAUUUCGGGAAGUUCAAGGAGUUUCUCCUUGAAAAGAUCAUCAAACAUCCAUUGUAAAUCUGAUUCAAGAAAUGGGUAUUCUUUUUCUUGCAUCUCCUUUAACGUGGGUCUUCUUACUGACCUAUUUUGGGAUGGAUCCAACUUCUCAGUGACCUUUCGGCUCACUUUGGUAGCAAUUUUCAUGGGAGCUGUAUUUAUUGCCAUGGACUCCUUAUUACUGAGUCUUGAAGGAGGCUUGCCCCCUUUUUUAUUUUUUUGCCUUUCAUUGCUUUGACGAGACGGCUGCACUCGCGGAGCUUGAAUAGGAAGCCCAUCAGUUGCAUUGGCCGUGAUGCUUAACUCCAUAUCAUGAGCACGAGUAGCUAACUCUUUAAAUGUGUUUGGGCGUAUACCCUGUAAAAUGUAGCUUAGGCUCCAAUGCAUUCAUCGGAUGCACAUUUCUAUGGCAGAGGGUUCAGACAGUCUGUCCUUGCAGUUAAAACUCAGACUUCUCCACCUAUCAAUGUAGUUGACCACAGGUUUAUCCUUUCAUUGACGAGUGUUAGUCAACUCCAGCAUACUGACGGUUCUUCUAGUGCUGUAGAAGCGAUUCAAGAACUCUUGUUCCAACUGUUCCCAACUGUCAAUGGACCCCGGAGUGAGAUCAGUAUACUAAUCAAACGCGUUGCCCUUCAAGGAUCGGACGAACUGUUUGACUAGCAGGUCACCAUAGGUUCCAGCGUUAUUGCAAGUUUCGACAAAAUGGGCCACAUGUUGUUUUGGGCUACCUUUCCCAUCGAACUGUUGAAAUUUAGGCGGUUGAUAUUCGGCAGGCAUUGCUAGAUUAUCAAUUCUAGCAGUGUAAGGCUUGCAGUAGGUAAAUCUUGACUUUGAACCACCCUCCUUUUUAUCUUUGAUCACGCCUUCAACAAGUUCCUUUAGUUGUUCUACAGGGAUAGUUCCCUCGACGGUCACAUAUACUUCCUUCACAUUAUCCUUGCCUUUAGAUGAGGGAAUUUCACGCUCUUGGUGCUCCUUAGGGUUCGCAUGGUUUCCUUCAGGAGCGUGAUCUUUUUGGGUGAGCAGUUGGGCAAUAAGAGCAUCUUGGUCCUUGAUGUGUUUCAUCAUGGUCUCCAUCAUCUUGGACAUGUUCGAAACUUGUUCUUCGAGACUUAAAGUAUUUGUCAUCAUAGCAGGCAUUGCAGCAGAAGAAACAGCAGAAUCUUCAAUAGAAAAUCUUGAAUGAAAAGUUUCAUGUGAAGAGGCUGAUCCAGUGCUUGAUGAAUCAUCUUCAUGCUUAGAAAACUUGGAUUCGGAUCCAAAUUCGAGCAUAGCAAGAGCCUUCUCAAUCGAGACAGGAACGUCUUGGAUUCCCAUCGUGGAAGAAUAGCUCAUUGGUGAUGUUGAACCGAAGACGGGAGUUGGCGCCGAUGGAGCUUCCAUGCUACUUUGGGUGGAGGCUCUCGUCAUACUCCUUGUCACAGGACCAAUAGCGCGGGUAUUGGUGGCAACAUGUGCAACUUCCUGAAUAGGCUUAGCAUCAAUAGCCUUGGAACGUGCAAUUAUGAUUUGUUGCUCUUUGGUGCCAUUGGUGAUAUACGUAGCUGAACAUUCGAGGAGAAGAGAUGGAAGGCAGAGAUGGUCCCACCGGGCGUGCCAAAAAUUUGUACGCGAUAAAAUUUCAAGUCUGCAAAACGACAAGAAAAAUACACGGCAAAUAUAUGAUAUAUAAAUUUAGGAAAAUAUGUAGGUACAAUCUCUGGGGUUUUCUCGAACUUGUGAAGAGUUUCCCUCGAUUCUUCUCCUCGAACGCCAAUCCAAGGAUUUCAUGGCUUGUUCUUGGAUCCACCACCGAUUCCUUCAAAUCUUGAUAUGGAAGAUUUGAAGGAUUUCAAAAUAUUUGAAGGUUCAAUCCCUGAUAUAUGGAAGACUUGAAGAGAUUGAAGACCCGGACAUUCGUAGCUUGGAACUUCACCACUUGAGAGUAUGAGAUGCCUCCUGGUGUGUGCCUCUGUGUCUGUGUCUGUGUCUGUGUCUUUGAUUUGGUUGAGAGACCCCUAUUUAUAGUUGUAGCAAGAGGUAGAGGUUGAAGACCUGUGUACUACUUUACUUGUCUUACAAGACGUGCAGUCAUAUUAGGACUGUACCAGUCAAAUAUUAUCUCUUCGUUUUAUAUUUAUUAAUAAAGAGAUAAAUAAUUUAUCGAUUGGCCAAACUCAUGGGGACACGUGACGUAGCGUCAUUUGACUGGACAAGAUAUUGCAGUAUAUAAGAAAUAUACUUGGAUUAAACAACUCUAAAUAUUAUCCCUUUAAUAAGAAAUAAAUACUUAGAUAUUUAUCCAAUAGGCAUGUGAUAUGAUAUGAUUUGGUUGGUAGAGAUAUCCCAGCAAUUUGAAUUGAUUUGGAACACCUCAACUUAACACGUGGAGAAAUAUAAUUGGCCAUUUAAUAACCAAAAUUUUCAAGUGUACAUGACAUAUGUCAAUAUCCAAUUAGAUAAAAAUAAGCCAUAAAAAUAAAUUAUAGACCAAUGGUAAUUUUAGGAAUUGAUUAAAAUUUCAUUGUCUACAAUAUAUAUUAAAUAAAGUUUUUAUUAUUGAAGCAAACUUUAAUCUUCUAAAUGAUUUUCAUAAAAUAAUUUUAUAUUGGUAGUUAUAAUGUUCAGGGGUAGUUAUGUUGAAAACAUAUAUUUAAAUAGUUGAAAGUAAAAAUAAUCAUGAGUAGGUAUAGGUAGUUAAAGUUAAAGUAGUUUUUAUAAGGGUGCAAAAGGAAGUUCAUAAAGUGAUCAUAAAUGUUAAUCCCAAAGUUAACCCUUUCCUUAGACUUUAUAUGUAGUAUAGAUAUUGGUGAAUUUAACUAAUGAGGGAACAAAGUGAGAAAAAGAUAAUAAAUUUGGAAUUCUAUGUGGGAAUUCUUAUAAAUAACCCGAGUUUGAUACUAAAAAAACUAAUGCCUUGUUUAGAAAGAGAUUUUUUAUCAAAAAAUCUACACGUUUUCCGUAAACACAUUUUUUAAUCACCUUUUUACCUCACAUAUAUCAAAUCGCUACCGUUUAUUUUUUACAAAAAUUUCAAAAAAUUGCAAUCCAAACAUAACCUAAACUUUUAUAGUGCGCCCAUGGAUAAUUUGGAAACUGUGAUGAUCUAAUAAAAGUUUUCUAGGGUUAAAAGCAAUAAGCCCCCAAAACUUUUGGGAUGCUUUGCACUUGCACUACAGUCUCUAACGUUGAUUUUGUGCCAUUUAGUACUUUUGUUUUUUUAAAUGAGAUGUCUUAAAUUCAAAACUUCAUACUUACAAUUCCUUCCACCUCACCACUUAACCAUACCCUCCACCCCAAACUCCAAUUUUACUACUUGUGUUAGUCAACCUCAACAUUUGCCGUUAAAUGGUACUAAUUUCUAAAAUUACCCUGAUUUCUAUGACAAUGACAAAAAUGCCUGUUGUCCUAAAUAUAAUAAAAAGAUCUCCACAAAACCCUGCAAUCCUUUUGUUUAAUAUAAAAAAGUUUAAAAAAACACCGCAAGCAUUUUGACAGUGCCAAUACAACAAAACCACAAUCUUCCUUUAAUUAACUUAAAUGGAGCGAAGUAUUUCUUCCAAUGUUCUACUCCAUAAUCUUUUUUUUUUUUUUUGGAUUAACCGUAGGAGAGCGAAGUACUUUUGUCCUUUUUCUCCUUUUUAUCAAUCUCACAGCUGACAAAACAAAAAUUUUCAAAUCUAUCUAAACUAGCAGUUCCGUCUUUCACUUAUCUUUUUGCUUUAACAGGUUUUGUACCUAAACAUUUAUGUUUUUUUUCCCCGCAAAAUUAUGUGCUAAGUACAUUCAUUUCCAGAAUAGACAAUUAGAAACAGCAAUGCUAUUAUUCAUAUGUUCAACUCGUUUGAAUUUGGAAAAGGUUUAAUCACGGAAUAAACAAAUAAAACUCGAAAACAAGAUUGAUUUGGAGCCAACACACAAAUUUGGGUGCAAGCGGAUUGAAUAUGUUAUUGAACCCCACAAAAAAUUAUAUUGUUGCCCCACUUUGCCCCCUUAUUCUCCUUAUCAGUAUUGCAACUAGAGGUGUCAAAAUGGGUUAUUUGGACGGGUUUGGGUUGGUUAAAAUGGAUAAUAGGUAUAAGUGAGUCAACCCAUUUAUACCUAUUUAAUUAAAUGGGUAUAAAUAGCCAAGCCAAAAAUGAAUUGGAUAACCCAAUUACUCAUUUAUAACCCAUUUAUUUUACCUUUUUAUAAACUCAUUUAAAUUCAUUUUGCAAACUAAGUUAUCAAUUUAUACCACCAUUUACACCCAUCAUUAGUUUUAAAUAUUUACUUAUAAUGCUCAAUAAGCCUAAUUACCAAAUUUUUUUCCAUCCGUACUCUAUGUCGUAAAAUUACAUGCUAUUUAAUAAUUGAACAAUCAGAAUAUAAAAAUUUCAACUAAGUAUUAUAAAAGUUAACAUAAAAAUUUAAUCCAAAAAUUUUAAACUCCUAGCAUUUUUUUCAUGUAUAAAUUUAAAAUUUCAUUUUGAAAAAGUAGGAAAAUAGGCUAAAACUUGUCAUAAAUUGGUAACACUGAAGAGUAAGUUAACAAACUAAGAGAAAAUAAAAUGAUAAGAUAAAACCAACCAAUAAUAAUAAUAAUGAAACAAAAAUAGUUAACAUCAUAACAAAAUGAAGAAUCUGAAAAAAAAAUGGGUGGGAGAAGAGAGAAGGCUUGGGGGAAGAUAAUUCUAAAUGGGUUAAUUGGAUUUGAUGGAUUAUCAAUAAUACCCAUUUAUUUAAAUGGGUAUUAUUGGAUAAUCCAUUUAUACCCAUAUGCAAAAAUUUAAGAUACCCAUAUCCAUGUGUUCAUGGGCGGGUAUGAGUAAAUUUAGUUAAAUGGAUUUAUUUGCCACCUAUAAUUGCAACCAAUGCAAGUAAAAAUUGCGAUACUUCUUUACUACAACAUAAGGACGUGAAUUUAUCAGAUAGAAAAUGGAGAGAAAAAAAGGGCAAAAUACACUUAACUCUCUUGUGAUUUAGUGAUUUUUUACAUAAACUCCCUAUAGUUUCAAAUACUAUAUAUAACCCCCUCAUAAUUUGCAUUAAAGUUUCAAAGUGACAGAAGUGAUUAUUUGUAAUGAAACCCGUGAAAAUAUUGAAAUUGCCCUUGUUUAAAACCUAAAAUGACUGAACUGAUCAAAAAAUAUAAAUAUAAUAUGCAUGACACUCUAACAUCGUAUAGUUUUAUAUUUUACUAUAUAACCCCCUUAUAGUUUAGUGUUUUACCAUAUAAUCCCCUUAUGAUUUUUAAAAUAUAUACAUAAUCUCUUAUGGUUAAUAAAUAAUUUUUAACUUUACAUAAGAGUAUUUUUAGCAUUUUAGUUGACUCCAUUAUGGAAUACAAAUUCAGUCAUUUUAAGACUUUAAUUCAAAUCAUGAGAGGGGUAUGUGUAUCUUUUGAAACUAUAGGAGAAUUAUGUUAAAAAACAUUAAACCAUAGGGGGUAAAGUGUAUUUUUCCAAAAAAAAAAAGGAAAAACAAGGAGUGAGACCAUUUUCUCAUUUUAUAUUUGCACUUUAGUAAAAUAGUUAAUCAUUUUUCUUCUUUUAAAUUGUAAAACUCAACCUCUUUUAAUUUACAAUUUCAUUUGAAUGUUAUUUUAAUUUUGAUCUUAGUUCUUCAAAAUUGGCAUAUUAAUUUCCUACAAUUUUUUUAAGGAAAAAAAAAAGCAUAAAACAUGGCACUUGAAGCUGGUUGUCGGCACUUAUAGCUUGUAUCAUUUGUUUGCCGGGUACAAGUUAUUGGACUAAGACAACUCAUGGAUAAUUAAGUUGAUUGCACCAGUGGGGUUUUUGGUGGCUUAUCUCCUCCUUAUCAUGUUUGUUCCGACGAUGCAGCCGGCCAAAGAAAUAGGAUGAGAAAGAGAAAUGGGCGCAUGGAGACGAAGGGCCGGCGGCUCCUUUUGAUAUAUCAUCGGUCCCAAUUGUUUGGGAAAUCUAAAAGCGAAGGAGAUAACAAAUGCAUGCAAUUAUGCGAAUCGGAAGAGAUCUGAAUUUUUUUGGAUCAAUUCAAGAACUCUCUAUUAUAUUAGAAAGGGCAAUAAUGCAAUGUCACAUCCACAGGACCAGCUGGUCGUUUGUCAAUUAUUUUACAGUGCGAAAUUAUGAAAUUCGCAAAGGGAAAUGCUUUCCUGCUCAUGAGCCGAUGAGACAGUGGAGUGCUGGCGGCCGCCGCCCUUCGAAAAUUUAAGUUUGUGCGUGGAUUGUAAUUUUUUAAAGAAAAAUUACUACGUUGGGUAUAUUUUUCAAUCACUUUUUUAUUUCACAGAUAUUAAAUCACUACAGUAUUUCUUUUACAAAAAAUUCAGAAAAAUGCAAUUCAAACAAAGCUUAAAAUUUUAUUUAUAUCAGAAUUUUUUUUUGUAAAACAUUAUAAUUUUAUUAAAUUUUGUAUUAAUAGCAUAAGUUACAUCAUCUGAAAAGUGGAUACUAUAGACAUGAAAAAUAGAUAAAAAUUACUCUAUAAAAUUCUAAAAAAUAGUUUAAAAAAUAAGAUAAAAUAAUUGUAACCUCACGAAUAUCUAUGCAUGCUUGUGAUCGUCAAAUCUAUUGAUUAAUUUUUUCAAUUCUGAAUAUUAUGGUGAGAUUUACCCAAUAAACUCAAGAAAUUCCAAAUUUGAUAAAUAAAAUCUAAAAAAAAAGUUAGAUCGAAUAAAAGAAAAUAAAAAAAAAACUACCUAAAGCUUUCACUAGAACUCUCACUAGGCAACACUAAGAGAGGAAAAAAUUCUCACUAGAAAAUUGUAAGAAAUUUUAUUUGUACAAAUGAAAAAAAAACUAUAGAUAAAGCUCCUCCUAUGGAGAAAGAUUAAAAAAAUGUGAUUUCUCACCCGAAAGAAUUGAAUGAAGUUUUGGUUAGAGAAUUUUCCUAAAGAGAAACUAAUUCUCUCUUUCUUCUCUCAAGAAUUGGUGGGAGGCUUUUUUUAUGUCUUAUACAGUUCAUUCUUAUUUAUAUCAGAAUUAAGAGAAUGGAAAAUGACAAUUUGGAGAAAAAAAUUGGAUCAAAGCCUUGAUAAUUGUAAGGUCCAAUUAAUAUUCUAGAUCUUGGCCAUUUUAGCUCGAGCUAAUCUAGGUCAUCCAUCUCUUUUCUAAAGAAAAUUUCUUUUUUUUUGUUGUUGUCAAAGUUAAUGGCCCAGAUUUGGACCACAUCAGCUAAACUUGAUUUGAACCAUUAAUUGUACGUAUGCCAAGCAAUUGUGUACUCUAGUUUUAAAAGAAGCCAAUUGCCAUGGAAGGUUUUAAAAGACCAUCUUAAUCCCUGAAUUAUAAAACAGUCAUCCUCCUUCCACAUCAAAAGACCACCACCGCAGCUUACUCCACCCUUCAUUCACAAACCCAGUCAACAAUUUUUGCCUACAUGUCAAUCUUGAUUAUCUUGCUAUAUCCCCUUAUUCUUCCUUUCACGCUAUCUUCUCCCAUAUUGAAGAAGCAAAACCAUGAUGAAAUAUUGUUUUGGGGGAGGAAUAUGUUCAAAAGGGUGACUUUAGGGCUAUCAAUGGGUCCGGACCCAAAUCUGAUCCAAUAUGCUCGUUUGUUCGAACCUGACCAAAUUCAAAUUAUAUGCAUUCUAAAUGGAUCGGGUAUGGAAUUACAUGUUCCAAUUCGUGUGGAUCCGGUCCAAUUAAUUGGACAUAUAUAAGUAAUAAACUAUAAUAUUCAUGAUAAAUUGUCACUAACCCACAUGUUUUCUCUUUGAAAAAAACAAAAGGCACUCUAAGAACCAAAUAAUCUUUGGAAUUUUCCUCAUUGUGUAGUUACUAUUUUAUUAACAAAAUUUGUGUAAUAAUAGAAUACAAAUAUUAUAUUUUUUUUUUAAAAGGAAAUUUUAUUAAUGAAAGACUGAAAACAUAGCCUGGGAUAAAGCAAAAGCCUUAGCCCCUAAAAGCAAAACGGAAGUUACAAAAAUUUUGCAGAUCCAAAGCCAAAAAUCCCCUAGUACGAGUCGGCAACUGUGAGCCCUUAGUGAAAAUAACUCGAGUACCUGACAUGGCCCCAUAUGCCGCUAGCGAAUCCGCCACUGUAUUCCCCUCCCGGUAGCAAUGGCAGAAGUGGUGAGAGCUUGGCUCACCCAGCCGAAUAGCACGAACUAUAGGCCGAAUCCCCGUGGGGACUCCCCAUUCCCCCCUUAAACACUUAAUCAGAACCAGGCAGUCAGAUUCUACGGUUAACCGAGAGACCCCAACUUGGCGCCCCAAUUGAAGCCCUAAGAGGAGUGCGCGAGCCUACGCCUGCAAAGAGUCCACACCACCAAAUGAAUCCACAAAAGCAACAAUAAACCUCCCACACGAAUCCCUAAUCACCCCUCCGCCCCCGCUACCUUGAUAUUUGUAUCCCAAAUGAAUACAAAUAUUAUCAAAAAUUUUGUUAUCCUAAAUUGAUUUUAUCGAUUGGAUGUAUCCGAAAUAGAUUUGAAUCCAACAGAAACUGGAUCCAGGAAUACAUAUUAAGACUCAUUAGGUAAAUGGACUGGGAUCCACAAUAAUUAUUACUUGUCGGAUUUGUGGUAGGAGUUAUCAUUUUGUUUCUUUUUGGGCAAAGCCCAUACUAAUGGAGAGGGAUGCCUGUCCCAAAUUUAUUACUAAUAGAGAAAGAAAGGGCCAGGCAUUAAUCUAAACUCUAAUACAAGAAAAAGAAGCUAAUGAAAUGGAAACUAAUAUUUGGCAAACUAAUACUAUCAACAGAAAUAAUAGCUUUCACUGUGAAGGCAAUUCCGACGUAGAAGUGCAAAUCUGCUGCCCAGAGAGAGUUAAAGAAACAAGAAAGUAAACUGAAACAUUUGCUCCACGAUAAAUGUGAUGAACAGAACCCAAUAACACCUUGAAGCAAAUGACGAGUUUGAACUAGAGCACUACACAUUGGCCAAUUAGCGAAAGCAUUGGUUGAUAAAGGUGCACAGGUAGCUUAGCAUUCACCUGUACCAGUACAUCAUCAAAGCCACUUUCAUAACACAAUUGUAAACCAAUUAUAGUGCAUUAUUUUCUACCAGCAAAAAAUUUGCCUCAUCAAAUUCUUCAUAAAAUACAAAGACAAUCCUAUCAAUAUCAUGAUGCAAAAUGAGAAAUUUCGGGUUCGAAUCUUCCCGUCUAAACUAUUAAAAAAAAAAGCAAAAAAAAAAAAAAACCAUGAUGGUCUUGCAGAAGACUCUCUCGAGAUGAAUCUAACCUUUUAGUACUGGUAAUAGUAUUGAGUAUAUAAUGCUUUUCCAUGGUGGAAACCAUGAGACAGCCAUUACCGAUGUCUUCAUGGAAGUUUCUAGCCUAAAAAACUUUGCAGUAUAAGUAUUCUAAUCACUUAUUACAUAAAAUCCUAUCACCAAAGGAACCUGCUUCUAACAUGUACUUAAGCAAAGAAAACAUACAUGUACGAAGCAAUAUCACAAAACUAAUAUAGGUACAAUACAUCUAAUAGGUGCUUUUUCUAGAAACAAAUUAACAAGAAGACAUCAGCAAAGAAGAGAUACAUGUACGAAGCCAGAAGGAAAUUCUAAAAAUUGGGAAGUAAUGCCCGGCAAACUUGAACUGGAAUCGAGCCUUUCUGUUAAAAUAUGCAGCAAGAUUUUGAAACCAAAUUAUCUGAACAACAAGAAGAGCUUUAUUUUGAAACCAAAAUAAUACCACGGACCUGAAUAUCCUCAUCUCAACGGCUAGAGGGAAUUCCAUGUGAUCUUCAAAACAAUGGAAGAAUUCUUCUUCUUUCUCACCUCCCCCCUCCCAAGCCGAAGCUAGAGUAAAACAACCAAAAGUAAACAGCUGCCACACCAACAUAUCUUCUUGAUCUGAUCAAACCCUAACUUCAAAAUUGCAGCCACUAUACGAAGAGGAAGCCGGUCAUUCAGCCGAGCAACAUUCCAAUCGAAAUUCAUAAGAAAAACUCAGCUACUAGACAAUAUGGUGAAUAAUCCAUAUCACAAACAACAGCAGAGGGUUCAUCCAAGACCCAUUUAUCAAACCAAAAAUCUAUCAUUCUCUACUCUACGCACCAAUCGAUAUUCACUUCAGCAACUUCUUUAAUGUAAAACAAAUGUUUUCAAACAACUUAACCCACGCAAGAUUGAACUUGCGUUGGAUGAAGAGCAUGAAGAUAUUUCUGCUACGUCAACUUUGCCUAAACUGAUUUUUUUUUUCUAAAAUUCUAUCGUGGCUUAAUACUGAAAGCAUGGAUCUAAACCCUAGACCUCCUCUACUAGAAAACGUAUGUUUUCCCAAGAAGACCAGUGAAUAUGCCUCGAAUUAUCUUUAACAUCUGACAGAAAGCUAUUAUACGUACACUCAAUAGUUCUAACCACCACUUUCGGAGGAGAUAGCACUUGCAACAAGUACAUAAGAAUUUAAGAAGGGACAUGUUUCAGUAUAAUUAUUUUCCCACCAGCCGAUAAGAAUUUAGAAUGCCAACCACAAUUCUCCCUCUGAUUUUCGAUACAAUGCUGUCAAACAUUACUCUCUUUGAUCUACUCUAAUAUAAAGAAACUACCAAAUAGGAAAAGGGGAGACAUUGGCGUUGAAAUCCCAAAUAGAAGAUACAUGCACAUCUAGCAGUCAAGAUCUUAUCGGAACAAAUAAAUAAGCUAUUUGCAACCUUGAUCCACUGAUCAGAUUAGCAGUGAGAAAGAAAGUACUUUAUGUGAGGACCCGAAUUUUACUCACUUAUAAUUCCAUUUUAAUUACUUAAUUAAUUAUUCAUUCACCCAUUUUCUCCGAAUAAUUUAUUUCAACCCUUUUUGAACCAUUUAUAUGGAACUAUGACUUCUAUAUAUUCUUAAAAUAUCCCGUUAAUAAAUUUAAUUUUCGGAAGCUCGUUUAGUGAGAUUUAGUGAAUAAGCGUUUGGAGAUAAUAUUCGAUUUGAGAGUACAGUGGCUUGGAGAUUUGAAGACUUAUAUAUUAGUCUUAAAAUAGGUAUUUUUUAUGUUUAAGUAUUCAAAUAUUAGUUAGUUAUACUAUCGUCAUAAGACAUUCUUAGAAAUUUCACUUUAUCGUGCACAAAUCAGAAGUACGCGUUUUUACUCGCGCAAUUAAUGGAGGGGCUUAAGACCUUUAUUUUGGGACUAUUAAGAGUGAAUAAUAAUAAUAGGAAUGAAAGUGCAUUAGAGAUUUAGUACACAAGUGAAAUAAACUCGAGAGGAAUCGAGCACGUAACGCGCGCGUACGCGCGGAAGAGAGAGUUGACUUUUGAACCAAUUUAGAGCCACAUAUUUUAGCUUCUCUUGGAAGCUUUAUUUGCAUCACACUCUCUCUUUCUUUUGCUCCAAGACAGCCGGCCAUCCUAAGCUUGAAGAACAACUAAAGUUCUUCAUUUUUCUUCAUCAAAUCUUGCUUCAAUCCUUCACCAACUCACCUCAAACUUCAACCACACUUUGCUAAGCACUUGGUGAUCAUCUUAAGCUACAAAAGAGCUUGCUUUCCACGGCUUUUCUUGGGCUAAGGAGGACCAAAAAUUCUGCCUUGAAACAUCUAGCAAAGUAAGUGACGAUCAAACCUUCAAAUCUUGAUUUAUGGAAGUAAUAUAGCACUUAUAAGUUCAUAUCUUCUUGUGGGUAGCUUUAUUGAUGUUGGAAAGUUGUUGUGUGGGCUCUAUGAACUCACACUAUGGUUUGAUGGACUGAUUUGUGGCGUUUUGAUGUUAUUAAUGUUGGUUUAGCGCUUAAAUUAGUAGAAAUGAGUGAUAUUAUGGAUGAAAGCUCAGAGGGAGUGAAGAUGGAAAACUUUUCGUUUCCGUCCCUGUGAAUGUCCGUGACCCUUAGAGCAACAUUUUGUGGUUCUAUUGACUUGUUUAUGAUGUGUACAUGUUGUGUGGGUGGUGUAGAAAGUUUCAUCAAAAAAUUUCAUGAUUUGGUUGGCCAAAUGAUGUGUUUUCGGAAGUCAGCAAAAACUGGAAAUUUUCCCGUAACUGCUCUGGCAGUGUUUUUUGUUUUGGUUAUAACUUUUUGGUCCGACGUCAAAAUCGAGUGCUGUUUAUGGCACUGGAAACUAGAAAUUCCCAACUUUCCAACGGUAUAAAAUGAACAUUCUGAUUCCACCUGAGUAGUCCAUACCAAUCGUUUGAACAUGACUGUCCUGUUUCGCGUCUACACUAGGAGCUCUGUUUUGAGCAGCGAAUUGAUGCUCAAAUAUGAGUUAGCUGUGGAUAGAUUUUGAAAACGACUUCCUCUAAUAAAUUGUAGCUUUAUGAAUCUAGUUUUCAACGCCACUGACCACGCUCGAUUCCAAUUUGAAUUGAGUGAGUUAUGGCCUGAUUUUGAAAAUGUGAUAAAGCUAGAAAUCUGAAAAAAAUCCCUUCCUUCAUGUUGGCCGACAGGUUUAGCUUGAUGUGGGAGGUUUUGUUUCGAAAUUCUUGAUGUCCAUUUUUUGUCAAGUACUUAUCAAAUGUUUCUAGAACACUGGUUUCACAAAUGAAUCAAAUUGGACUGAUUUCAUGAUACAAAGUGUCUGAAAAGGAAAGAGAAGCUUGAGUUGGCAGAUUUGCUUUGAAAAUUUCACAAACUUCAGUCAUUUUGUUAAUUGCCUUUCCACGUGAUUUUUUCCGUGAAAUUUGGUAAAGAUAUAGUUCAUAUAUGGAAGUUUUGGUGUAUCAAAAUUGGUGUUAUUCUAAGACCAUUUUGAUACCCAAACGAUGUCCCAAAUUUGCCCUUCGAAUCUGAAAAACUUUUCCUUUUCUCUUGGCCAGAUGGUCAAAUCUGAUUUGGGAAGUUAUAUUUCGAAAACUUGAUGUCAAUUAUCUCUAAAUUGCUUAUUGGAUGUUUAUAGAACAUUGGUUAUGACAUUUGAAUUAAUUGAGGUUGAUGGUGUGGAUCAAAGCUUUUAAAAAGGAAGGAAACGUGAGAAGGCAGAUUAGCCUUGGAACAUUUCUUGAACUUUAGUUGUUUUAAUGAUUGCCUUCCCGUGGGAGUUUUUACAUGAAACUUGGUAGAAAUGUUGUACACAUAUGGAAGACUUAGUGUAUCAAUUUUGGUGUAUUUCCAAUGCCAAAUCGAUACUUCAAAUAUAGCCUUUCAAUCCUGGAAAAUGACAGAACAGUUUAUAAAUAGCGACCAAAUUUGAGCUGCUAUAUUUUGACACUCAAAACUCUAAUUUCAGUUCUGUUUGUUGUGUUUUAAACCUUGAUUGGAAUUCUAAUUGAGGUACAAAUUUCGGAGGCCAGUUCACUUCUUGUGAAUUUUUCCGAAUUUCCAAAGUUUGCCAAAAAACAUUACUAAAACUGUCUUGCCUGUUCAGAUCAGCCUCUUUGAGCUGAAAAAUGAUUGUUUUCCGAUUUGAAUCUUAGAAAAGUGUCUUCUAGGAACUUUUAGUACUUUGAAAUUAGAUUCCAACGGUAUAAUAUUUUCCAUUUUUUGACCUACUGAGUGCAAGAUAUGAUUUUUCUAAAUUUGACGCACAAAGCCGAAAUUUGCCGAUUUCUUAAAAAAAUGAAAUUUUGGAAACUUGACUUCUUAUCUUGAUAUUAAUCUAUUGUUUUGAACCCAAUUUCAUGGAGGAUAUGAGUUUGCUCAGUAACUUUAAAAUCCACACUUUUGAAUCUUAGCCUGCGAUAAAAUAAAACCCUUAUAAAGACAUUGACUUGAAUUCUAAAACAAGUAUGCAUUCUUUCCUGUUUGAUAAGGAAUUUGUGAAAUUGUGAGGGUGAUUAUUGGUCACUUUUCUUCAGGCGAUCAAGAAGGUCUCGAAGAAAAUCCCGAAGUGGAUCAUUGACGGCUUUCUUUACUCACUUAUUUUGAUUGGUGAGUGUUCCAUAUAGGAAUACGUGAUUCGAAUAGUUUUAUGACAUGUUUACUCCAUGGUCAUUAUGUGUUUAAUUGUUAAAUGCUACCGAUAAUUGUUUCAAUGGACUUUUCCACCGUUUUAAGGCGAGUGUGUACUUUAUCUCACUCGACCUACUAAAAUGAUAAAUCUUACCGUUAACCGAGAUUAUUUACCGUUUACCGUUCACCGUUUACCUGAUUAUUUACUUGAUUACCUGCUUACCUGAUUACUGGACUACUUGAUUGUGUGAUUACCGUAAAUUACAUAUUCACAUGAACUUUUCCACAGUUUUACGGCGAGUGUGUACUUCAUCUCACUCGACCUACAAAAUUGAGAAAUUUUUACCGUUUACCGAUUUACUUGUUACUUGUGCAUGUUGUAAGCUCUAAACUGAACUGGGCCCUGCCCUUGGUUACUGACCUACUCAAGCCAAGACUAGACUCGGUCGGGUAGGUUGGAACCCUGGGACACCAUUUUGGUAUACUCGAGUACUACCACUGGAGGGAUAAGGUGAUGGCCAGACAAACCGAGGGGAUUCUGAAGUUAUAAGGUGCAGUUGACCGAAAUGGUUCCACCGGAACACCGUAUCCUUCAAUGCGUGUUUCUUUUACAUAAUGAUAACUGUUUCAUGCUAAUGUGCCAAUGUGCAACCCAUAAGCCAUACAUGUGAUAUGUUCAAAUUACUCGUAACAUGAUAACUGUCUCAUGUUAAUGUGCCAAUGUGCAAUCGUGAACCAUAUAUGUAUCAUGCCUAACUUGUUUGAUUUAUUAGAACUGCUAGAGUGUCUUGGAAUCUCACUGGGUUGUGUAGCUCAUUCCACGUUUUUGUUUUCCUUAAUAGGGUUCGAGACCAAGAGUGCUCGUGAAUAGUACUUGAUUGUUUUCUUUUGAAAACUUUAAUUUGUAUUAUAGCUGAUGGCUAUAGUACAUAUUCCGUUGGAUUGUAUUUAAGUUUGAAAGCUAACUAAUUGUAAGUAUGAGAUAUUUUGGAGUACUUUAAUUAUGUAUUGAAGUUAUUUGAAGCAUUCCGAACUUUUGAAUUUGGAUUGUAGUGAGUCCUGGCGAGAGUUGGGCAGGCGUCCUGCGGAUAUCCUUUGGUUCGCCUUAGGGAGAAGUGGGGGCGUCACACUUUAUCACCUUCAAACACCUCUUCAAGCAAUGUGUAAAAAUGAUUGUAUCAUCAGCAAAAGCAAGAUGCAAAACUUGACCUCCUGAUAAUGCAAAAAACAUCCUCCUCCCAUUUUCAAAUAAAUAAAUCAAUCCAUGACCAAGAUAUUCAGCAGCUAUCACAAAUAAAGUUGGUGAUAAUGGAUCUCCUUGACGACGAACACCACGAAAGGACUUUAAGAAUCCCACAGCUCCACUAUUUAAACUAAUUGAAAUCCAAUUGUUGGAGACAAUGCGAAACACAAGAUCAUUCUAGUAUUCGCUAAACCAAAAAUCUCAAUAUUUGCAUAAUGAAAGACCAAUUCACCUAAUCACAUGCUUUCUCUUAACACAUUCAGUUCCCGGAGUUUCUUAUCAAUCUCAGCCACAAGCUCUUGAACUAUCAACAUGAAAUCAUUAAUUCGUCUUCCCAGCGUAAAUGCCGUCUGCAAUGGGGAUAGAAAGAUAAUUUAUGGGAGAAUUGUUGGGUUUGUGAGUCCAACCCAUUUGUUGGGCCAAGUCACAAUUAGAGCCCAAAGCCCGUGUUCAUUUGGUUUCCGAGUCAGUUUUUGACUUGAGAUUAUAGCAAGUGACUAGUCAAUUAACUGAAACUUGAAGUCGCACAAAAGGGAAUAAAUAUCAACCUGUGAGAUUAAUUGCAAUGUUAUUAAACUCGAACCGGAGCGAUUUGGCUAAACUAUUGAAUCAAGGGUCAACUAGUCAGAUCGGUUGGACUGUUUUUAAAAACCCGCUCUUGUCAACAUGACGUCAUAGUUAUUUUAUAUAUUUUUUUAUAAAUUACAGAAAUAUUGAAAUUAAGUUCUUAGUUAUAUUCGACCAAUCAUAAAAAAUGUUCCAAAAAUAUUAGACUUGCAAUCAAAUAUACACCUAAUAAUUAUAUAAAAAAAUGUAAAUUCAUGGCUAAAAUAUGUCCAUUCUCCAAAACUACUUGAAAACUAAAUUAAAACAAAUUAAUGCAAGUUGGAAUCACUGAUGCUAAAAUGAUAAGAUCAUAUGGAUGAAAAUAUUUUGAUUUAGAGAUCAUUCAGGAAAGCGAAUGAUUUUGGUAUUUACACUAAAUGGAAGGCGUUUUCUUAUUCCUAUUAAUAAAUAAGACUCAAAUUAUGUUUGGGAAAAAGAAGAAAGCAAAGUUUGAAAAUUGGGUCAACCAGUUGAACCGGGUCACUGGUUUAGUUAAUUUUUGAUGGUUUUAACCAAAGCGAUUUUGUACUACAAACUAGCUCGGAAAGAUGGUCGAUUCAUAGUCAGACCGGUCGAAUCGAUCGGUCUAGUCCGAAUCUAACAACACAUUUAAUUAUUCCAGCCGUCAAUCUUGUAAGUUUUGAGAAGAGAGAAAGAGUAAAUUGGGGAGAAAGAAGCUAGAGAAAGAGAGAAGCACUGCAACUUCAAGACCUUGAUCGGAUGGUAAUUUGAAACCUAACUGAAAUCAAUUUUUAGGCAGGCGAUCCUCUCGUCAAGCUCUAUCCAUCUAUCUACUCCGAUUUUGGAUUUCCUCUUCACUUGGUAACAUCCUUUCAAACCCAUUUCUAUGGCAACUGCAGUUUUUGAGAGAUGAAUUUGUAACAAUUUCAAUUGGUUGACAUUGAUGAUGUUGUUGUCAUCUAGAUACUCCACCCGUGUAUGCCCAUUAUUAUGAUAGUGGAGAUUUUGAUUGGACUAGAUCCUAUAGUUUUUCUCAAUUUGGGUUUUCCAUAUUAAAAAUCUUGGUGUUCUAUGCCUUUUACUUUGUAUUUUAUUAUUAUUGUUGAAAUCGUUGCUUGGUGAUUUGGUUUAUUUCUCUUUUAAUUGGUACUUGGAGAAAGAGUAAUUUGUCUUGAAUUAACUCUGAUAUUGUGUGCCUGAACUGGUACUACUUUCCCAACAAGAAUUGCAUUUAAUCUAUUGCCUAACAUCUUAGAGAUGGAAUUUGCCUUUUUUUUUUUAAGAGAGAAACGCAGUUUUAGCCAUUGUAUUUAUAAAAAGGGUAAAAAACAAAAAAAAUCCUUUGUGGUAAAUCUAAUAUAUAGAAAAGCUCAUCGUGAUUUCAAAAUGUACAAAACGACACCUCAUGCUUUGAACUAAAUUGUAAAGGUGACGAAAUCCGUUAAAAUUAACAAAAAUGGCUUAUUAGAACCUAAAAAAAAAAUUUAUAUCUAAUUUUUAACAAAUAUACUUGUUCUAUCUCUUAACCCGCAAUUCUCUCUCUCUAGAGAAUGAAACGAAUGAUUUUGUUGAACUAUCUUUUGCUUAGUUAUAUUAAGGCAUUUUUGUCAUUUCAUCCAUCCCCGUUAAAUUUAACAGAUUCCGUCACCUUUACAAUUUAGUUUAAAGCAUGAGUUGUCGUUUUGUUCAUUUUGAUACCAUGGAGGACUUUUCUGUAUAUUAGAUUUACCACAAGGGGUUUUUUCUGUUUUUUACACUUAUAAAAACUGGCGAAGGUAACUACCACCAAUGUGAAGUAAUACGAUACCUUAAAAAACAUUGUUGUUUGGAUGACAAAGUCUUAUCCACCACUUGUAACAACCUGUCCUUAAUGUCUGGAGCAGGAACAUUUCUUUGACUAAAUAGAUUUAUAUAAUACUCCACCGCCAUCUGCGUUACUUCUUCAUAGUCCGUAAUAUUGGUCACAUUUUAAUCCUUCAUCAUGGUUGGGAGGUUAAGCAGGGAAGAAAACAAUGUCAAUUAAGUUAUAUUAUAGCUUCCAAAUCACAUGUUUGAGAUUUUGUUAUUGUCCUUUUCCAAGAUCAGAUUCAUAUUGGAGUUGAUAUUAAUUUAUUUUUCAUGCUCACUGAUGCGUAGAACCAAAGAUAAAAUUAAUUAAAAAAGCAAAAGAAACAAACCCAAACUUAAUCCAUAGUAUAAUACGGUCACAGAGAUGAUGUCAUAUAUUACACAUCUUGUGACUGUCUGUCCGAGAGGAAUGGAGAAGCUGCAUCUUGUGGCUUUGUUUUCUCUCACUUGUGAAUUGAUUUUGGAAAUGACUUUUUCUGAUGAAAUGUAGCAUUUUGAACCUAAUUUACAACACCAUAAAUCAUUCUUAAUUUGAACUUGUAUCGAAUGAGAUGUGGUCUGAUUUCGAAAGUACAAUAAAGCUGGGAAACUGGAAAGUUUUUCCCUUCUUGCUAGCCGAAUGGUCAGAUUUGUUUUGGGAUGUUUUGUUUCAAAAAUUUUGAUGUCAAUUACCCAUAAAUUGAUUAUUAAAUGUUUCUAGAACCUUGGUGUCAAAAAUGGAUCGAUUUGGGGCUGAUUUCAUUGUACUAAACUUUUGAAAGGAAAGAAAGGGGUCGAGUUGGCAGAUUAGCCUUGAGAUUUUUUCAAACUUUCGUAGUUUUGUUAACUGCCUUCCCACAUGAGUUUUUGAGUAAAAUUUGAUAGAGAAGUAGUCCACAUAUGGGAGUUUAAGUGUACCAAAUUUGGUGUAAUUUCAAUACCAUUUCGAUACCCAAAUAAUGCCCCAAAGAUGGCUCUUCAAAUGUGGAAAUUCACUGAUCAGUUUGCAAAAUUCAGCCGAAUUUAAACUGUUAUAUCUUGAUACUCAAAAAUCCGAAUUUAGUUUCACUUCUGGUGUUUGAAACUUUGUAUGGGACUCUUAUUGUGUUACGAAUUUCAAAGGUUAGUUCACUUUCUGUGAAUUUUGCCGAAUUUCCAAACAUCGCCGAAAACCAAGACUGGUUCUGUCUUGCUUUCUUGAAUCAGCAACUUUAAGCUGAAAAAUGAAUGCCUUCCGUUUAGAAUCUUGGAAAACUAUCUUCUAAGAACUUUUAUUACUUCGAACCUAGUUUCCGACGGUGUAAAGUUUUCCAUUUUUGGACAUACGAAACUCAAGAUCUGAUUUUCUAAAUUUUGUCGCAUAAAGCUGAAAUUUUCUAAUUUCUUAAGAAACAAACUUUUAAGAACAUUCAACAUCCUUUUGAUAUUGAUAGUUCAUUUUAAACCCGAUUUCAUGGAGGAUACAAGUUUUCCCUUGUGACUUUAAAUUCUUACUUUUGAAUCUUGAAUUUCAUUAGAGUGAAACUCUUUGGAGGCAUUGUUCUAAGUUUAAGCAAAUACAUUUCCUUCCUUGUAUGUUAGGUGAUUGUGAGUAUAUGUGAGUGAUAAUCGAUCACUAUUUUUUCAGGCGCUCAAGAUGAUAUUGAAGGAAACCUCAGAGCGGAACACUAAAGGAUUUAUUUACUCACUUACUUUUGAUUUGGUGAGUGUUCCUUGUAGGUGUUUGGGACUUGAAUAGUUUUGCUACAUGUUUACUUCAUAAUUCUUGAGUGUUUAAGUGUUAAAUGCUCCCUAUAAUUGCUCCUAUGUAAUUUUCUACCGUUUUAAAGGUGAGUACGUACUUUAUCACACUUGACCUACUAAAAUAACAAAUUUCUACCGUUUAACUGUGAAUUUCUACCGUUUACCAGUUUAUUUGAUUACUUAUGAAUGUUGUAAGCUCUUAGCUGAACUGGGCCCUGCCCUUAGUUACUAACCUGCUCGAGCCAGGACUGGAUUCGGUCGGGUAGGUUGGAACCCUGGGCCACCGUUUCGGUAUACUCGAGUAUUACCACUGGAGGAAUAAGACGAUGGCCAGACAACCGGGAGAAUUACUGGAGUUAUAAAAUGAAGCUGACCGAAAUGGUUCCACAUGAACAUCGUAUCCUUUUAAUGUGUGUUUAUUUCUAUACAAUGAUAAAUGUCUCAUUUUAAUGUGCCAAUGUGAAACCUUGAACCAUACAUGUGUUAUGCUCAAUUUACUUGAUUUAUUAGAACUGCUUAUGUGUUUUGGAAUCUCACUGGGUUGUUUAGCUCAUUCCACGCUUUUGUUUUUCUUAACAGGGUUCAAGACGAGAGUGCGCGCGAAUAGUACUAAAUUGUUUUCUUUUGGAGACUUUAAGUUGUACAUAGCAGAUGACUGUAGUACAUAUUCUUUUGGGUUGUAUUUAAGUUUGAAGGUUAACUAAUUGUGUUCUGGAGUACUUUAGAUGUAUAUUGAAAAAUAUUUGAAGUAUUCUAGUUUUGAAUUAUGGAUUGUAGUGAGCCCCGGCGAGAGUUGGGCAGGCGUUCUGCGGAUACCCUUGGGUUUGCCUUUGGGAGAAGUGGGGGCGUCACAGUCCUUCCCUCAAAAUUCGAAUGCUCCUCAGAGUCUAAGAUUAUAUAUAUAGACACACACACACAACACACACACAUAUAGAAAGGCCACUCCACUCUUAUCUUUCUCAAUUGAGAAGCACGUAUUUGUUCUUCUCUCAAGGAUCAAGAUCGGUGGUUUUAGUCCAAAAACAAACCAGAUUAAACCAAAAAAAAAAGAAAAAAGAAACCCACUUGUCUAUCUCAUAAGAUUCGCUAAACGUGAAGGAACUUAGGUUUUAUUGCUAUACGAAAACCUCAAAACAACUUCAAUGCUUCAUCCAUUUGCUUCAAAUACUGUUAGAUCUAUAUUUUGGUGCCAUUUUGUAAGUCUUCAUACCCUUCUUAUGUGUUCUUAUUACCGUUAUUUGUGUUAGAUUUCUAAGAUUGCAUUAUUUUCCUCACAAUUUUAGGAAAAUUGAGUUCCAACCAUGCUUCUGGAUUCUGUGAAGUUAAAUUAUGUGGGCUGUUGAUGUAUUUUAAAUCAAGCAAUAUUUGAAAAUUUAGUAGUUUUAGAAUUAGAUUUUUUAUUCAGUAACUAUAUUAGAUUUGGUAUUACAUUUGGUUUAGGAAAUAGGUUGAGUCAUAUUUUUGUAUUAUAAGUAGAAUAGAAUUUGUGGUUAUGUUUCUCUAUUUAAGGACUUGGAGUUCCAAAUUUAUAGUUGAGGAAAAUUAAUGAAUUGAAACAGAAUAUUUUGUUUCCUCCGGUGCCUUUCUUAUUGUAUAUUAUUUGUAAAAUUUUAACAUUACUUUCGUUGCGUGAUUUUUUAUGCUAACAAAUGGUAUCAUAGCUCUAGGUGAGUUGGAUCUUAGGGUAUCUAUGAUAUCUGAAGGGUGUGCCGAGUUUGUGAUAAAGAAACUUAUGCCAUAGAAAGAUGUAGAGGUUGUGGUAGAAUACUCGUACAUUGAAGAAUUGAACCACAAGAGUUUGUCUUGGAGUACUUGUUUGUUGAUUAUAAUUAGGGAAAAGUGGCCCUAAUAAGACAGAAGUCUAAAAAAAAUGACUCUGUUUGCAAUUAUUGGUGUUGUGCACUGAUCAAAGAAAAACUGUCGGAUUGUUGAUUGUCACAAUGCUGUUUGAUCAAGUAAGAAGUCAGGGAAGCCAAGAAAUUCAAGCAAGGAAGAAAAAUUUUGUGAAGGUAUGUAAAUUGUUGUGAAUUAUCAUGGAGAGAUAAUUUGGCAAUAGUGAAAAUUGUUACCAUAAAGAAGAUUGUGAAAUGCAUGAUUUAUUAGUUGAAAGUUAUGUAGAUUGCUCUUCAAGAAAAUAUGGUGGCUCUAAUUGCGAAAGGGUCAACAUGGUUGAAUUUUUUGAUCGAGGAGAAUUUGUAGCAAAAUUGAAUACAGAUAGUCCACUUCCACAUGUAAAUAUGCAGAUGGGUAUCAGUUACAAAUUGGAGUUGCAUUUGAGUUAUAUUGCUACAAGGCUGCAAAGGCAAUUGAAACUUGUGAUGGCAUAAGAAAUGACAACAUCAAGAGCUUGGUUUAAGGGAAACAUUGUUGAUAUAUUUUAAACUAAGCAAUAUUUGGAAAUUUAGUAGUUUUAGAAUUAUAUCUUUUUAUUUGGUAACUAUACUAUAUUUGGUAUUAUAGUCGAUUUAGGAAAUACGUUGAGUCAUAUUUUUGUAUUAUAAUUAGAAUAGGAUUUGUGAUUAUAUUUCUCUAUUUAAGGACUUGGAGUCCUAAGUUUGUAGUUGAGGAAAAUUAAUGAAUUGAAACAGAAUAUUUGUUUCCUCCCGUGUCUUUCUUAUUAUUUAUUAUUUGUAAAAUUUUAAUGUUACUUCCGCUGCAUGAUUGUUUGUGCUAACAAGUGGGUUGUGUGUUAAAUAUCAAAGAUAGCAGUUUUUGAUUGGUUGAGGUUUAAGCUAACAACUUCUAACUUCUACAUCUUGUUUCCUAGUUGGUUGAAAUUAACUUCUUUACUUUUCUUAGUUGGUUUAAGCUCCUGUUUUCAUAUGCAAUUAGUAAAAUUUCUCCAUUUCAUCUAAUUGUCCCUUUUUGUGCAGCUUAAUCAAAUGAGAUUUAAACUUUAAAAAGGGGCAGUACUAAGAUGGAGCCACAUCAAGGUAGUUCCAUUGAAUGCCUUCUUCUAAACUUACCUACAAGUGUGUAGAACAGGUGAGCCACUAUAUGCAUGCUAAGUGUUGGAGGCAAGAGUACUUUAGGGUGAUUUCAGGAUUCAUAGAAUCAUAAUACUGGCUUGCAAUUUACUGGAGUUGAAGUUGCAGGUCCAUGGUACUAGAUAUUUUUACGUUUGAACUAAACUUGGUCUAUUUCAAAAUAGGCCCUUUGAAUUUAGGUUCUUUUUAUGCACUUAUUGUAAACCCUGAUUUCAGAUAUUAAUGUUUUGUUGCUUUUGGAUUUAUUCUCAUUGAUAGUUGACAAUUUUUGUUUGCCAAUUAGUUUCAAGCACUUCAUACUGUAUGGCUCAAGAUAUUGAAAGAGCUGGAUUUUGAUGUAUUACUUUGUUAGUAAUUAUUUUUAGUUAACAGAAGCUUUUGUAAGUUCUUUAUUGAAUGUUUAUCAAAGUAGCAAAAGGGGCUUGUUGGCUUCAAGUGAUAUUCAAAAAAACUAUCAAAUUCCAGGGCUUAUGAGUUUAAAUUUAAUGAGCAUCUACGUUAGUAAUGAUUCAUCAAAAAAAAAAUUUUGCCAACCAAUUUGACACUUAUAAGUUACAAGAAGCAAGAAAAUGUAAAGCAGACACACAAGAAACCAAAUUGAAGCUAUUUGUGGCUAAAUUUUCUAACAAAAUGACCCAUUAAUUAGCUUAGGGAAUUAAGAUUAGCAUAUUAAAAUGGGAUUAAGAAAUCUUCACAACAGCAUUAGAGGGGAAUAUUUUCCCACCGAACAGUUAGGCGGGAAUCAACUAUGGCUUGUUAGAGAGGAAACUUGUGACGCCUCCACUUCUUUCAAGGGCGAACCCAAGGGUAUCCGCGAGACGCUUGCCCAACUUUCCCCAGAACUCGAGACAAUUCCAAUUCAAACUUAAAAUAUAAUACUAACAAUGAAAAUUGGAAUAAAAGUAUGAAAUUAUUUCCAUAUGUAAAUAUUCAAUCUUACAUCACAAUUUCAAACUUACAACUAUUUUUUCCAAAAUAUACAACUCCUAAAAGUUGUCUAAACAAAUACAUUCAAAAUUCUAAUCAAAUGAGCCACCAAAUAAACUUCUCCAUAAUUCCUCACAUAUCCGCUCCUGUUAAGGAAAACAAAUCUAAUGGGGUGAGCGAAUGCUCGUGAGGCCAAGAAAACAUGUAAGACACGUAAUUCAAUAACAAUGGUACUUACACAGUAAUAAAAACUGUAACAUUCAAGUAAUUCACAAUUUAUAAUAAACACCCUUGAGUAGGAUGCAGGAGCUCUCAGGAGCUAAUUUUUUUACUUACUUUGCCCAAGUUCAAUUCAAUACCUUCUCGUGACGACACCACGUCACCCGGGUAGGUAAACAAAUUCGUAACACUUCACGUAUUUCAUUUAUGUUCCUGAAACGACUCGAGAGGUACCUCCCACCCGAAUCAGUGUAGUACUUACUAUCGUUCAGUUUAUAGUUCUGAGACGAUUCGAGAGGUACCUCCCACCCAAUUGGUGUGGUACUUACUAUCGUUCAGAGGUCGAUGAGACACCAUUCUAAUCGACUUAGAAUGCUUUAUGGUUUUAAGACGAUUCGAGAGUUACCUCCCACCCGAACCGGUGUGGUACUUACUAUCGUUCAGAGGUUCAGGGUACUGAGACGACUCGAGAGGUACCUCCCACCAAAUCGAUGUGGUACUUACUAUCGUUCAGUGGUCGAUGAGAUAUCGCUCCAAUCAACUUAGAAUGCUUUAUGGUUCUGAGACGAUUCGAGAGGUACCUCCCACCCGAACCGGUGUGGUACUUACUAUCGUUCAAAGGUUUAGGGUACUGAGACGACUCGAGAGGUACCUCCCACCAAAUCGGUGUGGUACUUACUAUCAUUCAAUGGUCGAUGAGACAUCGCUCCAAUCGACUUAUGCAGUCAUUGCAUAAUUAAUCAUUCCAUUCAAUCAUACGAUCCAUUCAAUCAUUCAUUUCAUUUCAAUCAAGUCAUUCAUGAUUCAUUCAUUUCAAAUGAGAACGAGUGCGAUAAAGUACACACUCGACUCCAUUUUCAAACUCUCAAAUCAUUGAUAACAAGUACGCACGUAUCAAGUUCAUAGGAUUUCAACUAUUCCUGCACGUAAUAUCCAUGUACAAUUACCAAUCAUAUUCAUUCAAGUAUUAAGUAUCACGUAGUUACAUGAGAAAGAGAACGAGGGAGAUAAGGUACACUCUCAUCUCGACAAGUUUACGUAUCAUAUAUAACACUCGUACAAUUAAUAUCUCAAUCACAUAAGCAUUUAACAUACACUUGACACUCAUCAAGUAAAUCAAGAAGCAAGUUCAAGUGAUUGUUUAGGCGUCUCCCGUGAGAUCCCCUUGAAGAUCCUCUUGAGUGCCUGAGCAAUUAAUAAUGAACUAUCACUUGUAAACCCCAAUUAUCAAGGAAGAUUGCACACUUGUACAAUCUAAAAAAAAAUUCACGAAAAUGAGCCUGAAUUACUCGUAAAUCGAGACUCAAAAGUGGGGUUUUUACAACACAAGCGAAAUCUGAAUUUUUAUCUUUGAAAUCAAGUGUAAAAUGAUCAAGUGAUAUUGAAGGAAAAAGAUGAGUUUGAAAAACUCCAUUUCCUUUGAGUUAGGAAUUUUCAGAUUUGCUACACAUAUUUUGAAAAAUCGUAUCUCACUCUCUACAAGUCCAAAAUUUGAAAACUUGGUACUGUUGGAAACUACUUCCAAAGUACUAAAAGUUCCUAUAAGACACCUUUCCAUGAUUUCAAAUGGAAAACAUUCAAAAUUCGGUUCAAAGUGGCUGUUUUGAAAUGCCAAGACAGUUUCGGGGUUGGUUUUUGGCCAACUUUGGAAAUUUGGCAAAAUUCACACAAUGCGAACUAGCCUCUCAGAUUUGAAAUUCAAUUAGAGUUGAAAUUAAAGUUUAAAACAAAACAAGCGAAACAAGAAUCGGAGUUUUGAGUACCAAGAUAUGGUAGCUCAAAGUUGCUGCAAAAGUGAAAUUGUUAAGCAAAUUCCAGGUUUAAAUCAUGUACUUCGGGACUUUGUUUGAGCUUCGAAAUGGACUCGGAAUGGCACCAAAUUUGGUAUGAUUAUAUUACCAUAUAAGAUCUAUUCCUCUGUCAAAUUUCAUAGAAAAAUACUUAUGGAAAGUUGGUUAACAAGAUCAUUAAAGCUCCAUGAACUUCCAAAACAAAACUGCCUUGGGGUUCCAUUUUUCCGUUUUCAAAACGUUUGGCCAACAAAAUGUCUCAAACACGGUCCAUUUGUGCAGAAAAUGUCUAAGAAACAUCCAAGAUACAUUUGGUAGGUGAUCAACACCAAGAAUUUCUAAACAACAAGUCCCAAUCAAAAUUUAGGCAUCCAACUAGCCAAAAGAGGGUUUUUCAUCACUGAGUCAGUUUCGGAUUUUGGUCACAACUCACUCAAUUCAACUUGGAAUUGAGCGUGGUUGGUGGCGUUGAAAACUACAUUCAUAUGGAUACAAUUUCUUAGAAGAAAUCAUUUUAAAAAUCUGUCCACAACUAGCUCAUAUUUGAGCAUCAAAGCUCAGCUCAUAACAGGGCUUCUGGUACAGAUGUGAAACAGGACAGGCAGGUUCAGACGAUUGGUAUGGUUCACUCAGGUGGAAUCUUGGCAUGCAUUUUACACCGUUGGAAAACUGGAAAUGUCUAGUUUCUAAUGCCUCAAACGACACUCAAUUUUGACAUCGGAGCAAAGAGUUAUAGCCGAAACAAAAUCACUGCCAGAGUAAUACUGGACACAAUUCCAGUUUUGGGAAAUUUUCGAAAUCUCAACCUUUGGCCAACCAAAUCACAUAAUUUUUUGUGGAAACCUUCCACAUAGCCCACACAACAUAUAUAAAUCAUAAAAAAGUCAAUUGAACUUCAAAAAAAUGCUCUAAGGGUCACGGCAUUGACAGGGGCAGAAACGGAAAAAUUCCCCUCUUCACUUCCUUUGAGUUUCCAUCCACAAUAUCACUUAUUUCUACUAAAUUAAGCACUAAUCCAACACUAAUAACAUCAAAACUCAUCGAAUCAGUCUAUCAAGCCAUAGUGGGAGUUCAUAGAGUCCACUCACCAAGUUUCUAACAAUUUAAAGCUACCCAUGAGAAUCCAAGAGCUCAUGAGUGCAAUACUACUUCCAUAAACUAAGAUUCAAGAGGUUGAUCGUUGAUUACCUUCUUAGAUGACUAAAGCAGAAAAUUUCGGUCCUUUGAAGCUCAAGAAAACCGUGCAAAUGAAGCCCCUUUCCUAGCUUGAGUUGAUCUCCAAGUGGUUUGUAAGGUGUGUGUAAAUUUUGAGGUGAUUUGGGUGAGAAAUAGAGCAAGAAAUGGAAGAGCUUUGGGUUGUCUUCUUCCUUGGGUUGGCCAGCUGUCUUAGAGCAAGAGAGAGGGAGUGAAAUCUGAUGUUAUUGGCUUCUAAAGGAAGCUUAUAACUUGUGGCCCAAAAUUGCUCAAGAUUGUCCACUAAAAUAAUGCAUGUGCGCACGUGUUUCGUGCUCGUUUCCUCUCAAGUUUAUUUCACUAGUGUACUAAACCUCUAAUGCACUUUCAUUCAUAUUAUUAUUAUUCACUCUUAAUAGUCCCAAAAUAAAGGUCUUAACCCCCUCGAUUAAUUGCGCACGCGAAAAACGCGUACCUCCAAUUUGUGCGUGAUUAAGUGAAAAUUUCAAGAAAUUCUUAUAACGAUAGUAUCACUAACUAAUACUUGAACACUUAAACAUAAAAUUACCUAUUCCAAGACUAAUAUACAAGUCUCCAAUUUUUCAACUUUAUUGUAUUCUCGAAUCGAUUAUUGACGCCAAACGCGUAUUCACUAUUCUCACUUAACGAGCUUUUAAAAAUUAAAUUUUGAAAUGAGUCAUUUUAAAAAUAUAAGUAAGUCAUAGUUCCAUGUAAUUAGGUCUAAAAAGAUUGAAAUAAAAUAUUCGGAGUAAACGGCCAAAUAAAUAUUUAAAUGAGCUCGUAAUAGGAAUUUAAAAUAAGAAAAUUUGCGACUCCUCACAAAACUUACCUAGCCAAAAACAUUUUAUUGGUCUAGGGGAUUGCAAUUUUGUCAGAAGACUCCUUACCAAUUCUAUAUUAUUGGUGAGGAUGCACUAUUUUCCUCACCAAACACCUUGACUAUUCGCAACGAACUACUUGUUUUUGUGGGAGUUUCUGAAUUUAGUGGAAAUGAAAGUUUUCCUCGCCAUGGUAUUUGAGCCAUUAGCGAGAAGGUCCAUCCUUGUUAUUGAUCUGUUCCAUCGGCGAGAAAGGCACCAGCAUCCUCACUAAUGUCUUUUUAGCGACGAGCAUCUAGCGAGAAACUUGGUAAAGAAGCAUGUUCCUCACUAAAACUAAUUGGUGAGGAAGUCAAAGCUUUUGGCAUGGACUUUUGUUUUUUGCCAAAUCCCUUUUUUGUUGUAUUACGUUUGUCACAUAAGGUCUAACUCUCCAUUUUUCUCCUUAGCUUUCGUUCAAAGCUAGCUACAAGUACAAGAGUAGUUGAAGUAAACUAUACUACCCUAUCUAUUCCUAAACUAACUACUAGGAGCUUGUAGCUUAAGAGUUUCAUUUUUGGUGUUUCUCUUCUUUCCAAAGUCUCAAACUUAUGCUCAAAUGAAGGACACAGUCCCCUUUUUAUGGAGAAAUCUUCAAGUCUCUUUGUGUUUUCUCUAAUGUGAACUCUUAACAAAAGUUGGCUUCUAAAGUCAAAUUUUGUGGUUCCAUAGAAUCUUGAUGAUUUGAGAGGAUAGAAGAUGUUAAAGUUUCUUGAGCAUGAUCUUUCAGCCACCAAACGUCUAAUCAAAUCUUCCAUCCAAAGCAAGAAAGUGUAUGCAUCAACAAAGUAAAGUUGCACAACUUGUGCAAGUUGCAUAUUGCUUUUCGGCUAAGAGAAUCCCUAGCUCAAAAUCAGUUCUUGCAAGAGCCGGUUUUGUGAACUGAUUUUUCUUUGACAAGAAUUUUAAUUUCCUUAGAAACUGGUGUGCCGAGAAUUGCCAGCUCCAACCGGCUCUUGUCAAGAAUCGGUUUCUUCCACUGUUUCACAACCCUUCUGAUCAUCACAAAUUAGCCCUAAUAAUCAACAUUGGAUUUGAAUCAACUUUCCUACAAAACACAAAAGUUGUAGUCCUUUAAGUUAUUUUUCCAAUGGUGUAGGAAUUAGGUCAUUUGGAGGUUUGGAUGUUGAGACAUGUUCAAAAUACUAAGAACUACUUAGACAAGUAUUGUUACUAAAAUAUGCUUCAGUAAUUCAAAUAAUUGGCUAUGAAAAUGUGAGAACUGGACUUUUAUGUUAUUAAAUUAUAGAGCAUUGCCUUAUAUUCAAAAUGAAUUAAGAAUUAUCUCAAUUCGAUCUCUGUUACUCAAGUUAUUGCCAAAGUAUGUAAAUAUGUCACAUCCUCUAUUCCUUUUGCUCUUUGAUUCUUCACGCGCACUUCAUUUCUUGCUUUUCGUACCCCAUGUCAACUUCAAAUACAUUUCAAAUCAUCAAGUUUCACUUGAAUACUUCUUACUUAACUCCAAUUGAUGAUUGAAACGUUAAAAGCUUAAAAAACAUGACGUUUUCACCAUUUAAUACCAUACAAAUGCAACUUUCUCAUUUAUACCACAAAAUGCAACUUUUGACUAUAAAAUUAAUUAUUUAAAUCUAAAUUACAUAAAAACACACUAAAAAAACAUAUAAAUGACUACACAAAAAGUACAUAAAAUAAAUACUUAUCAAUUAUAUACUUCCUCCGUUCCAUUUAUUUAGUCAUGUUUGGAGAAUCCAACAUUUUAAGAAUAGUGGUUUGAUUUGUGAUGUUUGUACUUUCUUUCUGAUUUUACCCUCAUAAAUUCAAAAUUUAAAUUUGAAUGGUAACAUGUAUAUGAUUAGAAAGAAGGGCUAUAUUUGCAAGAGAGACUUAAAGAUGCUUGAUUUUUCUAACAAAACAAUUGUUUUGGAACAUUCCAAAAUAGAAAGUAUGACACUUUCAAUGGGUAGUCCCACAUGUAUCUUACUUUUAAUCACCAGUCUUAAUACCAUAACUCUCAACCUUCCAACUCCCCCUCGUAGUUAUUCCUAGGUGAAGCUCAAUUUGGAUUAAAGCAAAUUAAGCUCACUCUAGACUUUUUGUUUGGUGGAUUGAUAGAAACUUGGAUUAAAGUUGAAAAUAUUUACCUAAAACCUCAUAUAAGAAUUUGAAAGACCAAAGGAUAUGUAAACUUAAAGAAAAAAGGAAAACCCAACUAUCUCUGUCAACCAAAUUUCCACUAAUGAGAAUGAAGAGUCAGGCAAAAACAAUUGUUUUUGAUAAUUAAUUCCCUUCAUUAAUUAAUAAUGCUCAAAAGAAUGUAAACCAUUUUUUUAUUUUCAAAGAAUGUACAUGUAUUAAAGUUAAGAAACAAUAAAUCAUGUCAUAUGUUGAACAAAUUCACCAAACGACUAACCAUUCCAACUCACAUAGCACGAAAAAUAACAAUGUUAUAUACUAUAUUAUGCAAAAAAAAAAAAAAAAAAAUUACUUGGCAAGGCAGUUUUGGUCACCCAAGCCCAAAUUAAAAAUAAAAAUCUAUAACCCCAUUCUAAUUACAUUGUUCAAAUCUUUUUCAUUUAGUAAAAUAAAAUAUUAAUUAAUGUCAUAAAUAUUAAUAUUGUACCAAUCAUUAAGAAAAUCAAUACUAAUGGCAAUGCCUUUUGUAUUUUGGUCAUUUUAUUUUUCAAUUAUUCAUCAAAUCUUUAACAUGAAUUGUACAUACCAAUUCAUUUAUUCUAAGGCCCUUCCAGAAGUUGAUCUACGAUUCGAGCCUUUAUUUUACUAUUAUUUAUCAAUAUUUUUUACAGCUCCAUCUUUGACUUGUGCAUCUAUUUUUCCUACUUAACAAUGUUGUAUGGUGUAUAAUAACUUAAACAUUUAUGUUUUAAUAAGUGUAACGACAUUAUGAAUAUAAAUAAAUUUGGCAAGCAUAAUGGUGUUAAUAUUUGUGUCACAAUUUAAGCUAUAAAUCAACCUCACCAUUUACGAAAGUUUGAAAAAUCUUAGAUCUAUGACUUUAAAAUAAUGUAUUCUAAAAAUAAUUGCAUAAAGUAAAAGAAAUAAUACAGAUAUUGUAUCAUGAUACAUGACAAUAUGUUUUGACAAAAAAAAUAAUUGAUAUAGUAUAAUCAUGCGCAAAUCACAUGAAGUGUUACUUGUACAACAAAAUUGGUAUAAAAUUUACAAUUACACGAAAACUAUACAAGUUAUAUCAAGUAUAUUAAGAAUUACAUGAUCCGUAUGAACCGGACAGAAUUCAACUUGUGAGAGUUGGAUCCAUGGUGAUUUAGCUUGCUAGUAAAGCAAUAUGUCCGCAGGAGUCGAAAGCUAUGUCUCUUUUACUGUUAUUCUGCAGAAAGGCUUAGGUAGCAAGCUUAUAAUCUUCCUCUAUCAGCUCCUUCACCAAUGGUUGCUUGAGCAAACUGCGGUCCAGCUUAGGACAUGAGUGCAAUGUUACAGAUUCAAGUUGGCAGUCUCUCGAUGGGAGUGGAUCCUCCAAACUUCUUUCCCCUUCAUAUAGAAGCCUAAACAGUUGAGGCAAAUAGUAAAGCUUUAUUUUUCUCAAACGCGGAAGGGCAGAGAAAUCAUCAUUAUCCAUCUCAUCACUCCUUUCUAUUAUCUCCUUUAGAGACUCACAAUCCUCAACUAUUAACUCCUCUAAAUUACAAAAGCAUUGAUUGAGUUGCCAGUUUUUUGAGAAAAGUUUUUUGAAGUGCUUUCGACACAUUUUCUUAAUUAUCUUGUCACUUUACAUAUAUCAUAUUGCUAUAGAUUUUUUUUUAAACUAAAAAGAACUUUUAAAUACUCCCAUCCAAAUGGACUUUAUGCAGUUGAGCACGAGUAGGCAUCUAUAACUUGCCAAAUAACGCCUUUAUGAGGUAAAAGUUUGUGCGCGUCAAAAUGUUGAAAUUAUAAAUUCACGUUCAACCAGCUGAAUAUGAAAGCAAAUGCAUCAUAAUGAAUGAUUCGAAAUUGGGGCUCUGGAGAGGUGAGCAAUGAGGUCACACACUCUGGUUCAUGCUAAUUAAAGUUAACAAUGACGAAUCACUGAGAUUAUUUUAGUGGUCUGGGAGGAGCUAUUAGAGUUCUCUUUGCUAUCAGAUUUAGAAUUUGAAUCCUGAAUAUAAUAGUUGAAAGUGGAAAGAUUGUGGAAAGGAUGGGAGAUUUAAAAAAACAAUUAUAUAUAACAAAGGUGCAGAUAAAGGCUAUCGUUGCUUGAAAAUGUGCAUAAUACAGGGUCAAUCACAUGCUUGUCUGCAAGGAACACAUUUUAGCCGUCUUUUCUUCUCAUUUUUCCACAAGUGCAAAGUUCACGCCUUUGAAAUUUAGGAACGAAGGCGCACCUUCCAACAAAGCCUUGAUGGUACUUUGAAGGUUCGGCUUUUUGGCAAAUGGCAAUAAGGCAAUUUGAAGGCAGCAAACAACAAAGUUCGGCAAUUUUUUAACUUCUCCCUCCGUCCUACUUUAGUUAUUUUUUAAUUUUUUUAAAAUACCCUUAUUUAAUACUCCUUCCGUCCCAUUGUUAAUGUCAUAUUUUCACUUUUUGCUUGUCCCAAAAUUUGAGUCACUUUGAAAAAGUCAAAUCACUUUUACAAUUAUUUUCCAGUUAUACCCUUCUAUUGAUAAGUCAAGAUUGCACUAACCAAUUCUGAUGGACCCAGCCACAACACAUCAUCGGAAGUUAUACCCUUCUGAUUGUCUUUGCCUUUUAGUCAAAGUGACUUAAUGGCAAGUGGUCCCACUAAUUUGUUGUUUCACUCCGCAAACAGCAAAGGGUACGCUUGGAAGAGUCAGAUAAGUCUGUCCGUAAUGCUACUGUACAUAAAAAGUGCGUUUCCCAAAAAGCGUCCCAAAUUUUGGGACGGAGGGAGUAUAAAUUAUCAUUAGUAUAAACUAAUUUAUUUAAUAUAGAUUGUUAUUAAAUAUAACCUACUCCGUUUAAUACAUUUAAAUUUUUCAAAACACAUUGAUAUAUGAAUAUGCAUUGAUUCUUUCUUAACCAUCAGUUCAAGUUUUCAUAAACCGUCAAUUCAAGUUUUUAUAAAUAAUUAAUAUAAGGUUAUACUCUAUCUAAUAUAAGGGUGUUUUAGAAAAUUAGUAACCUAUAUUUAUUUUUCCAACAAAAUUAACUAUUUUUUCUUAAACUGUGUGAAAAAAAAUAGAACUAUCAAAAUGAAACGGAGGAAAUAAUAUAACCUGUUUUUUUUCUUUUUCUUUUUUUUAUUUUUGGCGAGUACAAAGCACUUUUGCCUUGCGAGCUGGCAACCGUGCUACUGGUCGCUCAUAUUUACAUGGACCAUUGGUAAUUCACUUGUGAACGUCCAUCCUUAGGAACUUCACUUUGUUUUCUCCUCGUACUUGAAAACAUACUAAACCCAAUUCAGAUAGAUAUGAGGAAUGGAUUUCCUAAUGGGAUUUCACAGUGGAAAAAAAAAAAAAAAAAAAAAAAAACUUGGAGCAGAGUGCAAUGCUACCAAACAGAUAACUACUACAAAAUGCUUAUCACAAUUAUGCUGAAAAUUUGCCUAGCCUUCAAUCCGGUUUCUUUAAGUUCAAGCAGUUGUCUGUUGCUUGCCUGAACAACUCCUGCACCUGCUUUAAUCCCUUAUCCGCAGCUUCCAGUUGUUUUUGUAGUUCUUGGCCUACCGCAUCAUUUUCAGCCUGAAGUUCUGCAAUUCUUUUCAGCUGAGCUUCUUCACCUCCCUCAGCUAAUGGAAGGGCAGCUACCAACAGAUCAAACUGCUUGGCAGCGUUGACAAGUGCAGCACUCAUGAGCUUUGGUUGCUCAGCAAGAUUAGCAGCAUCCUCUGCAGCACUAGAUGGAUUAGCAGGAGGUUCCGGAUAAUUAGGAGACAACCUAACUGGAGAGCAUCCCUUUGAAGCGUCCAAAGGUGUUGAAGGCAAGACCUGCAAUUGUAUUCACCUGUUCUUGCAGUUGAGUUAUUAUAUCCAUCUUGAAUUUUGAUACCUGCAAUUCUGGGCAACUUUGAAUUCAAGUAGCAUUUCUCAAUUUCUGUACAUCUUCGUUUUGAAUUCGAGCGACUAGGUAUUUCCUUGUUCAUCACAUUAACAACUCAGAGUAACAGACAAAGAGAGAGGUCACACAGCACUCAUGAUCGACAGCUGAAAGAAAGAAUCAGAGGCAUUCUCAUCACUCAUAAGCAUAUUUGAAGCAAUACAAGUGAAAAAAAGAAAAGAAAAAUAGACAUAUAUGGCUUGGCACAAAUAGUCAGUCAAUCAGUUUGAACACACUCAAUCAGGCCUUCCUUCCUGUGCUUGACAUCAGACAGAUCCUCUAGAACAUGACUUAACAGAUGGUAGAUGCUGUUAAAACUUUUUCAUACGUAGACAAAACUACCCUCAACUAAAACAAAAGGUUUAGCACCUCAAAAAAUAAAUAAAGACCAAGAAGCUCUAGAGAAAGUCCAAACAAACGACCUGUCAACCCCUUGUCUUCCUCCUCCAAAUCUCCCUAUUUGACAACUCCAUCAACACAAGGAGAAACCAUGUCUAUUUUUCAUACACGUAUCAUGAGAUACAAUGUAAAAGUGUAUGCUAAGUAGACACAAAUCAUUAAUAGCAAUCCUAUGCAUCCAAAUACCUCAAUCCUAUGCUAAGUAAAUAGUUCUGGAUGCCUGAACUAUUUACUUCUAGACUUAUUUUCCACAGCAAAGAUAUAAAAAGGCUAAACAUCUAGAAGACAUAAUCUACACUUGUCUAUACUACAUGAAACAAUACUUACUCUCCUUCAUUACAAGUAUAUCAAUCAAUUCAUCAUUAAAAAGAAUUAUCAUUUCCUUUUAUUUUCAAGAUCCACUUUUACCUCAGCUGGCAAGAGAAUACAUUACAAACUUGCACCUCACGAUACUCAUUGAAGCAUUUAUAUCAGCUGAAUUAUGCAUUAAUUCUAGGUAACAUUCAACAAAACUUAUGAAUGAGUAUGCAACCACACCUAGAGAUGUGAUGACAUUUGAAUCAGGAAAAAAAGAAACAAAUUCUGACCUUCAUCAUUCUUCAUAGAAUAAUAUUUCUUUACAUGUUCCAAACAUAUUUUAACAGAAAGACCAGUACCCAUCUGAAUGAGGAUAACUAACUCCAAACAUAAUAGUUGUGCUUUUGACUAUAUGGAAGCCUUGUUAAGAAGAUAGACAACAGCUAGAACCUUAAUAUGGUGUCAAUCAUAAUUAAACACCACAACUCCACAUAUGCCCAUUUCUCUAUUAUUCUUCAAUGGUGGCCCCACAACAAGAAAGUUUUUGGAUUUCCCUUCUAACAAACAACCAUUCGAGGUAAAUUAGAUUUAGAUAACUGACAAUGGAGAAGCUUAUGCUGGAUUAAGUGUCCAUAACACAUGACCACUCACAGCAAAAAAAAAUGCAAUUGCAAUGGUGAAUUUAGAUGAAUCCUUUGCAUUACUUGUAAAAAGGCAACUUCCAAAGUUGGAAUGUAGAUGACAUUCGUCGAGGAUGUUUCCGAUACAGAAAAGAGCAAAAUGGUUGAAUCCUACAUGUAACUAUAGUAUGCUACCAGCAACCUAAGAAGAAUCUCUCUCCAUAAUACCAAGGUCAAAAUGAACACCCCUCAACCAAAAACCAUACAUAGCAUGACUAUUUCUGGCAAUGUCUCAGUAAACUAGUUCAAUUAUCUUUCUCAUUAACUUCCUCUUGUCUUACUUUUAGCCCUUCAAUCCAUAUUGGAUCCACAGAGACAAGAAUAUCAAUGUUCCAUAUCAGCAAGCAAACAGUUAUAUAAAUCUCUGUAUAACGACAAAGCACACCCAAACUUUUUUCUUACACUAUUUUAUACAGCAUCAUUUUCUCCUGACUUAGAAUUGAGUCAUAAAUAGUGUGAACCUUACAGAUGUCUAAUAGUCUGACCAGUCGUCCUUUUUUCCGAUCUAAAGGAAAACCAAUCAUUCAUUUCCUUUUGGUUUUCUACUUUUUCCCUUUGGUUCUUUUAUGUCUUCUUUUCAUUUUGGGUAGGAGGAGGGUGGAGGCCUGUCUGUGAUAUUCCUUUAAGGAGCAAGUCGACCAAAAGAUAACAAGAAAAUCUCAAAUUGAUUAAGCAACAUGUUUCACUAGCCAUUAAAUGCUCUAUGACAAGCAUAUUCAGAAUCUGCUUUAAAUCUAAACUUGUGCAGUCACAAUUAAAUGGAUACCCCGACAUCUAGGAUAAAUGAUAAUAGGAGGUUAAUGCCAAAAGGCCCAAAUUUAACAAUUCAUUGACAACAAAUUAACACAGAUGCAUUCAUUGGGGCAAACUAACCAAGGAAUACAAGUAUUUACCUCAGUUUUAUACUUAGCUAUUGGCUGUACCAGAGGGCACGACUAAUCUAGGCUCCAACACUUUGAAUUUCUUAAACACAUUUUGCUGCAGAAGACAAAAUUUACACCAUAUAGAAAUGAACAUUCGAAAAGAAUUUGAAUCAUAUAUAAUUCCCAUAAAAAUAGAAUAAUAAACCAAGUGUCAUGUUCUCAAACACAUACGAAACAGAUGUGCAUGCCACAGUUUUCAAAGUAAAAAGACAAUGACAACUUUUCAAAAACCUGCAGCUAUAAAUCACGGAACAAUCACAGCUACACUUAUACGAGGUAGGCAUAAAUAGUGGCUCAACGCCCACAAACAUCUAGCGUCUUUUUAAGAAAAGAAAAAGGCAAGCACAAGCAGCAUAUGAUUGAGUGCACAAUGUAACUAAAAGAAGCAACCCUCAGAAAUUUAAUUGGUCAAAAAACAACUUUCCAAAUCCUGACUGGUCUAUGUGAAUUGUCCAGACAGCAAGGGAAGGCAUUACAAAAAUUGAUAACACCUACAAUAACAAAUGACCCCAUAGAGUUGACCUUUCGAACCGCUUCAAACCAUGACAUAUAAAUAGCCAAUCUUGGGGUCCAGCACAAAAACCCAAUACAAACUCAUCAGCAAUCCACAAAUCCUUCAAGAACACAAGAAAAACACCGCUCCAUCUUUCAGAAUCACCCAAAAAACAUGCAGUCACGUGUGUGCCCAUCCAUAGAAAAAAGUACUACUACAGCAAGCACAAAACCCUACUCCAAAAUCAUCCACAACAUUCAAAUCCCUUCAUAACACCAUUCAUCUCCUUCAAUAAUCACCAAGAAAAGUGUAUGCACCCAUGCACAGAAAAAAGUACUAUAAAAGCCAUCAGAAAAACUCUACCCGGAAUAAUCCAUGACAUUCAAAUCCCUUCACACAACACCAUUUUAUCUCCAUCCCAAAUCACCAAAAAUGCCUGUGCACACUUAUGGGGGAAAAAGAACUCCUACAGCUAACACAAAACCGUUCUCCAGAAUCAAUCACAACAUCCAAAAUCCCUUCAAACGGAGGGGGUAAAAAGACAACUCGCCGCUUCCAAAAUCGGAAGACAGAUAAUUUGACCCCCCCCCCCCAACAAAAAAAAAAAAAAAAAAACAGCAUUUAAGGGAAAAAAUACCAAAAAAUCCACAAUUAUCCAGCUGGGAAAGAAAGAAAAUUGAACAUCAGUUCUCAUUCAUUACCAAAAAGAUUCCGUCAAAUGAGAACUUAAAACAAUACAGAAAGGCAUGCAUACCCAAAAUGCAGAUAAACAACCAGUUUUUUUUGGAGCAAACUAAUCAGUUUAUGCAGAUAAAAUUCUAACCUUAGUAAACAACAUCACAACUCUGAUUUAAAAAAAAUUGAACGCAUCUCGAUCACAAUCACAUUGAUGAAUCAAAGGAAAAAAAACCAUGAACCAAAUAGCAUAAAAAGAACAAAAAAAAUCAAGCCAAAACACAUCCAUACGCAUGUUCAGGUGGUGAGCUUUAGCCUAUACACGGAUUAAAACAAUAAAUCAAAAGCAAGAAUUAAAAGCCAAAAAAAAAAGAGAAAAAGUGAAGAAACCUUACAGUGAAGAGGACGAGAGAAUUCUUGAAAGAAAAUAUGUGUCUGGAGUCUGGACGGGCUUUUGGUUGCUGCCUCGGGGAGUGCAAGAAAGGACAGGAGGGAAGAGAAGAGAACAGGAGAAAGAUUAAAAAAAAGAAAAAAGAAAAAAAAAGAUUUGGAUUGUGGAUUUUAAGUUGAGUUAAUUGCAUUUUGCCCUCCUCAAUUAUGCCUAGACUGAAGUUUGUACCCCAAACGUUUAAUUUUUGCAAUUAACUAUCUCUAACUCUUGAUUUGCCGCAUGAUUUAAAAUGAAGCUAAAUCCGAUGGGAUAAAGAGCGACACGACGAUUUGCCCUUAAAAUCUUACUAAAAUGCCCAAAGUAUCCCAGAAAAAAGCAAUUUUCUAGGAAACCUUUUCUCUCAUUUUCUUAAGCGAACUCAAGAAUGCGUAAAGAAAUCUAAUCCUCGAACAACCUUCAAAAGCCUUUUCUCUCAUUUUCUAGGAAACCUUUUCACUUUCCCCUUUCCUUUGAUUUUCGUCUGCCACAAUAGGACAAAUAAGAAAAAGGAAAAAUGUCCAAUUUCGUCCCUAAAUUUUGGUGUCAAUUUAGUUCUUAACUUUCAUUUCUGACUAAUUUGAUAUUUGAACUUAUUUUGCAAUUUCAAUUAAGGACCCCAAUGGUACUACUAUUUAAAACCGAUAUGACUUCUAAUUGAUUAACUAAAAUAGAGGUAUUAUAGAAAUGCCACUCGGACAUUAUAAUGAAACAAGCAAAUCAAACUUCUAAAUCGUAUAAAAAAUUAUCAGAUAAAACUUCUUUGAAGUUUAAUCUUGUGAUUUUUUUAAUACGUUGAUUUAUUACAGUCCCGUGAGUGAUGUUCUCAAAAUUUCCCUAUUUUAUUAGUUAAUUAGAAGUCAGAUCUGUAUUAAAUGGUAGCGUCGCUACAAAAGUCCUCAGUUGAAACUGCAAAAUAAGUUCACAUAUUAAAUUGGUUAGGAAUAAAAAGUUAGAAACUAAAUCUACACUAGUGAAAAGGUUUAGGAAUGAAAUUGGUCAUUUUUUUAAAAAAAAACCACCACAACAAUAAUCCCCGUCUUACCAAUCGAAAUUAACACUUCUCACAUCAAUGAAUUUUGUCGAACAGUUCUGACCUUACAUACUCUGCUGCAACUUCUUAACCCAUGGUUUAUGGGACUCUUAUCUAUGGUGACAUCUGGCCAUGCGGGUUGGAGUGCAACUGCAAGAACAGGAAGACAGGAAAGCCUAGAAGGUAUAGGAUUCAUGGUGAAUCCUCUUAACUGUUAAUUUGAGUUAAUAGUGUUUGGAAGUUUGAAAACUCAAUAAUCAACGUCCUUUCAUUUGAGAUCCUUUCUCAAUUAAAAGUCCAUCAGUCCAAGUCCACACAGAGGUUUUCAUUCCGGGGUUCCAUUUGCAAAGGUGAAUAUCAAGAUAAGACUCCUGGCAUGUGGAAUUGAGUUAGAUCAUGUUCGCAAUUUGCCAAUAUAGAGUUUUGUAUCUCGGAAGUGGUAAUUAACCUCACAAAAUGCAAAAGAAACUGCAAAGAUUAGAAUUAAGAAUUGGUGAUCUGUUUCAAGGGCAUUGUAGAUUAACAACCCUGCAGGAAAAUAGGCCAAGCCACUUUCAUGUGAAUGAUAUUAUUGUAAUAUGAUAUAGAUACAAUGUAGACUAAUAAAUUGCUUAUUAGAUGCUUUUACUAUUCACAAUAUAUCCUGCUCAGGAUUAAGAAGGAAGAAAAAACCCACAAAAUCAAGGCCAUGCAACUUAGCUUUGGCAAUCUGCACAGAAAAAGGAAAAGAAAAUCCAGAAAACUAUGAAUAAAUGCUAAGAUUCAGAAUGUGAUAAUGGAAUAUUAAUACAUCAACAAUUGGCCAACUCGAACAUAGUGAAUACUCAGUUCCCAGGUGGGUUUCUGUUCCAAGACAAAUAGGAUGGAUCGCCAUAAGGCCUGCAUGAGUGAAUGGACAAAAGAAGUAUUAAAGAAUUACCAAGUACAAGGCAAAGAUAUCAAUUAAACCAAUGUUGUAAACAGCAAUUCUCACAAAAUAAAUUGACAAACAGGCGUAGGUUUCCACAAUUCAUAAUUCUAUAUGCUGAUAAAUCAUAUAGAAGAGAAGAUUAUAGCAUCAUAUUUUGGUUUCUCAUCUUAAAACAACAGCUCAAUUUCCACUGACCCUAAAAUAAUUCAUCGAAUGACUCUGGUCUCAGUGGUUUGUAUUAUGUACUCAUGAAGGUGUACAGUAAAUUAAAAAUUUCACACUACCAAAACUAGAAGAACUAUAUCCAUGUGAUGCUAAACAGUAAUAAGAGGAUUGAUAACUACUAAUGAGAAUACCUUGGCUUUAUAAGGUACAUUACUAUGAAAGUUGUUGCAAUGAAUAAGCACAAUCCACCAAUAGUGAUGUAUCCCAAGCCUAAGAAACUGUUUUUUCCACCAAUCCAAGUCGUAGUCGAAAGAACUAGCUUCUUUUUGCCUCCAAAAGCAUAAGCAUUAUAGUUAUUCUGUAUAACCACUGUUAUCAUCUCAUUAGCCUCAAGAUCCUGUUCAAUUCUCCCAUACAACUUUCGGAAGCUUGGCAAUGCUGCAGUGCGCAUCCAGACUAGAAGGUCCUCUUGCUCACUCAACUGUUAUAAGGCAAUAAAUUGAGCAGAGUAAACGAACGCUUGGAUCGGUAGACAGGAAAAUGUAAAAGGGAGAGAUUUCGAAAGAGAGAUGGAGAAAAGAUAGAGAGAAGAGAUGACUGCACUAACUGGUAUUUUUUCAUCCAGUUUUCCUCCUCCAAUCAAGCUUCCCUGCUGAAAGUUUUUAGGAUAAACUUUUGAUCCAAAUUUAUAGUUCUUAUCGCUGUCCCAUGCAAUAUCUUUCUUGUUUACAGAUAGAUUCAUGCCACCAACUGAGAAUCCAUAAGUAUCAUUGAACAAACUCCAAGCAACAAGGCCACAAGGCACAAUGGGCUUAUUAUCAACGCGUGCUUCGGGUUCACAGGGUGAUGUUAAAUCCUCAUUUUCUGGUUUCGCAACUGUUUGUCACUUCUGCUUUUGACAUAUCUGCAUAAAAGCAAUCAGAAACUUUACAUCACACUUUGGUUUGUAAUAAAUGAUCACAAGCUGGAAAAGAGAGUGAGAUUUCCAGUGGAGCUCUGAAUAAGUGAAGAUGAAACAAGCUAAUCAAGAAAGAGUAUAGCACACUAGAAGUCUCAAAUUUGCAAUUAGGUUUCUUUUAUGGCUAGGAGCAAGACAACUACAAAAGAUGCCACAAAUAAAAAAAAAAAAAUUCCUCACCCACAGAUUAAACUAUAUCAGUAGUAAAAGCAAAGCGUGAUGGCAAGUAAAUCAAGGUUUUCUUAGAUUAUGAAACCACAGAAUCUGGAGAAUCAAUAAACUUGGAAGAACAAGGCAUCUCCAACUGCACCAAAUAAGAAAUCCACUCUGAUCUCCAGAAAGCUUCACAUCAUUAAGGUCAAAUUAUUCAUUUGGUCCAGCUUAUACAGUCUAGCAUGCUGGUGUUUUCACAAAAACAAUGGGAAAAACACCCAAGAGACAUUUCAAAUAAAUAACAACUACUCAAUCCCGUUGGAAACAACGUCAGAAAAAAUAAAACAUACCGACGAUGGUUUUGAUAGAAGUUAUCAAGCUGGUAAUAGAUGUAAACCGGAUGCUGCAUUUUCUUUGGGACCUGAACAAUCAUUUUGCAAACUAAUAUUUUCAAACUGGAGGAAGAGAAGUGGAAUAAAUGAAACAAAUUCUUUUCAUGUUGUAUCUGCAAACAUCAGUUCUAAGAAAUUGCACCUACUGUCAAGCUCCGACACAGGUUUUGUUGGUCUUGUCACUCUGAAUAAAUGCAGUUUUCUCUUGAUCGGAAGGAAUGCAAUCCUCGUCAUAGCGGUCUACAAUUUCAACCACCUAUACAUCAGCAAUAGCAUAUCAGACCCAUUGAAAAGGUUACUUUUUUGAAAGACUCUAGCAGAUGGAUCAUCUAAAUCUUUACCCUCUCUGAUGCAGACAAGACAAAAGGCCAAUUGGUAUGAAUAUAACCCCUACUAGUAUAAAAGUUGUGACCACCUAAAAUAAUAACAGGAGGAGAAUCAGAAAAGAACAGAAAAGGAAAAAGGAUCAAGUUUCACAGAUCAAAAUCCAGUUGCAGAAUAUAAUGAAAACAUACCAAUCCUGGAGUUAAUAUCGGUUUGCAUGCAGGCAGUUCUUGUUGUGUAAACCUAGAAUCUGAAGCAUAACAAAGUGGCAACAAUUGGAUACUUAUAUUGACAGGGAUGAUCUAUAAAAAAAAAAAAGCAAUCUCAAUCAACUAAUCAUUCAUUUAAAAAAGGUUAAUCAGUGUUACGUGCUAAAAACCAGAAUUCAGAAACUAAAAUUGCAUAUUGAUCAGAUGCAACAAUGAAGUAGCCAGAGAAAAUUCCUGAAUUCUUCACCAUAAAUCGUCAUAUCUAUGGGAAAUUUACGUAAUUGAAUCAAUCAUGGGCUUUAAACUGUAUUGAUACUCAAUCAAAAAAUAAAAAUAAAAAUAAAAUAGAAAGGGGAUCUCGCAAAGGGCUUUCAUAAAUCCGAACAUUCAGAAACAUACUACCACUGUUAAUCACCCCGCAUUGCCAAACCUUAUGGAUUAAUGAUCAAGAACCAAGAAACGGAAUCCCAAAUAGCACUUAAGAACUAUUCUCAUUUUUUUAAAAGAAUUUACUUAUUAUAAUCAUGCAGGCCCGUGAUGGUUCUUGAAAAACCAUUUCUUGUUCCAUUACAAAUCUGAGGUUAACCGUUCGAGUAAUUAUCAUCAAAAUAGCCAAAAAAUUCCAAAAAUAAAAAACAUGCAUUUUGAGAAACGAUCAAUCACAAUCAUCCACAAAUUCAAAAGAAAUAAAAUGGAAGAAUCAAUUCCUCAGUAAAGCAACUGAAUAAAGAAAAUCAAAAAAACAAAGAAACAGAGGGAACUGAA